rnacentral:lncRNA from 1 species
UUUUGCGUUAAAAUUUCCCAGAUGUUUCCCUCAAGGAAUCGACAUCUAUUUCGAAAAUGUUGGGGGAAAGAUGCUGGACGCAGUGCUACUCAACAUGAGGCUCCGGGGCCGCAUUGCGGUAAGCAGUAUGAUCUCACAGUACAACCUGGAAAAACCCGAAGGCAUACACAACUUAGAGCAACUGAUCGGGAAACGGAUUCGCCUGGAAGGAUUUCUAGCAGGUGAUUACUAUCACCUCUAUCUGAAAUUCUUGGAACUGGUCAUUCCUGCAAUCAGAGAAGGAAAGAUGGUGUAUGUGGAAGACAUAGCCGAAGGACUCGAGAAAAUUUCUCGUAACUGCUACACAUUAAACGCGUUUCACAUUUCCACUCUCUCUCUAUAAAUAAACACGCACAUAAAAUUUCUCACUAUCCAAAAACAAAAUCUACAUAAAAAAUGGCGGGUGAAGAAGGAGUGAGCAACAAGCAGGUGAUUCUGAGCAACUACGUGACAGGGUUUCCCAAAGAAUCAGACAUGAAGAUAAUAGCAGGCUCAAUAAACCUCAGGUGCCAGAGGGUUCAAAAGACACAGUGCUUUUGAAGAAUCUUUGUCUUUCCUGUGAUCCUUACAUGAGAGGACGUGUGAGCGAGCUUGAUAAGCCUUCGUUUGUUGCCUCGUUCGAGUCUGGCGAGGUCAGUUACUUCAAUUCCCAUCUCUUGGUUUCAUAAUCUUUUAUGGUUUUAGAAGGUGUUUUAGGGAAACAUUGUGGUUUUGGUUAGUGGGCAUGAGCCUUUGAAGAGAUUAUAAUGUGUAGGACUAUGUAUGCAAUAAUAAGUAUAGGGGAUCUUGUUAGGAGAAGAUUCUCUUAGCAAAAUAAAAACUUUUAUCUUAUCAAAACAUAUGCAGGGAACUUAGUUAUGAUGUCAUGUUAGCAUUGUCUCUGAGGAUUUGAUUUCUUGAUGGGGAAAGGGGAAUUUAAGGUUACAUUAUUCAGCAAUGGUUUUUUUUUUUUUUUUUUAAUUAUGUUCAAAUUAUGCAGCCUUUGAGCGGAUAUGGAGUGUCCAAAGUGUUGGAUUCCACGCAUCCAAAUUAUAAGAAAGAUGACUUGGUCUGGGGCUUAACCAGUUGGGAGGAGUUCAGUCUCAUCCAAUCACCACAACUUCUGAUUAAAAUUCUGGAUACAAGUGUGCCUCUGCCAUACUAUACUGGGAUUCUUGGUAAGUUGUUACUAAAUUUAUCAAUGUCCAGUUCGCAUGAGCUGAAAAUCAUGUUUUAUUUAAUGCAAUGAGAGAGGGAAAUAGUAUGCUGCUUGAACGUCUAGCAUUUUGAAUUUUCAAUGAUUGUACCCUACGUAUUGGCAUGUAACUGAAGGAUUUCUCUUGAGGAAUUUACUAUUUUUUCUGAUUGUCGGGUAUUUUUCUGUUGACUCUAGGUAUGCCUGGUUUGACUGCAUAUGGUGGUUUAUAUGAGCUUUGCUCUCCUAAGAAAGGAGAGUAUGUCUAUGUAUCUGCAGCAUCUGGAGCUGUUGGUCAGCUUGUUGGGCAAUUUGCGAAGCUGGUAGGUUGCGAUGUUGUUGGAAGUGCCGGAAGCAAAGAAAAGGUGAGUUUGCACCUUUAACCCUUACGCUCUAAAUAAAAACAUAACACCUUCUGAAAGAAUUUGCAUAGAGAAUUUUGCAUGUCACAGUAUUUGUGUUCUAACUAAUCAUGGAUAUUUGAUCAUUAGUCUAACUAAAACUGACUUAUUACCACCUAGUUGAUUGGUCUUUGAGAAAUGUUAGUUGAUAUAUGCUUGAAAUCAUACUUUGUUUUAUUAGAUGAUUAUAUUAACCUGCUUCUUUUUCUUUGUGCUGUUUCUCGUUUGAUUACAUUUUCAACAUUAGGUCGAUCUAUUGAAGCACAAGUUUGGGUUUGAUGAUGCUUUUAACUAUAACGAAGAGCCUGACUUGGAUGCAGCUCUUAAUAGGUUAUCACGAAUGAAUGCCUUAACCAUUUUUCUCACUUCAUUAUUACAAUGCGCUGAUUGAAGUAAUCAGUGUUGGCUCUGAAAAUGUAAUGUAUACUUCUCUGUUUUCAUAAAACAGGACAAACAGUGAUCAGUGAUCUCAUUCGUUACAUUGAUAUUUUCUACCAUUGCCAUAUGCCCAUACAUAGUAUAAACUAGGAAUUCAGUUGCUUAAUUGAUAUUCAUUUCAGAGGGAAAUUUUCACUUGCAGCUAACAGAAUCAUGUUUGUGAUGUAUGUUUAUUUGGGAAAUGAAAGGAUUUGCUGCAUUAUUUUAUUCCAAGUUUGCUGAAAUCAUAUUUGUUUUCCCAGCUGCUUUCCUGAAGGUAUCGACAUCUAUUUCGAAAAUGUUGGGGGUAAGAUGCUUGAUGCAGUGCUAUUCAACAUGAGAAUUUGUGGCCACAUCGCUGUAUGCGGAAUGAUCUCACAGUACAACAUUGAGAAGCCUGAAGGUGUACACAACUUGAUGCAAGUAGUUGGAAAACGAAUUCCCACGGAAGGAUUUCUUGCCGGUGAUUUCUACCACCAAUAUCCAAAAUUCUUGGAACUGGUUAGUGGUUAUGGCGGCAAUCAAAGAAGGAAAGUUAGUAUAUGUCGAGGACAUAGCUGAAGGCCUUGAGAAAGCUCCAUCAGCUCUAGUUGGGAUAUUCACUGAGCAGAAUGUUGGAAAACAACUGGUUGCAGUUGCUCGGGAAUGAUAUGAUUAUUAUAUGACCAUGGACUUUAAAAGCUUAGUGAAGAUGCCUCUGUCUUAUUUGUGAUCCAUGUUAUGUUUGUUUGAGAUACAUGUUAUGUUUGUUUGAUCAAGCUGUACUCAGAUAUAAAUCAAAGAUUCAGAACAUGUGUAUGAUACUGGUUUCUAAAUCAAUGAACGCUUUGAAAUGUUAGUGUUUUCACAGGAGAAUGCAAUUUAAUUCAUCAACAAUGUCCCAACAAGACCCUCAGAGCUGUAGCUUGUAAAGUUAAUUACCAUAUUUUUUUGUAAAGUUAAUUACCAUAUUUUUUUCUUUCCAAUAUAUUGCUUAUUUCAUAGAAAGUUUACAUUAAAGUCUCAUGUUUCUUUGAAAGGUAAGCAAGUGUGAACGUUUCAAUCUAGAGCUGGAAAAUGCAUUUCCGGGCAACUUACUUGAUAAAUGAAGUUUUCAUCUCUGACCAUGAUGUUUCCCACAGGUGCAUUCAUUUCAGCUGAUCUAUUUAAUUUUGUUUUCGAAGGAGUGACACAAAAUCUCCUUUGUUAAGGGGAGAAUUUAGAGCGGCUUUGACUGUUAUCAAAUAGCCUAAUGUAAGACUUAACCAACUUCCUGCCCUGUUGUAUUCUUAUGAAUUUUGAUAGAGCUAAGAGUUUGCAGAAGCUACUGUAUUAUAUGUCGUUAGAGGCUGUAAAAAUCAAACACAUUUAAAUUUCAAUGAAAAUUUACUGGAAGUAAAUUUCCUAUGAUCCUACAGGUGACUAAUUAAUGAGAACUUGACAAUGACAAAAGAAAGUGUAUGAACUUUGCAGGCUGGCAUGCCAAUAUUGACUGGGUGGCACCAUCCACCAUCUGCAAGUGAAUAUCAUUGUUGUUUAAUCAACAUGGUGGAGUCCACUGGGACCACACCACAUCAUCAGCCUUAUCUCUAUUCCUCAAUUUUCAGUAUUCCAUACAUCAAACCAAUUUCAGUUUUGUUAUCAAUUAUAACUUUAUUGUUGGUGACGAUUCUGAUUCCUUUCUGACAAAAGGGAACCAUGGCUGCUGCUGGAGAGAUCUUACUCAACGCCUUCUUUCAGGUACUGUUCGACAGGUUGGCUUCUCGUAAUUUGAUCAGCUUUGUGCGUCAACUCCAAGGCGGGGUUGAUUCGGAGCUCAAAAAGUGGGAGAAAAAGCUGAAGAUGAUUCAGGCUGUCCUCUGCGAUGCAGAGGAGAAGCAACUGACCAACGAGGCUGUGAAGAUGUGGCUGGACGAACUCCAAGACUUGGCUUAUGACGCUGAGGACAUUCUUGAUGAGUUUGCUACUCAAGCUUUGGAAAGCAAGUUGAUGGCGCAAAAUCACGAUAGUUCUGGCCAGGUUCUCAGUUUCAUCCCGGCUGGUUUGAAUCCGAAUGCUAUUAUGUUCAAUUAUAGCAUGGGGUCCAAGAUUAAAGAUAUUACUAGCCGGCUGGAUCAACUCUGCCAAGAAAGAAUUGAACUUGGACUGCAACGGAUUACCGGAGAGGCAUCAUCAACUGCUGCUGGUGCACACCAGAGGCCACCCAGUUCGAGUGUCCCAACAGAACUUGAAGUAUUUGGAAGAGAAGAAGAUAAGGCCAAAAUUCUUGAUAUGUUAUUAGCCGAUACCCUAAGUGAUCAUGCUAACUUUGUUGUAAUACCCAUUGUUGGCAUGGGUGGGAUAGGAAAAACAACUCUUGCUCGGGAGGUUUACAAUGACAAGGCCGUUGGAGAUUGCAAGUUUGAUGUAAAAGCAUGGGUUUGCGUAUCUGACGUCUUUGAUGUUUUGGGCAUCUCAAAGGCACUUCUCGAGUCAAUCACCCGCACGCCUUGUCUUCUAAACAGUUUAAAUGAAGUGCAGGUUGAAUUGAAAGUAGCUGUGGAUAAGAAAAGAUUCUUGCUGGUCUUAGAUGAUGUUUGGAACGAGGACUACAGCUUGUGGGUAGACUUAAAAGCUCCGUUCCUGGGUGCUGCACCAAACAGUAAGAUGAUCGUCACCACGCGCAAUUCAAAUGUUGCAUCAACAAUGGGACCAGUUGAACAUUACAAUCUCAAGAGUCUGUCAGAUGAUGAUUGCUGGUCCAUUUUCAUAAAGCAUGCAUUUGAAUCUAGAGAUCUUAACGAACAUCAAAUUUCAGAAUCAUUCCGCAAGAAAGUUGUUGCCAAGUGUGGAGGCUUGGCCCUGGCAGCAAAAACACUCGGAGGCCUUCUGCGUACGACGAGGCAUGAUGUGUGGGAUGAUAUAUUAGAGAGCAAAAUAUGGGAUUUACCUCGACAAAGUGGGGUUCUCCCAGUAUUAAGAUUGAGUUACCAUCAUCUUCCUUCUCAUUUGAAAAGAUGUUUCGCUUACUGUGCAAUCUUUCCAAAAGAUUAUGAAUUCAAUGAGAAGGAGGUGACUUUUUUAUGGAUGGCCGGAGGUAUUAUUCGACAGUCCAGAAGCAAAGAGAGGCUAGAAGAUUGGGGCAGCAAGUGCUUCUAUGAUCUGGUGUCAAGGUCAAUUUUUCAGCAAACAGCAAUCUCUGAUAGUUCUAAAUUUGUAAUGCAUGACCUUAUUCAUGAUCUUGCUGAAUUGGUCUCUGGAGAAACCAUAUUCAGGUUAGAGGAGGCCAAUACUCUGUCAAGAAGAUUUGAAAGGGUUCGCCAUUCUUCCUAUGCUUGUGGUGGACGUGAUGGUAAAAAUAUGUUCGAGGUUUUCAAUGAAAUUGAACAUCUACGAACAUUCUUGCCAUUACGCUUACGCAUAAGAGGUGGCUCUAAUACUAGUUUCAUAACUCGUACGGUUCUAUCUGAUUUGCUGCCGAAGUUCAAAAUGUUGAGAGUGCUAUCUUUACAAGGAUACCGUAUCGGUGAGUUACCAAUUCCAUUUGAAGAUUUGAGACUUCUAAGGUUCCUCAACCUUGCUGACACUGACAUAAGAAGUUUACCUGAGUCAACAUGCAAAUUGCUGAACUUGGAAAUUUUGAUAUUAAGAAAUUGUUCCCGUUUGAUAAAGCUUCCGCAGAAAAUGAGGAAUUUGAUCAAUUUACGUCAUCUCGAUAUAAGAGGUGCAAAGCUGCUAAAGGAGAUGCCAUUUGGAAUGAAAGAGUUGAAGAAGCUUCAAACAUUGUCCAAUUUUAUUGUAGGCAAGGGUGAAUCCGCAUCUGGUUUGGAAGAUUUAAAAAGUUUAAACCUUCUUUGUGAUGAACUCUGCAUUGCUGGAUUAGAGAAUGUAAAUAGUCCACAGAAUGCAAGAGAAGCCACAUUAUGUGAGAAGCACAAUCUUGAAGCAUUGACUCUAGAAUGGGGGUCUCAAUCUGACAGUCCUCGGGAUGCAGUACUAGAAGAGAAUGUACUUGACACUCUACAACCUCAUGAACGUAUAAAAGAGCUGGCAAUCAGGCACUAUGGUGGUGCAGGAUUUCCACUUUGGAUCGGACAUCCUUUGUUCUCCGAGAUGAAGGUCCUUAAAUUGGAGAACUGUGACAAGUGUGUAUCUCUGCCAUCGCUUGGCCUGAUGAAUUCACUUAAGCACCUUGCUGUUAAAGGGCUGAAGAAACUAAAAAGCAUAGAGUCUGCGGUCUUUCCAUCAUUGGAGACUCUAAGUUUUGAGAAUUUGCCAGAAUGGCAGCAUUGGAACACCAAUAUCAAAGGAAAUGAGCCUGUUGAAAUAUUUCCUCGUCUCCAAGAACUUUCCAUUGCAGAAUGUCCCCAACUCUCUGGAGAACUGCCUGAGCUCCUGCCUUCUUUGGAGACACUUGUUGUUAGUAAAUGUGGAAAGUUGGUAGUUCCAUUGUCAAGCUAUCCGAUGCUCUGCAGAUUAGAAGUUGAUGAGUGCAAAGAGCUAGUGUGCAGGACUCCAAUUAAUUUUGAGUUGAUAAAGUCUGUGACUAUUUCAAAUAAUUCAUUACUCAUGAAUGGAUGCAAGGAGAUGCUAUGCCAUGGUCAAGCUGGCUCUUCACUGCAGAAACCCAAGACUAUUAUGAAUGUUUUGGAGUUCGGAAAAUUAUUGAAGCCUGGAUUUCAGAUAUUAGAAACUUUGGUAAUUGGCAAUUCUGAACGGCUCAAGUCAUGGAGUACUUUUAUUGAACCAGGGCUACAUUUGCUCGCUUCCCCUGAAGAGGUAGCAAUUGAAGAAAGUUGUGUACGUCUUGUUUUGUUUCCAGAGAUCAAUUUCUUUCCCAGAAAUCUGCGCUCUCUUCGAAUUUGCAACAGCACUGCUUUCAAAUCCUUACCCGAGGAAAUGAUGGAAAACAAUUCACAACUCGAAAGGUUGUAUAUCAGAGAUUGCGACUCUCUAACAUUCAUCGCAAGACGGAGGCUACCAGCAUCUCUUAAAAGGCUUGAGAUAGAAAAUUGUGAGAAAUUGCAACGUCUGUUCGAUGAUGAAGAGGAUGCUUCUUCUUCUUCUCCUUCAUCCUUGUCUUCCCCAGUGAUGCUGCAACACCUGAGAAUAGAGAAUUGCCCAGAGCUCACCAGUUUAUCAUCGGGUGUCCAAUUCCUUGAGGCGCUUGAAUACCUCAAGAUAGAGCAUUGUCCAAAGCUGGAGUCAAUACCGGAUGGCCUGCCCAAUCUUAAAUGUUUACAGAGCAUUUAUAUACGGAAAUGUCCAAGUCUUGUUUCCUUCUUAGAAAGAGGGCUUCCCAACGCCAUUUCAAGUUUUUACAUUUGCAGAUGUGACAAGCUCGAAGCCUUGCCCAAUGAUAUGCACAAACUCAACUCUCUUCGAGAUUUAAGCAUACAUGGGUGUCCAAGUCUUGUUUCCUUCCCAGAAAGAGGGCUUCCCAACGCCAUUUCAAGGGUUUACGUUUGCAGAUGUGAGAAGCUCGAAGCCUUGCCCAAUGAUUUGCACAAACUCAACUCUCUUCGAGGUUUAAGCAUACAGAUGUGUCCAAAUCUUGUAUCGUUUCCAGAAGAAGGUUUUCCUACCAAUCUAACAUCACUUACAAUUAGAUAUUUCAAAAUGUAUAAGACACUCGUCCAGUGGGGGUUGCACAGGCUUACCUCUCUUAAACGCCUCUGGAUUGCUGUACGUGAUGAUGAAGCAGAGUGUUUUCCAGACGAGGAGAUAGGAAUGACGCUGCCCACCUCUCUCACCGCUCUGCACCUUACUGGAUUCGAAAAUUUGAUAUUUCUGUCUUCAAUGGGUUUUCAAAACCUCACCUCUCUUCAAUCUUUGAGGAUCGAGAAUUGCCCGAAUCUCACAUCAUUUCCAGAGGUGGGCCUUCCAUCCUCACUUUUGGAAUUACACAUUAGAGAUUGUCUAAAGCUUAAAAAAGCGUGCAAAAGAGAUCAAGGAAAAGAGUGGCCCAAAAUUGCUCACAUCCCUCGCGUUGAGAUAGACGAUAAAUUCAUAUACGAUCCAGAAGCAGAGUAGAUUCUAUUAUUAAGGUCAGUUGAUUUGUAUUAUCCGCUAUAACAAGCUCCUCCUUUUUUUUUCAAAUAAUAAUUUUGCAGUCACUCAUAUGAUUCCGUUUUCACAAGUCAGAUUGUAUGUUGAGGCUAUUUGCCUUUUAAUUAUAACACUUAUUGGAGUAUAAUAUUUUGGAGCAAGCAUACUUGAAAUUUCUGUCUUCAAUAUUUUGAUGCUUUUUUAAUUUUUGAUCUAGUAAAAAUACAUAGCCUUCACCGGCAGGAUUCUAGUCUUGGCUUUCACCUCUCUAACUCAUCGUCCCCACUGGGAUUCCAGAAAUUGAAAUUUCUGUCUUCAAUGGGUUUUCAAAGCCUCGCCUCUCUUCGAUUUUUAUGGAUCGCUUCGAUUUUUGCACAAAUCUCACAUCAUUUCCCGAGGUCGAGGAAAAGAGCGGCCCAAACUUGCUCGCAUCCCUUGGGUUAUGAUAGAUGGAAAAUUCAUAUACGAUCCAGAGUCAGAGGUGUUGAUUCUCUUAUUAAGGUCAACUGAUUUCUAUUAUCCACUCUGACAAUCUCCUAUUAGUGUUUUUCCUUUUCUUUUUCAAAAUUUUGCAGUUCUGUAUAAUUGAAAAUGCCACUCACUUGUUUCCUUUUUCGCAGGUCAAAUAGUGCGUUGAGGCUAUUUGCUUUCUAUCGGUGUUUGUUAAGGUAAUUAGUGCUCCAUCAUAGGUAUGACUGGAUUUUUUUCACUUCCGUAAAUAUUGCAUUUCUAUCGGUGUUUGACUGGAUUUUUUUCACUUCCGAAAAUAUUGCAUUUUAGACUGGCAAAUUUAGCAGUAAUUUUAAUACAAUUUUGUUGGUGCCUUUUGUUCCAGAAGCUAGAAAAAUGUGUAGUUUUCAGAUAAGGAGGCUUGUCAGUUCUCUAAUAAGAAUCCAAUAAUUUGCUUUUGCACGUCCAUCUAAUUUGUGGAUCCUUGCAUCAGAAUUUGAUCAAUCCAAAAGGAAUUGCUUUUAGACAGAGGAAGAAUAGCAGUACCUAGCCUAUGUCAUAGUGUAUGGAACCGCAAACCUGAAACUAUUAGAUUGAGGUAAAAAAAUCAUUGACCCCCUCACAUGUUAACUUCUUCUAGUUACUUUCGUUGGAAAAAAAAACAUUUAAGGAAUUUGCAAUUUGUUGUUGGUUAUGGUAUCUGAUGUUCUUUUCUGUUUUAGUGUUUGUAGAAUCUACUGUAUUAUGUGUUGGCAGUUGCCGUAUCUGAGGUAACUUGCCUUUAUUUGACAAAGAUUUAGAGAAGCAUCUCAAAACACUUAGUAAACUUGACAAACUUCAAGAUGCACUUGCCCCCACGCCUUAUUCUCCACAACGCAAAACUUGUGAGUACACCUAUGCCUGCAAUUAUUGUGAAGUGUUUUCAAUUUUGAUGCAGAGAAAUGGUUUCUUGAUGCAAAAUAUUAAACUGUUAAGAUUUAUCCUGCAGGCUUGUUAGAUGCUGUAUGCUCGAAAAGCCAACAACAUCCAGAACUAGAACUCCAAGACCAGCUUUGCGUUAAUUCAGUCAACUGUAAUAAUAAUGCAAAUGACACUAUAUCAAGCUGGACUUAGAGACUAGUCAGAUCAAUCAUCCAUUUCAUCAACGGUUAAUGUCAUGAUGGUGGCUAUCAGAGGAAACAAAAGAUGUGUCGGAAUCUAUACGAACAUUGAGAAGCAUGAGAGGAGCUUUGAUUUUGAGUAGGGUCAAUGAACUCAUGUUGGUAAGUGGUAAUUAAAGAAAUUUGUAAGCUUAGUAGAGUUUCAGUAUUUUCUGUUUGGAGUAUAGUUGAUAAGUUGACUCUGUUUAAUAAGCCCGAUUAUAGUAGCUGACUGUAUUAACCUUUUUUUUUUUGGUCUACUGUUGUUUUUGGUUUCGAUUAUUUUUUCAACAUUGGGUUGAUCUGUUGAAGAACAAGCUUGGGUUCGAUUCUGCUUUAACUACAAGGAAGAGCCAGACUUGGAUGCAGGCGUUAAGAUUUUAAUGGGUAAGAACAAAUGAAUGCUUUAACCAUGUUUCUCACUAAUUAAAAUGCACGGAUUGAAGGCAUCUGGGUUGAUCCUGACAAUGUGAUGGAAAUACUUCUCUAUUUUGUUCCUGUGUUCACAUAAUGUUUGUGGGAUAUGCUUCGACGAAGACCAGCAAUGAUGAGCAGACACCUGGUAAUAGGGUUCCUCGAGCAGGUAUAUCUUGUAAGAGUAUGGUAUUCAGGGGAGCAGGAGCAGGAAUAUCCUGCUCAUCCGCGAGCACGUCAUCCACGAGGCCAAUCUCCUGUUGGAAGCAUAAAGCCAUUCCUGCUACAUUCCUGCUAAGGGUUGAGUCGAGGAGACCCGGUCAACGACAGUUGGCGAGGCGUGCUCUCCAGUCCGAGAAUCAAGGCAUGAAGGCCACGCAACCACCCACGACUACGGAAAUGGGGCAUCCACUUUCGAGAGGUGGGAGGAUAACGAGCGCGAAUGGAAGAAGGCCCGAGUUCAGAGAUGGCCUAUAAAAAAGUAGCCAACAAAGGUAAAAGGGUUAGAAUUUUUGACAUUGUAACAGAAAAAAAGAAAGCUCUAAAGAACUGAGACUAAAAAAGAAAAGCCAUAAGAUUUGUGGCUAGUGUUCCCAGAACCUUCAUAUCUAACUUGAGCGUCGGAGGGUUUACGCCGGGAAAACAACCGGCGUACUCUGACCUAGUUCUGUGUACGCAGGAACUUCUGGAGAAGAAGCCUUACGAGGAGAGAUCCUAAUCGAGGUGGAGUUGAUCGAGCAAAGAUCCUGGUCGUAACAAGAGAGCAACCAGAAUCUCGCAUCAACAUUUUGGCGCCAUCUGUGGGGACUUGAUCAAAAAGCUUCUGUUGAUAGCAAGAAGAGGAGUGAAGCAAGUGGAAAAGCAAUGGAGGCAAGAAGAAAUAGUGCACAAUGGGGUGAUAUGAGGCUUAACGAUUCCGUGACGCUGAGGGAGAUAGCCAGUGAAGCACGGGAAAAAGCCAUGUUUGACCGGAUGGAACGGAUGGAAAAGCAGAUGCAGACCCUGACAACCAUCCUACAUGAGCUGCGGAGUGAACGAAGGGGAACCCAGGAGGAAAGGGUGAGAGGUGGUGGAGUGGCACCAGGUCAUGAUAGUACGAGGAGAAGUCAAACCACCGAGAGAUUUGGUGGUGAGAGAGGUAACCUAUCUCUACGGGGAGAAAUUCAUAGAGAGGAAGAGCAAUCCCCGGCAAGACAGAUUUUUGACGAGGACGACGGGGUGGCGAAUGCAGAGGAAACAGAGUUGAGGUAACACUUGCAUGAUGUAGAGCAAGAGCGGGAUCAAGUUGCAGCACGUGACCUUGGUCGUGUAGUGCAGCUGGAGGAGGAAGUGCGCAGACUAGCGCAGAUAAUUGAUGACAUGUAAGGAAGGAGCAGAGCUCCUGGUUGGAGGAUAAUGCUGGACGGAGAAUCACCGCUCGCAGCAGAGAUCAUGAGGGCAGUUAUUCCAAGAGAUUUCCGCCUCCCAGACCUUAGAUAUUCGGGACGAACUGAUCCGCUGGUGCACAUAGAGCGCUUCAACGACAUAACCGGGGUACAAGGAUUAUCUCAAUCCCAAAGGUGCAGGGUGUUCCCACUAUCCCUUGAGGGACGUGCACGCAAGUGGUACAGGAAACUUCCUCGGUGGAGCAUUAAAACCUUCGAGCAGAUGUGACAGGAAUUUGUAGAGCAGUUUCGUGGGGCAAUAGCACCAGAAGAUGACAUGAUGGAGUUGAAAAGCAUGAAGCAGGGGGAACAAGAAACCCUUCGGGAAUUCAUCAAGAGGUUUCAUCGUGCUGUCCUCGAUUUGGGAGCCUUCAACCAUUCUCAGGCAUUAAGGGGAUUGAAAGAAGGGGUGAAGAUAGGAAGGCUGUGGCACAACUUGAGAAGCCCAGUUAUUCAGAUGUAUACAGCCGCAUACGAGCAGGCUAAGAGGGACAUUGAGAUUGAAGAAGAAAAGGCAGCACGGAUUAAGACAGACCAGCUAGAAGGGUUGGGAAAGAAAGAGAAGAAAGCAUUACCAGGGAAUGGGCCGAUCAGGAGGAAGGACCACCAGGCCUCAGGUAGUGGUGCAAGAGGUCGAGUAACCGCUUACCAGCCUCAUCAGAGACCACCACAGUAUUAGCACAGCAGAGCACAACCUCCUCGUUCCCCAGUUAGAGAGCUUUGGAGAAGGCAUGACUCGACAUAUGGUGGUCUUCAUCAACACUCCCACGGUAGUAGAGGGAGCAGACCAGAAGCGCUGCCACCGCCUCUAACUCAGAAUGGAACAAAUAGAGAAAGGGUAGUGCACAUGAUCGACCAGAACCAGGACUAUGGGCAGUAUACUUCCUUGAAGAUGUCCCUGGACGAGGUGUACGAGGCCAUAAAGGACCGGGGAUUGAUGUACCUCCCUGCCCCAAUAACAAAGCUACCCAGCAGGACGGAUAGGGGACGCUAUUGUAAGUUCCAUGGCACUUAUGGCCAUACCACUGCAGAAUGCAGAGAUCUCAAGACCCAAGUUGAAGAUUUGGUGAGAAAUCGGUACCUGGAUGAGUUUAUAGAUGAGACUUUCCCGAUGGUGGCCUCGACAUGUGAAGGGGAGCAGAGUGAUAGAAACUUUAGGCGCGAGCAGCCUGCAGUAAGGGUAAUAGCUGGGGGCCCAACAUUGGCCGGAGAUUUCAACAGAUCGAGGAAGAAUUAUGCUAGAUACGCCAUAACUAGUAAAGAGUUACUCUUCAACACCCCAGCAGCCAAAUGAGUAAGAGUCAGACAAGUGCCAAUCAUGUGGACGGAUGAAGAUGAAGAAGAGAUUCUAUACCCCCACGAGGAUGCUUUAGUCAUCAAGGCUACUGUUGCAAGUAAGAAGUUUGACCGGAUACUGGUUGAUACAGGGAGCUCAGUUGAUGUGUUAUUUAAGUCAACUCUGGAGGAGAUGGGAAUAGCAGGCCGGAAGUUGGAGUACACCAAUACCUCCUUGAAAGGGUUUGGAGGAGGAAAGCUGGUCCCUCUGGGCGUGGUCGAGCUGCCUAUCACGAUUGGGAGCUCCCCGACAAAAAGGACUAUGAUACUGGACUUUGUGGUGGUGGAUGAAGAAUGUCCUUACCAGAUGAUCUUAGGUCGGCCAUUUCUGAGGAUGAGCAAAGCGGUACUGUCCAACCAUUAUCUGGCUCUCAAGUACCGAGUGAAUGUGGUAGUUGGAGUGGUACGAGGAGACCAGAGAAUAGCACGAAGCUGCUACUCCUUGGCAGCAAGGGAAGCAAUGCAAAUAACAUCCCUUGAUACCCGAGUGGAAAACAUGAAUGGCAGACAAGAACCUGUAGAGGAGCUGGAGACAGUAAGCCUGGGACCAGAGAAUCCGGGAAAAACGAUCAGAAUCGAGUCGAGACUUAAGGAAGAGCAGAAGCAGGAGUUGGUGAAAUGCUUACAGGCUCAUGCAGAUGUGUUUGCUUGGACACAUGAAGACAUGCCAGAGAUUGAUCCUGAGGUAGCAUGUCAUAAGCUGGCAAUAAAGAAAGGUGCUCGGGCAGUAAGGCAGAAAAGGAGGUGCUUCAACCAGGAGAGGUAUGAGGCUAUAAAUGGCGAGGUGGAGAAGCUCUUGAUAGCAGGGUUCAUUUGCGAAGUCGAUUAUCCUGAGUGGAUAUCGAAUGUGGUGUUGGUAAAGAAGGCAAAUGGCAAGUGGAGGAUGUGUGUAGAUUUCACAGAUCUCAAUAAGGCGUGCCCGAAAGACAGCUUUCCUUUAUCAAAGAUCGACCAGCUAGUAGAUUCAACGGCUGGACACGGCCUGCUUAGCUUCAUGGACGCGUUUUCGGGAUACAACCAAAUUCCCAUGUAUGAGCAGGAUGAGGAGAGCACGGCUUUUAUUACUAACCAGGGUUUAUUUUGUUACAGGGUAAUGCCAUUUGGUCUUAAAAAUACUGGGGCCACGUACCAGAGGCUGGUGAAUAAAGUCUUUAAGCCAUUGAUUAGGAGAACCAUGGAGGUGUACGUGGACGACAUGAUAACCAAGUUGAACAUCCCGAAGGAACAUGUCAGAUACCUCGAGGAGACAUUCGGGCUUUUGAGGAAGUAUAAGAUGAAGCUCAACCCGGAAAAGUGUGCUUUUGGGGUCGAGUCAGGGAAAUUCCUUGGAUUCAUGGUGAGCCAUAGGGGGAUCGAAGCAAAUCCCGAGAAGAUCCACGCGAUCGUGUAAAUGAGGUCACCUCGUAGCCUGAAGGAGAUGCAGAGCCUCACGGGGAGGUUGGCGGCAUUGAGCCGAUUCAUAUCCAAGGCUACUGAUAAGUGUCAGCCAUUCUUUCAAGUGAUAAGGAGGGGAAAGAAAAUAGAAUGGACCCCAGAAUGUGAAGAAGCCUUCCAGAACUUGAAGCAGUACUUGCAGCAAGCACCUCUACUGUCCACACCGAGGGAUGGGGACAAGUUAUUUUUGUAUUUGGCGGUAUUAGAUCGGGCCGCAAGUUUUGUUCUGGUGAGAGAGGAAGAAGGGGUUCAGUAUCCGAUAUACUACACCAGCAAGGCUCUGCUCGACCCUGAGACCAGAUACCCACCGUUGGAGAAAUGGGCAUUUGCCCUUGUGGUUGCUGCUCAGAAGCUGAGGCCAUACUUUCAAGCAUUCCCAGUCUCGGUAAUAACAAACCAGCCAUUGCGUCAAACUCUGCACAAGCCAGAUGCUUCUGGUCGGCUCGUCAAGUGGACUAUAGAGCUGAGCGAGUUCGACAUAGACUACAAACCCCGAGCAGCGAUAAAGGCUCAGGCGAUGGCCGAUUUCAUAGCAGAAUUCACAGAGCCCGAAAUAUGUUUGGACCAGCGAGAUGUAGCUACAGACAGCAACGAAGCCCGAGUAUGGCAGAUGUCUGUAGAUGGAUCAUCCGGGGAGUAGGGAUCAGGAGCAGGAAUUGUUUUGGAAGGCCCAGAAGGGGAGGAGAUCUCUUAUGCUGUAAAGUUAGAAUUCGCAGCCACAAAUAACCAAGCAGAGUACGAAGCCUUGAUAGCAGGUUUGGAAUUGGCUAAGGCAGUGAAAGCGGAUAGAGUGAAGAUCAGAACUGAUUCCCAGCUGGUCGCAAAUCAUGUCAGUGAAAGAUUUCAACCGAGAGAGGAGAAGAUGGAGCAGUACCUGAAGAUAGUCAGGCAUAUGAUGGGGAAAUUUGAAGCGGUUUAGGUGAUACAAAUCCCCAGGGAGCAGAAUAGUCGAGCAGAUAUUUUGACGAGGAUGGCAGCGGUAGCAGACCCAAAAAUGCCAAAGUCGAUCCCUCUGGAGGUGAAGUCCAGCCCGAGCAUCGAGCAUAAUUUGGGGGUGCUGCGGAUAGAACAAAAAUGCUCGUGGAUGGACCCGAUAAUUUCAUACCUUAGAGACGGGGUAUUACCACCAGAGAAGCUGCGAGCUCGGAAGAUUAGAGCCCAGGCCUCGAGAUACACGAUGAUUGACGGGGUAUUAUAUCGGCGAGGAUAUACGCUACCUUUCCUUCGGUGUUUGGAUGAGGACGACGCGGACUACGUACUGAGAGAAGUACAUGAAGGAAUUUGCGAAAAUCACUAUGGUGGGAGGUCCCUGGCUCACAAGGUUCUAAGGCAGGGAUAUUUCUGGCCGACAAUGCACCAGGAUGCGCAAGAGAAGACCAGGAGCUGUGUAAGCUGCCAGAGUUUUGUGAGUUUCUCUAACCAACCACCAGAGAAGCUCACCUCUAUGGCCCCCCCCUGGCCAUUUGCUCAAUGGGGAAUUGAUCUGAUCGGCCCGUUGCCAAAGGGAUGAGGAGCAGCAACACAUGCAAUAGUUGCGAUAGACUACUUCACGAAGUGGAUAGAGGUAGAAGCCCUUAGUAGGAUCACAGAGAAGAAAACAACAGACUUUGUAUGGAGAAACCUGGUCUGUCGAUACGGGAUCCCUUAUGCCUUGGUAACGGAUAAUGGCAGGCAGUUUGAUAAUCACAGCUUCAGGGAUUUCUGCCAGAACCUCGAGAUAGAGUUGAAGUAUUGCUCGCCUGCUCACCCUCAAUCUAAUGGACAAGUAGAAGCAGCCAACAAGACCAUCAAGAGGCUUUUGAAAACCAGGCUUGGAGCAAAAAAGGGUGCAUGGGUUGAUGAGCUGUCAGGUGUCCUAUGGGUAUACAAGACAACCCACAAAACAGCAACUGGGGAGACACCGUUCGCCUUGGCUUUCGAACAUGAAGCGGUCGUACCAGCCGAGAUAGGAACGACCACGCACCGGACAGAUCAUUUCAAUGAGCAGGAGAACGACGAGCAGAUGUGUUUGAAUCUAGAUCUGCUAAUGGAAAAGAGGGAGCAAGCAGCCGAGCGAUCAACCAUUUGCCAGCAGAGGGUUGCUCGGUAUUAUAACCAGAAGGUGAAUGUACGGCAGUUCAAGGUCGGAGAUUGGGUGUUAAGAAGAGUGAAUCAGAAUACGAAAGACUCGGCUCAGGGAGUACUUGGACCAAAUUGGGAGGGGCCAUAUAGGGUCAAGCAGCUAGUUGGACCCGGAGCUUACAAGCUGGUUCGCUCGGAUGGCCACGAGGUGAAACGCCCAUGGAACGCAACACACCUCAGGAAAUAUUUCCAGUAAGAAUUGUCCAUGUUUUCAAGUUAUUUCUGUUCGUGUUUGUUGUUAUUUAUUUUAUGUCAAAACAAUUUCAUGUAAGUUGAAUCCUGCAAUUAAUGAAACGUCGAGGAAUUUCAUUCACUUGAAACUGUGAAAAAUCUACUAAGGCAUGCUAAGGCUCACUGAGUCUCAAAGCCUGUUUAUGGAAAGACCAGAAGCCAAGUGUGCCAGGAUCUGCUCGACCACGCGAAGGCCAGCAGAAUCCCAAAUCAUUGAAGAAUCUACCAAGGCAUGCAAAGGCUCGUCAAGUCUCAAAGCCUGUUUAUGGCGAGACCAGAAGCCAAGUGUGCCAGGAUCUGCUCAACCACGCGAAGGCGAGCAGAAUCCCAAUCAUUGAAGAAUCUACCAAGGCAUGCAAAGGCUCGUCAAGUCUCAAAGCCUGUUUAUGGCGAGACCAGAAGCCAAGUGUGCUAGGAUCUGCUCAACCACGCGAAGGCGAGCAGAAUCCCAAUCAUUGAAGAAUCUACUAAGGCAUGCUAAGGCUCACCGAGUCUCAAAGUCUGUUUAUGGCGAGACCAGAAGCCAAGUGUGCUAGGAUCUGCUCGACCACACGAAGGCGAGCAGAAUCCUAAAUCAUUGAAGAAUCUACCAAGGCAUGCAAAGGCUCGUCAAGUCUCAAAGCCUGUUUAUGGCGAGACCAGAAGCCAAGCAUGCCGGGAUCUGCUCGGCCAAGUAAAGGCCAGCAGACUCCCCAACAUCAAAAAAUUAUCCAAGGCAUGCAAAGGCUCGUCAAGUCUCAAAGCCUGUUUAUGGCGAUACCGGAAGCCAAGCAUGCCGGGAUCUGCUCGACCAAGUGAAGGCUAGCAGACUCCCCAACACUGGGAAAAUUAUCUAAGGCAUGAGAAAGCUCGUCAACUCUCAAGGCCUCCUCUGUGACGAGGUCAGAAGCCAAAUGGAUAAAUAAAUUAAAAUUCCAAUGCGAGGAAGCAAAUAAGAACAAUUUUAUUAAGCUCUUAAAAGUCUGCAAUUCUGUUACAUACAACGCUAAAAAAGCAAUUACAACGCAAGACAAGUUCAGGAGGACGGCGGAUCAGUAAACCGAGUAGCUUCGGUUGGCUGGUCCACUUCAGGGGUCGAGGGGGUGUCACCAGUUGCGUCCGGGGGGGUACUCGCCUCACCAACGUUAGCAGGGACUGCAUGAGGAGGAGAGUUUUCCUCCUCAACCACGAUUGGCUCCACCCCUUCGGCAUCCUCCUUUGCCGCCUCCUCGUCCAUGUGUUGAACAAUACUAGCCGCAAGGUCAUCCAUCUUCAGAUCAGGAUGCUGCUUCCCGAGGACGGCCAUGAUGCAACGAUAGGAAUGCCGAAGUCCCUGGUCGUACUGGUUGUCGGCUUCCUUCUCCAAGUUCUUGACCUGAACUCGGUGGGAAUCGCGGAGAGAUUCGAGCUGAGCCUCGUACAUAAUUUUCUGCCUUUGCAGAUCCUCCUUGACCUUAGUCAGCUCUUCCUCGAGAGUAACGGCCUAUGCUUGAGCAAGAGAUUCUUGCUCUAUCAGCUUCAGAUUCUCGAGAUUCAAGUCUCCCGCUUUCUUCUCGGCAGCAUCGGCUCUGGUCGUCGCCGAUUGAAUGUCCUCCUUCAUCUUCCGGUCGUAACGGCCAACCUUGGCCUUAUAGUAAGUGGUCAUGCAGCUGAGGUGGAAAGCGCUAUACUGCAUGGCCCCCACCAGCUCACCUAGGGUGCAGCCAUCAAAGUCCUCCAGGUCCUUCUUGCUCACGAGUUUAAAUAGCUCAUUGAGAUAGGGGACCAAGUGUUCUGCUCGGUGGUCAGAUAAACGAGAUCUAGGCCCGACAGGAGGAGAAGAGAAAGCAGGAUCAGUGGCAGCUCCACUAGUCUCUCUGACUUUGGCAGGAGGAGGAGGAGGUAGAGUCUGCAAGGGAGCAACCUGUUGCACGAUGUUCACCUGCUUUGCAGUAGGAGCAUCUUUAUUCUGGUCCUGCUUGGUCGUUGGAGGUCGAGAACGUUUCCUAGUCAGAGCCCCAAUCACAGCAUCCUCCAUCUUAUGGCCGGGAGGCACCAAACAAGACUCGAGCAGGUUAUAAGUAGUUAUCAGCUCUCGGCUCGAGCAGGAAUUGGCUAGUACAGCCUCGACCCGUUUGAGCUGGUCAGGUUUGAGCGGGAAGUAAACACCCCAAGAACCUGCAACACAAAUAGACACUUGGUUAGAGACAAACCAGUAUAGCGAGAACAAUUAUGGAUACAAGACAUCUAAAGCGAGCAGGCAACCUGAGAUCACGAAACGGGGUGGGACGCAAGAAUCCUUCCCGUCAAUUUGUGCAACUUGACCCCAGGAACCCCCAGCAAAAAAGAAUUUUUUCUUCCAAUUCCCACCACCACCAGUAAGAAGAUCGGUUAUGGGUUUCCUGGUCUUGGUACUAGAUUGGAAGUAGUACCAGCCGGCAUCUUUGGGGCUGCUCUUUAGCUGGUACAGGUGCUUCACCUCAUCAACUGUGGGCUUGCUUUGGCAACAUCUGUCCCACAAUAUGAACAGACCAGAGAGUACUUUCCACCCGUUGGGGUUCAGCUGACCAGGAGCUAGAUUUAGCCCGUUAAGCAUCCGGGCAAAGUAGGGUUGCAAGGGACACCUCAGCCCAUACUUAAAGCUCUCUAGAAACAGGGUAACGUAUCCCCUAGGAGGCCGGCUAGGGGUAUCCUUCUUUCCUGGGAUCUUAAGAGGUAUUUCACCAGGAAUACUAUACUUAAGCCGGAGGUCAGUGAGCUCGUCAAACGUGGUCGUGCACGUCAUGUAAUCAAUAGCGUAAUCCCGCGAUAGGGCUCUACCUCCUACUGUACUCUGCCCUUCUGGUCGCGAUGUUCAUAAUGGGGACACCUCACCAGAAUCACCUCUUCGAUCCUCACUCAGGGUGUUUUCCGAGCCAGAAAACCCCUCCUCACCGCUAUUUCUGCUCGAGGAGGUUGUUUGGGGGGACAUCCUCCUAGCGCUAGUACCAACACUAGGUCUAAUGGGUUCUAAGGGGAUCCCGGGGUCAAAAGCAGGAUCGGUGAGCAGACUAGGCAGGAAGUCCAACUCAUUGUCAUCAACCUCAAUGACCUUCUCUUUACCUUUCGACAUUCCCUAAGCUAUAACUAGAACACCACCACCAACUACUACCCAAGCAAAGCAAAGAGAAAAGAAAUUAUCUACAGCUAUCCGAGACUGAGGAGAUAGAAGUAAUACCUGAAAUAGUGGUUCAGUCGGAGAAGGACAGGGAUGGAGGCCUUUAUGCCGGAACUUCUUUGCCAGGGAGACAGGGACAGAGACGGGGUAAAUGACGAAUUUUCCUUUGGAGAGGUUUUAGGUUUUCCUAAUGGAGAAUAAACUCUUGGGUUGCCAGCAUUUAACAGCACCAAAUCCCGAGGGUCUCGUAACCGUUGGUUUGAAAUUCAAAUAGAGAGGUAGAUUUCUGUCACAUCACCUCGUCCGCAAUUAAAUGCGACACAACUCUUGGCAGCCUUUUUCCUAUCCCGCGCAAGCAAGAGCUGUCAAGUUUCUACUAUCGGCUUACUACGUUACCCAACACCAGAAACUGGGGGAUCGGUGUUUGUGGGAUAUGCUUCGACGAAGACCAGCAAUGAUGAGCAGACAUCUGGUAAUAGGGUUCCUCGAGCAGGUAUAUCUUGUAAGAGUCUAGUAUCCGGGGGAGCAGGAGCAGGAAUAUCCUGCUCAUCCGCGAGCACGUCAUCCACGAGGCCAAUCUCCUGUUGGAAGCAUAAAGUCAUUCAUGCUACAUUCCUGCUAAGGGUUGAGUCGAGGAGACCCGGUCAACGACAGUUGGCGAGAUGUGCUCUCCAGUCCGAGAAUCAAGGCACGAAGGCCACGCAACCACCCACGACUACGGAAAUGGGGCAUCCACUUUCGAGAGGUGGGAGGAUAACAAGCGCGAAUGGAGGGAAGGCCCGAGUUUAGAGGUGGCCUAUAAAAAGGUAGCCAACGAAGGUAAAAGGGUUAGAAUUUUUGACAUUGUAACAGAAAAAAAGAAAGCUCUAAAGAACUGAGACUAAAAAAGAAAAGCCAUAAGAUUUGUGGUUAGCGUUCCCAGAACCUUCAUAUCUGACUAGAGCGUCGGAGGGUUUACGCCGGGAAAAGAACCGGCAUACUCUGACCUGCUUCUGUAUACGCAGGAACUUCUGGAGAAGAAGCCUUACAAGGAGAGAUCCUGAUCGAGGUGGAGUUGAUCGAGCAGAGAUCCUGGUCGUAACAAGAGAGCAACCAGAAUCUCACAUCAACACAUAAUAUAAUAUAUAUAUAUAUAUAUAGAAAGCUGAAUUUAUUUAUUUACGCGCAUGUGCUAGUGCCCACUGGCAUCCACUUGAUUUGUAUCGGUUAAAUGUAUCAUACAAUACAAUAUUAGCUUGACUGUAGAAAAGAGGAGAACGAGUUGGUGUUGGUCUGAACUCUUAUCUUUGAAUCUCACGUGACUCCACUACUUUUUACUUGUUCUGUAGUCCAUUGUCGGCAGCUCAUACAAGGUCUUUUAGCUUUUUAAAAAGUUUUAGCUUUUUGGAUAAAUUACUGAUAAUUGUAAUCUAUAAAUAAUGAAAGGAAUUAAUUAAAUAUUUGGUAAAUUUUAUUUUUUAAAGUGUUAUGAGUUUUAAAAACGGUUGUAUGUAUAUAAAUUUAUUUACACAUAUAUUUAUAAAUAUGACUAUAUAAUAAUAUUUUAUGUGUACAUAUAAUAAUUGAUAACUAAAAUAAAUAUUUUUAUUUUAUUAAUGGUUUUUUCGUCUCAAUGUAGUUGGUAAUAAUAAUCUCUUGAGAUGUAACGAUUUUAUUUCCUAACUGAAUAAGGAAAAUUUUAGAUUUUUAUAAUAAAUGUUAAGAUAUAUUUAGAAUUACAUUAAGUAUGAAAUAAUCCUCAAAAUUAGAUUUUGAAAAGCAAUUCUUUUCUUGCCUUUAAAAAUAUGUCAUAUGAUGAGAUGAUUUUACUAAAAGUGAUUUUUUUUUAAAAAAUUACUAAACAUCAAAAUUAACUCUUAACUUUUUAAAAUCAUUUCUAAUCUUCUCAUCCUAAGUUCUCUAUUAUUUUGUACAAAAUCCAAGGUUUUGACUUUAAUAAAAUGCCCACUCAAAAAGAAAUUAUUUUCUAAUUAAGAUUUGUUGUUAAUGUAUAACUCGAAGUAAUAUUAGAUAUUUGUAAUUUUAUUUCAAAAAAUUUAUUCAAAUGAUAUGGCAAGCAAUGAACAAUAGUUGAUAGCAAUUUUUUUUUCUUUAACAAUGUUCAAAUCAAUCAGUUGCAUUAUCUCACCAUUUUUAUGAUGCCAUGUUAUUUUAAACGAUUUUUUUUUUAUAUAAAACAUACGACGUGUUAACAUCAUUUGCAUAACUUGACCUUUUUUUUUUUCCCUACAAAUAGUAAGUCAAAUUUACUCACCCUAUUUCUACCUAAAAUCUACCUAAAACUCAUGCAUCACUGCAAAACAAAUCCAAAGAUUGCGGUGCGUUUUUCUUGGUCAGAAAUCAAUAAUUAGGUCAAGUACUACUACUAAGCGUGCACAAUUAAUUCUAAAAUACGGUGAUCAAAAUCAUACUUUACGCAAGAGGAUCAGGGCUAAACUUCAAUUAGGCAUUAUUCAUCCAAAAAUCAUUGACUCGGCAUUCUUUGCAAGUUGUAGCAUGGGACAGCUAAGAUAAUUAGCAAAUGAUAUGGACCAUAUGCACCAAUACAUUUGUGACAUGUGAAUCUUGGCAUUAAAGGAAAGGCAAUGUGUCAAAAUUUAAUAGAGCCCAACUCUUCAUUGAAUGAUUAUCAGAUCCAAUACGCAUCCUUUGAUUGGAUUAUUUUAAGUCAAUUAUUGGUGGAUUGGGGCCCACUUGACUCUACCAAAUCGGGCUCGACCAUAUCACCUAUUAACGGCCACCUGUCCUUAUCAUAAAUAGCAAAUGUCACUUGUUUUAUUUUCUAUUUUACCAAAGUAAAGUCACUACGAACGCAAAAGAAAGUGACCUCAAUUUUGGGGGUCAUGAACUUUGGAUUAUUAUGGACACAAGAGACAAGCGCAAUGUUUCUCAUUUAUCACUGGAUAAGAUUUAAGUUAUCAACCCAAUAUUAAUAAAUUCUGCUUGAAAAGUAAAGUUUGAAGCUUCAUUUUGCGAAUAUUCAAUGGUUAACAUUUAAGUAAUUAACCUGAUAUUAAUCCAAUUAAACUUUUUAUGUAAUCCAAGUCAAAAAUAUAUUGAUAAACCUAAACUAAUCUAAUUGGACAUAUUAUUUCAACUUGAAAAGGUGAAUUUAUCAUUUUUCAAUUAAUUUUGAAUCAAGCUAUGUAAAAUAUAAGCUUAUUAAAGACAUAUUUGAAAAUUUCAAAUUGAAUUAUUUGACAAUUACAUUUCAACUAAGUUGUACUGCUAAUUAACUUCCUCAACUUAAAAUGUAUUUUUCUCAAUUAAUUCGUAACAAAGAAUGUUAGAUGUUUUGUUCGAAUGAUAACAUUCAACAUCCUUAUUCUUUAUGAUUAUUGCAUAAAAACAUAUUUUAUCCAUUUACGUCACAUAUGUUCCUAAAUUGUAUAAGAAAAUCACCAAAUUUACUCUUGUAAGUUACUAUAUCAAUGAACAUGAAACUAACUAAUCAUUAAAGUCUCGGAAUGACAUCAUGAGGGGGAUUCCGUUACAUUUAUUGAUAGGAUUAGAUAUAUGUCUUCCCAAAUAUUAGUAGGAGUAAUUAAACAGAUGCAGCUAUUAAAAAUAUGGAAUUACUUAUCUCGUCAAUAACUAACGAUAUUUUUUAUCUAUGCUCGAUAGGCGUCUGAGCUAUAUUAUAAAUUGUAAUAUUUGUAGAUUGUAACAAUUAUAAAAAAAAAAAAAAAAAGCUCCCUAAGACUAAACGACAACAGGACUGUUUUGAAAUAGAUAGAUAAAGUAUGCCCUUAUUUGAGAAAAGGUAAAACACUAGGGAUCUAAAUGUUAUUAUAAUCCCAUGCACAAAAAUGCUAGAAAAAACUAAUAACAACUAACCGAAAAUCCCAGGCGUCAUAUUCCUUUUUACCGCGUUUUAAAAUGCACAACAAUGAUAUUCUCACAAAAGUGGGUACAAAGGUUUGUACAACCAGGGUCUCUUUGUAAAUUAUUUCAAAGUUUUGUGUUAUUUUUUAAAUUUAUGAUUUUUAUUAAUUUUGAUUCAUUGGAGCAUUUCUCCUUCCAUCUCUUCUACAUCUAUUUUUAAAGUUUUUUAAAAUUUUGACUAUAUCUUUAUAGAGUUCUAAAUGAUUAUCUUUUUUCAUAAAAAUCUAUACUUAAAUUAAUCCUUGAAUUUAUAAUCAUUUAUCUUCUUUGAGUCAUAGACCAAAUUUUUUCUUCUAACAUAUCUAUGUAUACUCCUAAGCUAUCUUCAUGGCUUAGAUACAUUCUAUCAAAGCUUUCACAUAUAAAUUGUGAUUUGAGAUCUGCAUCUUGAAUCAACAUCUCUAUAUUAUCCAUUGUUUUACGCUCGAGGGUAGUUAAAAUUGAUUCUAUUAAUGCUAUCGUGUUUCUCCUUCAAAAGAAUCAAAUAUUUCUGGAUUAUUAAUUUCUUUUAUUUCUUCAUACAAGCAUUCGUUUGCCGUUAAUCUUGUUUUAAUCAAGGAAGCUGUAUAAGCAACUUGAUAUUCUUGACAAAAGUCUAAAUGAUCUAUUGCAUCUAGAAAUUUAUUAAUAGAUCUUUCCAUUUUUAAGAAAUUGAGUUACUCUUAUCACUUCCAAUCUUUUAACAUCUCAGAAAACAAACAAGGCCCAGCAUGCUUCCGUUUGUAGCUCAAAUAAAAGAAGAGUUCAGAUCACUAACCAAUGUACUAUCUCUCGGAAGUCUGAGAUAGACUCACUAAUUGCCUCUAACCAUAGAGAGGUCCAUGGUCAGCACCACCAUAGCUCCACACAUCAUACAAGAUCACUUCAACGACUGUUCCACAUGGCCUAAUGCAACACACAGCAGACUGGCCUAAUAGGAUAUGUCUAAGUGAUUUUCUUGCAGUUGUCUCUGGAAGAGUGCUUAGUAAUAGAAAAUCUUCUUCGUUUAGUACAAGUAUUGGUAUGUAAGGUUCUUGAUUAAUUUUCAAAAGAUGUAUAAGUGUUAGAGUGCAAUUUAUGCACUAGUUUUGCAUUAUUUACUUCCCUUAAUAUCAAUGUUUUGCACUUAAUAAUAGUGAUUUACUUGUGUUUUACUUUUGUAGGUCCAAUUCUAUUGAUUGAUGAUAAAAUUGAGCUAUAAGAUGAUGUUUAAGGAUGAUUGUUCUCUUGGAGAAAUUAUGAGCGUCAGAAGAACUUUGUUGAUAAGGCGUGGGCGCGUGCUGUCAAUUGCGGACCUGCAGUUUUUAGUUUAACGUGUUUUGUAUUUUUGGUUAUUUUUGUAAUUACGAAUUUAAUAUUUCAGAUAUUAAGAUUUUAUUUUAAAUAGAAUUCUAAAAGAGAAGAGAGAGAGAGUAUUUAAGGGAGGAAUCUAUUGUGAAAAAGGGGGAUUUUGGAUUGGAGAAAGAAAGAAACCCUAGAUCUAAUUUUUCUCUUCUCUCUAUGAAGAACUAAACUUAUUUUUCUAGUUGAAGGUUAACGAAGCUUUGAUUCAUCACUACUGUGAGAUCUUUCUUAUGCUUUAAUUGUUUUAUUACUUUUUGGAUAUUUGUUUAUUCUCUGAAUUUUUUUCAUGAUUAUGUUUGUUAAUUAGGUAAUUGGCCACUAUUUAAUUAUCAACUUAAUCUAUUGUCAAUUAAAGGAUUCAUCGUAUGAAGAAUUUAAUAUUUGUGACAAAUAACAUAGCAGAGAGUUGUGUUGUGAGAAUAAACAAUCUAAUUUAAAUGAAUCAUCAUAUGUGUUGAUUAGGAUUUGGGUCUCUCUGGUUUUUCAGGCUGUCAAUGAAUUAAAUCCUAUGAUCGUAUCUAGGGUUGUCCAUUGAUUAGGGAAAUAACCAACGGUCGUACCUUGGUUAUCGACUAGUAAAGGAGAGAUUGGCUAUUAGAGGGUCUCAAUAGCUAUAACCGGUCUAUUCAUAAGUAAUAAUAAUCUAUAUUUGAAUCAAUGAUCAGUAGUAGAAUCAAGCUGAGUUAAUUCCUUCAACCAGAGCUUUCUCCAAUUUGAAUUACAACUUUAAUUUGCAUUCUUGUUAUUUUGAUUUGAUUUUUAUUAUUGUCAACAAUUCCCCCAUUUUACGUUUUACGUUUCAAAAGGAUUUAAAUAAUUACCGAUCUCUGUGGACACGACCCUGCUCAAUCACUAUACACAAUUUAUUUAGAGUAGGAAUUUAUUUUUGUUCGCUUCGACACCACUGCUGCCUCGCCAACUAUUCCUUCUACAUCCGCACCACCUUUGAGCAUUCAGUUAGAGAAAAUAGAGCACAAGCUGAACAAGAUGGAGCAGAAUUUGGCCGCAUACUUCGAGAGUGUGGGUUUUACCCCACCAUUUCCGCCAAGCCCAUAGACGUUAUGUGGAUCAAAGCUCACAAUUCAGGGAAGUUUCUUUUUGCCCUUAAUCUUUUAUCCUUACGCUUUAAUUUUUAUGUGAGCUUUAAUUAUCUUACAUUGGGGACAAUGUAAGUUCUUGGUGUGGGGGAGGGAUUUUUGCAUUAUUGAUGUCUGGAAGUAUUAUUUUCACUCUACUCAUCUAUUUUCAUUCUACUCGUCCUUAAAUGAUUUUGGAGUUAGUAUGCUUCAUAUAUUAUUAUUUUUCUUUUCUUUUCUUUCUCACUACUUUUUUCCCAUCUAUCUCAAAUUAUUUACAUCUAUUUUUAUUCUAUCAUACUCUUUCAUCACUCACAUUUUAUCUUUCACUUUUCAUAUUACUACAUACAUCUUUCUCACUUCUUAUCAUUUUUACCUUUCCUUCACUCAUACCUUCUUCUCAUUCUACACCACUAUUGAUGGUUGAUUCAUUUGAAGAGUGUACAUGAUUUGAUGGCAAAUUUACCAACUUUGUGAGGAUUUGAGCCUAUGAGCAACCACUUUGCUCUAAUUAUUUUUAUUAUGUGAAUAUCAAUCUUAGUUUGUUUAUUCUAGAACUUGCUUUGUUAUGCAUGUUGAAGCCACAUUACGGGAUUUUUUGCAUUAAAAUGAUAAGGGCAAACCAUUUACCAUUUUUCUAUUCUCGCAUUUUCUUUUUUUUUUCUCUACCCGAAGACCUUGAUUUACUAUCUUUGUUUGAGCCUUAACCAUUACCCAUCUAAUUCUCUCCGUCUACUUAACCAUUUUUCUUCUUUUUUAGCCUCAAUUUAAGGAGAUUUUUGGACUCAUUGUGUGGAUAUAUUUUGUAUAUAUUUUGUUGCUUUUUCUACCUUGUAUUAAAGUUUCUCAAUUAGAUCAACAAGCAUUAUGCUUGAAUUAAAUUGUGCAAGGUUCAUUUCUUUUGUUUGAUUCAAAAAAAAAAAAGAAAGAAAAAGAAAAGGAAAAAGAAAAAAAAAGAAAAAAAAAGAAAAAUCGAAAAAAAAAGAAAAAGAAGAAAAAAAAAUGUUUACAUUCUUGGUGACUUGAGUAGAAAUAAGCGUUUCGAUAUCAUAAAGUUCGUUCAAUGAGUUCAUUCUUCUCAUUUUGAUCUCUUUUUCUUUCAUAAACCUUUCUUUUUCAUUUAACCCAUUUAACCCCGUUACAACCUUUUAAGACCCUUAGAUUUUUGUAUUUAAUUCAUGUUUUGUGGAUUGAAAUGUGAUAUAUAAGCAAGCUUAUGGUAAUAGCAUUCUUUGAUUUGAUUUGAGUGAAUAAAUGACACCCUAAACACUUUGAGUGCAUGGAGUGAAGUCAAUGAGAGGGCUAUUAAAUCUUGUUGCACUUGAAUUUUGAAUGGAUCUUCUUGGUGGUUGAAUGUUCUUAUUCUAUCUUAUGAGAUUCUAUGCUUUAAAAUCCUUGUCUCUCGAAUGUUGAUCGACUUAAUUUCUUGAGGUAUACUUGCUUAAAAUUGUUUUUGGAUGAGUUGAGAUGAGAAUUGAGUGGAGAUUUGGGAUUAGUCUUGAGUUAUAUGCUUGAGGACAAGCAUCAUCUUGGUGUGGGGGAAUUUGUUAGAGUGCAAUUUAAGCACUAGUUUUGCAUUGUUUACUUCCCUUAAUAUCGAUGUUUUGCACUUAAUAAUAGUGAUUUACUUGUGUUUUACUUUUGUAGGUGCAAUUCUAUUGAUUGGUGAUAAAUUAAGCUACAAGAUGAUAUUUAAUGAUGAUUGUUCUCUUGGAGAAAUUAUGAGCGUCAGAAGAACUUUGUUGAUAAGGUGUGGGCGCGUGCUGUCAACUACGGACCUGCAGUUUUUAGUUUAACGUGUUUUGUAUUUUUGGUUAUUUUUGUAAUUACGAAUUUAAUAUUUCAGAUAUUAGUAUUUUAUUUUAAAUAGAACUCUAAAAGAGAAGAGAGAGAGAGUAUUUAAGGGAGGAAUCUAUUGUGAAAAAGGGGGAUUUUAGAUUGGAGAAAAAGAAAGAAACCCUAGAUCUAAAUUUUUCUCUUCUCUCUAUGAAGAACUAAACCUAUUUUUCUGGUUGAAGGUUAAUGAAGCUUUGAUUCAUCACUACUGUGAGAUCUUUCUUGUGCUUUAAUUGUUUUAUUACUUUUUGGGUAUUUGUUUAUUCUCUGAAUUAUUUUCAUGAUUAUGUUUGUUAAUGAGGUAAUUGGCCACUAUUUAAUUAUCAACUUAAUCUAUUGUCAAUUAAGGGAUUCAUCGUAUGAAGAUUUUAAUGUUUGUGACAAAUAACAUAGCAGUGAGUUGUGUUAUGAGAAUAAAUAAUCUAAUUUAAAUGAAUCAUCAUAUGUGUUGAUUAGGAUUUGGGUCUCUCUGGUUUUUCAUGUAUAAGAUAUCUAGAAGAUGAUAAUUUCACUCAAAAGAGUUUUAUUUAUUUCAUUAUUGAAAUUGUUUACAGAGGAAGGUUACAGAGAAUACAGAGGUAAUUGAAGGUUAGACAUAUGAUAUCUUUCCUUUCUUACAUGCUUUCAUUUAUAUAUCUCUCUAGAGAUAAGAUUAUCUCUUUUACAUAACACAUGUUCGAUCCUUGUGGUGGAAUCUCGAUUUCCUUUUGAUAAGGUGACCCCUUCUUCAUCAUUGAAGCCAGUAGUUGUCUUCUUUUCAUGUUGCCAGACAACCUUUAUCUUGUUCUGGUGAGCUUUUUCUUUUUUGGAAUCUCUCUUUUUGAAUUAUUGAUACUUUUUGGAUAACACCUUUUAUCUUUUUCAGUAGUCCCCGUCACAUGCCAAUUAUCAUAUCUUCAUCUAUAGACAUGUCUUCCCCACUAGAAUCUCCUUUUUUUUUUAAUCCUUCGUAGUAGUAGCCACAUGAUGACUGAUGCUUUAGCACCUUAUAUAUCUCGUGGUGUGUCAGCAAGGUGGAUUCCACGAGAUUUUCGAAUAUGCCCUUUUUCUUUUUUAAUAUGGUAUGUCUGGCUAAAAUAUUUUCUUUUCUACUCAUAGAAAAGAUUAUAUGCUCUUUUGUGGCUUCAUGGAGCCAUAUUUUCUCCUUGUUUAUCCUCUCAAGAGAUUCAUAGAGGACUUUCAUUUCUAUGGCCCUUUUGUUGGUGAGAGCUUUUGGCUCGAAUAAUUCAGGAUCAUAAUCAUUGUAGACUUGAUGUAAAUCAAUGGUUGGACUAACUUUUCUACUGCUAAUUCCAACUUGAAUCAAGUGCUGUGCUGGAUACCACUUGUUACCAUAGUAUUCAGGGCAAGCAGUGAGGAUCUUGACAAAAAUCACUUCUUUUGUUUUAGACAUGAUUUUGAGAUCAUUAAUAGCCUCUGCAACUUUUGUGGGAAGCUCUUUUAUUUCUCUGCAAUCAUCACUUACAUAAACAAGGUUAAGAAAACCAUAUUCAAACAUGUCUUUUAUUAGUUUUAGAUUAGCUCCUGGCACAACGUUUAUCAUUGGAUAUAACCCUAAAUGAUCUAGUAUAAUAGUCUGGCUAGGACGAAUCCCAUAGGCUAUUUUACCAAUUCUUUUAUAAUCAUAAGCGUAGUCGCUUCCUAUUGGUAUUUUAACCAUAGGGACAGAUUGUCUGCUUUUAUCAUAUUGGGGUCUUAGGCUUACUGAAGAUCCCUGAGAUUCUUUUUUCUUUGUACAUUGAUCUUUAAGAUCAUUGAUUGUGAGAUAUCUCUCUGAAUGUGUGACCAUUGAUCUUUAAAAUACCAAUAGGAAGAGUAGUCGCUUCCUAUUGGUAUUUUAACCAUAGGGACAGACUGUCCGCUUUUAUCAUAUUGGGGUCUUAGGCUUACUGAAGAUCCCUGAGAUUCGUCUUUCUUUGUACAUUGAUCUUUAAGAUCAUUGAUUGUGAGAUAUCUCUCUGGAUGUGUGACCUUUAAGCUCUGCGAAGAACUCGAGGCAUUUUGACCCUCAAUUUGAUCUUUAAAAUGGACAUUUUUUUAGCAUAUUGCUAAUAUAUUGUUAUGAAGUUUGGAGUUCUGGAUGAUCUUGCAAACUUUUGUUUGGGCAAAGUUUGCUCAAUUCUUCAUGGGCAUCAUCUAUCAUGGCAAGCCCAUCAUAAAUCAUACUAUUGCCUUUGAGAAGUUAUUCUUGACCUUCAGAGCACAUUAUUAUGCCCUUAAUUAUUUUGGAAAUGCUCUGCUCCAUUGUAUUCUUGGCAAAGAUUAGAUCCUUUAAUAUAUUCAAUUUCAAAAUCAUAUUCAGCAAAAAACUGCUGCCAUCUAAUUAAUGUUUUCUAUUGAGGAAGAUUAGGCAAUUUAUUGAAUAUAAAUCCUUUGACUUGAGUGUUAUCGGAUCUUACCUUAAAUUUCUUUGGUAACAAAAAGAAAGUAAAUUUAGCUAUUCCUUUUUUAAUAGCUAAUAAUUCAUUUUCAUUACUAUGAUAAUUCUUUUCUAUGGGUUUGAAGGUCCCGCUAGAAUAUCUACAAAUUUUUUCUUGAUAUGUUUUUAAGACUGCUCGCCAGUGAUUAUCUGAAGCAGUAGUUUCAAGAAUUAAAUUAUCACUAGAGGUAGGGAAUCCUAACCUUAAGUAAAAAGCCAAAAAAAUUGACUUAUUUUAUUAAGUCAAUUUUUGAAAAUAUAAAUAAUGCAAAAUAUAAGAAUAUCAUCUACAUGAUCUAUCUUAUUAUUUGAAAAUAUAAGAAUAUCAUCUACAUAAAUAAUGCAAAAUUCAUGAAAUUUUUUUAAGAUGCUAAAUAUCUUUUUAUUUAUUAUAGAAGUAAUUAAUGUAUCUUUAUGAGGUAAAAAGUAUCCAUCGAAUUUGGUAUAUUUAUUUAAUUCUUUGUAGUUAAUGACCAUAUGAGCUUUUCCUCGUUUAAUUUCAGCAUGAUUUCUAACUGAUUAGUAUUAAAAAUUGUUUAAUUAUCAAGCGAUAAUAUGUUAUUUUAUGCUUAUGUUAUAAUUUAUAUUUGUGUUUAUGUAAUAUAUUAUGAAUUAUGAAUUAUGUUUUAAAUAUAUUUAAUUUUGUGUAUUUUUAUGUGUUUAUUAGGAAAAUUAUUAAUUUCACGUACUUUGAGGCUCCAAACAGAUAAACGGAGGUCAAAUUUGGAUUCCGGAGGUCCGAAAACCUUAAGAUCAGUCAAGAUCGGCUUAAAAUUGGGCUUGUGUAAAAAAAGUUGACUUUUCCUGUUGACCGAGCACUGAUUGGAUGAUGAAAUGAGCUUACAAUAGAUAUGAGUGCAUGGGAUAACUGGCAAUCUUGACUAAAUCUCAACCGUUCAUGAUUCAAUGGCCAUGAUUGUGCCACGUGGCAAUGGUUGGUGAAGCAAGUUGGAGGAUCCGAAUCUUUGUAUUCGGGUCGACCCGAUCCACCCAUUAACCCGCCAAAUCUCAACCGUUCUUUGGGCAAAUCGGACGAGUCAAAUGAUGCCAUGUGUGAUGUUGACUUUUGAAGUUUGACCAGCCAUUGGAUCUUGAUCUAAGGGUUGUGAGGAGCACAUGCAUGAAGCCUAUGAUGGACCGCAAAGCACUGGAUUAUGAAUUUAUUUUUCUAUAAAUAGGGCCUCAUUUUUAUGUUUUAAUCAUCUCUCUACAACUCUCUUCUUCUCAAAUUCUCUCCAUCUCCUUGUAAUCUUGAUUUCCAUAUGUGUUUUUAAUAUUUUGUAUAAUUAUUUUCAUUAAUAAAAUUAGUUUUAUUUCCAAUUUUAGUUGUUUUUAUUUCUUUUAAUUAUAAGUAAUUCAAUUUUACUACUUCUUUUUAUUUUAAUUAUGCUUAACUAAAUAAUAUUAGUUAGGGGAAGGUGAAACUCUUAAGAAAUAAAUAUGAUUUAAUCAAAUUCUAUGUUUAAUUUUAUAAAUUAAAUUAUUUUCUAUUUAAUUUUAUACAUGUUUUAUAUUUUGAAAAUUUAAUUUAUUGUAGACAAACAAAUGAAUUUGGCACAAUAAAUUCUUAAGAUCUUAAUAUAAGGCAUGGUGAAAUGGUAUUUUGACUUAUUGUAGACAAAUUAAAUUUUGGCACAAUAAAUACUUAAUCCAUCAUAAAAUUAAAGGGAAAAUAAUAAUAAUUUGUAUAAUUAAUCUUUUGAGUAAUAAAUCUAAAACAAAUUGGCAAAAAGAAUUUAUUAAGUUUUAUUUAUUUCUAAGAGUGGAUCCAUAACCCUAACUAGUUCAAUUCCAUAGUUUCAUUUAAAUUAAGUUGUUUAUAUUCAAGUUUUAAUUUCAAUUUUUAGAUAAAAUAAAAUAAACUAAUUAAAUCUUUUCUCUGUGGAUCGACCUCGGACUCACCGAGUUAUAAUACAACAAGACACUCUUAUACUUGGGAGUUAAAAUUUACUUUUAAGUUGUGUCAAGUUUUUGGCGCCGUUGCCGGGGAAAAGUUUUUUAUUUGGUUUGUUUUUCCGUUUUUUAUUUUUCUCUUAUAUGUAAAACUUCGUUUGCCCCCUUUUCCUUUUCUUAAAUUCUCCUUAGUCCCCAUGUCUUUCAUAUUUCUCGUUUCACCCCAACAAUUUCCUUUUCUAGCCCAAUCUUCUGGUAAUUACGUUCGGACCCCAACAUCUUUCAACUGUUUCACUUUCAUCCCAAAUUACUAAUUCUAAACUUCUAAAAAUUACAUUUUGACCAUAAAAUUAAAAAUAAUUUGCAAUAGAAUCCCUAGACGAAAUUCCUCAACAUAAUCAAGACUUGGACAUAUUUGGACAUACUUUGGACAUAUUUGGACAUAUUUGGACUUAUUUUGGACCAAACUAACUUUAACUACUAACUCUAAUUACUAACUCUUAACUUACUAACUGCUAACUGCUAACUGCUAACUUUUAUUUAAUUUCAGUUAUUUAAUUUUCUGCAUUUAUUUUAUUUCGUAUUUAUUUAUUUGUUUUUGCUUUAUUGGUGGGUUUAACCACCAAACUAACUACUAACUCUUAACUUUUAUUUUCAGUUAUUUAAUUUUCAGUAUUUAUUUAAUUUUGUAUUUUUUAUUUUUUUUAAUUGGUGGGUUCAACCACCAUUUUUUUUUAUUUUGCAUUUAUUUAUUUAUUUAUUUUUUACUUUGUUGGUGGGUUCAACCAUCAAAAUUGUUAUUUAAUUUUCUUUUGUAUACUUAUAUUAUUUAUUUAUUUAUUUUUUUAUUUUAUUUUGUUAUCAAUUUGUGUAAAUAUUAUCUUUAUAACAUAACCAUUGCAUGAGACGUUGGUCUCGAUCUUCAAGUGGCAGGUUAAUUCGUAGAUCUCAAUCUCCACCACCAAUCAUGGAUGAGAAUGAAGGCGAAAACGUUUUGGGCGAACUUAAUCCUCAAAUUGAUCAGGGAGACAACCAAUCUCAACAUGGGCAUGAUCAGAAUCAACCAAGGACUCUGAGAGACUACAUGAAUCCAACCAGAACCGGAGCACCGUCGUGUAUAGUAUUUCCUCCAGAAGCAUCUCGAUUCAACUUUAAACCAGGUAUUAUCCAACUUUUACCAACAUUUCAUGGUUUAGAAUCUGAGAAUCCGUACUUGCAUCUAAGAGAUUUUGAGGAAGUUUGUAAUACAUACACGGACCAAAAUUGUAGCAUGAACAUAAUUAGAUUAAAGCUUUUUCCUUUUUCAUUAAAAGAUAAAGCUAAAACUUGGCUACAAAACCUUAGAUCUGGAUCAGUAAGAACUUGGAAUAACAUGCAAGAACAGUUUUUUGAAAAAAUUCUUUCCACCUCAUAGAACAAAUUCUUUUAAAAGGCAAAUCACUUCUUUCACUCAAAAAAAUGGAGAAACAUUAUACCAAUGUUGGGAUAGGUUUACAGAGUUGCUUAACAUAUGCCCACAUCAUGGUUUUGAAACUUGGCGAUUGGUCACUUAUUUCUACGAGGGCUUAAUACCCCAAAGUAGACAGGUUGUUGAAAUGAUGUGUAAUGGUGAAUUUAGGGAUAAAAAUCCUGAAGAUGCACUAGAUUACCUUGACCAAUUAGCUGAAAAUGCACAACAUUGGGAUACUGUUGGAACUUUUGAAUUGACAAAUAAGCAACAAUCAUCUCCAUCUAGUGGAGGAAUCCAUAACCUUAGGGAAGAUCAUGAUUUACAAGCAAAAUUUGCAUCCCUAGUUAGGAAAGUUGAAGCUUUGGAGCAUAAAAAGAGUGAUCAAGUAAAAUCUGUUCAAGAAAUUGCAUGUAACAUAUGUAAUUCGAAUGAUCAUUUCACUCAAGAGUGUCCCACUUUGCCUGCACUUAAAGAAUGUCUAAAUGAUCAAGCUAAUGUCAUUAACACUUUCAAUAAACCAAACCCAUAUUCACAGACUUAUAAUCCUGGUUGGAGAAAUCAUCCGAAUUUCAGUUGGAGGAAUAAUAAUAAUGCACAAUCUUCACAAGCACCACCUCCACAAAAUUUUCAAAAUCCUCAGCCUUAUGCACCAUAUGUUCCACCACCCUGGAAAAAUCUGGAAGACACAAUGCAUUCAUUCAUCAGAAAGCAAGAUGUUAUUAACAAUCAAAAUGCACAAAAUUUUUCUGAUUUGAAAGAUACUCUUGCUAAAAUUGCUUCUGCACUCACCAUUCAAGAAAAAGGAAAAUUUCCAGCCCAACCACAACCAAAUCCUAAAAUUCAACAAAAUCCACCCACAGACCAAGUCAAGUCAGUUAUAACUCUUCGUAGUGGUAAGGUUGUUGAUAGACCUAUGCCUGAACCUUAUGAAAAUGAUGAAAAUUCAAAGGGUAAGGAAGGACUAAAUGAACUUACACCUAGUGAAGAAAUAACUAGUGUUCCACCUGAACCACCAUUUCCGCAUGCAUUGAAUAAACCAAAGAAAUCAAACCACUCUUCUGAAAUUUAUGAAAUCUUUAAGCAAGUGAAAGUUAACAUUCCUCUAUUAGAUGCAAUCAAGCAGGUUCCUUUAUAUGCCAAAUUUUUAAAGGACUUGUGCACUGUUAAGAGGAAAUUGAAGGUAAGAAAGAGUGCUUUCAUGGCCGAACAGGUAAGUACAAUUCUGUCUACUAAUAAUAAGUUGAAAUAUAAAGAUCCUGGUUGUCCUACCAUUUCUUGUAUUAUUGGUAACCACAGAAUUGAGCAUGCUUUACUAGAUCUUGGUGCUAGUGUUAAUUUGCUUCCAUAUUCAGUUUAUCUUCAACUUAAUCUUGGUGAGUUAAAAUCAACUUCAACUACACUUUUGCUUGUCGAUAGAUCAGUUAAAGUACCAAAAGGAAUAGUGGAAGAUGUUUUAGUACAAGUUGAUAAAUUUAUUUAUCCUGUGGAUUUUAUUGUCUUGGAAACUGAACCUGUUGUGAAUAAUUACAAACCAAUUCCUGUAAUUUUAGGUCGACCAUUUUUAGCAACUGCUAAUGCUUUGAUUAAUUGUAGGAAUGGUUUAAUGAAUUUAUCCUUUGGGAAUAUGACUUUGGAAUUGAAUGUUUUCAACAUGUGCAGGCAACCUAAUGAAGAAAAUGAGAAUGAAGAUGAUACUGAUGAACAAAAGGAAUUGUUUGAAUCUUGUAUCGAGGAAAAUAUUCAAAAAGGGGAUUUUUCUGAACUUUCAAAUGUUUGUUUAGUUAAUUCAAUUGAGUCAAAUAAGCAACUUGAACUUGAUAUUUCUAAUAUAAAUUCGUUGCUUGAUUCUGUGCAGACUUCACAAAAUUAUGAUGACGAGCCAAAAUUUGAGGAGCUUGGAAGUAUUGAAAAGACAGAACAACAAGAAGCACCUAAAAUGGAAUUGAAACCUUUGCCUGAAGGAUUGAAAUAUGCUUUUCUUGGAGAAGAACAAACUUAUCCUGUUGUGAUUUCUUCUACUUUAACAAGCGACCAAGAAGGUAAGUUACUUACUGUUCUUAAAAAGCAUAAAAAUGCAAUAGGAUGGACUUUAAAUGACAUUAAAGGCAUUAAUCCCUUAAUCUGCACACAUAGAAUUAAUUUGGAAGAAAAUGCUAAAAUAUGUCAACAACCUCAAAGAAGAUUAAACCCACACAUGAAAGAGGUAGUCAAAACAGAAGUCCUUAAAUUACUUGAUGUGGGAAUUAUCUACCCUGUUUCUGAUAGUAAGUGGGUAAGUCCUACACAAGUAGUGCCUAAAAAAUCUGAAAUCACUGUUGUUAAAAAUGAAAAAGGUGAAUUAAUUCCAACACGAAUUACAUCUAGUUGACGCAUGUGCAUUGAUUAUAGAAAAUUAAAUGAAGCCACUAGAAAAGAUCAUUUUCCAUUACCAUUCCUUGACCAAAUCUUAGAAAGAGUAGCAGGACAUCCCUACUACUGUUUUUUAGAUGGAUAUUCAGGUUAUUAUCAAAUUCCUAUAGCACUUGAGGACCAAGAAAAGACCACAUUCACAUGUCCUUUUGGAACAUUUGCAUUUAAAAGAAUGCCAUUCGGGCUUUGUAAUGCUCCUGCAACAUUUCAAAGAUGUAUGUUAAGCAUUUUUUGUGAUAUGGUUGAACAUUGUUUAGAGGUCUUUAUGGAUGAUUUGACUGUGUUUGGGAAUUCUUUUGAUGAUUGCCUUGAUAAUUUGGAGAAAGUUUUAAAAAGAUGUGUUGAAAAAGAACUCGUGUUGAAUUGGGAAAAAUGUCACUACAUGGUUACUUCUGGAAUUGUUUUGGGUCAUGUUGUUUCUAUUAAAGGAAUUGAAGUUGACAAAGCAAAAAUCGAAGUCAUAUCUAAAUUGCCACAACCAAAAACAGUUAGAGAUGUGCGAUCCUUUUUAGGACAUGCAGGAUUUUAUAGGAGGUUUAUAAAAAACUUUAGUGCCAUAUCUAAACCACUUUGUAACCUCUUAUUAAAAGAUGCACCGUUUGAAUGGAAUGAUGAUUGCCAAAAAUCUUUUGAAAAAAUAAUUUGUCUUUUAACAUCUGCACCUAUUAUGCAAUCUCCUGAUUGGUCUUUGCCAUUUGAAUUAAUGUGUGAUGCAAGUGAUUUUGCUGUUGGUGCUGUUUUAGGACAAAGAAGGGAUGGUAAGCCUUUUGUGAUUUAUUAUGCGAGUAAGACUUUAGAUAGUGCUCAAAUGAAUUAUUCUACAACUGAAAAAGAAUUACUUGCUGUGGUAUUUGCAUUAAACAAAUUCCGUUCAUAUUUGCUUGGCUCCAAAUCUGUUGUGUUUACUGACCACGCUGCUGUGAGAUAUUUGAUGAGUAAACAGGAUGCCAAACCGAGGAUAAUUCGUUGGAUUUUGUUACUACAAGAAUUUGACCUUACCAUCAAAGAUAAAAAGGGUGCUGAAAAUGUUGUUGCGGAUCAUCUAUCAAGACUCACAUCCGAAUUCUGCAAUGAUAUAACACCCAUAAAUGAUUCUUUCCCUGAUGAAUUUUUAUUUUCUGUUACUUCAAUGCCAUGGUAUGCUAACAUUGUUAAUUUCCUUGUUACAGGUAAAAUGCCUUUGCAAUGGAAUGCUCAAGAGAAGAAGAAAUUUUUUGUUGAAGUAAAGAAAUUUUAUUGGGAUGACCCUUAUUUGUUCAAAUAUUGCCCAGAUCAAAUUUUUCGGCGAUGUAUUCCUCAUAAUGAGGUAAGUAGUGUCAUUAAUUUUUGUCAUUCUGAAGCAUGUGGUGGUCAUUUUUCUUCAAGAAAAACUAUUGCUAAAAUUUUACAGUGUGGAUUUUAUUGGCCUACCAUGUUUAAAGACACAUAUGAAUUCUGCAAAAGUUGUGAAAAAUGUCAAAAAUUGGGAUCAAUUACAAAAAGAAACAUGAUGCCCUUAAAUCCCAUACUUGAAAUUGAAAUAUUUGACUGUUGGGGAAUUGAUUUCAUGGGUCCAUUUCCAUCAUCUUUUGGAUUUGUGUAUAUAUUAGUUGCAGUUGAUUAUGUCUCAAAAUGGAUUGAAGCAAUUUCUUGUCGAAAUAAUGACAGUAAAACUGUGAUUAAAUUUUUAAGAGAAAACAUUUUAAGUCGAUUUGGAAUCCCUCGAGCCAUUAUCAGUGAUGGAGGUAAGCAUUUUUGUAAUAAGUCAUUUGAGUCUUUAAUGAAGAAAUAUGGAAUUACACAUAAAAUUGCUACCCCUUAUCAUCCUCAAACAAAUGGUCAAGUUGAAUUAGCAAAUAGGGAGAUAAAACAAAUUUUGGAAAAAACGGUUAACCCAAACCGAAAAGAUUGGUCUCUUAGACUUAAUGAUGCACUUUGGGCUUACCGCACUGCAUUUAAAACAUCAUUAGGAAUGUCACCCUAUCGGUUAAUUUAUGGUAAACCUUGUCAUUUACCUGUUGAACUUGAACAUAAAUCACUUUGGGCUAUUAAAGCUUUUAAUUCAAAUUUGGAUGAUGCUGGUAAUGUGCGAAAAUUGCAAUUGAAUGAACUUGAGGAAUUAAGGAAUGAUGCAUAUGAAAAUUCAAGAAUUAUUAAGGCAAGAACAAAAGAAGAUUAAACCCACACAUGAAAGAGGUAGUCAAAACAGAAGUCCUUAAAUUACUUGAUGUGGGAAUUAUCUACCCUAUUUCUGAUAGUAAGUGGGUAAGUCCUACACAAGUAGUGCCUAAAAAAUCUGAAAUCACUGUUGUUAAAAAUGAAAAAGGUGAAUUAAUUCCAACACGAAUUACAUCUAGUUGACGCAUGUGCAUUGAUUAUAGAAAAUUAAAUGAAGCCACUAGAAAAGAUCAUUUUCCAUUACCAUUCCUUGACCAAAUCUUAGAAAGAGUAGCAGGACAUCCCUACUACUGUUUUUUAGAUGGAUAUUCAGGUUAUUAUCAAAUUCCUAUAGCACUUGAGGACCAAGAAAAGACCACAUUCACAUGUCCUUUUGGAACAUUUGCAUUUAAAAGAAUGCCAUUCGGGCUUUGUAAUGCUCCUGCAACAUUUCAAAGAUGUAUGUUAAGCAUUUUUUGUGAUAUGGUUGAACAUUGUUUAGAGGUCUUUAUGGAUGAUUUGACUGUGUUUGGGAAUUCUUUUGAUGAUUGCCUUGAUAAUUUGGAGAAAGUUUUAAAAAGAUGUGUUGAAAAAGAACUCGUGUUGAAUUGGGAAAAAUGUCACUACAUGGUUACUUCUGGAAUUGUUUUGGGUCAUGUUGUUUCUAUUAAAGGAAUUGAAGUUGACAAAGCAAAAAUCGAAGUCAUAUCUAAAUUGCCACAACCAAAAACGGUUAGAGAUGUGCGAUCCUUUUUAGGACAUGCAGGAUUUUAUAGGAGGUUUAUAAAAAACUUUAGUGCCAUAUCUAAACCACUUUGUAACCUCUUAUUAAAAGAUGCACCGUUUGAAUGGAAUGAUGAUUGCCAAAAAUCUUUUGAAAAAAUAAUUUGUCUUUUAACAUCUGCACCUAUUAUGCAAUCUCCUGAUUGGUCUUUGCCAUUUGAAUUAAUGUGUGAUGCAAGUGAUUUUGCUGUUGGUGCUGUUUUAGGACAAAGAAGGGAUGGUAAGCCUUUUGUGAUUUAUUAUGCGAGUAAGACUUUAGAUAGUGCUCAAAUGAAUUAUUCUACAACUGAAAAAGAAUUACUUGCUGUGGUAUUUGCAUUAAACAAAUUCCGUUCAUAUUUGCUUGGCUCCAAAUCUGUUGUGUUUACUGACCACGCUGCUGUGAGAUAUUUGAUGAGUAAACAGGAUGCCAAACCGAGGAUAAUUCGUUGGAUUUUGUUACUACAAGAAUUUGACCUUACCAUCAAAGAUAAAAAGGGUGCUGAAAAUGUUGUUGCGGAUCAUCUAUCAAGACUCACAUCCGAAUUCUGCAAUGAUAUAACACCCAUAAAUGAUUCUUUCCCUGAUGAAUUUUUAUUUUCUGUUACUUCAAUGCCAUGGUAUGCUAACAUUGUUAAUUUCCUUGUUACAGGUAAAAUGCCUUUGCAAUGGAAUGCUCAAGAGAAGAAGAAAUUUUUUGUUGAAGUAAAGAAAUUUUAUUGGGAUGACCCUUAUUUGUUCAAAUAUUGCCCAGAUCAAAUUUUUCGGCGAUGUAUUCCUCAUAAUGAGGUAAGUAGUGUCAUUAAUUUUUGUCAUUCUGAAGCAUGUGGUGGUCAUUUUUCUUCAAGAAAAACUAUUGCUAAAAUUUUACAGUGUGGAUUUUAUUGGCCUACCAUGUUUAAAGACACAUAUGAAUUCUGCAAAAGUUGUGAAAAAUGUCAAAAAUUGGGAUCAAUUACAAAAAGAAACAUGAUGCCCUUAAAUCCCAUACUUGAAAUUGAAAUAUUUGACUGUUGGGGAAUUGAUUUCAUGGGUCCAUUUCCAUCAUCUUUUGGAUUUGUGUAUAUAUUAGUUGCAGUUGAUUAUGUCUCAAAAUGGAUUGAAGCAAUUUCUUGUCGAAAUAAUGACAGUAAAACUGUGAUUAAAUUUUUAAGAGAAAACAUUUUAAGUCGAUUUGGAAUCCCUCGAGCCAUUAUCAGUGAUGGAGGUAAGCAUUUUUGUAAUAAGUCAUUUGAGUCUUUAAUGAAGAAAUAUGGAAUUACACAUAAAAUUGCUACCCCUUAUCAUCCUCAAACAAAUGGUCAAGUUGAAUUAGCAAAUAGGGAGAUAAAACAAAUUUUGGAAAAAACGGUUAACCCAAACCGAAAAGAUUGGUCUCUUAGACUUAAUGAUGCACUUUGGGCUUACCGCACUGCAUUUAAAACAUCAUUAGGAAUGUCACCCUAUCGGUUAAUUUAUGGUAAACCUUGUCAUUUACCUGUUGAACUUGAACAUAAAUCACUUUGGGCUAUUAAAGCUUUUAAUUCAAAUUUGGAUGAUGCUGGUAAUGUGCGAAAAUUGCAAUUGAAUGAACUUGAGGAAUUAAGGAAUGAUGCAUAUGAAAAUUCAAGAAUUAUUAAGGCAAGAACAAAAGCAUUUCAUGAUAAAAGAAUUUUUCGAAAAACAUUUGAGAUUGGUCAAAAAGUGUUGCUUUAUAAUUCUCGUCUUCAUUUAUUUCCAGGAAAGUUAAAGUCAAAAUAGAGUGGCCCAUUUGUUGUAAAAAAUGUAUAUUCAUAUGGGGCCAUAGAAAUUGAGAAUCCAAAUAACGGUGUCACAUUUAAAGUUAAUGGUCAAAGAUUAAAACCAUAUCUGGAACAUCACCCACGUGACGAGGACACCGAAAUUAAUUUGGAUGACCCACCAGUUCUUGAUUAAGUCUUUAAUGAUUUUUUUUUUUUUUACUAUUAUUUUACCGUUUCAUUGUUUGAUUUUUUUUCUUUAGAUUGAUGCACUGUACAUAGUUUUUUUUUAACAUUGUUUUUCUUGUGUAAGCGUGUUUGUUUGACAGUUGUACAUUCUCUCAUCAAUUUUCAUUUUACAUCAUGAGCACCUCAAUGAGAAAAUACCUAUUCGCACAUCUUAAAAGAUUUCGGCGUAUAAAAUUUCACUUAAGAGGCCUAAUACAAAGCUGUAAAUCACAUCCACUUUGGGAUCUGCAACCACCAGAAUUCGUGUCCUAUGUUGAGGAUCUAGAAGGACAACUCAGAACAGUAGAGAGUGGCAUAUAUGAAUUUCAAAUAGAGCUUGAGGUUAACUCAAUGAGAGGACGAAUGUAAGUUCAUUUUCCUUUUAUAUUGUGUGCUUUUUUUUUGCUCGCUUUCACGCUUGAUUUGAUUUUGCAGAUUUGAUUUUGGUGUGUUUUGAUUUAUUUUCCCGUAUAAAUGGCGGAUAACGGUACUCCGUGACUUCUUAAGUCGGUAUCUUCAGUUUCCCACAAUAACUGAAACCCCAAAAUCAAACAUGGAAGAAAUACAACAUAAACUCCAUAAGCAUUUUCCCUCUCUCCCUCAGAAUGCCCUCAGGAAAAUUUACAAAGCUCGUUGUGAACGACUGCGUUUGUUAAUGAUCAAUGGCAUUCUUUCUGACAUUCGUUGGUUAAUUGAAGCAAAGGUCUGAUUAGCAGGUGAGUUUUCUAGUCAAUUUGUUUCUUACAUGCCUGGUUUUGGUAAAAGUACGUUUGCUAAGAAAAGGAGAGCUAAACGACUUGGCUCAAAAUGUCAUAACUGUGUAAGACUUGGUUGCAAACGACCGGAUUGUAAAUCUUUAGGAAUGGUUUCUGAUACUCGUGAAGAUAAAAUUAAAUUCGUUAAAGAUGGCAUGAGUAAAGAAUCGUUGGAUGAUAUCUUACGAUCUCUUGAGACGCAUCGAAGCGGAAUUGUGCAAUGUGAGAUUUACAAUUUGUGGAUACUAUUCCAAAAACAAAGUGCACAGUUAAGUCUUGGGAAUCUGACUCAAAAAGACCCUGUUUGCCAGUUUAUAAGAAAACUGGAUGGGAAGCCGAUCCUCGACCCAUAGAGGGCGUUCAAGCCGUUACUGGACGUAAAACCAGAGGAAGAUGUGAGCCACAAUCACAACUACUAGUAAAUAUCCUUUCACUUCACUGUUAUUUUACUUUACUGUUAUUUUAUCAUUUGAAUUAUUGCAUUUAGCGAUGUGAUUUUGUAUUUAUUUGGUUUCUUUUACUGUUUGCUUUUUCUAAUCAUUACUUUUUUUUUUACUAUUUGUUUUUGAAUUAUUGAGCCACGAGCUUUCCUCGUCAUUUGACAAAUAUGCCAACCCAUUUACAGCUGUUUCUCUUUAUUUAUGUCACCAAGAUCUUUAAAUAUGAGCUCGUUUUUCAAACACUCACAACUUGUUUUUGAAAAAUUAGUCCAAUGGCAGCAUCUUCAAGUAAACAAUUCAAAAAUAUUUGUGUGCUUUCUGGGUUUCACUAUGGAAAGUACAAAGAGUUCGUUCAGGUAGCUGUAGAUCUUGGUCGUGUCAUAGCAGAGAGGAAACUGCAUCUUGUAUAUGGAGGAGGUGAACGAGGGUUAUCAAGACUUGUCUCAGAAGCUGUUUUUACCAGAGGAAGCCAAGUACUCGGCAUUAUCCCAAAACCCAUGAAACCGCUAGUGUGCAUGUCUGGCCCACCAAUUGGAGAAGAAUUAGUGGUAUCAAGUAUGCAAGAGAGAAUAUCUGAAAUGAUGAAUCAUGCUGAUGCUUUUAUUUUCUUGCCAGGAGAUCUUGCAACUUUUGAGGCACUAAUUACAUUUGCAUCUUGGGCCCACUUGAACAUUCAUCAAAAGCCCAUCGGUUUGUUAAAUGUUAAUAAUUUUUAUGACGGCUUGCUAACUUUUAUUAAUCAUGCAAUAAAGAAUCAUUUUGUUCCACAUUCUGUAAAAAAACUCUUUAUCUCUGCUUCUACUGCUAAUGAGUUACUUGAUCUUUUACAAGCUUAUACACCAGAGCCAGAUCCACAGACUGUUGCACUGAAUUGGUCGACUAAUGAUGGUAACGGUAACAGUAGCAGUAAUAAGAAGUGCGAUUUAGAUUUAACUCUCCGUUUGUAAAUAUUUGCUGUUGUAGUGUUCAUGUGAUGUCUUCUACACUCUUUCUAUUUCCUUUUAAAACAUUGAGGACAAUGUCUUUUUCAGGUUGGGGGGAGGGAAUAGUUGAUAAUUGUGGAAUGUCUUAGUCCUGGUUAUGUGUUUACAAAAAAAAAAAAAAAAAAAACAAUAACAAAAUUUUUUUUUUCUGUAAAGACUAACUUAGGACAAAUUUGAGUCGAAGAUGGCAGGAUAUAGAGAAUGUAGUCUCUCUAGAAACGCAUCUUCUUAAUCUUAAGGGUGUUGUUAAAAAAAAAAAAAAAUUGACUUUUUCUUCAUCUUUGUUAUCUACUUUUAAGCUUCUGCAUCAAGUUAAGGUGAGAUCUCCUAUUCUUCUUCUUUUAUUAUUCUCUUUUAUUUUUAUUUAUUAUUAUUAUUAUUUUUUUGCAUAUCUGUAAAAUUAUAAAAUGUUAGGAUAAUGUUUAGAUUAGGUUGUGGGGUGGGGAUAAUUGACGUAUGUUUUAAAUAUGUAUGUUGUUUUUUUCUCUUUUCUCUUUUCUUUUCUUUUCUUUGCCAAAAAAAAAAAAAAAUUGUUUUUUGUCUAGGAUGGCCGUGUAAAGAGUCACGACUUUUGAGACGCAUCCUAAUAGUCUUGUUGUAUUAUAUUUUGAUUUUGAGAUUCAUGGUAAGUUGUUUUUGUUCCCUUUUCUUUGAAUUACUCAAAUUUGUGAACUCUCCACUUGGUUAUUAAGUUAUUUAAUUGUUUACUCAUUUAACAGGUAUUAUUGAAUCAUUCUUCACACACACAUUAUGACACAUACUAGUGGGUUGUAAGUUAAAAUUUUACAGCAUUUAGUUCUUUUGAUUUAUUAGGAAAAGUAUCUAAGGUAGUAGAAAGUGUAUAGUUCCAAAAAAAAAAAAAAAAGUAGAAAAAAAAUUGUUUUUAAUUUUUCUAUAUCUAGAACCCGAGUAAUUAAGUCCGUAGGGGUGUUUCAACACCUAGUGCCCUAAGGUCAACUGGUCUGGGAGUCACUGGCCUAAAGCUCACUACAUGGGUAAUAGAUAUAUUGUUUGUUUAUUAGAAACCCGAGUAAUUAAGUCCGUAGGGGUGCUUUAACACCUAGUGCCCUAAGGGCAACUGGUCUGGGAGUCACUGACCCAAAGCUCGCUACACGGGUUAGAAAUGUAAUAUAUAAAAAAAAAAUGUGUGAAUAAUCUAUUGCCUAAAGAUAUAAUUUCUAAUGAAUUUUAGAACGAAAAUGUUGUUUUUCUUUUAAUGAAGCCCCAUAAGUAUUGUGUUAAUUACUUGAGCACAAAAGAAGGUUUGAUGAUAUUCUGGAUAAUGAGUGAACAUCAAUGUGGUAAAGGAAUUUGGGAGAGUUCAUUUAUUUGGUAAUUUAGAGGAUAGAUGAACAACUAUUAACUUGCAUGUGAAUUUUAUAAAUCUUAAUAUAACGCUUUAAUUGCUAGAGGGCUAGCAAUAAGCUGGUUGGGGGGUGUGAUUAGUAUUAAAAAUUGUUUAAUUAUCAAGCGAUAAUAUGUUAUUUUAUGCUUAUGUUAUAAUUUAUAUUUGUGUUUAUGUAAUAUAUUAUGAAUUAUUAAUUAUGUUUUAAAUAUAUUUAAUUUUGUGUAUUUUUAUGUGUUUAUUAGGAAAAUUAUUAAUUUCACGUACUUCGAGGCUCCAAACAGAUAAACGGAGGUCAAAUUUGGAUUCCGGAGGUCCGAAAACCUUAAGAUCAGUCAAGAUCGGCUUAAAAUUGGGCUUGUGUAAAAAAAGUUGACUUUUCCUGUUGACCGAGCACUGAUUGGAUGAUGAAAUGAGCUUACAAUAGAUAUGAGUGCAUGGGAUAACUGGCAAUCUUGACUAAAUCUCAACCGUUCAUGAUUCAAUGGCCAUGAUUGUGCCACGUGGCAAUGGUUGGUGAAGCAAGUUGGAGGAUCCGAAUCUUUGUAUUCGGGUCGACCCGAUCCACCCAUUAACCCGCCAAAUCUCAACCGUUCUUUGGGCAAAUCGGACGAGUCAAAUGAUGCCAUGUGUGAUGUUGACUUUUGAAGUUUGACCAGCCAUUGGAUCUUGAUCUAAGGGUUGUGAGGAGCACAUGCAUGAAGCCUAUGAUGGACCGCAAAGCACUGGAUUAUGAAUUUAUUUUUCUAUAAAUAGGGCCUCAUUUUUAUGUUUUAAUCAUCUCUCUACAACUCUCUUCUUCUCAAAUUCUCUCCAUCUCCUUGUAAUCUUGAUUUCCAGGUGUGUUUUUAAUAUUUUGUAUAAUUAUUUUCAUUAAUAAAAUUAGUUUUAUUUCCAAUUUUAGUUGUUUUUAUUUCUUUUAAUUAUAAGUAAUUCAAUUUUACUACUUCUUUUUAUUUUAAUUAUGCUUAACUAAAUAAUAUUAGUUAGGGGAAGGUGAAACUCUUAAGAAAUAAAUAUGAUUUAAUCAAAUUCUAUGUUUAAUUUUAUAAAUUAAUUUAUUUUCUAUUUAAUUUUAUACAUGUUUUAUAUUUUGAAAAUUUGAUUUAUUGUAGACAAACAAAUGAAUUUGGCACAAUAAAUUCUUAAGAUCUUAAUAUAAGGCAUGGUGAAAUGGUAUUUUGACUUAUUGUAGACAAAUUAAAUUUUGGCACAAUAAAUACUUAAUCCAUCAUAAAAUUAAAGGGAAAAUAAUAAUAAUUUGUAUAAUUAAUCUUUUGAGUAAUAAAUCUAAAACAAAUUGGCAAAAAGAAUUUAUUAAGUUUUAUUUAUUUCUAAGAGUGGAUCCAUAACCCUAACUAGUUCAAUUCCAUAGUUUCAUUUAAAUUAAGUUGUUUAUAUUCAAGUUUUAAUUUCAAUUUUUAGAUAAAAUAAAAUAAACUAAUUAAAUCUUUUCUCUGUGGAUCGACCUCGGACUCACCGAGUUAUAAUACAACAAGACACUCUUAUACUUGGGAGUUAAAAUUUACUUUUAAGUUGUGUCACUAACUAUAAAGGCUGGGUUACUUUGAGGACUUUUAGAUUCUCCAAAAUUUUUAUCAAGUUUUUCUAUUUUUUUUUUCAUAAUCUGAUAUAAUUUGAUUGAUUUUUAUAUUGUAUUCACCACGCUGGCUGCUUCGAAAAUGUAAUUUUCGAGUUGUUUACCUAAUAAGAUUAUAAAUUCUUGGUGUGGUGAUGGAAUGAUUACAUGGUGUUGUAAGAGUAAUUCUUUCGUUAGUCAUUAUAUAAAUGAACUGACAAAGGAAAUUGACUUCUAAAAGUAUAUAUGCUCCUAUAUGAUUAUAAGACCAUAAUAUAUGGAUACUUAAAAUGUAAUCUUCGAUUUGGAUUAAAGUUUUUAUCCUACAUGUUCCUAAAAUGAUUUGUUCACCAUUUAUUCCUUGUCCUGUUAAGGGUUUAUAAUCUUUCGAAUAUGAUUUUGGAUAAAUCCUUAAAUUAGGUAAGCUAACUCCUGAACCAGUGUCUAUUAAAGCAUGAAACCAUUCUGGCUUAUGCUUAUAAUAUGGUUUAAUCACUUUUAUAUAAACUAUAAAAAGAUUAGACAUAUCUUGAUAUGGUUUGCUUAAUUCCUUCAACUGUUAAGCUUAUUUUUCUAUCUCCUAUAGAAUAAGGAGUAAAAUUCUCAAGAAAGUUCAUCCCUAAUAAUAAAGGACUUAUUUAUGUUUCAUAAUCUGGUUCUAUGAAAAAAGAAAAGAUGAAUUCUAUCCCUUUUAUUCUUAAUAGUAUUUCACUAUAUUGACUUAAUGUCUUUCUUUCUCCAUUAAAUCCUACAUAAGUAUGAGGCUCAAUUAAAAUUUUUCUUUCUAAAUAUUUAAUAAUUUUAGAAUCUACAUAAGAUUUUGCAGCUCCUGUAUCAAGGAUAGCAAAAGUCUCGUGCCAUGAUUUUCCAUUAUUAUAUUCAAUCUUAAUUUUUAGAUUUUGAUUAUCCAGUAUUGCUAAAUUUACUGGACUAUUUGUCCUUUCUCGAAAAUGAGCUCUUAUCAUGACUUGAAUUCCUCCGAUAUGAACAUAUCCAAUUUUAAGUCUAUCACUAGAUUUUAUCUCAUUUAUCUUAUCUUUUAUAUCAGUUUUUAAUAAUAAUGGUAUAUUUGUAUUUCCUCUAGCAUACCUAAUUUCAAUAGGUUCUUCUCUUACAGUAGCACUAAGAUACAUUAUAUUUUUUCUUUUAAUCAUGUUAGCAAUGCCUUGUGCUAACUUAUUAACCGAAGUCAUAGAUGAUUCCAAUCCUUUUUUAUUAUUCUUGAGAUAUUGCUUUUUAUCAAAGAUUAAUUCUCUAUUAAAAGAACCUUGUUCUUCUAACUCUUCAUCUUGAUAUAAAUCUUUAUUUUCUAAUUCUUCUAUACUCAUUCUGAAUCAGAUUCUAAAUCAGAACUUCUCAAAGUUUCAUUAGAAAGAUAAUAUAUGCUAUCAUUUUCACUAAUAUCUUUGCUAUCGGUGAUUAAUUCUAAAUCAUUGAAAUCUUCAAAUAUUUUUAUAUUUGCUUUCUUCGUUUUAGGACAUUCAUUUGCAUAAUGUUCUUCUUCAUUACAUAACUAGCACUUGCAUUUUUUAGGUGCAUUGGUUUUGGAUCUUCUUUUAAAUUUAUUUUUCUUGUAGAAUUUCUUUUUAUAUUUAUUUUUCUUGUAAUAUUUCCUGUUGGCUUUAAAGAAUUUCUUCUUUUUGAAUUUUUUUUCUUGUGUUUAUAGAUUUUAUCUGAACAUCCAAAUCUUGGCGGAUCUUCUAAUUUAGAACAACAUAAUUCUCGAUUUUGCCUUUUCAUAAGUCUUCUAUCUCUUAUUUCAGAACACUAUUCAUUUAUUCUAUUUUGAGCAAAUCUAAUCCUAUUUCGUAAUGUAUAAGUUUCUGUAGUAUCUUUGUAUUCUUUGUUAUAUUCCAACAUAAUCCUUCUACCCCAUGGGUCUGGUAUCUUUACAAAAUAUAGAUCAUGGUAAUAGCAUAUGUUAUCCUCAUCUUUAUCAAAUUCACAUUUAUAAUAUAAUUCUUCGAAGCUACAUGUAUAUUCUUCUAAAUAACAUAUAUUACAUAUUUCAAGCCUUGUUAGCUUCAUUAAAUUUUCUAUCUGUUUUCUUUUUAUUUCUUGUUGAAAAUCAGUUUCCCAAUCUUCUCCCAAGAAUUUUUUUCUUAUUUCAUUUUCGAAUCUAUUUAAAACCUGAUCAACACUUUCGUUUCGAUUAUUAUUUUCUCCAUACAAUAUUCUAUUUUUAUGAUUAUCAUUUAAUCCCAUAAACCAAUGAGAAACAAUUCCUAUAAACGAAAUUUUAAGGAAUUCUAUACUAUUAUCCCUAUCAAUUUUGUGAAAUGCAAAAGCCAUUUUCAUAGAUUUAACCCAAGCGGUAAUCGUUUUAUCUCUAUCUUUGAUACAGUCUAAACCUAACCAUACACCAUCAUGGUUGAUUGGUCUUUCUCUAUAUUCUCCUGGAGUUUUAUGAUCUUUUUUAGGUUUGUUAAUCCUAAAAUAUUGACCUUGUGCUCUUUCCUGAGUUGGUAUUUCUUCCCUAACAUAGGAAGCUCUAUUACUAGUUUCUCCUUGUUAAAAACCGUUUAACUUUGGUUCAUUCAUUUUUAGAUGUUCUAUUCUAUUUUCAAUAUCCUGCAAAUUAAUGACUAUAUCAUCUUCUUCUUCGGAUUCAGAUUCUUUAUCAGAUAUCUCUUGAUUAGGUAAUUCUAUGUUUUCACUUAGCAUUCUUAGACUUAUUAAUUUUUUGUCUUUGUUUAUUUUGUUAAAUAUCGGUUUAGAUGUUGUUAUCAUUUCUUUAUCUUUAAGUUCAUUAUAGUAAAUUAUGGUAUCUUGUAAAAUUUUAUUUUGUUUAUUGAUCUUCUGUACUUCAAUCCUUUUGUAAUUUUCCAUUUAUGCUUAUAGCGAAUUUAUUACCAAUUUUUUCAUCGAUUUUUUCAAUUUUUUGUAGUUGAUUUCAAUCUUGUUGAAUUUAUUUUCAAUUGAACUUUUGUUCACAAUAUUAAAGAUUUCUUGUUUUAAUCUAUCUUGAUCUUCAAUAUUAAAGUCUUUUAUUAAUAGCUUAACAAAAUCAAAUUCUUCACUCAUUCGCUAUCCUAUCAUUUUGACUUGUCUUAUAUUUUCGGCAUCAAAGCUUUUAAUCUCAAGUAUCUUAUUUACACUUUCUAUAUCAUCUAUGGUUAAAUUAGGGUUUCCUAAUUUAUUUAAUAAAUAUAAUGAGAUCCAAUUUAAUUGAUUAUUUCCCCACAUAUCAGAAUCAUUUACUAAAUCAAAUGGUUGAAAUCUUCCAUAAGUAAAUCCUCUAUGCCUAUAGCUAGAAGGUGGUAAUAUGUUGGUUUCAAUAUUUCUAUAUACUUCUCUCCUGAUCCUAAAGAGAAGAAUAGGAUCAAUAUUUAAAUUUCUAAUUUUUAUUAUGAUGAGUUCUCCAAUUUUAAAUUCAUGAACUCUAACUAAAUAAAAUUGUAUUAAUUGUUUAUCAUCCAAUAUAUUAACUUCUGAAUAAUAAUAUUGUUUAUGUUUUGUUAUAUUAUCUUUAACUCCACACUUGUUUAAAAUUCAACACACAGAUGUGCCUCUUUCUUACUAUACUGGAAUCCUCGGUAAACUUUUUGUUUGCGCAAUUUAUGUGAGCAAAUUGUGUCUUCUUUUUCAUAUGUAAAUGUUUUUGAUAUCUUGAUGUGAAGGUAGAAAAUUGCAUGUUUUGAGUUUUUGCAUAUUUGAUGGAAACACAGAACUGUACCUGAAUCUUUCAGAACCCCCUUUUCUUUGAAGUUUGAACACUUUUCUUGAAUGUAUCAACUUUAUUUAUGGGAUAUGUUGCCAAAUUGGCAAAUCUAUUCGUUAUAAAACUUUCCUUUGACAGUUUAAUCUAAGCAGAUGUUAAUUAUGCAAAUAGAGUGUGCCUAAGAUUAGUUUCAUAGAUUUGUCUCCUUCUGUACAGUAAAAACUUUGAGCAUUUUCGCCAUAUUCUGAUCAAUACACUCCAACUAGUUAGUUCUUGAGGCGUUUUAUGGUUUCGUGGAGUGAGGCAAGAUGUAUACGUUUGCAAAUUGGCAAUGUCUUUUGCUUGAUGGGUUGAGAGUUGUGAGUGUCAACAGGAAACAAGACCUCUGUUUUAUGAACUCCAAAAAGUUAUUCUGUUAAAAAGAUCGAGACAGAGGCCAUACUAUAUUUAUUAUUGCUAUAAAAGUGUGAAAAAAUAUUCUUUGUUUAAUAUUCUAAACGAUUGAGCCAUUUAGUUAUGAUACUCUGCUGUAUUGGGGCUAAUAAUCUAAGUCGGUUCAAAGUGGUAAAUUUAUAAAUUGAUAGGUAUGCCUGGUAUGACCGCUUACGUUGGAUUUUAUGAGGUCUGCUCUCCUAAGCAAGGAGAGUGUGUCUUCAUAUCCGCAGCAUCUGGUGCAGUUGGACAGCUUGUGGGGCAGUUUGCAAAGUUAUUGGAUUGCUAUGUCGUCGGAAGUGCUGGAAGCAAAGACAAGGUAUGUAAUCUGUGUGAAGUACUUGAUUGUUUCCAUGUUACUUUCAAACAUUUAAAUUAAAAAGGAAAUUUUCAUAAUCUUGCCUUUUCUAUGAUUUUCAAAACCAAGGUUGAUCUACUGAAGAACAAGUUUGGGUUCGACGAGGCAUUUAACUAUAAAGAAGAAGCUGAUUUGAAUGCAGCAUUGAAAAGGUUAGCAUCAAUAAAUGCCUUAGCUUGAUGCAGCUUGAUGAAGUAUGAUACACAUUUCUGACCAAUAUACUGCGUUCCCUGAUCUCUUACUUGAAAUAUCUUGGUUUGAGAAUCUCAUGCCAAUGCCUUUAACAUUUUGGCAGGUACUUUCCUGAAGGAAUUGAUAUAUAUUUUGAAAACGUUGGUGGAAAAUUGCUUGACGCAGUGCUACCCAACAUGAAAAUCCGUGGUCGAAUUGAUGCAUGCGGUAUGAUCUCACAGUACAAUCUUGACAAGCCUGAAGGUGUGCACAACUUGAUGUAUCUUGUUUCGAAACGGCUUCGAAUGGAAGGAUUCAUUGUUCUCGAUCACUAUCACCUCUAUCCAAAGUUUCUGGAAAUGAUCAUUCCUCACAUCAAAGAAGGGAAGCUUGUAUACGUCGAAGACAUGGCUGAAGGUCUUGAGAGUGCUCCGGCAGCUCUCAUCGGUCUAUUCUCUGGCCAGAAUAUUGGGAAACAAGUGGUUGCUGUUGCUCCUUAAUGAAGAACAAGUUAGUGUUGUCUGUCCUUUUACCCUUUGACACAAAACUUCAAUGUUAAAGAGAGAAUGCUGUUCAUAUAUACUGCUUUAUAAAAUAAUCAAGUGAGUGCAAGUUUCAUGAUAUUUGCUGAAUAAAAUAUUGGAAAUUAAGCAGCUAGCCUAGCUCCUUCUUGUAGUUGCAGUUUGAAUGAUGCUGCUGCACAACUGCUGCCGAAAAAAUCCUUAAUAGAUGAUUAGCAAGGUUUCAAAAAUAAAAAUAAAUGUUUGUGCAAUGUGUCGAAUAUGACAGCCACAAAGAAAGAGCACACAAAUUGAUUGGUUUUAUGUCUUCUCUAGGAGAAAGCUACAAUACAAGAAAUUGUACUGAUGGAGCCAUGGACCAAAUUUCUUAUUUAAACUUUUAAUUUUUUUAUUAAAUUACUUAUGUUAUUAUGGUUUAUAAUUUUAGAAAUUCUUUAGAAAUUAAUACAGAACUAGUAGCAAGUUGAGAAAUCUAUUGAAUGGUCAAGAUAUGAUCAUGUUUAUUGAAUUAAAUUGACAAUCAUCAUUUUGAUAAAUUAUUGUCAGGAUGUUUGAUUCAUGACACGUGUAAGCAACUAAAUGUGCUAAAAAAAAGUUAAUGAGUUGGGCGUGUUUGAGUUAAUGAGUUGGGCUUGUUUGAUAUUCAUUUGUUGUAAUUCUUUUAAUAAUUAUUGGGGAAAAAAAGUUAUAAUAAAAAAAAUUAUAAUUAUAAAAUAAAAAUUAAUAAUAUAUAAUAAAUAAGAUUUUAAAUAAUAAUUUUAAUAAAAUAAUAAAUAUAUUAUAAAUUUUUUAUGAUUAAUUUUUAAAUUACAACAAUAAAUAUUUAACAAACACCUUAAUACCACAACUAACACCACAACUUUUGAAUUAUGAUAGUACAAUCUAAAUGCCACAGGCCUUAAAAAAUAAAAUUACAGUCAAGUUUUAAAACUGUUAAUGAUAUUCACAAAGACUCUGGAACAAUAUUACAGAAGGUGCUCGUCGUGUAAGCAACACAUGGGACCCAACCAAUAAAUGUUUCUGAUCCUCAACUUUCCUCAUCACUGUCCCUGGAAACAAUUCUGAUUUUCUUGUCUGAUUAAACAACUGAGAAACAAUGGCGGCCGACCAAGAAGCUGGGAGCAAUAAGCGGGUGAUUCUAAGCAACUAUGUGACAGGUUUUCCAAAAGAAUCAGACAUGAAGAUAACAAGUUGAUCAAUAAAGCUGAAGGUAGCAGAGGGUGUUUGGGAGAAAUACGUCGACGAGACCAGGCAUGGUGAGCAGAUAUCUGAUGGCAGAGUUCUGCGAACCGGUGUGUUCCGUAAAAGCCUGGUGCGCGGGGGAACAGGAGCAGAAGUAUCCUGCUCGUCCACGAGCACGUCAUCCGCGAGGCCAAUUUCCUGUAAGAGGCAUAAGGUCAUUCCGGCUAGAGGUCGAGAGGCGAGGAGACCCGGUCGACGGCAGUUGGCAAGACAUGCUCCCCAGCCCGAGAAUCUAGGCACGACAGCCACGCUUUCCCCAGAACCGUGGCGUAACACGCAAGAUCUCACAGAACCACGACAGCCACGCUUUCCCCAGAACCGUGGCGUAACACGCAAGAUCUCACAGAACCACGACAGCCACGCUUUCCCCAGAACCGUGGCGUAACACGCAAGAUCCCACGUUUGCCCAUAACGCAGCAGUCAGAGUCCCAUACCGUCUCGAAAAAAGCGGAAAACUGGGAUUCAGGGGAAGCCUAUAAAAAGGUAGCCAACGAAGGUAAAAGGGUUAGCAUUUUUGAGAUUAGAAAAGAAAUGAAAAAAGAAGAGAAAACCACGAAAAAGCCAUAAGAUAUGUGGCAAGCGUUCCCCGAACCUUCAUAUCUGACUUGAGCGUCGGAGGGUUUGCGCCGGGAAAACAACCGGCGUACUCUGACUUGUCUGUGUGCGCAGGAACCUCUGGAGAAGAAGCCUCACGUGGAGACCUCCUGGUCGUGAAGAAGUUGAUCGGGCAGAGAUCCUGGUCGUAGAACGAGGAGAACCGGAAUCCCGCAUCAACAUUUUGGCGCCGUCUGUGGGGACCGGAGCAAAAAGCUUCUGUUGAUAGCAAGAAGAGGGGUGAAGCAAGUGAAAAACAAUGGAGACAGGAGGAAGUAGUGCACAAGGGGGUGAUAGGAAGCUUAACGAUUCCGUGACGCUGAGGGAGAUAGUCAGUGAAGCACGGGAAAAAGUCAUGUUCGACCGGAUGGAACGGAUGGAAAAGCAGAUGGAGACCUUGACAACCAUCCUGCAUGAGCUGCGGAGCGAGCGAAGUAUAAUCCAAGAGGGAAGGGUGAGAGGCGGUGGAGUGGCACCAGGUCCCGAUAGUGCGGGGAGAAGUCAAACCACCGGGAGAUUUGGUGGUGAGAGAGGUAACGUACCUCUGCGGGGAGAAUUUCAUAGAGAAAGAGAGCAGUCCCCGGCAAGACAGACUGGCGACGAGGACGACGGGGUGGUGAAUGCAGAGGAAACAGAGUUGAGGCAACACUUGCAUGAUGUAGAGCAAGAGCGGGAUCAAGUUGCAGCACGUGACCCUGGUUGUGCAGUGCAGCUGGAGGAGGAAGUGCGCAGACUAGCACAGAUAAUCGACGACAUGCAAGGAAGGAACAGAGCCCCUGGUUGGAGGAUAAUGCUGGACGGAGAAUCACCGCUCGCAGCAGAGAUCAUGAGGGCAGUUAUUCCGAGAGAUUUCCGCCUCCCAGACCUCAGAUACUCGGGAAGAACUGAUCCGUUGGUGCACAUAGAGCGCUUCAACGACAUAACUGGGGUACAAGGAUUAUCUCAAUCCCAAAGGUGCAGAGUGUUCCCACUAUCCCUUGAGGGACGUGCACGAGAAUGGUACAGGAAACUUCCUCGGGGCAGCAUUAAAACCUUCGAGCAGAUGUGCCAGGAAUUCGCGGAGCAGUUUAGUGGGGCAAUGGCGCCGGAAGAUGACAUGAUGGAGCUGAAAAGCAUGAAACAGGGGGAGCAAGAAACCCUUCGGGAAUUCAUCAAGAGGUUUCAUCGGGCUGUCCUUGACUUGGGAGCCUUCAACCACCCUCAGGCGUUAAGGGGAUUGAAAGAAGGGGUGAAGAUAGGAAGGCUGUGGUACAAUUUGAGAAGCCCAGCUAUUCAAACGUAUGCAGCCGCAUACGAACAGGCUAAGAGAGACAUCGAGAUUGAAGAGGAGAAGGCUGCACGGAUUAAGACAGACCAGUUAGAAGGGUUGGGGAGGAAAGAGAAGAAAGCAUUACCGGGGAAUGGGCCGAUCAGGAGGAGGGACCACCAGGCCUCCGGUAGUGGAGCAGGAGGUCGGGUAGCCGCUUACCAGCCUCAUCAAAGGCCACCACAGUAUCAGCGCAGCAGGGCGCAACCUCCUCGUUCCCCAGCUAGGGAGCCUUGGAGAAGGCAUGAGUCGGCAUCUGGUGGUCUCCAACAACACCCCCACGGUAUCAGAGCGAGCAGACCAGAAGUACUUCCACCGCCCCCAACUCAGAGCGGGGCAAACAGAGAAAGAGCAGUGCACCUGAUCGACCAGAACCCGGACUAUGGGCGGUACACUUCCUUGAAGAUGUCCCUGGAUGAGGUGUACGAGGCCAUAAAGGAUCGAGGGCUGCUGCACCUCCCUACACCAAUAACAAAGCUACCCAACAGGAGGGAUAGAGGACGUUAUUGUAAGUUCCAUGGCACCCAUGGCCAUACCACAGCAGAGUGUAGAGAUCUCAAGACCCAAGUCGAAGAUUUGGUGAGAAAUCGGUACCUGGACGAGUUUAUGGAUGGGACUUUCCCGAUGGGGGCCACAACAGGUGAAGGGGAGCAGAGUGGCGGAAACGUUAGGCGCGAGCAGCCCGCAGUAAGGGUGAUAGCUGGGGGCCCGACAUUGGCCGGAGAUUCCAACAGAUCGAGAAAAAAUUAUGCUAGGUACGCCAUGACCAGUAAAGAGGUACUCCUCAACACCCCAGCAGCCAAACGAGCAAGGGUCAGGCAAGUGCCAAUCAUGUGGACGGAUGAGGAUGAGGAAGGGAUUCUAUACCCCCACGAGGAUGCUUUAGUCAUCAAGGCUACUGUCGCUAGCAAGAAGUUUGACCGGAUACUGAUUGAUACAGGGAGCUCAGUUGAUGUGUUAUUUAAGUCAACCCUGGAAGAGAUGGGAAUAGCCGACCGGAAGUUGGAAUACACCAAUACCUCCUUGAAGGGGUUCGGAGGAGGGAAGCUGGUCCCUCUGGGCGUGGUCGAGCUGCCUAUCACAAUUGGGAGCUCUCCGACAGAAAGAACAAUGAUACUGGACUUUGUCGUAGUGGAUGAGGAAGGUCCUUACCAGAUGAUCCUAGGUCGGCCAUUUUUAAGGAUGAGCAAAGCGGUGUUGUCCAACCAUUAUCUGGCUCUGAAGUACCGGGUGAACGGGGUAGUAGGAGUGGUACGAGGAGACCAGAGGAUCGCAAGAAGCUGCUACUCCUCGGCAGCAAGGGAAGCAAUGCAGAUAACAUCCCUCGAUACCCGAGUGGAAAACAAGAAGGGCAGACAAGAACCUGUAGAGGAUCUGGAAACAGUAAGCCUGGGACCAGAGAACCCGGGAAAGACGAUCAGAAUCGGGUCGAGACUUAAGGGAGAGCAAAAGCAGGAGUUGGUGAAAUGCUUACAGGCUCAUGCUGAUGUGUUUGCUUGGACACAUGAAGACAUGCCAGGAAUUGACCCUGAGGUAGCAUGUCAUAAGCUGGCAAUAAAGAAAAGUGCUCGGGCAGUAAGGCAGAAGAGGAGGUGCUUCAACCAGGAGAGGUAUGAGGCUAUAAAUGGCGAGGUGGAGAAGCUCUUGAGAGCAGGGUUCAUUCGGGAAGUCAGUUACCCUGAGUGGAUAUCGAAUGUGGUGUUGGUAAAGAAGGCAAACGGCAAGUGGAGGAUGUGUGUGGAUUUCACAGACCUCAAUAAGGCGUGCCCAAAAGACAGCUUCCCUUUACCAAAGAUCGAUCAGCUAGUAGAUUCAACGGCUGGACAUGGUCUGCUUAGCUUCAUGGACGCGUUCUCGGGAUACAACCAGAUCCCCAUGUACGAGCAGGAUGAGGAGAGCACGGCUUUCAUCACUAACCAAGGUUUGUUCUGUUACAGGGUAAUGCCAUUCGGUCUCAAAAAUGCCGGGGCCACCUAUCAAAGGCUGGUGAACAAAGUCUUUAAGCCGUUGAUUGGGAAAACCAUGGAGGUGUACGUGGAUGACAUGAUCACCAAGUCCAAAAUCCCGGAGGAACAUGUCAGACACCUCGAGGAGACAUUCGAGCUUUUGAGGAAGUAUAAGAUGAAGCUCAACCCGGAGAAGUGUGCUUUUGGGGUCGAGUCAGGGAAAUUCCUUGGAUUCAUGGUGAGCCAUAGGGGGAUUGAAGCACAUCCCGAGAAAAUCCAGGCGAUUGUGCAAAUGACGUCUCCCCAUAACCUGAAGGAGAUGCAAAGCCUCACGGGGAGGUUGGCGGCGUUGAGCAGAUUCAUAUCCAAGGCUACAGAUAAGUGUAAGCCAUUCUUUCAAGUGAUGAGGAGGGGAAAGAAAACAGAAUGGACCUCAGAAUGCGAGGAAGCCUUCCGGAACUUGAAGCAAUACUUGCAGCAAGCUCCGCUGCUGUCCACACCGAGGGAUGGGGACAAGUUAUAUCUGUAUUUGGCGGUAUCGGAUCGGGCCGUCAGUUCUGUUCUGGUGAGAGAGGAAGAAGGAGUUCAGUAUCCGAUAUAUUACACCAGCAAGGCCCUGCUCGACGCUGAGACCAGAUACCCACCGUUGGAGAAAUGGGCACUUGCCCUUGUGGUUGCUGCUCGGAAGUUGAGGCCAUAUUUUCAAGCAUUCCCGGUCUUGGUAAUAACAAACCAGCCAUUGCGUCAAACUCUGCACAAGCCAGAUGCCUCUGGUCGGCUCGUCAAGUGGGCUGUAGAGCUGAGCGAGUUCGACAUAGACUAUAAACCCCGCGCAGCGAUAAAAGCCCAGGCAAUGGCCGAUUUCGUAGCUGAAUUCACAGAGCCCGAAGUAUGCUUAGAUCAACAAGAUGCAGAUAUAGGCAAUGACGAAACUCAAGUAUGGCAGAUGUCUGUGGAUGGGUCAUCAGGGGAGCGGGGUUCAGGAGCAGGGAUUGUCUUGGAAGGCCCAGAGGGGGAGGAGAUCUCUUAUACUGUAAAAUUGGAAUUUGCAGCCACGAAUAACCAGGCAGAGUAUGAAGCCUUGAUAGCAGGUCUGGAAUUGGCUAAGGCCGUGAAAGCAGACAGAGUUAAGAUCAGAACUGAUUCCCAGCUGGUUGCGAAUCAUGUCAGUGAAAGAUUCCAACCAAGAGAGGAGAAGAUGGGGCAGUACCUGAAGAUAGUCAGGCAGAUGAUGGGGAAGUUCGAAGCAGUGGAGGUGAUACAAAUCCCCAGGGAGCAGAAUAGUCGAGCAGACAUUUUGGCUAGGAUGGCAGCAGUAGCCGACCCAAAAAUGCCAAAGUCGGUCCCUCUGGAGGUGAAGUCCAGCCCAAGUAUCGAUCAGAAUUUGGGGGUGUUGCAGAUAGAACAAAAAUGCUCGUGGAGGGACCCGAUAAUUUCAUACCUUAGAGACGGGGUAUUACCACCAGAUAAGAUGCGAGCUCGCAAGCUUAGAGCCCAGGCCUCGAGAUACACGAUGAUUGAUGGGGUACUGUAUCGGCGAGGAUAUACACUACCGUUCCUUCAGUGUUUGGAUGAGGACGACGCGGAUUACGUACUGAGAGAAGUACACGAAGGAAUUUGCGGAAAUCAUUCUGGCGGGAGGUCCCUGGCCCAUAAGGUUCUAAGGCAGGGAUAUUUCUGGCCGACAAUGCACCAGGAUGCGCAAGAGAAGACCAGGAGUUGUGUAAGCUGCCAGAGUUUUGUAAAUUUCUCUAACCAACCACCAGAGAAGCUCACCUCCAUGACCUCCCCCUGGCCAUUUGCUCAAUGGGGAAUUGAUCUGAUCGGCCCAUUGCCAAAGGCACGGGGAGCAGCAACAUAUGCAAUAGUUGCUAUAGAUUACUUCACGAAGUGGAUAGAGGUAAAAGCCCUUAGCAGGAUCACAGAGAAGAAAACAACAGACUUCGUAUGGAGAAACCUGGUCUGUCGAUACGGGAUCCCUUAUGCCUUGGUAACGGAUAAUGGCAGGCAGUUCGAUAAUCACAGCUUCAGGGAUUUCUGCCAGAACCUCGGGAUAGAGCUGAAGUAUUGCUCGCCUGCUCACCCUCAAUCGAAUGGACAAGUAGAAGCAGCCAACAAGACCAUCAAGAGGCUUUUGAAAACCAGGCUUGGAGCAAAAAAGGGUGCGUGGGUUGACGAGCUGGCAGGUGUGCUAUGGGCAUCCAGAACAACAAAACCGCAACUGGGGAGACACCGUUCGCUUUGGCUUUCGGACAUGAAGCGGUCGUGCCGGCUGAGAUAGGAACGACCACACACCGGACAAAUCAUUUCAAUGAGCAGGAGAACGACGAGCAGAUAUGUUUGAAUCUUGAUCUGCUAACGGAAAGGAGGGAGCAAGCAGCCGAGCGAUCAGUCAUUUACCAAUAGAGGGUUGCUCGGUAUUAUAACCAGAAGGUGAACAUACGGCAAUUCAGGGUCGGAGACUGGGUACUGAGAAGAGUGAAUCAGAGCACCAAAGAUUCGACUCAAGGAGUGCUGGGACCGAAUUGGGAAGGGCCAUAUAGAGUCAAGCAGAUAGCGGGACCCGGAGCUUACAGGCUGGUUCGCACGGACGGCCACGAGGUGAAACGCCCAUGGAACGCAGCACACCUCCGAAAAUACUUCCAGUAAGACUUGUUCACAUGUGAAAACUAUUUUUGCUCAUGUUCAUUACCGUUUAUCUUUCACGCUUAUUGUCCAAACAAUUUCAUGUAAGUCGAAUCCUGCCAUUAAUGGAACGUCGAGGAAUUUCUUUCACUUGAAACCGAGAAAAUUUCCCAAGGCAUGCAAAGGCUCACCAAGUCUCAAAGCCUGUCUUAUGGUGAGACAGAAGCCAAGCAUGCCAGGAUCUGCUCGGCCACGAGAAGGCAAGCAGAAUCCCAAUCCUCGAAGAAUCCAAGGCACGCAAAGGCUCACUAAGUCUCAAAGCCUGUCUUAUGGCGAGACAGAAGCCAAGCAUGCCAGGAUCUGCUCGGCCACGAGAAGGCAAGCAGAAUCCCAAUCCUCGAAGAAUCCAAGGCAUGCAAAGGCUCACCAAGUCUCAAAGCCUGUCUUAUGGCGAGACAGAAGCCAAGCAUGCCAGGAUCUGCUCGGCCACGAGAAGGCAAGCAGAAUCCCAAUCCUCGAAGAAUCCAAGGCACGCAAAGGCUCACCAAGUCUCAAAGCCUGUCUUAUGGCGAGACAGAAGCCAAGCAUGCCAGGAUCUGCUCGGCCACGAGAAGGCAAGCAGAAUCCCAAUCCUCGAAGAAUCCAAGGCAUGCAAAGGCUCACCAAGUCUCAAAGCCUGUCUUAUGGCGAGGCAGAAGCCAAGCAUGCCAGGAUCUGCUCGGCCACGAGAAGGCAAGCAGAAUCCCAAUCCUCGAAGAAUCCAAGGCAUGCAAAGGCUCGACAAAGUCUCAAAGCCUGUUUUAUGGCGAGACAGAAGCCAAGCAUGCCAGGAUCUGCUCGACCACUAGAAGGCGAGCAGACUCCAAAGCAUUCGAAGAAAUGCCCAAGGCAUGCAAAGGCUCGACAAAGUCUCAAAGCCUGUUUUAUGGCAAGGCAGAAGCCAAGCAUACCAGGAUCUGCUCGACCACGAGAAGGCGAGCAGACUCCAAAGCAUUCGAAGAAAUGCCCAAGGCAUGCAAAGGCUCGACAAAGUUUCAAAGCCUGUUUUAUGGCGAGACAGAAGCCAAGCAUGCCAGGAUCUGCUCGACCACGAGAAGGCGAGCAGACUCCAAAGCAUUCGAAGAAAUGCCCAAGGCAUGCAAAGGCUCGACAAAGUCUCAAAGCCUGUUUUAUGGCGAGACAGAAGCCAAGCAUGCCAGGAUCUGCUCGACCACUAGAAGGCGAGCAGACUCCAAAGCAUUCGAAGAAAUGCCCAAGGCAUGCAAAGGCUCGACAAAGUCUCAAAGCCUAUUUUAUGGCGAGGCAGAAGCCAAGCAUGCCAGGAUCUGCUCGACCACUAGAAGGCGAGCAGACUCCAAAGCAUUCGAAGAAAUGCCCAAGGCAUGCAAAGGCUCGACAAAGUCUCAAAGCCUGUUUUAUGGCGAGACAGAAGCCAAGCAUGCCAGGAUCUGCUCGACCACUAGAAGGCGAGCAGACUCCAAAGCAUUCGAAGAAAUGCCCAAGGCAUGCAAAGGCUCGACAAAGUCUCAAAGCCUGUUUUAUGGCGAGGCAGAAGCCAAGCAUGCCAGGAUCUGCUCGACCACUAGAAGGCGAGCAGACUCCAAAGCAUUCGAAGAAAUGCCUAAGGCAUGCAAAGACUCACCAAGUCUCAAAGCCUGUUUUAUGGCGAGACAGAAGCCAAGCGUGCUAGGAUCUGCUCGACCGCGCGAAGGUGAGUCGAAUCCCAGGCAUUGAAGAAUCUCCAAAGGCAUGUGGCAAAACCAUGAGCCAAGCCGGAACCUGCUCGUCUAGACAGAGACAAGCAGAUUCUCAACCGAAAAUUAAUUCAUAAUUACAACACAAGAAAGUAAUCAAAAACCAUUUUUAUUAAUUUGUUAAUAAUUAACAGAGGGGAUAAUCUUUAUGAACAUUGUUCAUUACAAUACAAGAAAUAUAUCAGGAAGAUGGUGGACCAGUAAGCCCGGCAGCAUCGGUUGGCUGGACCUCCUCAGGUGCAGGAGGGGUAUCACCAGUUGCGUCCGGGGGGGUGCUCGCCUCGCCAACAUCAGCAGGGACUGCAUGAGCAGGAGAGUCUUCCUCCUCAAUCACGAUCGGCUCUACCCCAUCGGCAUCUUCCUUGGCCGCCUCCUCGUCCAUAUGUUGAGCAACACCAGCUGCAAGGUCAUCCAUCUUCAGAUCAGGGUGUUGCUUCCCGAGGACGGCCAUGAUGCAACGAUAGGAAUGCCGAAGUCCCUGGUCGUACUGGUUGUCAGCCUCCCUCUCUAAGUUCUCGACCUGAGCUCGGUGGGAGUCGCGGAGAGAUUCGAGCUGAGCCUCAUACAUAGCCUUCUGCCUUUGCAGAUCCUCCUUGACCGUGGUAAGCUCCUCCUCGAGGGAAAUGGCUUUUGCUUGAGCAAGUGAUUCUUGCUCUAUUAGCUUCAGAUUCUCGAGAUUCAGGUCCUUCUUGCUCACGAGUUUAGUUAACUCAUUGAGGUAGGGGACCAGGUGUUCUGCUCGGCUGUCAGGUAAGCGAGAUCGAGGCCCGACAGGAGGAAAAGAGGAAGCAGGAUCUGUGGCUGCUCCACUAGCUUCCCCGACUUUUACAGGAGCAGGAGGUAAAAUCUUCAAGGGUGGGACCUGCUGCAUGAUGUUGGCCCGCUUUGCAGCAGGGGCAUCCUUACUCUGGUCCCUCUUCGUGGUUGGAGGUCGGGAACGUUUUCGGGUCAGAGCCCCAAUCACAGCGUCCUCCAUCCUAUGGCCAGGAAGUAUCAAGCGAGACUCGAGCAAGUUGUAUGUAGUUAGCAGUUCUCGGCUCGAGCAGGAAUUGGCUAGUACAGCCUCGACCCGUUUGAGCUGGUCAGGUUCAAGCGGGAAGUGGACACCCCAAGAAACUACAACACAAACAGACACUUGGUUAGAGACAAGCCAAUAAAGCAAGAACAAUUAUGGAUGCAAGACAUCUAGAGUGAGCAGGCAACCUGGGACCGUGAAACGGGGUGGGACGUGACAAUCCUUCCCGCCUAUUUGUGCAACUUGACCCCAAGGACCCCCAGCAAAAAAGAAUUUCCUCUUCCAAGCCCCACCACCACCGGUUGGAAGAUCGGUUAUGGGUUUCCGGCUCUUGGUGCUAGAUUGGAAGUAGUACCAGCCGGCAUCUUUGGGGCUGCUCUUUAGCUGGUACAAGUGCUUCACCUCAUCAACCGUGGGCUCGCUUUGGCAACAUUUGUCCCACAAUAUGAACAGACCAGAGAGCACUCUCCACCCAUUGGGAUUCAGCUGACCAGGAGCUAGAUUUAGCCCGUUAAGUAUCUGGGCAAAGUAGGGUUGCAAGGGACACCUCAGCCCGUACUUAAAGCUCUCUAGAAACAGGGUAACGUAUCCCCUAGGAGGCCGGCUGGGAGCAUCCUUCUUUCCUGGGACCUUGAGAGGUAUCUCACCAGGAAUGCUAUACCUAAGCCGGAGGUCAUUGAGCUCGUCAAACAAGGUCGUGCACGUCAUGUAAUCAAUGGCAUAAUCGCGCGACAAGGCUCUGCCUCCUACUGUACCCCGUUCCUCUGGUCGUGAUGUUCCAGAUGGAGACACCUCACCAGAGUCACCUUCCCCAUUCUCACUUAAGGUGUCCUCAGAGCCAGAAGGUCUCUCUUCACCAUUGCUUCCACUCGUGGAGGUUGUUUGGGGGGACAUCCUCCUAGCACUAGUCCCGACACUAAACCUAAUGGGUUCUAAGGGGAUCCCGGGGUCAAAAGCAGAAUCAGUGAGCAGACCAGGCAGGAAACUUAGUUCGUCGUCAUCAAUCUCAACGACUUUCUCCUUACCUUUCGACAUUCCCUAAGCCCUAACCACAACACCACCAACUACUACCCAAACAGAAGAGAAGAGAAAUUAUCUACAACUAUCCGAGACCAAGGAGAUAGAAGAAAUACCUGAAGUAAUGGUUCAGUCGGUGAAAGUCAGAGAUGGAGGCCUUUUAUGCCGGAACUUCUUUGCCGGAGAAACAGAGACGGAGACGGAGUGAAUGAUGAAUAUGCCGUUCGAGAGGAUUUGGUUUUCCUAAUGAGGACGGACUCUUGGGUUGCCAGCAUUUAACGGCGCCGAAUCCCGAGGGUCUCAUAACCGUCGGUUUGAAAUUCAAAUGGAGGGGGGGAUUUCUGCCACGUCACCUCGUCCGCAAUUAAAUGCGACAUGACUCUUGGCAGCCUUUUCCAAUCCCACGCGGGCGAGUACUAACGAGUUUCUACUGCUGGUCCACUACAUUACCCAACACCAGAAACUGGGGGACCGGUGUUUGGGAGAAAUACGUCGACGAGACCAGGCAUGGUGAGCAGAUAUCUGAUGGCAGAGUUCUGCGAACCGGUGUGUUCCGUAAAAGCCUGGUGCGCGGGGGAACAGGAGCAGAAGUAUCCUGCUCGUCCACGAGCACGUCAUCCGCGAGGCCAAUUUCCUGUAAGAGGCAUAAGGUCAUUCCGGCUAGAGGUCGAGAGGCGAGGAGACCCGGUCGACGGCAGUUGGCAAGACAUGCUCCCCAGCCCGAGAAUCUAGGCACGACAGCCACGCUUUCCCCAGAACCGUGGCGUAACACGCAAGAUCUCACAGAACCACGACAGCCACGCUUUCCCCAGAACCGUGGCGUAACACGCAAGAUCUCACAGAACCACGACAGCCACGCUUUCCCCAGAACCGUGGCGUAACACGCAAGAUUCCACAUUUGCCCAUAACGCAGCAGUCAGAGUCCCAUACCGUCUCGAAAAAAGUGGAAAACUGGGAUUCAGGGGAAGCCUAUAAAAAGGUAGCCAACGAAGGUAAAAGGGUUAGCAUUUUUGAGAUUAGAAAAGAAAUGAAAAAAGAAGAGAAAACCACGAAAAAGCCAUAAGAUCUGUGGCAAGCGUUCCCCGAACCUUCAUAUCUGACUUGAGCGUCGGAGGGUUUGCGCCGGGAAAACAACCGGCGUACUCUGACUUGUCUGUGUGCGCAGGAACCUCUGGAGAAGAAGCCUCACUUGGAGACCUCCUGGUCGUGAAGAAGUUGAUCGGGCAGAGAUCCUGGUCGUAGAACGAGGAGAACCGGAAUCCCGCAUCAACAGAGGGUUCAAAAGACACGGUGCUUUUGAAGAAUCUUUAUCUUUAUUGUGAUCCUUACAUGCGAGAGCGUAUGAGCAAGCUUGAUAGACCUUCUUUUGUUGAUUCAUUCCAUUCUGGUGAGGUUAGUUCAUCACGACCUCAACUUAGAUUUUGGGAUGGUUUACGAUUCACUCUCAGUUUAUGCAGAAAAACAAUCUAGUUUUAAUUUGGCAGGGUUUUUCCUUCUCUCUCCUUUUCUUCCUUUUCUUCAUUGGUUUCUUCCUCUUUUAUAGCCGCUAUCCCACGUUUUCGUUCAUCCUUCAUCCCCAUUUUUCGGGUAGUGGCAGCCCCUCAUGGGACUCCAACUGCUACAUUAUGGGUAAAUGUGGGACACCGUAUCUCCCUCAAUGGUUUUAGAAAAAGCGCAACUGUCGUGAUUUCGUGAGAUUGUGUUCCCGUUCUUUGGGGAAUGGAUAUCUGCUCGGUAUAUGUCUCUGGUCGGCCUAUAUUUAUAGAAGGCUCAUUAUCAGUAUUCUACUUAUACCAUUCAGCUGAGGUGAUCUACCUCGAAAUGAGAAUGAUAACAUGACUGACCUGAUGCUCUUAUUUACUUAACAGUAAAUUUUCUAUGACCCUACAGGUGACUAAUUAAUGAGAACUUGACAAUGACAAAAGAAAGUGUAUGAGCUUUGCAGGCUGGCAUGCCAAUAUUGACUGUGUGGCACCAUCCACCAUCUGCAAUUGAAUAUCAUUAUUGUUUAAUCAAUGUGGUGGAGUCCACUGGAACCACACCACAUGGUCAGUCUUAUCUCUAUUCCUCAAUUUUCAGUAUUCCAUACAUCAAACCAAUUUCAUGUUUGUUAGCAAUUAUAAUUUCAUUGUUGGUGACGAUUCUGAUUCCUUUUGUUGAGAAUCAAAUAAAACGGCAUUGAAUGAAGCUUUCAAAGACAGAAUCUGCACUUGUCAAAGGGGUAAUCUGCACUUGUCAAAGACAAGAUCCGCGCCGAACGGAUUGACACAUUUCCUUCCGUAUUCACAUAUGUAAUCUUUGAAAAAAUGUAGCCUCUGCAUCUAUAAAUAACUCUCAAUGUAUAAUGCUUUAUUUAAGAAAUGAAAACACGUUUCUUCAUGGUAUCAGAGCCAUGAAUACGCUCAAGUUUCUUCAAGUUCCGCUGCUCUGUUUGUAACAAAAAUAGAGGAAACCAAAUUCCUCCCACAACCAUUUUUCCCACCAUUUUCUUUCUUAAACCCAUUCCUACCAUUACAGAUAUCCAUGCCGAUCAAGAAACAAGCCACCCAUACGUAAAAAACUUGAGUUUACAAAUUUAUCAACAAUCCCAUCAAUUUUCUGAGAGUGUGUUCCUAAAAAACCAAGAACACCAUCAAAUUUCUCAGUUUUCAGUGAGGAAACUGUAAAAAUUUCGCAUUUAAACACAUUCCCACGCGCUCCCACGCGCCACCCGAAGCCACGGCCAGUCAACCACGCGCCUCUGUCAUCAUUCACGCGCUCUCACGCGCUCCAGAGGUUGAAGAAGACGCCAGCCGACAUGUCGUUCUUAUCUCAGAAGUUCAGCAGUCACAAAACGACGUGUCGUUUUUUGUUAUAUUAAAAUCGACAUGUCGUUUUGUAAAUUAGAGAUAAAACGACGUGAUGCUUAGUCUCCAGAAGUGCAGCAGGAUUAAAACGACAUGUCGUUUAUAUUCCACCAUAAUCGACAUGUCGGUUUGGCAAGCAGUGGCCAAACGACCUGGCGUUUUGUUACCUAAAAAGGUUAUUUUUUUUCUUCUUCCAAUCUAGAUGGAAAAAAAAAAAACAAACAAAAAAAAGAAAAAAAAGAAAAAAAAGAAAAAAAAGAGAAAAAAAAAAAAACAAAAAAAAAUGGAGAAAACUCCAACUGAAUCUAGUCCUGUUGUCAUUCAAUCUGUUCAAUCUGAUGGAGUAUUUAAUGCUGGAAUUAUCCUCACUGAGACAAACUACGAUGUUUGGUCUCAAAUAAUGGAGAUGCAUCUUGUAGAAAGAGAAAAACUCUCAUAUAUUCGUAGCAGCACAAAGCCAUUUGAGGAAUCUUCAAAGGAAUAUGAGAAAUGGUAUAGUGAGAACCAAAAAGUAAAAAGAUGGUUACUCAUAUCCAUGUCUCCGGAGAUCAUGAAGCGAUAUUUACGAAUUCCUACAGCCUACGAAAUCUGGGAUGCAUUAUCAAAAGCCUUCUAUGAUGGAAGCGAUGAAUUACAAGUUUUCACUCUAAACCAGAAGGCAUUCUCUACCAAGCAAAAUGGACAACCACUCUCUAAAUUCUAUGGAGAAUUGGUCGAAAUAUUUCGAGAACUUGAUCACCGAGAUAAAGUGGUCAUGAAGGAUCCAGAAGAUAUUGUAAUAUACAGAAGGUCUGUUGAAAGAUUGAGAGUGCACAUUUUUCUUGCUGGGCUAGAUGAAGAAUUUGACCAAGUUCGUGGAGAAAUUCUACGAAAAGACAUUAUCCCAGACUUAGAAGAAUGUUAUUCUUUGAUCCGAAGAGAAGAUAUACGGCAAAGCAAACUAAACAAGAAGGUCGACUCAGAAACGUUUGCAAUGAUAGCACGACAGCAGCCUCAAAGGAAGUUUGUUGACAAGUCAUCACUCCAUUGCACUCAUUGUAGAAAGAAGGGUCAUACGAAAGAACAAUGUUUUGAAAUCAUUGGAUAUCCUGACUGGUGGGAUACUCGAAAGAAGAACACCAAGCAUGGAUCAAAAACUGCAGUAGCUGAAUCCACAUCCACUACAGAUCUUAGAAAAGAAUCUUCAGUGCAAAUCGCAACCUCUGUCAGUCCAGGUAAGGCCCUUAAAACUCUUACACCUGUUAUUAAUAGUACAUGGAUAAUUGAUUCUGGGGCAACUGAUCAUAUGACUUUUGAUUCUCGACAAGUUUCUCAAUUGAAACCAUCUUCACAAAAAUAUAUUUCCACUGCAAAUGGAACCACAACCUCAGUUAUUGGGGAAUGAUCUUUACGACUCACAAAUGAAUUAAAUUUAGACGCUGUGUUAAUUGUUCCAUCUUUAGAUUAUAAUCUUUUAUCUGUGUCUCAAUUAACCACUUACUUAUCAUGUGUUGUAAUUUUUUGGCCUGAUCAUUGUGUGUUUAAGGACAUCCAAACGAAGCAAACGAUUGGUUAUGGUAUUAGACGAGGCAGCUUGUACUACUUGGAGAUGUCAUCAACAAACACUGGAAAGCUAAGCCCCGCACUAGUUGCAGAUAGUUCCAUAAAAAAAGGGAAAUCAGAAAUUUGGUUAUGGCAUAGACGUUUAGGGCAUGUGUCAUUUAGUUACUUAAAAAAAUUAUUUCCUAGUUUGUUUCUGAAAUUUGAUGUUUGUAACUUUAAAUGUGAUGUUUGUGAACUUUCAAAAAGCCAUCGAACUACUUUUCCAUUGUCCUUAAAUAAAAAUCCAGUUCCUUUUAUGGUAGUACAUUCUGAUGUAUGGGGGCCAUCUAAAGUUUCUACAAUUGGAGGUGCUCGUUGGUUUGUUACAUUUAUUGAUGAUUGUAGCAGAAUGACAUGGAUUUUUCUGAUGAAAUCGAAAGACGAAGUAAACUCUUUAUUUCAAAGAUUUCAUAAGAUGGUGACAACUCAAUUUCAGACACAAAUUCGAGUUCUACAUACUGAUAAUGGAGGUGAGUAUAUGAGCACAGCAAUUCAACAGUUUCUGAAAUCACAAGGAUCUGUCCAUCAAACCACUUGUGUGGGGACACCCCAACAAAAUGGCGUUGCUGAACGAAAGAACAGACAUUUACUAGAAGUUGUUCGAGCAUCACUAAUCCAAGCCCACAUGCCAUUAUCUUAUUGGGGAGAAGCAUUGACAUCCGCAGCAUACUUGAUCAAUCGAACACCUUCAAGCUCCCUUGGAUUCCAGACUCCUUUCCAAGUUCUGAAUGAUGCAAUUAUGUCACCAAAUGUGCCGAAUCUGCCCCCACAUGUGUUUGGCUGUGUUGCCUUCGUUCAUUUGCCGCAACAAGACAAAUUAUCUCCUCGAGCACUACGUUGUGUGUUUGUAGGGUAUGCCUUACAUCAAAAGGGAUACCGAUGCUAUCAUCCACCAUCAAGAAAAAUAUACAUCACCAUGGAUGUCGUUUUUCAUGAAGAUAUCAUGUACUACUUGUCAGAGUCUGAAUUUCAGGGGGAGUAUAAUGAAGAGGAAAUUCAUACUCUUACAUAUCUUCCACCUGAAGAAAGUCAAUCUUCCAUUGAGAUAGUAAACCUUCAAGAUACUGGAAAAGCAAAUGGUGAUGAUUCGCAAGCUGAGAUAUGUGAAAACACAUUUGGGGAGCACAAUACUCAGACACAACUGCAAUCGAGAAUGAGUCACAUGAAGAAAUACCUAACCAAUCGUCUGCAGAGGAUGUUCCUACCACAAGUCCAAUCAGAAGAAUUCUUCCCCAGCGUCAAAAUAGAGGUAUCCCUAAACCCACAUAUGAGCCUGACUUCUCUAGUAGAGUCAAAUACCCUAUGAGUCAUUUUGUGUCUAACCAUCGCUUGUCAGAAUCAAAUCAGUCAUUUGUGAAUCAAUUAUCUGCUGUAUCUAUUCCUAACAGUGUGCAGGAAGCUUUAAAAGAUCCAAAGUGGAAAGCGGCUAUGAAUGAUGAAAUGAGAUCUCUUCAGAAAAAUCAAACAUGGGAACUAGUUGAUCUUCCACCAGGAAAGAAACCAAUGGGUUGUCGAUGGAUCUACACUAUAAAAUACAAAGCAGAUGGCUCUAUUGAACGAUACAAAGCAAGACUCGUAGCUAAGGGUUACACCCAAACCUACGGGAUUGAUUAUACUGAUACGUUUGCACCGGUAGCAAAAAUUAAUACUAUUCGUAUCUUAUUAUCAUUAGCAGUCAACUUGGAUUGGCCAGUGCAACAGUUCGAUGUAAAGAAUGCUUUCCUCCAUGGAGACCUGUCUGAAGAAAUUUAUAUGGAUCUGCCACCAGGAUGCAGUGGACCAGAACGACUCAAUCAGAAAGUAUGCAAAUUGAAGAAAUCAUUGUAUGGGUUGAAGCAAUCCCCAAGAGCAUGGUUCGGGAAAUUCACGAAGGCUAUGGUUCGUUUUGGGUAUAACCAAAGCAAUUCAGAUCAUACCUUAUUCAUUAAAAAACGACAAGGUAAAAUCACUGCCCUUAUUGUCUAUGUGGAUGAUAUGGUAGUUACAGGCAACGACGAGGAAGAAACAAAGGCUCUUCAGAAGUACUUGUCAAGAGAGUUUGAGAUGAAGGAUUUAGGUGCCUUAAAAUACUUUCUUGGAAUUGAGGUUUCUCGAUCUAAGGGAGGAAUCUUUCUGUCUCAAAGGAAAUAUGCCUUAGAUCUAUUGCACGAAACGGGAAUGACAGCUUGUCAGCCUAUUGACACCCCAAUAGAAGAAGGACUGAAGUUUUGUAUUACUUCAGACCAAGUUCCAGUAGACAAAGGAAGAUAUCAAAGGCUGAUUGGAAGAUUGAUGUACUUGUCCCACACAAGGCCAGAUCUUGCUUAUGCAUUGAGUGUUGUAAGCCAGUUUAUGCAUAAUCUCGGAGAACAACACAUGAAAGCAGUAAUGCGGAUCCUGAGGUACCUGAAGACAAAUCUAGGAAAAGGAAUCUUAUUUUCCAAAAAUGAAGAUUACAGCAACAUAGAAGUUUAUACUGAUGCAGAUUGGGCCGGGUCAGUUAGUGAUAGACGCUCUACUUCAGGAUACUUUACCUUUGUGGGAGGAAACCUUGUCACAUGGAGAAGCAAGAAACAACAUGUCGUUGCCCGUUCGAGCGCUGAAGCAGAAUAUCGAGGCAUGGCCCUUGGGAUAUGUGAAGGGCUAUGGAUAAGUUUUAUCUUAAACGAUUUGGGCUAUCCAUCACAACAACCAAUACAACUAUACUGUGACAACAAAGCUGCACGAGAUAUUGCUCAUAACCCAGUUCAACACGAUCGAACAAAACAUGUGGAGGUAGAUAGAUUUUUCAUCAAGGAGAAAUUAGAUGAAAAAAUCUUAGAAUUGCCGAAAAUUCGAUCAGAAGAUCAACUUGCAGAUAUUUUAACGAAGGCCAUUUCAAGCAGGGCAUUUACAAAAUUCCUAGACAAGUUGGGUAUGCAAGACAUCUAUGCACCAGCUUGAGGGGGAGUGUUGAGAAUCAAAUAAAACGGCAUUGAAUGAAGCUUUCAAAGACAGAAUCUGCACUUGUCAAAGGGGUAAUCUGCACUUGUCAAAGACAAGAUCCGCGCCGAACGGAUUGACACAUUUCCUUCCGUAUUCACAUAUGUAAUCUUUGAAAAAAUGUAGCUUCUGCAUCUAUAAAUAACUCUCAAUGUAUAAUGCUUUAUUUAAGAAAUGAAAACACGUUUCUUCACCUUUCUUUCUCACAAAACGGAACCAUGGUUGCUAUUGGAGAGAUCUUACUCAACGCCUUCUUUCAGGUGUUGUUUGAUAGGUUGGCUUCUUGUAAUUUUCUCAGCUUUGUGCGUCAACUCCAAGGCGGGGUUGAUUUGGAACUCAAAAAGUGGGAGAAAAAGCUGAAGAUGAUUCAGGCUGUGCUCUACGAUGCAGAGGAGAAGCAACUGAUCGACGAGGCUGUGAAGACGUGGCUGGACGAACUCCAAGACUUGGCUUAUGACGCUGAGGACAUUCUUGAUGAGUUUGCUACUCAAGCUUUGGAAAGCGAGUUGAUGGAGCAAAAUCAGGAUAGCUCUGGCCAGCUUCUUAGUUUCAUCCCAGCUAGUUUGAGUCCGAAUGCUAUUAUGUUCAAUUAUAGCAUGGGGUCCAAGAUUAAAGAUAUUACUAGCCGGUUGGAGCACCUCGGCCAAGAAAGAAUUGAACUUGGUCUGCAACGGAUUACUGGAGGGGCAUCAUCAUCUACUGCUGCCGCACACCAGAGGCCACCCAGUUCGAGUGUCCCAACAGAACGUGAAGUAUUUGGAAGAGAAGAAGAUAAGGCCAAAAUUCUUGAUAUGGUUUUGGCCGAUACCCCAAGUGAUCAUGCCAAAUUUGUUGUAAUACCCAUUGUUGGCAUGGGCGGAAUAGGAAAAACAACUCUUGCUCGGGAGGUCUACAAUGACAAGGCGUUGAAGAUUCCAAGUUUGAUGUAAAAGCAUGGGUUUGUGUCUCUGAUGUCUUUGAUGUUUUGGUCAUCUCAAAGGCACUUCUGGAGUCAAUCACCCGCAGGCCUUGUGUUCUAAGCAAUUUAAAUGAAGUGCAGGUUGAGCUGAAAAUAGUUGUGGAUAAAAAAAGAUUUCUACUGGUCUUAGAUGAUGUUUGGAACGAGGACUACAGCUUGUGGGUAGACUUAAAAGCUCCUUUCAUGGCUGCUGCACCAAACGGUAAAAUGAUCAUCACCACACGCAAUUCAAAUGUUGCAUCAAUAAUGGGACCAAUUGAACAUUACAAUCUCAAGAGUCUGUUAGAUGAUGAUUGCUGGUCCAUUUUCAUACAACAUGCACUUGAAUCUAGAGAUCUUAACGCAAAUCAAAUUUCAGAAUCAUUCCGCAAGAAAGUUGUUGGCAAGUGUGGGGGCUUGCCCCUGGCAGCAAAAACACUAGGGGGCCUUCUGCGUACUACGAGGCAUGAUGCAUGGGACGAUAUAUUAGAUAGCAAAAUAUGGGAUUUACCUCAACAAAGUGGCGUUCUCCCUGUGUUAAGAUUGAGUUACCACCAUCUUCCGUCUCAUUUGAAAAGAUGUUUCGCUUAUUGUGCAAUCUUUCCAAAAGAUUAUGAAUUCAAUGAGAAGGAGCUGACUUUCUUAUGGAUGGCUGGAGGAAUUAUUCGACAGUCAAGAAAGAAUGAGCAGCUGGAAGAUUUGGGCGGCAAGUGCUUUCAUGAUCUAGUGUCAAGGUCAAUUUUUCCACAAACCAGCUCGGGUAGUUCUAAAUUUGUAAUGCAUGACCUUAUCCAUGAUCUUGCUGAACUGGUUUCUAGAGAAACCAUUUUCAGAUUAGAGGAGGCCAACUUGUCAUCAAGAAGAUUUGAAAGGAUCCGCCAUGCUUCCUAUACCCGUGGUUGGUAUGAUGGUAAAAAUAAGUUCAAGGUUUUCAAUGAAAUUGAACAUCUACGAACAUUCCUACCAUUACACGAAAGACGAGGAUAUUACAUACCUCGAACGGUUCUAUCUGAUUUGCUGCCAAAGUUCAGAAGGUUGAGAACGCUAUCUUUACAAGGAUACUGUAUUGGUGAGUUACCAAUGUCAUUUGAAGAUCUGAGACUUUUAAGGCUCCUCAACCUUGCUGACACUGACAUAAGAAGUUUACCUGAGUCAACAUGCACAUUGUUGAACUUGGAAAUUUUGAUAUUAAGAAAUUGUUCCCGUUUGAUAAAGCUUCCGCCCAAAAUGAGGAAUUUGAUCAAUUUACGCCAUCUCGAUAUAAGAGGUGCGAAGUUGCUGAAGGAGAUGCCGUUCGGAAUGAAGGAGUUGAAGAAUCUUUUACAAGUUUGGAAGAUUUAAAAUGUUUAAACUUUCUUUGUGAUGAACUCUGCAUGAGUGGAUUAGAGAAUGUGAAUAAUCCACAGAAUGCAAGAGAAGCCACAGUAUGCGAGAAGCACAAUCUUGAAGCAUUGACUCUAGAUUGGGGGUCUCAAUUUGACAAUUCUCGAGAUGGAGUAGUAGAAGAGCAUGUACUGGAAAUUCUACAGCCCCAUAAAUGUAUAAAAAAGGUGGCAAUCAGGAACUAUGGUGGUGCAAGAUUUCCGCAUUGGAUCGGAGAUCCUUCGUUCUCCAAGAUGAAGGUCCUUAAAUUGGAGAACUGUCACAAUUGUGUAUCGUUGCCGUCGCUUGGCCUGUUGAGUUCACUUAAGCACCUUGCUGUUAAAGGGCUGAAGAAACUAAAAAGCAUAGAGUCUGAGGUUUAUGGGGAGGGUUUCUCAAUGCCUUUUCCAUCACUGGAGAUUCUAAGUUGCGAGAAUUUGCCAGAAUGGGAGCAUUGGGAUACCGAGAUCAAAGGAAAUGUGCCUGUUGAUAUAUUUCCUCGUCUCCAAGAACUUUCCAUUGCAGAAUGUCCCAAACUCUCUGGACAACUGCCUGAGCUCCUGCCUUCCUUGGAGACACUUGUUGUUAGUAAAUGUAAAAAGUUGGUAGUUCCAUUGUCUUGCUAUCCGAUGCUCUGCAGAUUAGAAGUUGAUGAGUGCAAAGAACUAGUCUGCCGGACUCCGAUUGAUGUUAAGUUGAUAAAGUCCAUGACUAUUUCAAAUAGUUCAUUAGACCUGAAUGGAUGUAAGGGGAUGCUAUACGAUGGUCCAGCUGGCUCUUCACUGCCAAAGCCCAUGACUACUACAAAUGUUUUGGAGUUUGGAAAAUUAUUGAAGCCUGGAUUUCAGAUAUUCGAAACUUUGGUAAUUGGCAAUUCUGAACAGCUCAAGUCAUGGAGGCAGCAUGGGGAUUUUCCUAAAAAAUACAUGGUCACUGACCAUAGGUUUAAGAAACCAGUACCAGGGCUGAAUAUGCUCGCUUCCCCUGAAGAGGUAAAAAUUGAAGAAAGCUGCGUAAGUCUUGUUUUGUUUCCAGAGAUCAAUUUUUUUCCCAGAAAUCUACGCUCUCUUCUAAUUAAAAACAGCACAACUUUAAAAUCCUUACCCGAGGAAAUGAUGGCAACAAUUCACAACUCGAAAGGUUGUAUAUCAGAGAUCGCGACUGUCUAACAUUCAUCGCAAGACGGAGGCUACCGGCAUCUCUUAAAAGGCUUGAGAUAGAAAAUUGUGAGAAAUUGCAACGUCUGUUCGAUGAUGAAGAGGAUGCUUCUUCUUCUUCUCCUGCAUCCUCGUCGUCCCCAGUGAUGCUGCAACACCUGAGUAUAGAGAACUGCCCAGAGCUCACCAGUUUAUCAUCGGGUGUCCAAUUCCUUGAGGCGCUUGAAUUCCUCGAGAUACGGGAUUGCCCAAAGCUGGAGUCAAUACCGGAUGGCCUGCCCAAUCUUAAAUGUUUACAGAGCAUUUAUAUAUGGAAAUGUCCAAGUCUUGUUCCUUCCCAGAAAGAGGGCUUCCCAACACGAUUUCAAGGGUUGGCAUUGGCGAAUGUGACAAGCUCGAAGCCUUGCCCAAUGAUUUGCACAAAAUCAACUCUCUUCGAUAUUUAAGCAUACAGCUGUGUCGAAAUCUUGUAUCGUUUCCAGAAGAAGGUUUUCCUACCAGUCUAACAUCACUUAGAAUUGGAGAUUUCAAAAUGUAUAAGACCCUCGUCCAGUGGGGGUUGCACAGGCUUACCUCUCUUAGACGCCUCUAUAUCGUUGAUUGUGAUGACGAAGCAGAGUGUUUUCCAGACGAGGAGAUAGGAAUGACGCUGCCCACCUCUCUCACUGAUCUGUACUUAUCGGGAUUCCAAAAAUUGAUAUCCCUGUCUUCGACGGGUUUUCAGAGCCUCAACUCUCUUCAAUAUUUGUUGAUCGCGGGUUGCCCAAAUCUCACAUCAUUUCCAGAGGUGGGCCUUCCAUCCUCACUUUUGGGAUUAUUCAUUUUCAAAUGUCCAAAGCUUAAAAGAGCGUGCAAAAGAGAUCAAGGAAAAGAGUGGCCCAAAAUUGCUCACAUCCCUUGCGUUGAGAUAGACGAAAAAUUCAUAUACGAUCCCGAAUCAGAGGAGUAGAUUUCUGUUAUCCAUUAAAAACGAUCUCCUAUUAGUUUUAUUUUUUAAAUAAUAAUUUUGCAGUUCUGUUUUCUGUAUAAUUAUAAAUCCUCUGCCGUUAAUUAUUGACAAUGUCACUCACGUGAUUCCGUCUUCACUAAUCAGACUGUAUGUUGAGGCUAUUUGCUUUUUAAUCAAAGAUUAAAUUAUAACAUUUAUCUUAAAAUUGAAUAUCAUAGACAGAUAGACGAUUUUUAAAUCCAAAGUUUUUUGAUCCACUUCAAUUAGCAUUUAUUUUUUCCCCCAAAACAGGCAAGCCGAGAGUUUCAAUCAAGAAUUGGAGGAUGUGAAUGGGAUUUUUGUGAAAACAUAAUGGAUGAACGAACAUUUCAUCUGUGAUCUCAAAGUCAACAGAAUUUUAUUUACUCAUUGACUUUUCAACUCCUGUGGUUAUUUAUGGGUGAAAGAUAAGGGCAAUUACAAGAAAUUUGCAAACUUUGUCAACUUCUUUUAAUUGUACCAAUUUGUCGUUUAUGUUUUAGUUUUAUUUUUUCAGUUUUGUUUAUUGCUUAGAUGGUAGAUAUAUCGACAUUUUAGAUUUCAGAUAUUUGUCACCAGUUUCAUUCCCUUUUUUUUCGUUUUUUUAAGCUAGUUUGACUAAUUUUAACCAGAAUUAGAGCAGAAUAUUUUGGAGCGAGCAUACUUGAAAUGAUGCUUUUUAAUUUUGAUCUAGUAAAAAUACAUAGCCCUCACCGGCAGAAUUCUAGUCCCUACCGGGAUUCAAGAAAUUGAAAUUUCUGUCUUCAACGGGUUUUCGAAGCCUGACCUCUCUUCGAUUUUUGUGGAUCGGGAAUUAUAAAUUUACAGUUGUCAGAAGCUUGAAAAAGUGCGCAAAAGAGAUCGAGGAAAAGAAUAUUUCUCUGUUUAGUGAAGGAUGAAUGCUUGGAGUGGAGUAUUUGGUAACAUUUCUGUUUAGUUAAGGAUUUUGAAAUUAAUGAUGGUAAGAUGUGUACUUAUUCUUUCUUCCAGACAACCUUGCCUUCUUUCUUCGGUAGCAUAUCUAAUGAAUAUUUCUCUGUUUAGUUAAGGAUGAAUGCUUGCAGUGGAGUAUUUGGUAACAUUUCUGCCGUAGAUGAAUCCUUGAAGAAAUGCCUGCACUUCCUGAGACCAAAUACAGGUCUGAUUCAAAACAACACCUGUCCCAGAAAAUAUGAUACAAGGCAAAGCCAUGUUCUGAUAAUGUUUCCUUAAGUACAAAGUUGCAAGGAAACUUGAUUCAUUAACUACAAAUUUUUAUUUUUAGGACCUUGCAUCUGAAAGGUUCAGUGUAAUUUUUUUUUUUCAAUUUAUUGCUCAGAUCUCAGACGAGUAUAUGGUUUAGAUUACAAAACACUUACGAUUAAUUUCAUUUUUUUUUAUUUCAGGGAGAAGAAGUGGUCAGUUUCAAUCCAGAAUUGGAAUAUGGCAAUUUGGUGCAAGCACAAAUACCUGGUCACUUCGUCAGUGAACCUGAACUUUACUGAACUUUACACAGUUUUUUCAACUCAGUGAUUUUUGGAACGCAUAUUGGUGUAAGGAAAUCAAACGAAAUUUAUGCAUAGUCAAAUUCUGAUAUUUGCUAUAUUUUAUACAUUCUAAAGUUUCUCCAGUUUGUUCUCAGAUUACCAUCACUUUUUGCCUUCACCAAAAAAAAAUAUAUAUAUAUUUGAGUGGCUUUCCGGUGGAUAUUUAAUCGGAGGCAUGACUGGAUUUUUUUUCACUUCUGUAGAUCUUGCAUUUUAAACUGGCAAAUUUAACUUUAAUUUCAAUACGACUUUGUUGGUGCCUUCUGUUCCAGGAGCUAGAAAGAUGUGUAGUUUUCAGAUAAAGGGGCUUGUGAAUUCUCUAGUAAGAAUCCAAUAAUUUGCUUUUGCACGUUCAUUUUAUUUGUAGAUCCUUGCAUCUGAAUUUGAUCAAUCCAAAAGGAACUGCUUUUAGAGGGAAGAAGAAUAGCAGUACCUAUUCGAUGACAUAGUGUAUGGACCCUCACAUGUUAACUUUCAUGAAAAACACAUUUAAGAAAUUUGCAACUUUUUGGUUAGUUAUGUAUCCAAUGUUGUUUUCUGUUUUAGCAUUUGUAGAAUCUACUGUAUUAUAUUUUGGCAGCUACAGUAUCUGAGGUAUCUUUUGCAUUUAACUUGCUUUAUAUGUUUUGUCUGUGACUUAAGAACACCAAUAUUUGCCAGAGAUUUAGAGAAGCAUAUCAAGAUGCUUGGCUAACUUGACAAACUUCAAGAUCCUUCAUUCUUCACAAUGCAAAACUUGUGAGUACACUUAUGCCCGCAAUUAUUGUGAAAUGCUUGCAAUUUUGAUGCAGCGAAAUGGUUUGUUGAUGCAAAGGUUUGAACUUUUAAGGUUUACCCUGCAGGGUAGUUGGAUGCUGUAUACUCGAAAAGCCACCAACAUCAAGAACUAUACCUCCAAGACUGGGUUUGCAUUAAUUCAAUCAGCUGAAAUAAUGAUGCAAAGGACACUAUCAGCUGGACUUAGAGACCAGUCAGAUCAAUUAUCCAUUUUAUCAACAGUUAAUGUCAUCAUGGUGGCUAUUAGAGGAAACAGAGGAUGUGUCGGAAUCAAUAUGAACAGUGAGAAGAAUGAGAGGAGCUUUGAUUAUAAAUUGGCUCAAUGAACUCAUGCUGGUAAGUGGUAAUUAAAGAAAUUUGUGCGCUUAGCAGAGUUUCAAUAUUUUCUGUUUGGGAUAUAGUUGAUAAGUUGAUACUCUGAUUAAUAAGCCUGAUUAUAGUAGCUGACUGUAUUAACCAGGUUCUUUUCUUUCUUUUUUUUUUGGUGGUUUGCUGUUGUUUUGAUUAUGCUGUAACUACAAGGAAGAGCCGGACUUGGAUGCAGGCGUUCAGCUUUUAAUGGUUAAGAACAAAUGUAUGCUUUAACCAUGUUUCUCACUUAUUACAAUGUACGCAUUGAAGGCAUCUGAGCUGAUCCUGAAAAUGUCAUGGAAAUACUUCUCUGUUUACAUAAAACAGGACAAAUAGAGAUCUCUGAUCAUGCCUGAGAAUUCGUUGCAUUGAAAUUUCUACCAUUGCCAAAAAUAGAAUAAACUAGGGAUACAUUAGCGUAAGACUCAAUUUUGAGAAGGAAGUUUGUACUUGCAGCCUAAAAAAUCAUGUCUUUGUUGUAUACUUGUAUGUUUCUUUGGGAAAUGAAAGAUUCUGUGUUCUUUUAUUUCAAGUUUGCUGAAAUCACAUUUGUUUUCUUAGAUGCUUUCCAGAAGGUAACAGCAUCAAUUUCAAAAAUGCUGGGGUAAUAUGCAUCACGCAGUGCUACUCAACAUGAGAAAUCCUGGCUGCAUUAACUGUAUGUUGAGUGAUCGCACAGUACAACCUUGAGAAGCUUGUAAGGAGUAGACAACUAGAUGCGAGUAGUUUCAAUAUGGAUUCGCAUCAAAUGAUUUCUUGCCACUGAUUACCAUAACUUCUAUCCCAAAAUUCUGGGAACUGGUCAUACCAGCUAUGAAGUAUUGUAUACGUUGAAGAGCUCAAGGCCUUGCAAAAGCUCCGUCAGCCUUUGUAUUGGCAAACAGAUGGUUGUAGUUGCUUCUGAAUGAUAUGAUUAAUAGAUUCUGUAAAAAUGAAUUGUGCUAUACGCUUUCAGAGUUCUGUUAAGAUGUCUUGGUAGUUUUUGAUGCUUGUUUGAUUUAUAUUGCAUUCAGCUAUAAAUCAAAGGUUCAGAACACGAGUAUGUUGCUGAUUUCCAAAUAGAAAAAUUGCCUUGUGAUGUUAGUGUCCAUUGUUUUCACAGGAGAUCAGGUUCCUUGUUAUUGAAUCAAGAAGGCAAACGCAUCCAUGUCUGAGUUCAAUUGUGUCCCUUCUAUUUUCUAUUACUGACUCAUUUAUUUUGAUUUCUUCAUUGUGAUUGAAUUGGUUUUUUAUUCCAAAUUAGUCAAAACCUCAUAGAGUUAUUAAGUUCCGUUAGCAUUCAGAACUACGUACCAAAUGAUUAACAGGAUUAAAUUACAAUAAAGAAUUAAGUUCUUUAUUGUAAUUGAAUUUGCUUUCUCAUGUUUAGAGAUAUUAUGUUCUGGUUAGGGGUGAUUUCUUGAAGAGUCAAUCCAUUUGUGUUUAUACAUUUUUCUAUUGCCUUGAUUUCUGUUUUCUGGGGAGUUUAUACAGAUUCUUAUUUUAUGCUUCACAUGCCACAUGAAAGAUCAAAGCCUUCUGUCUGAACAUAAUAUACGUAGAAAGUUAAAUUUAUUUAUUUAUAAGCAUGUCCCAGUGCCCAGUGGCAUCCUCUUAACUUGUGAUAGUCAAAUGUAUUAUACGAUACAAUAUCAGCUUGACUUUAGCAUAGAGGAGAAUAGGGUUGGUGUUGGACUGAAUUCUGAUCCUUGAAUAAAUAUAACAGCUGCCUGAACCAGCUUAUUUGACUCCACAACUUUAUACUUGUUUUAUAGUCUAUGCCUACCUCCAUCGUCGGCAGCUUACAGUCUCUUUUAGCAUUUUAAAAAGUUUCAUGAUAUUCCAUAGUUCGCAUGGACUGCUACAAUUUAGAGAAACAUAAUUACGGCAUAUUUAAUUACCACGCGAGGAGUCUUCUUUUUUGCGCACCAAUAAUUCUUUGUACUUAAUUAGAAGAUGAGAAAUCCUUUAGCCGAACCACGAACUCACCUAUUAGUGGGGUUUUUUCCGCUUGCAUUCAGUCGCUCAAGUGAAAAUUGCGUGCAAUUUUUUCCUCAACUAAAAUUGGAAUAGAUAUUUUGUUAUUGCUGGCACAAAUUUUCCUUUAAGUCAAAUUGGAAUAGAUGUUUGUGAGAUGCCUAGACCUGAGAUUUUGUUAUGAUUAUAUGCAUUAAAGCUUUCGGUAGACCCUUGAAAUCUUAUGAUCAAUGUAUUAGAAAUUUAGAAUUGGGGUUUAUAAGAGCUAGUUUGACCAUGUUAUAACUUUUAAAAUUAUUGUUGCUAAUUGUGUUAUAGAAAUAAUUAAUCAGUUGUAAAAAUAAUUAGUUAAACAUUUGGUAAAUUUUAUUUUUAAAAGUGUUAGGAGUUUUAAAAGCAGACGUACGUACUUAGUAAAUCUCACUUUUAAAAUAUUAUAAGAAUGCAAAAGGUUUAAAUAUAUAUAAAUCUAUACAAUUUAUUUACACAUGCAUUUAUAGAUACAUGUAUAUAUAAUAAUUGAUAACUAAAAUAAAGAUUUUUAUUUUAUUAAUUUUUUUUGUUAUCUAAAAAAAGGUAAUAAUAAUAUCUUUAAUGACGUAUUUAUUAAUCAGUAAUCGGAAUGGACUGGAAUCAAAAUGGAGGAAUGGAAAUCGGAAUAAAUUGUUUACUUUAACUAUCAAUAUUGGAAUCGCAAUGAACUGUAUUAUCACUUAUAUAUUUAUUUUAUCUGAGAAUCAGAAUGGAUUGAUUUAAAUUACUAGACAGACCUUAUUAUUAUUAUUAUUAUUAUUAUUAUUAUUAUCAUCAUUAUUAAAUAAGGUAAAAAGGAAUUUUCAAUUUUUACUGAAGUAAAAAUAUCAAUUCACUUCUCAUUUUCAGCCCUAGGGAAUGAGACUCCCAUUCCACAUUCUAGAAUUUAUAGAGUCCACUCAAAUUUUCAUUCCCAUUCCCCCUCCUUGUUUUGCAAGUAAACAAGUUAAUAAUCCUAUUCUCUCAUUUCUACUCCCAUUCUCAUUCUCAAGUACUAACACAUCAAGGUAUUCGGUUCGGUUUUUGCCCAAUAGAACUGAAAUUAUUCGGUUUGGUUUGAUUUGGUUUAAUAUAAAAAGCCAAAGGGUUUAUAUUUUUAUGAACCAAAUGGUUUGUAUUUGAUUCAAUUCUAAAACUGAACCGAAAGCACAAACCAAUCGGUUCACGUAAUUUUAAUUAUUUUUAGAAAAAGAAAAACCAAAACUAAAUCGUAGAAUGUGAAUCCCUAAAAUCUAAAUCCCUAAUUCUCCUAACUAACUAAAACUAAUCACAGAACAACACAACCACAACAACCUAGCAAGCGCAGCGGUAGCCCCUCGAACCACGCUCACUCUCAAGUAUAGCAUGACAAUAGGGCUCUCUCAUGCAAUGAUAGGUAAUUUCUUAGUUUAGAAGGGAAAGUAAGAGAAACAGAGGAAGAAUAUAAGUUGAUUAAAAGGGAAAAGUCAAUUCUUAUUCCAAAAACUUGCUUAGUGCAAGUUCAAUAGGGUCUCUUAAAUAGACCUAUACAUAUAAUAAAAACUAGAAAAGACGAAAAUCACUUGAAAAUAAAAAGCAUGAUCACUUAAAUGGUAAACAUACAUAACCGCCAUGAGCUACAUGCAACCUAAGUCAAAUAAUCAACUGAAGAAACUUGAUCCCCAUGCAUAUUGAGCACAUACCAUUCCCCACCCUUUAGAAACACCUUGUUGGUGCGGUUAAAGUGAGGGUGAGCCUUUGAGAAUCACCAACAGUUCCAACGAGUGUCCUCAAUUGCUGCUCCUAUCCCUAUAACCAGUAUUGAGUUGUACGAAUGGCACAUGAUCUUCAAUCAUGAAUAGUUGCAGCUUUUAACAACAGUGUGAUACAAACUAAUAAAAAUAAUAAAAAUUAUUUAUUUUAUUUUAUUGUAUUAGUUAAUUUUGAACUAGUCAAAACUAGUUGCCCUUAUUUUGUGGAACUACAUGUAAUUAGUGGAGCAUUAUGUGAGAACAUGCUUAGUGUUACUAAUUUUUAGGUUGUAAUCCUAAAUAAACUUUUAUUAUAUAAAGCUUAAUGUUACUCAAUAAAAAGGAUCAUGAGUUUAUUAUUUUGGCAACAUAAAAGUUGUAAUUGGGAGUUUAUUGGUUUCUCGAAUAACCAAUACUUAUUUGGAGGUUUGGAUUUCCUUGAAUUAACUCCAUUUGUCAUCUAAUUUUUCUAUUUCAUUUGAUUUCUCCUUAUAAACUUUAGUGUUCGUAUCACAGUGGCCAAGAAUAAGUUUCUCGUCACAAUAAUAACACAACCCUUUUCCACGAUGAGCAUGUGCUUCUUAGUUAGAUAGUUGCUGGAUAUGAGGGGAAGCGAUGUCAUCGGCUAUUUAAUCAACCUUAGGAGGUGGACCUAAGACUCUAACAAAGCUAUUUGGGGUUGGUUGCUAUAUCACCAAAAUAGAGGGUGGUAGAGAAAAGUGACUAGUGCAUUGAGAAAGUGAAUUUCGCUCCUCAAUCAGUCUUGUCACACCAAUGGUGUUAGCCAAGGUAAAGGGCUAUUUAAUCUUGACAUCUAGUUGUAUCUCAUCCUGAAGACCUACAAUAAAACAACCAAUUAAAAAACAUUCGAGUAAGCCAUCAACCUAAUAUAAAAGCUUUUCAAAAGUUUAUUGAUAUUAAGCUAAUAAUGGAAGUCUAUUUCAGGUGCAUCAAAGCCUUAGAUGGGUCCUCAUAAUCCAUUAGUUCGAAUCGUAGAAGGACUGUUGUUGAUGCUGAAAUCUGCUCGCCCUCUACCCAACCAAAUCAUUCCACCAACAUUUGUGUAUGCAAUGGAGAGAAUACUGCCCUUUUGCCUCCUUCAGCAACUGCGGAUGCUCCAGGGGUUGGAAUCACCUUUUUCCCUUCUUUCUAAUCCUGCACUCACAGAGAUAGAUCAGAGACGCCGGUGGUUUUACCAGCAUAAACCCUCCAAUACUUAAGUUAGCACAAGGUGUUUUACGGGAAAACUAUGUAACUUGGAUUGUUUGGUUUCUCGUAAUGCUUUCUAAAACUUGUAAAGAAUAUAAUCUGGUUUCAAUUUGGCAGAGUUUUCCUUUUUCUCUCAAUUUUUCCAUCCCUUUUUUCAUUGGUUUCCCGGCUUCUUGUAACCGUUGUCCCACGUUCCUAUCUACUCCUCAUGCCCCCCCUUUUAUCGGGUGAUGGCAGGCCUUCAUGGCCUCCAACCACUGGAUUGUGGGUAAACAUGGGAUGACAUGUCCCUCUUGACGGUUUGGGGCAUAGCGAAACUACCGCAUUUUCGUGAGAUCGUGUGCCCCUUGUUUGGGUGAUGGGUAUCUGGUUGGUAUAUGUCUCUAGUCGGUACAUUCCUCUGGUCGGUGCUCGUCUCUAGUAGGCCCACUUUUGUAUGAGGCGUUUUACCAGGGCUCUUUUUGUGCCGCUCAGUUGAGGUGAUUCACCUCGGGGUGGGAAAUGAGGGCAUGGCUGAGCUGGUGCUCUUUAUUACUUAAUACCAGUCCCCUAGUUUCUGGUCUUGCGAGUGAAAUGAGUUGAGAUUAGAAACUAAGAAUCGGAUUUUAUCGACCCCGGGAAAUUCCUAUCUGGUCUUCGUGUUAUUGUGAUGGACCUGAGGUUCUGCCUUUUGUUUAGGGAGAUUUUUUAUCUAAGUAUGGGCCUUUGUGAGCAUGUCCAAUAUAUAGCUGGGCUAACAUCUCGUCAGGCCUUUUAUAACGGUCAGUGACGUGUCGUUUCUCGUCCUUUCAUAUUUGAAAUUUGAAACGACGGCUUAUCUGCCCUCGAUAUACGGCGAGUGAGCUAGCACCCGUAUAACUUAAACGCUUCCAUUUCCCUAUUUCAUUUCAAAUCCCUAAAUUGAAGCUGUCAUUGCGUUUCACUAUCCGCCAUUUCACUGUAAACUAAGUCCCUCUUUGGACUUCAAUCACACUUUUUGCGUCCGAAACCUCUAUUUGCUGGGUCCUCUCUCCGUCACAGCAGCACUACCAGUGCCAGUUUAUUCUAGGUAUCACUUUUAACUUCUUCGCUGGUUGUUGUUGAUUGGGUUCUGUGUUGCCCCUUUUUGUACCCAUACACUCGGAUUUACUGUGUUUUCCUUUUUGAGUUUUUGAUAUGUCAAACCGAAAGGGGAAACUAAUUGUAGAUGAGAGUGAUGAAGAGGUGGGGGACUCAUACCCCAACCUGUUUGGGCCUAAUGACCCCUUAUCAUCUUCUCGUAGUAUAAGUCUUUCCCAUCAUAGGGAUACCCUAGAGUAUCCUCAUCGCGUGACCACUUUGCCUUCCCCUGAAUUAGAACCCGUGGGAAACCGUGGUGGUUCAGCUUCUUGCUCUGGUGAAAAUCACAGUUCUGAGGGCUGGGGGGGUCCCUGGAAAGUGGGUGAAGGUAAGGAGAGUAGCUCCGAGCCGAGCAGACCCUCUAAGAAGAGAAACUUUGGUCAUAUGAUGGCGGGAGAUGCUUAUCCCAUUGACUAUAUCACCUGUGUUACCACCCACACUGACCUACUCAAGUUUAGAAACCUCUACCAUAUCCCUGAGGUGGUUCUUCUUUUAAUCCCUGGGAAAGGUGACUUCCCCAGUCGGCCUCCAAGGGGAUAUGUCACGAUGGGCACGAUUACCCCUUCAACCUUACUUUGCUUGGAUACUGGGUGGUAUGCAUCUGGCUCCAGGUCAGCUUCACCCGAAUGGGUGGAGGGUUCUCUCAGCCAUGUAUGUGCUAUGGAAAAAGUGUGGACUUGAGGAGCCUUCUCUUGAGGAAGUGAAGCAUUUAUACCAGCUGAUGAGCUUUCCAAGGGAAGCAGGUUGGUACUACUUCAUGUCAAGCUCUGCAAAGAGGAAGCCUGUCACCGACUUUCCUUCUUCCUGUAAAAAUUAGAAGAACAAAUUCUUCUUUGCUGGAGGAAAUUGGUGUCCAACAAUUCAUUCGCUUAGUGGUGAUAUUCACCUCCCAACACAUUUUGUCACCCCAGGUCGUUAAUUUUUCUGCAUACUUCACUUCUCUAAUCGUUACUUAUCGAGUUCCUUAACCUUGUUUGUUCUUUCAGAAUUGUGGGGUUUGAUCAAGAAACUUGACGAUAGACCACUGCUCCAGGUGGAAAUGGCUCUGGUGAACGCGUCUACCUGUCACGAUCUCAUAUCGUUAAUAAAUCUUGUCGGGUUGCACUUAGUGGACGUAGCUAUUGGGAUGGACAACAAGAUCCUCAGCGCUAUGUCUAAGAAACACACUUUGGGUUCAGGUAGCUCCAGCAACCUCCCUCCUCCUUUGAAGAAAGUCAAUGUUGGUUCCUCCAAGGCUUCUGCUCCUGCUCUGCCCCCUCCUUCACCUCGGAAGAAUGGUAGGGAGAAAGUUAGUGACAAGAGCCCCGAGGUCAGCAUUCAAUUUGGAGACCGAUCCUCUCCUCUACCGCCUCGGGACCAGGGUGACUAUCUGACCCUGUACCAGAGAGAUUACAACAAGUCGAUGGGACCAAAAAUGGUCAAGGACAUUGAAAGCAUGAACCUCAGCGAGCUAGGUGGUUCAGUUCAAAUGGUCUCCUUUAAGCUGGCUACUCUGGUUUCUUGCUACAAGAAUAGGUCUACGCGCCAAGAGAGGAGGCUUCAAGCUGAUAACGAGGACUUGAAGAAAAAGGCUAAUUCUGUUGAUCGCUCGAAGGAGAAGCAGAUUGAGCUACACAAGCAGAUCAUGGACCUGGAGGAGAAAGUGGCUAUUGCUGAGUCUAACUCCUCCAAGCUUGAGGGUGAGUUGGGUGAUCUAAAGUCCGAUCUCCAGGUUGCUCACAGUGAACGAGAUACUUUGAGGACGACCCUUGAGGAACAUAUUAGGUCCUUAGAUGAGCAGGUAGCCGAGCUGAAAGGCAAAUCUGUUGAGGUGGACAAUUGACUGGAUGCAGAAUAUAACUCUGGGCUCGCCUUUUGCUACAAGUGCAUCAUGUUUGUGCUUAAGGGAGAAUAUCCUGAGCUUGACAUGAGCAAGCUGGAGGCUGGAGUGCAGAAAUACAUGGCCGAGCCCGAUCAAGGGGAUAAGGAGCAGGGAGAGCAGGAUCAGGUGGAGGCUCCUUCAGAUGGGGUGCAGGAGAGGGAAACAGAGGAUUAUGCUCUUGAAACAGGUCAGGGGUCACUGCCUGCUCCCCCAGAAGUUGCUGGUCCACCUUUUAUCGAGGCUGCUGAACCUCAUAAUCCUUAGGCUUAUAUAUAUAUAUAUAUAUAUAAAUAUUAUUUUGUAUAAAUUCUAAACUCCCAUCUGUCUACAAAUGUUUGGAUGUUUAUAAACUUUGGAUGCUUUUUGUUUGCUUUCUUGCCAUGGUUUUGGUUGUGAAUCGUUUCUACAAGUUACCUUAACAAUUUUGAGUGACUUUGGCUGCUGGUCCUUUUGUCGUCCGAGCAGGAACUGACACUUGUUUGCCUUAGCGAAAUUUGUAAAACUUACAUUUCAGUUUUUCAAACGACUGAGCAGGAACUGGCGUUGGUUUGCCUUAACGAAAUUUUGUAAAAUUGCCUGCUGGUGCUUUAGGCGACCAAGCAGGAAUAGGCACUUGCUUGCCUUCAUAAAAUUUAUAGAUUUGCCUGCUGGUCCUUUAGGCGAUCGAGCAGGAAUAGACACUUGCUUGCCUUAAUAAAAUUUGUAGAUUUGCCUGCUGGUCCUUUAGGCGUCCGAGUAGGAAUAAACACUCGCUUGCCUUAAUAAAAUUUGUAGAUUUGCCUGCUGGUCCUUUAGGCAACCGAGCAGGAAUAUGCACUUGCUUGCCUAAAUAAAAUUUGUAGAUUUGCCUGCUGGUCCUUUAGGCGAUCGAGCAGGAAUAGGCACUUGCUUGCCUUACUAAAAUUUUUAGAACGAGGGAAUUUAUGCUGAAUUCAUCUUUAUUGAACUUUGCAUGGAUUACAAGAGGCGAGAUAUAGUCACGUGUAACAAUUCAUCAUGCUUUUAACAUAAAUAACUUAUUGAAAUAAAACUUGGUAAGGCAGUUUGCUUACUGGAAGUAUUUCUUCAAGUGCUUAGCGUUCCAUGAUCUUUUCACGUCUCGUCUAUCUGGGUAAAUCAGCUUGUACGCUCUUGGGCCAGUUAUUCAUACCACUCUGUAUGGGCCCUCCCAUUUCGGGCUAAGAACACCAUGAAUAGGAUCUCUUGUGCAUUGGUUCACUUUUCUAAAUACCCAAUCUCCUGCUCGGAACUGUCUCAUGCGAACAUUUUUGUUGUAGUAACGCAUGAUCCUUUGCUGGCAUUUGGCUGUUCUCUGCGAUGCCCCUUCUCUUUUUUCCUCCAGCAGGUUCAGGCUCAAGCAGAUCUGCUCGUCAUUUUGUUCUUUGUUGAAAUACUCUGUCCGAUAUGCCCCCACCCCAAUUUUUGCUGGGAUUACUGCCUCAUGACCGAAAGCUAAAGCAAACGGGGUUUCUCCCGUGGCCAUUUUGUGGGUUAUCCGGUAGGCCCAUAACACUCCUAGUAACUCGUCGACCUAAGCUCCUUUUUUUUCUCAUAGCCUGGUUUUCAAGAGUUUCUUUAUUACUUUGUUGGCUGCUUCCACCUGCCCAUUUGCCUUGGGGUGUGCUAGGGUACAAAACUUCAGGUCCACCCCUAAAUUUUGGCUAAAUUCUCUGAAGUUGUGAUUGUCAAACUGUCUCCUAUUGUCUGUAAUGACAGCAAUGAGGAUCUCCUAUCUGCAGAUGAUAUUCUUCCAAACAAAAUCCGUUAUCUUUCUCUCUGUGAUUUGACUGAGGACCCUUACUUCUACUCAUUUGGUGAAGUAGUCUAUAGCCACAAUUGCAUGUAUUACUUCUCCUCGGCCCUUGGGUAAUGGGCCAAUCAGGUCAAUUCCCCACUGAGCAAAAGGCCAUGGGGAUGACAUAGUGGUUAACCUUUCUGGGGGCUGAGCAGGGACUUCCGAGAAGCUCUGGCUGACUUUAUAGUUUUUUGCCAUCCCCGUCGCAUCCUGAUGCAUGGUCGGCCAGAAGUACCCUUGCCGAAGCACCUUGAAAGUCAAAGUUCUCGCCCCCGAGUGGUUGCUGCAUAUUCCUUCAUGAAUUUCCCUCAACACAUAAUUUGCUUCCUCGUCAUCCAAGCAUCUCAAAAGGGGCAAGGUGAAUCAUCGGCGGUAGAGUACCCCAUCGAGUAGCGUAUACCUUGCUGCCUGACAUUUCAACUUUCUUGCUUGCUUCCUGUCCUCUGGUAAGAUGCCCUCACGAAUGUAUAAUAGAAUGGGGUCCAUCCAGGAUUUUUCGAUGCUCACCUGCAUUACUUCUGCUUCCUCCCCUAUGCUUGACGAGGUUCUCACUUUUAGUGGAAUUGACUUGGGUAAUUUUGGAUCUGCAAUUGCGGCCAUUCUGACCAAUAUAUCUGCUCGGUAAUUCUCAUUCAGAUAUAUCUGCUUUAUUUCUAUCUCUUGGAAGAGCUCAACCAUCUGUUUUGCCUUCUUCAAAUAAAGCCCCAUCUUCUCUUCCCUCGCUUGGAAUUGAUCACUGAGCUGAUUACAGACUAAUUGGGAAUUUGCUCAGAUUUCUAUCCUUUUUGUUCGUAGUGCGUGUGCAAACCCCAGCCCAGUGAUGAAAGCUUCAUAUUCAGCUCGGUUAUUCGUAAGCUGAAAUUUAAAUUUCACUGCAUAAGAUACAUCGGCCCCUUCUAGGCUUCGUAUUACAAUUCCUGCUCCAGAUCCCUGUUUACUACGUGACCCAUCAAUUAUUACUAGCCACACCCCCUUUGAUUUCUCCUGCUUCACUGGUUGCUCCUCCCAAAUUUCCUCCCCUAAUUUAACACGGUCAACCAUAAAAUCGGUCAAGGCUUGGGCUUUGAUUGCUUCUCGGGGUUUGUAGGAUAGGUCGAAUUCGCUCAACUCCACGGACCAUUUACUAACCGACCAGAUGCAUCUAGUUUUAGAGCAUUUACCGAAGAGGCUGGUCAGUCAUCACAACUAUCGGGUGGGCCUGAAAGUAAGGUCUGAACUUGCGUGCUACUGUUAUUAAAGCUAGUGCCCAUUUCUCCAUUAGUGGAUAUCUGGUUUCUGCAUCUACCAGGGCCUUGCUAGUGUAGUACACAGGGUGCUGCUUUCCUUCCUCUUCUCUGACUAAUACCGAGCUGGUAGCCCAUUUAAAGACUGCCAAGUACAAAUACAGCUGGUCACCUUCUCCAGGAGUUGAUAGUACAAGGCGCGGGCUAAAUAUUCCUUCAGCUGCCCGAAUGCCUCCUCACAUUCUAACGUCCACUCCAUUUUCCUUCAAUUCUUUAUGAUUUGGAAGAAAUGGUGACAUUUAUCUGUGGCUCGCGAGAUGAAACGGUUCAAUGCUGCUAACUUCCCUGUAAGACUCCGUACCUCUUUAACUGUCCGGGGGGACUUCAUUUUUGUUACUGCCCGUACUUUUUCCGGGUUGGCCUCAAUCCCUCGAUGGCUCACCAUGAACCCCAAAAAUUUACCCGCGCUAACUCCAAAUGCACACUUUUCCGGAUUCAGCUUCAUCUGAUACUUCCUUAGCAGUUCAAAAGUCUCUUCCAAAUGCUUCACAUGAUCCUUCGGUUCCUUGGACUUUGUGAUCAUAUCAUCCACGUAUACCUCCAUAGUGUGACCGAUCAGUGGCUUGAAAAUCUUAUUCACCAACCUUUGAUACGUAGCCCCUGUGUUUUUCAGGCCAAAAGGCAUCACCUUGUAGCAAAAUAAACCCAUGUUAGUUAUAAAGGUGGUACUCUCCUCAUCUUGCUUGUUCAUGGGUAUCUGGUUGUAUCCCGAAAAGGCAUCCAUGAAGCUAAGCAGACUAUGACCUGCCGUUGAGUCCACCAACUGAUCUAUUUUAGGUACGGGAAAGCUGUCAUUUGGGCAUGCCAUAUUAAGGUCUGUGAAAUCCACAUACAUUAUCUAUUUCCCAUUGGCCUUCUUUACCAGCACUACAUUAGAAAUCCACUCCGCAUAUUUAGCCUCCCUUAUAAAUCCUGCUUUCAACAGCUUCUCCACCUCGGCAUUUAUGGCCUCGUACCUUUCCUAGUUAAAGCACCUCCUUUUCUGCAUCACCGGCCUUGCCCCUUUCUUGAUUGCCAACUUGUGGCAAGCUACCCCGCGAUCAAUUCCUGGCAUGUCCUCAUGAGACCAGGCAAAUAUAUCUGCGUGGGACUAUAGGCACUUCACCAGCUCAUCUUUUAUUGCUUCACCUAAUCCUGACCCGAUCUUAAUCACUCUGCUCGGGUUAUUCUUGCUCACAAAAAUCUCCUCCAGUUUCUCGACAGGCUCUUGACGACCCUUCUUAGAAUCUCUUCGGUUAUCCAGAGAGGUAACAUGUAGCGUCUCCUUGGCCGCUGUUGCGUAACAGCUCCUUGCUAUUCUCUGGUCACCUUUUACUACGCCCACAACUCCGUUUACUCUGUAUUUCAAUGCUAGAUAAUGCAUGGAUAUAAUGUAUUAGCUUGCUCUCAUAAAAGGUCGCCCUAGUAUCAUCUGGUAGGGGUUUUUCUCUUCCACCACUACGAAGUCCAGCAUAAUUUUCUUUUUAGAUGACUUCGCUCCUACGGUAAUCGGCAGCUCUAUGAUCCCCAUAGAGGUCAACUGUCUUCCUCCAAAUCCCUUUAAGGAUGUGUUCGUUCGCUCCAAUUUCAAAUCUGCAAUCCCCAUAUCAUCUAGGGCCGACUUAAAUAAUAUGUCGACCGAGCUGCCUAUAUCCACCAAUAUUUGUCGGAAUUCCUUACCCGCCACUAUUACUUUAACUACCAGUGCAUCCUCAUGAGGGUAUAAAAUGCCCUCUUCAUUAUCAUCUGUCCACAUAAUGGGAACUUGUCUUACUUUCACCCUCUUGGUCGUUGGUAAGUUGAAAAGUACCUCUUUGCUGGUCAAAGCGUAUCUCUCAUAAUUCUUUCGUGCUCUGUUUGAGUCUCCAGCCAAUGUUGGCCCUCCUGUUAUCACCUGAAUAUUUAGCUGUUCCCGCUCUAGGCUCCUUUCAACUCCAUCACCCAGCGUAUAUUGUGAUUCAAUGACGGGGGAUACUCCAUCUACAUACUCAUCCAAAUACUGGUUCCUCACCAAAUCUUCCACUUGAGUCUUCAAGUCAUGAUAUUGGCUGAUAGUGUGACUAUGAGUGUCGUGAAAUUUGCAGAAUCUGUUCUUAUCAUGUCUAUGAGCGGGUUUUGUUAUAGGGGCAGGAGGGUACAGCAGGCAUCGUCCCUCGAUUCUCUCAUACAACUCCUCCAUAGAGACUUUCAGUGGGGGUGUACUGUUUGUACGCCAAGCUUUGGUCAAUCAGUUGGACCGUUCAGCUAUCGUGGGUAUCGUUCCGAGCUGGUAUUGUAGGUAGCUGGUUUGGUUGACCAGCCCUGGAGUUAACUAUAUGCAGUACCCUGGGAGCGCUGUGAUAAGGGUGGGCGACUAACUGCCUGAAUUCUCGUUGCCACUCGGGGAAUGAGGGGCGCGGAGGCUGAGCUCAGUUGUGUUGGAGCUGUUGCGGUCUCUGAGCCAUGGGAUAAGGGCGAGACCAAGCUGAUAUUCCACACAUCACUAGCGAUUCUCCAGCUCGCCUUCCUGAUCCGCUCCCGCUCAGGGUUCUUCAAUCUCCAUGUCUCUCUUUGCCUGCUCAUACCCCGUUGAAUAAUUCUGAACGAUGGGACUUCACAAGUUGUACCAUAAUCGGCCUAUUCUUACACCCUCUUUUAAUCCCCUUAACGCCUGCAGGUGAUUGAAAGCUCCCAGAUCAAGCACGGCCCAAUGGUAUCUUUUCACAAAAUCCUGAAGGGAUUCGUGUUCCUCCUGCUUCAUCCCCAUCAAAUCCAUCAUAUCGUCAUCUGGGCCUACUGAUUAUCGGAACAGUGUUGUGCAAAUUUUAAUGAACUCGCAAGCACACGAAUCUAUUGUAGUAUAGAUCAUUGGUAACGAGUGUCGAUCUCAUGAGGAGGUGGAUUUUAAUUGUGUAUAGAAUUGAUUUUGUAAAUGGGUGGUUGGAUUUGUGGUGGAAGUGAUUCAGAUUAUCCUAAAAUUGGAAUUAAAAUGGUGAAAAUAAUUUGAAGAGAAUUCUAUUGAAAUGACGUACUUGGGUAUCUGGAUCCGUAUCAACAUGCAUCAUGGGCUAAAUAUUCCUUAUUAAUACCAAUUAAAUCAUGAGGGGGGAAUCCACACCUCAUGAACCACGCUCUAAUCAAUAUGGUGUUAAGGGCUUAUCGUGCCAAAUAAUAAUAACCUGUACUAGAGAGCCGGUGUAACCAAGGCGGUAUCUAGACAAUACUAGUAUUAUUUGUCAACGAGAAGUCAAAACAUCCAAAAAAACUAGAGGGGAAGAGAAAAUAAAUUUACCAAAUAAAGCCCAUGACACAUGUUGAGACUUCACCUUCAACCCAAGCUUGAAAGAAAAUUAGCUACUCAUAAUUGAACUAGGGGCAAAAUGGGAAUUUAUUAAAAUACGUAGAAAAUACAAGAUGGAGAGAGAAUUACAGAAAAUGGAGUCCAAAAAUGGAUUUAGGGAUAUCAAAUUAGGGGGAGAGGCCCCCUUUUUAUAGAUACAUUGAGUAAAUCGUGGUCAUCGGAUAAAAAAUAGUUUGGACGCUCAGGAUUGCGCCACGUCAUCAGUCAACAGUCCGCGUGAACAGUACACGAUUUGACCACGCGGAUGAACAGUAACACAGUUUGACCCGGGUGAACAGUGACGCAGUUUGGUUGAAAAUGAUCCUGUGUGUUGCAUGUACCGUACAUGAGAUUUUUGAUCCACUGAUAUGCUGCCACGUCAUCGAUCAACAGUGCAUAAGAAUUUUAGUCCAACAGGAUCGUGACACCUCAUCAGUCAAUGCCACAUCAUCGGUCAAUGCCACGUCAUCGAUCCGUCUAUGUGAACAGUGCCGUGAACAGUAACGUAGACAGUACCCGUACAUGUGAAUAGUACCGUAUAUGUGAAUAGUAUUAUUUUUCUUUUUAUGCUCCUCCUAAGAUUUUUGACCGUCCUAAGUUCAAAAAUGAUGUCCGUUUUGCCAUCUGAUCUCUCGUUUAUUGUGAAAUGACUGUGAUACCCCUAAAAUACAUAAAAUACUUGAUUAAAAUAAAACACACGUAAUUAAAUUACAAGUAAGGGUUGUUAGUAAGACAUUUUCUAACACUCAACAAACAGCUCGGCCAACUCUUGGUAUAUCUGCUCGUAUCCCCUUAUACUUCCUCGUGGUAGCUUACGAUACCAUUCUCUGGCUCGUCCUUCUAGUGUCAAUGGGAACACCCUGCACCUCUGAGCUGCUGUUAGCCCCUGUAUGCCCGUCAUGUCAUUGAAGCACUCAAUGUGCACUAGCGGGUCGCUUCUCCCGGAGUACUUGAGGUUGGGAAAGCAGAAAUCUCUUGGGAUAAUAGUGCUUAUGAUCUCGGCUGAUAGCGGAGAUUCUUCAUCCAGCAUUAUCCUCCAGCUUGGAGGCUUUCUCUUGCCCUAUAUCUCAUCCAUCACCUGCGCUAGCCUGCGCACCUCACCUUCCAAUUCCAAAGCACGGUCAAGGUCGCGCGCAGCUACUUGAUCUCGCUCCUGCUCGGCAUUAUGCAGUCGCUGUCUGAGCUCGCCUUCGUCAACAUUUACUCCUCGGUCAUUGAUUUCUAGAACUCGCCCAAGGCGAGAUUGAUCUCUCCUUUCAUCCACACGCUCCCCGGGGAUCCGACCAGCACUUCUAUGGGGAUGUAUCCCAUAGGGUUGUUCUACUAGCGGAGGGAUCUCCUCGAUUCUACGCCUUCGUAGGUUGGGUUCCGCCAUAGUUUCAUCCCUUACCACAGUGGUCUCGCCUUCCCUUCUCCGCUCAUCCCUAAAGUCAUAUAAUAUAGCUGUGAGCGUCUCCAUUUGGUUUGCCAUCUGUUCCAUUCGGUCUUGCAUCAUCCUCUCUCUAGCUUCAUUCGCGAUCUCUCGGAGAGUGAUCGAUUCACCAGUUUCAUUGUCGCCCCCUAAGGCGUCCUUCCUUGUCAUAUCCAUAACUAAUCGUUCACUGCGUCUCUGGUGAUUACUAACUUGAUGGUAGCUUUUUAUCCAGCUCCCUACAGACGGCACCAAAAUGUUGAUGCUGAAACAUGCUUGCCCUCUGCCCGGCCAGAUCGUUCCACUAACGUUUGUGUAUUCAAUGGAGAGGAUACUGCCCUUUUGCCUCCUUCAGCAACUACGGAUGCUCCAGGGGUUGGAAUUACCUUUUUCCCUUCUUUCUAAUCCUGCACUCACAGAGAUAGAUAAGAGACGCCGGUGGUUUUAUCGGCGUAAACCCUCCGAUGCUUAAGUUAGCACAAGAUGUUUUACGAGAAAAUUAUGUAACUUGGAUUGUUUGGUUUCUUGUAAUGCUUUCUAAAACUUGUAAAGAAUAUAAUCUGGUUUUAAUUUGGCAGAGUUUUCCUUUUUCUCUCAAUUUUCCAUCCCCUUUUUCAUCGGUUUUCCAGCUUCUUAUAGCUGUUGUCCCACGUUCCUGUCUACUCCUCAUGCCCCCCCUUUUAUUGGGUGAUGGCAGGCCUUCAUGGGCCUCCAACCACUGAAUUGUGGGUAAACGUGGGAUGACAUGUCCCUCUCGAUGGUUUAGGGCAUAGCGAAACUGCCGCAUUUUCGUGAGAUCGUGUCCUCCUUCUUUGGGUGAUGGGUAUCUGGUCGGUAUAUGUCUCUAGUUGAUACAUUCCUCUGGUCAAUGCUCGUCUCUAGUAGGCCCACGUUUGUAUGAGGCAUUUUACCAGGGCUCUUCUCGUGCCGCUGAGGUGAUUCGCCUCGGGGUGGGAAAUAGGGGCAUGGCCGAGCUGGUGCUCUUUAUUACUUAACAACUGUCUUUGAAAAUUUUGGCUAAGUUAGUAGGCCACAAAAUUUUAUUAACCAUCUAUGCAAUUAUAGAGCAAUCCCCUCCAAAUAGAAUGAUGCCAAUUGUAUUUAUUGUUCUAGGACUACAUUCUCAAAUCCGAAGAAUUAUUCCACCUUAUGAAUCCAACCAGUCGGAUCAUCUCCGUUGAAAUUUGGAAAGUUUAGUUUGAGAUAGUGGUGAUGGUUGGGAAAGUUUGAGGAGAAAGGUUUUAUGGCUUGGUUAGAGGAUGUUGUAGCCUGUAGGUGCAAAGGGGUUAAUUUCAGAGGCAAUUAUGUGUGAGGUUUGUGAUGCACGAAGAGAUUGAAGAUUUCUUGAACCUCAUUACGAAACUCAGCAUUUGAUUGACUUCGGGUAGCCGUAUUUCGAGCAACCUUUGUUUGAUACCAGAUGAUAGGUAAUUUCUUAGUUUAGAAAGGAAAGUAUGAAAAGUAGAGGAAGAAUAUAAGUUGUUUAGAAGGAAAAAGAUAAUUUUUAUUCCAAAAGCAUGCCCACUAUAAAUCCAAUAAUUUCUCUUAAAUAAACCUAUACAUAUACCAAAAACUAAAAAACUAGAAAAGAGGAAAAUCACUUGAAAAUAAGAACAUGAUCAAUUAAAACGGUAACAUGCACAACCGCCACGAAUCAAAACCAAUCGAUUUUAAAUAGUAUGAAUUGAAAUCAAAUUAAACCAAACCAAACUAAAUCGGACCGAACCGAAAUAUUAGGUUCGGUUCUAAAUUUUGGUUUGAUUUUGGUUCAGUUCUAAAUUUUCGGUUCGAUUCUAACUUGUUGUUUUAACACCACGAUUUAUGUUCGUUGGAAGUAUCUUCCUCGUCGUCCAAAAUUCAUCCCACUUGCAGCUCAUUCUCUCAUGCAAUCCCUCAUCUUCUGUAGUGAUUUGAUUGCUCUGAUAACUAUAAGCAAUAAACCACUGCCCAAGAAAUUUUGCCAAGAACAAUUCAAGAUGAAAAUAAGCCAAUGAUUGAUUUAAAGUUCUAAUGAUGAAACGAAACCUUAGCUCUAGGUUAAUGGAGAUUUAACAAAAGAUUGAAACAAAUCAAGAAGCAAACACACUCAAUGCAAAGACAGGAUUUUAAUGUGGUUCAAUUAUGCACAAAGUUCAUAAUCUACAUCCGCGGGAGAAGCCACAAAAAUCUCUUUAUUGAUGAUUCAAGAUGAAUUUUAUUGAGAAAAUACAGAGAUCGUUACAAGGAACAAGAUUACUCUUUCUCACUUUCUAGAAACUCUCUGAAAAGCUCAAUCACACACACGUAAUCUGCUUCAACAACCAGCCUCUUUAUACUCUCUUAUGAAAACCCAGAUUGCACAGCCCUUUGACACGUGUGUAACAGCUUCUAACGACUUGAUUCCUCCCUCACAUGCUAGCUCACGUGUUUUACUUAAGUUUCCUAAAAACGACACAAAGCAAUGUCGUUCUGCCUUAUGCUGAAGAGCCCGUGACUGCACGUGAGUUGUAAGUAAUUCCAACUGAUCAAAACGCAAUCGUUUUGGGACUCUGAGUUUUGAAUUCAUAACACUCCGGUCCACAUCUUCCUCACCCACUAAUAUAAACAAAGCACAAAACAAUUCCAAUCUCAGAAUUAAGAUCAUGCUCAGACAAAUCCUUAAGCCCAUCAGCGAUCUAUCGUCUACUGCGAGCUAAUCGAGAGUGCCAUCUAAUACGAGGUGGCUGAGAGACCGUGAGAGUGAGAUGUUGACCAGAGAUAGACAUAGUGAGAGUGAGCGUGGUUGCGUGAGUGUGGAAGAAAGGGGAUGCUGCUAUGCUGCGUGUUGUGCUUGAGAGUGAGCAUAGUUGCAUGAGAGAGAGAGGGGCUACUGCUAUGCUGUACUUGAGAGUGAGGGUGGUUGCAUGAUAUCUGCUCAAUAUGUAUGGGAUGAAGUUUCUGAUGGGUAAAAAUCAUGUUUUUAAAUUUUUAUAAAACCUUUUUAAGAUCGCUUUCAUAUAAUAUAUAAGAAUUUGUAAUCUAGAAAUCAUACCUUGAAAAUCCGAUUUAGCUUUUUCCGCUGGAAUGAUUUAGGCUCCCAGAUCACGAUCCAUCACCACCACUCCUGUUAGAUUACGAUCCGUCACCACCACGCUUGUUAGAACACGAACUGGCACCAAUGAUCUUCCAGGUUAUGACUCAAGUUUGAUCUGCACUUGACGUGUGGGCGCCUUUAUCACUACCAAAGCAACUAGCACAAGAAAACUUUUCUCUCAACAAUAGAGAGAAAAAUCUUUUUCUCUGAUCUGUAUAAAGUGCCUGCUCCCUUUUUCUUUAGAGAAAAUAAGCAUUUUAUAUCUCCCUUUAGUGAAAACCCUAAGCUCCAAAAAAUCAAAAAACAAAACUCACGUUACUUGCUUUUUCUAUAGGGGACACACCUUGUAAAAUAACAUAAUAGCCCUUACACACAAGCGAAUUAAAUGGAGCCUCCCACUAAAAGAUAUAUUUAGGCUUUUGACCCAAAUAGCUUAUCUUACUUAUUAGUCCAGUAGUGGUGCAUUCAAUUAAAUGAGCUAACCCGGGGAUCAUUUGGGAACAUACAAUAGUGGCUAUAACAAUUAGACCUGUAAUUAAACUAGCCUAAUUAUUUAAUUCCAAAUCUACUCCACUAAAAGAUUGGAAUUGACCUCCAUAAUUGUAUGCUCGAAUAAUAAUUUGUCCCAAGUCUAAUUGAUUUCUUUACUGCACAAUCCUUUGUAUCACAUCGUUAAUUCAAUUGAUAUCUCAACUGUCCAAUCAAUUUAAUAACAUCUUGUUCCUUGAUACUUAUUGGUUUUCUCUAAUGAUCAUUUUCAACAUACUAAAUAUGUUGACACACUCUGGCCAAAGAAUUCUAUGAUCAAGUGCCGAAAACCCAUCAAGAGAUGUAUUGUACAAAUUCUAUAUUGUUAAUCCAUAACUCCAAUACUCAUAAUUGCUCCCACCAAGAUACCGGGUAAUCUUGACCACAAGAAUGUGUCGUGCCCAUUGGUAACUCAAAUGGAAUAACAAUUACAAUCAUGAAAUCAUAAUUAACUCAAGAUUAAGAUUACAGUAAAAUCAAUAGAUUUAAUAAGUCUGACAGUCAUUUCAAUGUUAAUUAAAUCUCAUAUGUGAUCCUGUUCAAUGUAGUCGUACUACAUUAAUAAAUUCAUACAUGAUUAAGACAAAUCAUUCAAUGAAUUCAUUACAGUCUAUACUUAAAUAAAGUGCCCAACUUUAUUUAUCAACUGCGAACUAAAUUUAUUUAAUCAUAAGAUAACUUAUAUUUAUGUCUUCUGUGAAUCCACAUGGUGAUCACAUAAAUACAUAUAAUAUGAUUAAAUGGACUUUGAUCAAAAUAUUAAUGCAAUUAAGAUAUUUGAAUAAAAUACCUCAUUAAUUUUAUUAGUCAGAAAAAAUGUUUAUUAUAAUUAAAUAAACACAUAUACUUUUAAAGAGUAUAUUUUCCCAACAGUUUCUUCAGUUGGUUAUUUCACUUAGUCAAAAUAAAUUAUAGUAGUGGUUGCAUACCUGACUUUGGAGGUAAGGCUGGAGGCAAACUUCUACAUUAAUUUAUAACUUGUUUCACAACAUAUUACGGUUAUAAAUGAGACUUAAUCCAAAGACGGAAAGAGAGAAAUUUGCUACACUCUUUAGUAUCCAUUAUUGAGAAAAACACCAAAAUUAACUUUUACUUCUUUAAAAUCAUUUUUGAAACCUCCCAAAAGAUAUCUCAAAUGGGUUCUCAAUUUUUUAAAACAUUACUUUUGGCUAAACACCCCAUCCUCCAGUAGAUUUUGAAAAUGUCAAAAUGUAUAAGACACUCAUCCAGUGGGGGUUUCACAGGCUUACCUCUCUUAGAAGUCUUUGCAUUCUUGGAUGUCAUGAAGCAGAGUGUUUUCCAGACGAGAAGAUAGGAAUGACGCUGCCCAAUUCUUUAACUUGUCUGUCCUUUCGAGGAUUCAAAAACACAUUUAAGAAAUUGGCAAUUUGUUGUUAGUCACAGUAUCUGAUGUUCUUUUCUUUUAUAGUUUGCAGAAUCAACUGUAUUAUAUGUUGUCAUUUGCAGUAUCUGAGGUGCCUUUUGCAUUUUACUUGACCUUUAUUUGUUUUGCUAGUGACUGAAGAAUACCAACAUUGGUUAGAGAUUUGGAGAAGCAUCUGAAGAGGCUUGACAAAGUUGGAGAUGCACUUGCUCCCAAGCCUUCAAUCAUCACAAUGCAAAUCCGAUGAGUACUUAUGCCGGCAAUUAUGUAAAAUAUUUGAAAUUUUGAUUCAGGGAAAUGGUUUGUUGAUGCAAAGCUUUAAACUGUUAAGACUUACCUAGCAGGCCUGUUGGAUGUUGUAUCAACUCCAAAAUCCAACAAGAACUACGGCACCAAGACCCAUUUUUUACUGAUUCAAUCAGCUGAAAUGAUGAGGCAAAUCCCACGUGUUCGAAUCAGUCAUCCAUUUCAUGAACUGUUAUUUUCAUGAUGCUGGCUAUUGGAGUUGAAGAGGAAACAAGGAUGUGUUGGAAUCAAUGAGAACAGUGGGAAGCAUGACUCGAGCUCUGAUUAUAAAUAGACAUUUUAAAAACAUGUGCUGGUAAGUGGUGAUUAAAGAAAUUUGUGAGCUUAUUCAAGUUUCAGUAUUUGCUGUUUGGAUAAAGCUGAUACCAAGUUUGGCAAAAUCUGUGCUUUCUUUGUUCAAUCUGUGUUAUGGUUAAAGUAGAUGCUCUGAUUAAUAAGCCAGCCUACGAUAGCUGGCUCUAAUAAUCGGCUUCCUUUUUCUUGUUUGCUGUUGUAUAUUCUUUCAAUUUUUUUUCCGCAUUAGGACGAUCAGUUGAAGAACAAGUUUAUGUUUGACGAUGCAUUUAAGGAAGAGCCAGACUUGGAUGCAGAUCUGAAAAGGUUAGCAUGAACGAAAACCUUCAGAACUGACUGAAGGUUUCUGAGUUGAUCCUAAAAAUGUAGCAGUUGUCUGUUUCAUAAAGCAGAACAAAAACAGAAUAAGAGAUCACUAAUCAUGCUUGAGAAUUCAUUUAAAUAAAAUUUCAAAAAUUGCCAAACACAGCAUAAACUAGGAUGCACUUGCUUAAGAUUCAUUUUCAGAAGGAAGUUUGUACUUGCAGCUCAUAAAAUCAUGUUUAUGUUGUAUGUUUAUUCAGCAAAUGAAAGAUUCCAAGUUUGCUGAAACCAUAUUAUUUUUUUACCAGGCGCCUUCCUGAAGGUAUCGACGUCAAUUUCAAAAAUGUUGGGGAUAAGUUGCUUGAUGCAGUGCUACACAAAUAUGAAGGAUUUCUUGUCGGUGAUUACUACCACCUCGAUAAAAAAAUUCAUGGAACUGGUCAUGCCGGCAAUAAAAGAAGGAAAGGUGGUAUACGUCGAAGACAUAGAUGAAGGCCUCGAGUCCAUCAGCCCUCGUUGGGCUAUUCACUUGUCGGAAUGUCAGGAAACAACUUGUUGAAGUUGCGUGGGAAUUUUAAAACUACCAUAUGUUGUAGAAAUGCACUGAGCCAUGUGCUUUCAGAGCUUUGUGAAGAUGUCUUGGCCAUGUGUUUGAUACAGGUUAUGCUUGUUCCAUUAAAUUGUAUGCACUUAUAAAUCAAAGAUUCAGAACAUGUGUAUGUUACUGGUUUCCAGAAUCCAGAUCAAUAAAUGCCUCCAUGUAGAAGUUCAAAUUUUAAAUUUUUUGAAGUAGAGGUGUAGAGUUUCUUUUUUCAAAAAAGAAAAAGUAAAUUCUGAAGACUUUCUUUAUUUAAUUUUACAAUCUUAUUUUAUUUCUUUUACGAUAUAUUUUUAAAAUACUUAUUUAGUAAAUUAUUAACAUCUAUACCACUAAAAGAUUUUUUUUGUUAAACGCUCUACUUACAAAGUUAUAUUAAUUAUAGAUUUACUCAAAGAAGCCCUAUUUAAAAAGUUACAGCAAAAAAAGUCAUAGUUACCUUUAGUAAAUAAUAAUCUUCUAAUCUGUCUUACAACGGACUUUUGACAAAAGUGUGCUACUCCCACCUCCUCAAAGUCCACCCGACACCCCGUCUUCUCUAUUUAAAAUUUUAUAUAGUUGAAAAUUAUAUUUUCUUUUACUUGACGCCCCUCCAAAUUCUAAAACUUAGCUUCGAUGAACCUUCUUCGUUAAAUCUCGUUGCUUUCCUUUUUUCUUGUUACUUGAGAAGAAGAACCAGAGUCUAGAAGAAUGAAAGAAAAUUCAGCGUGAUAGAAAUUUAGAAAUUUCAUCCGAUCUUUUUUUCUUAAAUUUUUUGGUAUUUUGAUUCGUUCAAUGGAUUCUUGAUCAUUCUUCAUUCUUUCUAGUUUCUACCAUGAUUCGGAAAUUUUUCUUAAAAAAACUACUACUCUUGUGUAUUUAAAAAAAAAGGAAAGAAAGAAAAAAGGCAUUAAUAAAGAAUUGCGCACGUAACAUUAUUAGUACCCUGUUGAUUGGUCGUUUGGUCUUCAAGAAAUGCUAGUUAAUAUGUGCUUGAAAUUAUAUUCUGCUUUUUUUUUCCCUAUGUAUUGUUUCCCGUUUGAUUACAUUUCAAACAUUUUUAACACGAAUGAAUGUUUUAACCAUUUUUGUCACUUCAUUAUUACAAUAAGCUGAUUGAAGUUAUCUGCGUUGGCCCUGAAAAUGUAAUGGACACUACUCCGUUUACAUAAAACAGGACAAAACAUCGAUAUUUCUACCAUUGCCAUACAUAGUAUAGCCUAGGAAUACAUUUCCAUAAUUAAUAUUUAUUUCAGAAGGAACUUUUCACUUGCAGCUAACAGAAUCAUGUUAAAUUUAUGAUGUAUGUUUAUUUGGGAGAUGAAAGAUUCGCUGCAUUAUUUUAUUCCAAGUUUGCUGAAAUCAUAUUUGUUUUCCCGGCUGCUUUCCUGAAUGUAUCGACAUCUAUUUCGAAAAUGUCGGGGGUAAGAUGCUUGGUGCAGUGCUACUCAACAUGAGAAUUCAUCUUCUAACUCGUUACCUGAUAUUAUUGUCUUCUUGAAAAUUUAAUUAAGCUUAGAAGUCCCUUAACCACAAAAUCAAUGGAGUUUAACUCUAUCGAUAGACAACUUUUAAGUAAUAAACCAACACAUGAGUUCAUCUCUAUUGAUACUCAAGUUCUAAGUCCCUUAUUCAAUACUAAAAUCCAUGAGAAUUAAACUAACCGUAGUUUAACAUGUGAUUAACAAAUGGUAAAAGGUUCAAAAAAUACAUCAAUUAUAAAAGAAAUAAAAUCAGCAAAGAGACCACAUCAGAAAUUUCUUAGAUGUCCGAAACUAUUAAAAGAAUUCACAUACCAAAUCAAAAAAAGUAGAAAAUGCUUAAGCUCCUUAAGGUAAUUUGAAGUAUGAAAGUGAAUGGCAUAUAAUCCAAUAUAAAAAAAAAAUGGUUUUAGUGCCGUAUAAAGAGAAGUUAAUGGUGGUUACAGAAGUGGGGAAAGUUGAGUACAAAUCAGAUAAUGGGAGGUUCCUAAACUUCCUUAAAUCAAUUUUAAUUUCAAAAAUAAAAUAAUAAAAAAUAAAAAAUAGCAUAAAAGAAAUAAGAUAAAAAUUACUUUUCUAAAAUUGCAUGCAAGUAUACAAAAAUAACAUAUGUUGAUAUUACAUCGAGAAAGGUCCAUCAGCCCUAGUUGGGCUAUUCACUGCAUAGAAUGUCGGAGAACAACUUGUUGUGGUAGCUGUUGGGAAAAUAUGCUCUUUAAAAGCAUGUGUGUUUAUUUAAAUGUAAUAAACAUUUUUUCUGAUUAAUAAAAAUAAUGAGGUAUUUUGUGCAAAUAUCUUAAUUGCAUUAAUAUUUUUAUUAAAGUCCAUUUAAUCAUAUUAUAUGUAUUUAUGUGAUCACCAUGUGGAUUCACAGAAGACAUAAAAUACAAGUUAUCUUAUGAUUAAAUAAAUUUAGUUCGCAGUUGAUAAAUAAAGUUGUGCACUUUAUUUAGGUAUAGAUUGUAAUAAAUUCAUUGAAUGAUUUGUCUUAAUCAUGUAUGAAUUUAUUGAUGUAGUACGACUACAUUGAACAGGAUCACAUAUGAGAUUUAAUUAACCUUGAAAUGACUGUCAGACUUAUUAAAUCUCAUUGGCAUUGAUUUUACUGUAAUCUUAAUCUUGAGUUAGUUAUGAUUUCAUGAUUGUAAUUGUUAUUCCAUUUGAGUUACCAAUGGGCAUGACACAUACAUGUAGUCUAGAUUACUCGGUAUCUUGGUGGGAGCAUUUAUGAGUAUUGGAGUUAUAGAUUAACAAUAUAGAAUUUGUACAACACAUCUCUUGAUGGGUUUUCGGCACUUGAUCAUAGAAUUCUCUAGCCAGAGUGUGUCAACAUAUUUAGUAUGUUGAAAAUGAUCAUUAGAGAAAACCAGUAAAGAUCAAGGAAUAAGAUGUUAUUAAAUUGAUUGGACAGUUGAGAUAUCAAUUUAAUUAACGAUGUGGUACAAAGGAUUGUGCAGUAAAGAAAUCAAUGUGGCUUGGGACGAAUUAUUAUUCGAGCAUACAAUUAUGGAAGUCAGUUCCAAUCUUUUAGUGGAGUAGAUUUGGAAUUAAAUAAUUGGGCUAGUUUAAUUAUAGGCCUAAUUAUUGUAGCCACUAUUGUAUGUUCCCAAAUGAUCCCCGGGUUAGCUCAUUUAAUUGACUGCACCACUACUGGACUAAUAAGCAAGAUAACUAGCUAUUUGGGUCAAAAGCCUAAAUAUAUCAUUUAGUGGGAGGCUCCAUUUAAUUAGUUUAUGUGUAAGGGGUCUUAUGUUAUUUUACAUGGUGGGUCCCCUAUAAAAUAAAAAGUAACGUGAGUUUUAUUUGUGAGCCUAGGGUUUUCACUAAAGGGAGAUAUAUAAGGCUUAUUUUCUCUAAAGAAAAAGGUGAAGCCACUUUAUACAGAUCAGAGAAUAAGAUUUUUCUCUCUAUUGUUGAGAGAAAAAUUUUCUCGUGCUAGUUGCUUUGGUAGUGAUAAAGGCGCCCACACGUCAAGUGCAGAUCGUACUUGAGUCAUAACCUGGAAGAUCAUUGGUGACAGUUCGUGAUCUAACAAGCGUGGUGGUGACGGAUCGUGAUCUAACAGGAGUGGUGGUGGCGGAUCAUGAUCUAGGAGCUUAAAUCACUUCAGCGGAAAAAGCUAACUCGGAUUUUCAAGGUACGAUUUCUAGAAUACAAAUUCUUAUAUAUUAUAUGAGAGCGAUCUUCAAAAGGUUUUAUAAAAAAUUUAAAAACCUAAUUUUUCCCCAACAAUUGGUAUCAGAGCCAUCUCAUAUUAAUAUAUAAGAAUUUCGUAUGAAAUUAAUCUUGAUAUUUAUGUAUUAGAGUGGCACAAUUUAUUCAGAUAUAUAUUAUUUGUUUAAUAUAUGAAUAAAGCAUGUUUAUGGUUUGUCUUAAUUCAUGGUUAGAUUUUCUGUUGUAUUUUUCGUUUGGAUCUUUAACAAGAGGGGUGGUUUUUAUCACAAUGUUUCCCUCUUGAUUUAUUUUACUGUUAUAGAAUUUUUGUAAGCCAAAAAUUGGCCUAGGAAAUUUGUAAAUAAAUCACGGAUGACAAAUCAAAGCGACGGAGGCCGGAAAUUUCGACAUCGACCGCUGACCAGCGCACUCGCUACAACCAACGAGCGGCACACGCUGCAAGCGCAUGCUGGCAGUGCGCGCAGCAAGCAGCGCGCGCGGCCAGCCUGGCCAGCGGCGCGCGUUCCAGCAAGCAGCGCGCGCAGGGAUGGUUUGUUUCCGGCAUAUCGGCAACGGCAAACUCGACGUUGAUAGCGGCUGUCCGAUGAGAUUGGCCUGAACAGUGGCCGUUUGUGGAGAUGGCGACUGGGGAAGAAGAAAGAAAGAAAAAUAUGGAUUUAGGGUUUCAUGGCUUUUAUCAUGGAGAUCCCUAUGGUUCCAUAAUUUUUCACUUGGGCAAUUAAGUUUUAAUUUUUUGCAUUUAAGUCUAAAAAUAGUUUUCGGCUUAAAGAAUCCUAGUUUUAGGUCCAAUUGAAAUUUGGGCUUAAUGGAUUAAAAAUGCAUAGAUAAAAUUAAAUACAUUAAAAUUUAUUUUUGGUCCAAAAGUUUUAUUUUAAUAAAAAAAAUUAUUUAUUUAUUUAUUUCCUUUAAAAAUUAAAAUUGGACCAAUUAGAAAUUAUUUAUUUAUCUCUCAUUUGUACUUGGGAGACAGUCUAUUGUAAGUAGUGUGUAUUUUUGCAUGUCUAGGAAAGUUCUGUCAACAAAGGCGAUAAGUGUAUAAGGAUUCUGGUUUUUAAUUGGGACCAAGUUCCCAUCUAGUUUCCUGGAAACUUUCUUGGUGCAUUUAUUCACGCGAAAUUAACAUCAUAGAGACUGUUUUUCAAGUGAAAAUAGUUCGUUGAGAAAAUGGUAGAAGGUGAAACUUUCAAAAUUGGGGAGAGAUCUACCGAGACUAUUUCAGGAGACACUUCAGGUGGGAGGCGAGAUUUGUCAAAUCGCUAUUCAGCACCUGUAUAGAAGGCCAGAAGAUCGAUGUUGAAAAGUUUGAUGGGAAAAUCAACUUCGGCAUGUGGAGGCGCGAAGUUAUGGAUGCCCUUAUUCAAAUCGAUCUCGAUGUUGUUCUGAAAAAUAAAAGACACUUGUAUGAUGAAGAAAUUUGGGAUCGUAUGAAUGAAAAAGCAUGUGGUCAGAUCAGAUCUUGUUUGACCAAGGAGGUGAAAUACUUGGUGAAAGAUGAGGAGUGUGCGGUGACUUUGUGGCGUACAUUGGAGGAGAAGUACCUGGUGAAAAGUCCUGAAAAUCGCCUUCAUGCAAUGAGCCAAGUAUAUGGCUUUCGAAUAAAGUCUGGGGUGUCAAUGCACGAUCAUGUUUUAAGAUUUGAAAAGUUACUUGCUGAUUUGAAGAAUCUUGAUGAAGAUAUUAAGGAUGAAGUCAAGGCUAUGAUUCUGUUACACUCACUACCAGAGGAAUAUAGCCAUUUUGUGACUACUUUAAUAUAUGGGAAGAGUGUGAUCAUCUUUAAAGAUGUUUGCACAACAUUGACUAGCUUAGAGAUUCGAAAUAAUGAUAAAAAUUCUAAACGAGCAUCGUCUGAAGCUUUGGUGAGUAGAGAUUGGGCGAUGGAGAAACAAAAGAAGCGUGGUGGAAAGAAUUCUCGAUCCAAAUUGAAAAGCAGAAAUAUAGCUCGAGAUGAGUGUGCCUUUUGUCAUGAAAAGGGCCAUUGGAGGAAAGAUUGUCCAAAGGCUCAAAAGAGAGAUGGGAAGAAACCAGCAGCAGCAAACAUGGCACGGAAAGAUGAGGGCUCUGAUUAUUCACUAAGUAUUACUCUUGCAGCAUACGUGGCUAGUUCGAGUGAGUGGAUACUUGAUACUGGAGUGGUUUACGGAUUUUUAUCAUUUGUGUCCUAUUAAGGAAUGAUUUACGGAUUUUCGUAAUCUGGAAUCCGGUGCAGUUGUGAUGGGGAAUGAUCAACCUUGUCGCACAAUGGGGAUAGGAACAAUUCGGCUCAAAAUGUUUGAUGAAAUGAUCAGAGAACUCAAAGAGGUUAGAUUUGUUCUAGCUUUAAAGAAAAAUCUAAUUUCUGUGGAUUUCUGUGGGUGCUUUGGAAGCUAAAGGCUACAAGGUUACCAUUGAAGAUGGUAUAAUGAAGUUUACACAUGGGGCUAUGGUGAUUCUGCAAGGGGUUCGGUGUCACAAUCUGUACUAUUUGAAGGGAGGUACAACUGAUGAAGCAAAUGUUGUUAAGGCGCACAGUGACACCACCAAGCUAUGGCAUGUACGAUUGGGACAUGCUGGAGAGAAGUCUUUGCAAACUCUGAUGAGGCAUGGACUCUUAAAAGGUACCAAAACCUGUAAAUUAAAUUUCUGUGAGCAUUGUGUAGUAGGCAAGAAAACAAGGGUCAAGUUUGGUAUAGUUAAUCACGAUACUCGUGAGAUUCUUGAAUAUGUUCAUAGUGAUGUAUGGGGACCAACCAAGACUGCAUCAAUUGGUGGAAGCCAUUACUUUGUUACAUCUAUUGAUGAUUUCUCUAGACGUGUGUGGGUGUACACCAUGCGAGCAAAGGAUGAGGUUCUAGAGAUUUUCGUGAAAUGGAAGAAAUUGGUGGAGACUCAAACUGGCAGAAAGAUCAAAGUAUUACGAUCUGAUAAUGGGGGUGAAUAUACUUCUGAUCCAUUCUUACAAGUAUGCCAGAACGAGGGUAUUAAAAGACAUUUCACGGUGAGACAUACUCCGCAACAGAACGGUGUGGUUGAGCGUAUGAAUCGUACUUUACUGGAGAAGAUACGGUGUAUGUUAUCUAAUGCUGGUUUAGAUAAAAAGUUUUGGGCUGAAGCUGUGAGCUACGCAAGUCACUUGGUAAACCGGUUGCCUUCUGCUGCAAUUGGAGGUAAAACUCCUAUGGAAAUGUGGUCUGGAAAGCAUGCACAAGACUAUGAUUCCCUUCGUGUAUUCGGGUGUUCAGCUAAUCAUCAUGUCAAAGAUGGUAAACUGGAUCCUCGUGCUAGAAAAGCUAUCUUUGUGGGAUUCAAAGGUGGAGUAAAGGGCUUUAAGCUUUGGGAUCUCGAAGACAAAAAGUUUGUGUGUAGCAGAGAUGUCACAUUUGAUGAAGCUUCAAUGAUGAAAGCGUCAAGUUCUCAGCAGGUGGAGAACAAGACCAAAAAGGUAUUGCAGCGGGUGGAGUUUGAUGCAACUCCAUAUGUACCAGUUAGUUCUACAUCAAAUAAGAGUUCAACUAUGGAGGUGACACCUAGAGUUGAAGAAGAGGUCAUUUUUUCUGAUGUCUCACAAAAUGAAGAAACAAUUGAUGAUGUAGAUAAUGAUGAUUUUAUAGCAACAAGGAGGCCAAGAAGAGAGAUAAAGAAACAGGGAUGGCUUACUAAAGAUAUGGUGGUAGCAUAUGCACUUCCAGUUAUUGAUGAUGACAUCCCCAACACUUUUUGUGAAGCAUUACGCAGCAGUGAAAGUGAUCAGUAGAAGUUAGCCAUGGAGGAAGAGAUGAAAUCUCUCCAUCAAAACCAGACUUGGGAACUUGUAAAGUUACUAAAUGGGAAAAGGGCUAUUGGUAAUAAAUGGGUCUACACCACAAAGCAAGGAUCUCCGAAUCAAACAACUCCUCGAUACAAGGCAAGGCUCGUGGCAAAAGGUUUUGCUCAAAAGGAAGGUAUUGACUACAAUGAAGUUUUCUCCCCAGUUGUAAAACAUACUUUCAUUCGUAUCCUACUUGCCGUCGUUGCAGAAUAUGAGUUAGAGUUGGCUCAAUUGGAUGUUACGACGGCGUUCUUACAUGGAGAUUUGGAAGAGGAAAUCUAUAUGAUUCAGCCUUGUGGUUUCAAAGUUGCUGCAAAGGAGAAUCAUGUGUGUAGGUUGAUUAAAUCUUUGUACGGACUGAAGCAAUUGCCAAGGCAGUGGUACAAAAGAUUUGAUCAAUUUAUACAAGGGCAGAAAUUCACCAGAAGUGAACACGAUCAUUGUGAUUACUUUAGAAGACUACCAGAUGGAGCUUUCAUCUAUUUGUUACUCUAUGUCGAUGAUAUGCUUAUAGCUUCGAAGAAUAGAGAUGAGAUCGAAAGAUUAAAGAAGCAGCUGGCUUCUGAGUUCGAGAUGAAAGACUUGGGUGAUGCACAGAGAAUACUUGGGAUGGAGAUUCGUAGAGACAAGAAGAAUGGGAGCGUAUGAUUGACUCAAAAGUCUUAUUUGAAGAAAGUGCUAGAAAGAUUCAGUAUGGAUGACAAAACUAAACCGGUAUGUACACCUCUAGCUCCUCAUUUCAAAUUAAGCUCUUCUUCAUGUCCUAGAUCUCAAGAAGAGCGCGAUUACAUGGCUCGUGUUCCAUAUGCUAGUGCUGUGGGUAGUCUUAUGUAUGCUAUUGUAUUCACAAGGCCCGAUAUAUCUCAAGCAGUGAGCAUGGUUAGUAGAUACAUGCACAAUCCGGGUAAAAAUCAAUGGCUUGCGGUAAAGUGGAUUCUCCGAUAUUUGUAUGGGACAGUUGAUGUUGGGUUAUUAUUCAAGAAAGAUUGUGGUCAACAAUGUGUUGGGUAUUGUGAUUCUGAUUUCGCUGGAGACCUUAACAAGAGAAGAUCAACAACGGGCUACGUAUUCACAUUGGGUGGAGGUCCGGUUAGCUGGAGAUCGAUUCUACAAUCGACAAUUGCUCUAUCCACUAUGGAAGCAGAGUAUAUGGCAGCAAUUGAAGCUGUAAAAGAAGCUAUCUGGUUGAAAGGCUUGUUAGGUGAUUUGGGAGUAAUCCAGGAGAACAUUACGAUCUUCUGUGAUAAUCAAAGUGCGAUAUUCCUUGCAAAGAAUCAAACAUAUCACGCUCAGAUGAAGCACAUAGAUGUGAAAUAUCAUUAUGUGAGGGAGAUUAUCGAGAGCGGUGUUGUGUUGUUGAGAAAGAUCGAUACCAAAGAUAAUCCAUCAUAUAUGUUAAUGAAGGUAGUUUCUGGAGUUAAGUUUCAACAUUGCUUGAAACUAAUUCAAAUCCUUCGAUUGUGUUAAGAUAUGUCCUUCGGAAAUUUUGAACUACGGUUGGCUUGAUCCCAAAUUUUGGGUACGUUUGGCAGUCACAGAGAUACAGCCACUUUGCGGAUGAUGAUUGGUUGGGAGUCGGCUCAGAUUUGAACAAACCUUCGCCGAGGUGGAGAAUUGUUGAAAAGUCAAAGAAUUGCUUGCCAAUUUCAAAAGCAAAGUUGGUGGGUUUGCCAAAUUCAAAAAAACAAAGUUGGCCGGCUUGCUAAUUUCAAAAGGCAAAGUUAGGUGUUGAAAAACUUGUACAUGCAAUAUAAGAUCCAGCUCAACGUUUUGACCAAAUGAACCCAACUUGGAGCAGAAUGCACUCUAUAAAUAGAGAAGCAUUUUGCAAUUGUCAAUCAUCCCAACAAUUUGUUAAGCUUAUAAAUUUCUAAGCUUUUGAGAGUUCUAAGAGUGUGAAUAAUUGGAGAGUGUGUGUGAGAGUACUUGGUAUAUUUGGGUUCUGGGAAAGUGAGAUUUCUUUACUCAAAUAAUUAUUAAUAAUAUAAUUAUUUUUCUCUUGCUUCCGUGGACAUAGGCAUAUUGUCGAACCACGUAAAUUUUGUGUCCUUUAUUUUUCAGUAAUUAUUUGGUGUGUUUGAUUCCGCAUUCCGCGCACAACACCUACAGGUGACUAAUUAAUGGGAAAUUGACAAUGACAAAAGCAAUUUAUGAGUUUUGUAGGCUGGCAUGCCUAUGUUAUAGCAUUGUUCGAUGAACUGCCACACCACAUGUUUUUGACGAGAAAUAAAAACAUCAAGAUAUUGCCCGCUUGCCGUAUUCCACAUCGUGAAUUGUAUCUCUGUUCCUCAAUUUUCAGUGUUCCAUACAUAAAACCAUUUUCAGUUUCUCUUGUUAUCAAUUCAAUUUUCUUGUUCGUGACGAUCUUGAUUCCUUUCUUUCUGGUAAAACGGAGCCAUGUUUGCUGUUGGAGAGGUCUUCCUCAACGCUUUCUUUCAGGUGUUGUUUGACAGGUUGGCUUCUCGUAAUUUGCUCAGCUUUGUGCGUCAACUCCAAGGCGGGGUUGAUUCGGAGCUCAAAAAGUGGGAGAAAAAGCUGAAGAUGAUUCAGGUUGUGCUUAGCGAUGCAGAGGAGAAGCAACUGACUGACGAGGCUGUGAAGAUGUGGCUGGACGAACUCCAAGACUUGGCUUAUGACGCUGAGGACAUUCUUGAUGAGUUUGGUACUCAAGCUUUGGAAAGGAAGUUGAUGGCGAAAAAUCAGGAUAGCACUGGCCAGAUUCUUAGUUUCAUACCGGCUAGUUUGAAUCCGAAUGCUAUUAUGUCCAAUUAUAGCAUGGGAUCCAAGAUUAAAGAUAUUACUAGCCGGUUGGAGCAACUCUGCCAAUAUAGAAUUGAACUUGGGCUGCAACGGAUUGCUGGAGGGGCAUCAUCACCUACUGCUGCUGCACACCAGAGGCCACCCAGUUCAAGUAUCACAACAGAGCGUGAAGUAUUCGGAAGAGAAGAAGAUAAGGCCAAAAUUCUUGAUAUGGUAUUGACCGAUAUUAGAAUUCGUAAUAAGAUGUUUGGAAACAAAGAAAAACAGAGAAAAUGAAAAAGGAAACUUCACGAUUUAUUAACCAGAAUAUUCAAUGCUUAUUAAGCUUACUUAGCUAAGCUUAUAUACAAUUAUUCUAACUAAUUAAACAACUGCAAAACAACUAAUAACAACUUCAGAUUUAGUUUAGCCAUUGAGCUCUUGCCACAUGUCAUUCAGUUACAUUCAAUCUUGUCCAGCUCAGCAGCUCUGUCCAGCUCAGCAGCAACUAUAUCUUCAACAUCCCCCCUCAAGCUCAACCGAGGAAGUAAGGUUGAGCUUGUCACGUAAGUAGAGAAAAGGGUGAUAAGAAAGAGCUUUGGUGAGAAUAUCAGCAGUUUGUUCUGAGCUAGAAAUAUAUUGAACCUUAAGACAUUGAGCAGCAACUUUCUCUCGAACAAAAUGAACAUCUAAUUCAAUGUGUUUUGUUCUGGAAUGAAACUUAGGAUUAGAGGCUAAAGCAGCUGCACUUUGAUUAUCACACCAUAUGAUUGGAAUGGAGGGAAGAGUAAGACCAAUCUCAGCAAGAAGAGAACGAAUCCACAAGACUUCAGCUGCUGCCAUUGCUAGUGCUCGAUAUUCAGACUCAGCACUAGAUCGAGAGACCACUGCCUGUUUCUUAGAGCACCAAGACACUAGAUUUGGACCCAUAUAGACACAAUAACCAGCCACUGACCUCCUAUCAUCUCUGUCUCCAGCCCAAUCAGCAUCACUGAAACAAUCAAUCUGUAUGCUGCCAUGAUUGUAGAACUGUAAACCAAGAUUAACAGUACCCUUCAGAUAUCGUAAAACCCUUUUACAAGCCUGCCAAUGAUUGACAGUUGGAGAAGAUAGAAACUGACUGAGCUUGUUGACAGAGAAAGCAAUCUCUGGUCUGGUCAAUGUUGCAUACUGAAGAGCACCUAUGGUGCUUCUGUAUAGAGUAACAUCAGAAAAGGGUUCACUAUCAGCUUUAGUAAAAGCCACUCCAGAAAGCAUAGGAGUAGAACAAGGAGUACUAUCCUGCAUGUGCACCUUGGCAAGCAAAUCAGUGAUAUACUUGGAUUGAGAAAGAUGAAUACCAGAUUUAUUGUAAAUGACCUGAACUCCCAGAAAAUAAUUCAAUGCACCAAGAUCUUUAAGUGCAAAAACAGACUGGAAGUUGGUGAUGGUCUGCUGAACAAGCUGAGGAUUGGAGCCUGUAAUAAUAAUAUCAUCUACAUACACCAAGACAAGUAGCAGAUGACCUUGUGUGCUCUUAAAGAAGAGUGAAGUGUCUGAAAUAGAAUUUGUAAAGCCCCACUGAGUUGUAAGAACUAGUUUGAGUCUGUCAAACCAUGCCCUUGGAGCCUGUUUAAGGCCAUAAAGAGCUUUGUGCAGCUUACAGACAUAAUCAGGCCUGGAACUAUCUAUAAACCCCUCAGGCUGUUGCAUAUAAACUUCUUCAGUGAGGUAGCCAUUAAGGAAGGCAUUAUUAAUGUCUAUUUGCCUCAGUACCCAAUGAUUCAUGACAGCCAUACUCAAGAUAAUUCUGAUGGUUGAAGACUUAAUGACAGGACUGAAUGUUUCAUGAAAAUCCAGCCCUUGAGUUUGGUGAAAUCCCUUAGCAACAAGUCUAGCUUUGUAUCUAGAGACACUGCCAUCAGGAUUAUAUUUAAUCCGAAAUACCCACUUAUUCCCAAUUACUUUAAUGGGAUGUGUAGGUUUGACAAGAGUCCAGGUAUGAUUAUUGACUAAGGCUUGAUAUUCAUCUGUCAUUGCUUUAUGCCAAGCUGAAUCUUGAAGGGCUUUUAAGGUAGUAGCAGGUUCUGUAGGUUUGGUAGGAUUGGCUGUAAUAUAGGCUUUAGGUUUGAAGAUACCAGCCUUUGAUCGAGUGAGCAUUGGAUGACCAGUAGAUGACUGCAAUGGUGGAGUUAAAUGAUGAACAGGUGAGGUAGAUGGUUCUGAGUGUGAUUGUAUAGAAGAUUGAGAAGGAGAGUCUGGAGAGGAUUGAGAGAACCUGAGAUCAGCUGCUGUAGAGGAUGAAGACUUGGUUAUAUCAAGUUGAAUCAAAGGACAAACAGAAGAUGAACAAUGUGAAGAAGACUGAGAUGAAUGAUCUGAAGAAGAGCAAGAGUGACUGACAGAGGAAAAAUCAACUCCUGACUGAAAAGGAAAACAUGACUCAUCAAAUGUAACAUGGUUACUGACAUAGAUUCUACCAGAGGAAUGAAGACACAAGUAGCCUUUGUGAAGGGAGCUGUAACCAAGAAAAAUACAUCUAGCAGUUCGAAACUCUAACUUAUGAUGAUUAUAAGGCCUCAGAUAUGGGAAACAAGCACAUCCAAAAACUCUCAUAACAGAAUAAUCUGGUCUUUUGUUGAAUAAUUUUUCAAAAGGUGAUUUGUUAUCCAGAAUGGGUGUAGGGAGCCUAUUUAUGAGAAAUGUGGCAGUAUGGAAAGCAUUCCACCAAAAUUUCAGUGGUAAAUGUGCUUGAGCAAGAAGGGUAAGGCCUGUUUCCACUAUAUGUCUAUGUUUGCGUUCAAUCUUUCCAUUUUGAUGGUGAAUAUAAGGACAAGGAUGUCUAAAUUGGAUUCCCUGCUCAGCAAGAUAAGGAAGAAAUGGCCUAAAUUCACCUCCCCAAUCUGUUUGAAGACACUUGAUUUUCCUAUUUAGGCAUUUUUCUAUCAUAUGCUGGAAUUCAAUAAAGGUUUGUAAGGCUUGAGAUUUGGUAACAAGAGGGAAUAUCCAGGUGAACCUAGUGAAAUCAUCUAAGAUGGAAAGAUAGUAGUGAUAGCCUUGAGAGGACAGCAAAGGAGCUGGACCCCAUAGAUCAGCAUGCAACAGCUCCAGUGGUUGAAUGGUAGUGGUGUCUAUAGAAGGAAAAUGCUGCAUGUGACACUUUCCAAAUUGGCAAGCAUUACAAAAAAUUGGUUUCAGGGCUCUAUUGAUAUCGAGAGAAGGAUGCAAAUGCUUCACAAUUUGUUUAAGAGCAUGCACAGUUGGAUGACCCAUUCUUUUAUGUAAAACAUUGUAAUCAACUGAUUUUGAAUGAGUAACAGACAAGGCCAUUGAGGCAUCAUUAUUGAAUUGAGAAAUAUUUACAUCUGUCAAAAUUUCUCCAGAAUGUAUAGAGUUUGAAACAUUGGAAUGACUAAUCAUUGACACUGGAGAGGAACAGACAUUUGACACAGAACUGGAAUUUGAGAUGACACAGAAAACAUUAGACGGAACUCUAUUUGAAACUGCAGCAUGAGACACUACAACAGGACCUUCAACUUGAUAUAAUCCUCCUCUAGCAAUCCCCUUGAGCAAGAUGAUCCCUGAUUUCUUGUCCUUGACAAAACAGGAGGUUUUAUGGAAUUCAACAACAACAUCAUUGUCAGCAAGUAAUUUAGAUACACUUAAAAGGUUUUUGGUUAUAGUUGGGACAUGCAAAAUAUUAUUAAGAUAGAUAGAUGUUGCAGCAAGUGUAUUCAAUCGUGUGCACCCAACAUGUUUAAUAUGUAAUCCCAUGCCAUUUCCUACAUGUAGCUUAUCAAAACCAUGAUAAACUGAGUAAGAAGAAAAGAUACCUGCUUCCUUAGUCACAUGAUUGGUUGCCCCGGAGUCAAUAUACCAAGCAGGAUCAGCUACAACUCCAUAAUCAGCAACUGGACCAGUGGGAGCAAAUUGUGCAGUGGGAAUAGCAGAAGGAGCAACUCCAUAGUUAGCAAAUGGAGUAGCAAUUGCACCAUUGUAUUGACCUUGUAAUCCUUGAAACACAAGAAACCCUUGAGGAUACAUAACAUUUGCAUUCUGAUAUGCAACAUUCCCUUGAAACAUGGGUGCAUUAUAUCUAGGAGCACCAGUUGCAGUUCCAUAAAAAUUUCCAUAACCUCUUCCAAACAUGUUCUGAGGCUGACCAGGAAAGCCUCUAAAAUUGAAUCCACCUCUAGGCCUAAAGCCACCUCUUCCUUGUCUAGGAAUAAAGUUCUGAUUAAAUCUGUUCCUGCAUUUGUAUGCUCCAUGACCAGGUAUGAAGCAUAUUUGACAAAUUACUUCCUUAUCAACAUUAUAUCCUCCUUUGCCAUUAUCAAAAUUUCCACCAUUAAAACCUCUCUGAUUAGCAUUAUUGAACUUAUUGUAAUUCUGUCCUUUCUGAGCAAAAUUAGCUGACAUAUCAUGCAACAAUUCAUUUUGCACCUUUCCCUUACUCAUCUCAACCCUAGUUUCAUGACUAAGCAUUAAGGAAUACACUUCUUCAAUAGUGAGAUUAUCUUUUUCCAGCCUAGCAAGUAUAGUUGUCACUAAUGACUCAUAGUUGUCAUCUAAACCAGUGAGCAAAUGCAUUAUAAAAUCUGUUGAAGCAAGAGGAUUACCACCAAUAGCUAAGCUAUCUGCAAUUUUUUUCAUCUUAUUGAAGUAAUCACUUACUGACAUAGCUCCUUUCUUUGUGGUUUGAAUCUGCAUUUUCAGAGGCAUGUAUCUAGCCUUUGACUGUGACAUGAACAUCUCGGCAAGUUUCUCCCAGAUCUCAAGUGAAGUAUCACAAUCCACAACCAUGAUAAGUACAUUGUCUACCAUAGAUGACAGCAUCCAGCUCUGUAGAAGCUUGUCAGCUUUCUUCCAGUCAAUAUAGUCAGAAUUUUCACGUCUGCUUGAGCUAGGAGCUUCUGAUCUACUGGCAGCAUUCUCAUAUGAGGAAAGAAAACGAUCUGGACAAGGAGAUUCUCCAUUGAUAAAACCUUCAAGUCCAUUGGCAAUAAUCGAAGCUUGAAUUUGAGCUCUCCACACCAGAUAAUUUGUUCGAUCAAGUUUUGUUGGUUGAAUAAAAGAAAAAGAAAGUGAAGACGAUCCUGAAUUGCUUUGAUUCGUCAUGUUUCGUGGCUCUGAUACCAUAUUAGAAUUCGUAAUAAGAUGUUUGGAAACAAAGAAAAACAGAGAAAAUGAAAAAGGAAACUUCACGAUUUAUUAACCAGAAUAUUCAAUGCUUAUUAAGCUUACUUAGCUAAGCUUAUAUACAAUUAUUCUAACUAAUUAAACAACUGCAAAACAACUAAUAACAACUUCAGAUUUAGUUUAGCCAUUGAGCUCUUGCCACAUGUCAUUCAGUUACAUUCAAUCUUGUCCAGCUCAGCAGCUCUGUCCAGCUCAGCAGCAACUAUAUCUUCAACAACCGAUACCCCCAGUGAUCAUGCCAACUUUGUUGUAAUACCCAUUGUUGGCAUGGGCGGGAUAGGAAAAACAACUCUUGCUCGGGAGGUCUACAAUGACAAGGCCGUUGAAGAUUCAAAGUUUGAUGUAAAAGCAUGGGUUUGUGUCUCUGAUGUCUUUGAUAUUUUGGGCAUCUCAAAGGCACUUCUCGAAUCAAUCACCCGCAGGCCUUGUCUUCUGAACAGUUUAAAUGAAGUGCAGGUUGAGUUGAAAGUAGCUGUGGAUAAAAAAAGAUUCUUGCUGGUCUUAGAUGAUGUUUGGAACGAGGACUACAGCUUGUGGGUAGACUUAAAAGCUCCAUUCUUGGCAGCUGCACCAAACAGUAAGAUGAUCGUCACCACAUGCAAUUCAAAUGUUGCAUCAAUAAUGGGACCAAUUGAACAUUAUAAUCUCAAGAGACUGUUAGAUGAUGAUUGCUGGUCCAUUUUCAUACAGCAUGCACUUGAAUCUAGAGAUCUUAACGCACAUCAAAUUUCAGAAUCGUUCCACAAGAAAGUUGUUGGCAAGUGUGGAGGCUUGCCCCUGGCAGCAAAAACAUUAGCGGGCCUUCUACGUACUACGAGGCAUGAUGCCUGGGACGAUAUCUUGGAUAGCAAACUAUGGGAUUUACCACGACAAAAUGACGUUCUCCCUGUGUUAAGAUUGAGUUACCAUCAUCUUCCGUCUCAUUUGAAAAGAUGUUUUGCUCAUUGUGCCAUCUUUCCGAAAGAUUAUGAAUUCAAUGAGAAGGAGCUGACUUUCUUAUGGAUGGCUGGAGGUAUUAUUCGACAGUCAAGAAAGAAUGAGCAGCUGGAAGAAUUGAGCAGCAAGUGCUUUCAAGAUCUAGUGUCGAGGUCUAUUUUUCAACAAACCAGCUCUGGUAGUGCUAAAUUUGUAAUGCACGACCUUAUCCAUGAUCUUGCUGAAUUGGUUUCUAGAGAAACCAUUUUCAGGUUAGAGGAGUCCACCAACUUGUCAUCAAGAAGAUUUGAAAGGGUUCGCCAUUCUUCGUAUGCCCGUGGUAGGCUUGAUGGUAAAUCUAAGUUCGAGGUUUUCAAUGAAAUUGAACAUCUACGAACAUUCUUGCCAUUAUGCAUAAGAGGUGGCGUUACUUCUGGUUAUAUAACUAGCAUGGUUCUCUAAGAUUUGUUGCCGAAGUUCAAAAGGUUGAGGAUGCUGUCUUUAGACGGAUACCGUAUUAGUGAGUUACCAAUUCCAUUUGAAGAUCUGAGACUUUUAAGGUUCCUAAACCUUGCUGAUACUGACUUAAGAAGUUUACUUGAGUCAACAUGCGCAUUGCUGAACUUGGAAAUUUUGACAUUAAGAAAUUGUUCCCGUUUGAUAAAGCUACCGCCCAAAAUGAUGAACUUGAUCAAUAUUCGUCAUCUCGAUAUAAGAGGUGCAAAUUUGUUGAAGGAGAUGCCAUUCGGAAUGAAAGAGUUGAAGAAUCUUCAAACAUUGUCCAACUUUAUUGUGGGCAAGGGUGAAACUGCAUCUGGUUUGGAAGAUUUAGGAAGUUUAAACUUUCUUUGUGAUGAACUUUGCAUUGCUGGAUUAGAGAAUGUGAAUAAUCCACAGAAUGCAAGAGAAGCCGCAUUAUGUGAGAAGCUCAAUCUUCAUGCAUUGACUCUAGAUUGGGGGUCUCAAUUUGACAAUUCUCGAGAUGUAGCAGUAGAAGAGCACGUGCUUGACAUUCUACAGCCUCAUAAAUGUAUAAAAAAGGUGGCAAUCAGGAACUAUGGUGGUGCAAGAUUUCCACUUUGGAUAGGAGAUCCGUGGUUCUCCAAGAUAUAAUUCCUUGAAUUGGAGAACUGUAACAAUUGUGUAUCUUUGCCAUCGCUUGGUCUAUUGAGUUCACUUAAGCACCUUGCUGUCAAAGGGCUGAAGAAGCUAAAAAGCAUAGAGUCUGAAGUUUAUGGGGAGGGUUUCUCAAUGCCUUUUCCAUCAUUGAAGAUUCUACGUUUUGAGAAUUUGCCAGAGUGGUGGCAUUGGGACACCGAUAUCAAAGGAAAUGUGCACGUUGAUAUAUUUCCUUGUCUCCAAGAACUUUCCGUUGUGAAAUGUCCCAAACUCUCUGAAAAACUGCCUGAGCUUCUGCCCUCCUUGGAGAUACUUGUUGUUAGUAAAUGUGAAAAGUUGGUAGUUUCAUUGUCAAGCUAUCCAAGGCUCUGCAGAUUAGAGGUUGAUGAGUGCAAAGAACUAGUGUGCAGGAUCCCAAUUGAUUCUAAGUUGAUAAAGUUCAUGACUAUUUCAAAUAGUUCAUUAGACAUGAUUGGAUGCAAGGGGAUGCUAUACGAUAGUCAAGCUGGCUCUUCACUGCCAAAACCCAUGACCACUACAAAUGUUUUGGAGUUUGGAAAAUUACUGGAGCCUGGAUUUCAGAUAUUAGAAACUUUGGUAAUUGGCAAUUCUGAACAGCUCAAGCCAUGGAGGCAGGGAAGGGGACUUUCAAGUUUUAAUAGACCAGAACACCGGCUAAAAAUACUUGCUCACCCUGAUGAGGUAACAAUUGAGGAAAGUUGCGUAAGUCUUGUUUUGUUUCCAGAGAUCAAUUUCUUUCCCAGAAAUCUGCACUGUCUUCGAAUUUACAACAGCACUGCUUUCAAAUCCUUACCGGAGGAAAUGAUGGACAACAGUUCACAACUCGAAAGCUUGUAUAUCAAAGAUUGCCAUUCUCUACCAUUCAUCACAAGACGCAAGCUACCUUCAUCUCUAAAAAGGAUAGAGAUUGAGAAUUGUGAGAAAUUGCAACGUUUGUUCGAUGAUAAAGACGAUGCUUCUUCUUCUUCUCCUUCAUCCUCGUCUUCCCAAGUGAUGCUUCAACAUCUAAGUAUAAAGAAUUGCCAAGCGCUCUCCAGUUUGUCAUCGGGAAUUCAAUUACUUGAGUCGCUCGAAGAACUUGUGAUAACAAAUUGUCGAAAGCUGGAGUCAAUACCCGAUGGCCUGCACAAUCUUAACUGUUUACAGAAGAUUACUCUAGUGAGUUGUCCAAGUCUUGUUUCCUUCCCAGAAAGAGGGCUUCCCAACGCCAUUUCAUGGGUUGACAUUAGUUAUUGUGACAAGCUUGAAGCCCUGCCCAAUGACAUGCACAAACUCAACUCUCUCCAAACUUUAAGCAUAAUUCAAUGUCCAAAGCUUGAGUCGUUUCCAGAAGAAGGCUUUCCCACCAAUCUUAGAACGCUUAAAAUUGGAAAUUUCAAAAUGUACAAGACCCUCGUCCAGUGGGGGUUGCACAGGCUUUCCUCUCUCAGAAGCCUCUACAUUUAUGGAUGUCAUGAAGCAGAGUGUUUUCCAGACGAGAAGGUAGGAAUGACGCUGCCCACAUCUCUAACUCAUCUGUCCUUAUUGGGAUUCCAGAAAAUGAUACUUCUGUCUUCAGUGGGUUUCCAAAGACUCACGUCUCUUCAAUGUUUGAAGAUAUGGAAUUGCCCAAAUCUCACGUCAUUUCCAGAGGUAGGCCUUCCAUCCUCACUUUUGGAUUUAUACAUUAACAAUUGUCCUAGGCUUAAAAAGGCGUGCAAAAGGGACCAAGGAAAAGAGUGGCCCAAAAUUGCUCACAUCCCUUGCGUUGUGAUAGAUGGAAAAUUCAUAUACGAUCCAGAAUUGGAGGUGUAGAUUCUAUUAUUAAAGUCGGUUUAUUUAUAUUAUCCACUAUAACAAUCUCCUAUUAGUUUUUUUUUUUUUUUUUUAAUGAAAAAAAUUGCAGUUCUGUAUAAUUUAAAAUAUAUAUAUUAAUCCUCUGCCCUUAAUUGAAAAUACCACUCACUUGUUUCUGUUUUCACAAGUCAGAUUGUACGUUGAGGCUAUUUGCUUUUUAUCGGUGUUUGUUAAGGUAAUUAGUGUCUCAUAGGCUGAUUAUAGGCAGAUGAAAUUAUAACUUUUAACUUAAAAUUUAAUACCAUAGACAGAUAGAUGAUUUUUAAUCCAAAGGUUUUUAGAUGUGAUCAAAUUGUCACAUGCAUAACAUAUUAGGCAUGCAUGAUGUAUCACAAGGUUGAUACAUCUUAUAUGCCACGUGAUGAAAUUAAGGAUGUUUCUCUUACAAGGGACACAUCCUUACAUGUUCAAAUUUGAACAUGUAACUUCCAAGUGGUUAAUGGAAGUUACUUGUUCAAAAUUCGAACAUAUAACUGUCAUAUUGUUGCCUAUAUAGAGGCAUGAACGCAUCACAAAUUCAUACAUUCCAAGACAUACUUAAAGUCUUAUCAUAUUAUGAUCUUGCAGUUUUGCAUGUAGCCACCAGCCUAAGGGCAGUGUAAAACGAUCCCAAAAACCAUCAAUAAUAACAAUGGAUAUAGUUCCUAAAUAAACUGAUGAAAUUUAAGGAUGAUUGGAUGAAACAGCUAUGAUAAAAUGAACUAUCUCGAACCGAGCGAAUGGCACUGACUCAUGAAUAAGUGUGGAUUCCAAAUAUCUUCAUAUCUUCAUAGAUAUUCAUUUCCGUGUUAAUUCGAGGACUUCUAGAAAUUUAGUUAGUUAUUCUAUGAAAUAGAUAUACUAAUAAUAAUAAAACAAAAACGACGGGUGUUACACAAAUUCACAAGUAAAACUGUACUACUUGGAAACUGUGAACAGUAUAGAUUGAAGAUCAUACGAUUGCUAUUUUCAUUGAGUUUCAUGCAUAAAACUUUAUCGAUUAUUAAAUUAGACAUCUUUAUCUUUCUAUCCAUAUGUUUAUUGUUCAAAAACUUAUUGUAUAUUAAUUGUUUUGAUUUUUAAAAAUUGAAACACUGGUGCUGGAAAAUUCUGAUUUUCAGUAGCGAUUCUCAAUUCUAUAAUUUAUUUCAUAACUCCAAAUACUUCUGAAAAUUCUGGGAAUUUUUAUUACUGUACACUUAUAUGUCUAGUUUCUGUCUUUUUAAUUUCGUAAUUUUUGGCUUUAUAUAAAAAUCAUAGAGUUAGACUGCGCAAUCCCAGAAACUGUUUUCCAGAAUUGCGAGGGCUGAUAUUUAGGGCAGUUUGGGAUAGUUUUUCAUCAGUAAAUGUCUUAUAAAUCUUUAAUUCUGACUCCUAUUGUUUCCUCUAAUUGUCAAAACUAGAAUCACUAUUUUUGGACAUGUGUAACUAAAGUUAUAAAUUUUUCAAGCAACAGUCCUCUGUUUAUAUCGUUAUUGGACAGUUUGGAUAAUUUUGUGGAAAAAUAAGUUUUCAGGGGAUGUUUUUAAACUCUAAUUGAUUAUGUAAAAAUUUAAAUUGAAUGCCAAUAUGUUGACAAUAGUGUUUUGUGAUAUUUGUGAUAUUUCCGACGUACUUAUAGCUUGUUAGAAAUCAGCUCCUAUAUAAUGGUCUAGUAUAGUUUAGUGAAUUGAUGUGCUUAAGUAAGAGUGCAUGGUUUAAGGAUUUUUGGAUUUUCCUAUCUAGGUCAGAAUUGAAUAAGAUAUUGAUAGUACUUUUUUCUUAACAAUCAUAGGCCAAAAGUGAGCUCGUUUGAUUUGGGUUAUUGUUGAUUGCUUUGUAUCAUGGUAAGUAAAUUCAUGCAUAAUAUUUAUUAAAGUAUACACGUAAAUAUUUAUUAAUAGAAUAAUGUUGUCCAAAUGGAUUGGCAAGUUAUGGUUUUGAAGUUAUUUUAAAAUGUUUUCUUAAAUUUGUUUUAAAAAUAACUUCAAAAUACCUGCUUCUCUAUAAAAUGUUUUCCUUAAAAAUAUUUGUAAAGCUUUGCCAAUUCAAUGUCUUGUAAGCGUUUUAUCGAAAUAUUAUGGAAUGAUUGAUAUUGGAAAUCUGAAAACUGUUUUUAAGGUUUUGGCUCAUUGUCCGUAGUUAUCGUUACUAAUAUUACUAAAUAGCUAGUUGUAUUGUGCGCACCUAUUGACGAUUAUUGCAGGGUAAAGUACCCUGGUAGAACUAUAAGUUGGGUCACCGAGAUUAUAGGUGACAUAUUGAACUAUUGACCAGGUCACCGGGGGUAUAAGUGACACUAUGUGAUAUGAGUAAAUUGAAUGAAAGAAAAGUUUUAUUGAUAAAAGAUUUCUUACACGAUUAUUUAUUGAAAAUGAUUAUUAUGCUAUGACUUAAUUGAUUAUGAGUUUUACCGCACACAUAUGAUUACAAAAUGAUUUUUGUUUCCUAACUUGUGGUACUACAUAAUAAUGAUUAUAUACUUUUUUCCUUAUUGGUAACCUUAUGCAUGAGUUCGCUUACCGAUUGACGGCUCACCCCUCGUCUCCAACAUUUUAUAGAUUGAUUUUAGUGAUGUGCGCUUUUGGUCUAGCAAAGAGGAUUUAGCUGAAAAACUUUGGCAUUUUCUAGAUGAAUUAAUUGUAGCUAGUUUGAUUAUUGCUUAGAGCUAGAUUUUAUUUUGGAGGAUUUUUGAGUUAUUUUUUAUUUUAGAGACUAUGUUUUGUCAAUGAACAACAUUGACUUUAUUUGAAAAUAGUAAUAAGAUUAAUGUUAUAAGGUUUCAUUUGGGGUGUUACAACUUGUCUCUUAGUAAGUUUAUUUUUGUUAGCCUAUCCAGUAAGGUUUAUUAUCGACUGACAUCAUUUUCAAUGAAAUCAUCUUAUGUUGUUAAGUUUUGCAUAAAUAAAUAUUUCAGUAGGGUCAAAAGAGCAAGAGUUUACCUAUAAAAAAAAAGUCAAAAUUAGUUUAACCACCCCAGUGCGAAUUUCUGACCACGUCUUGCUUUGUAUGAUUUAACUCUAUUAUUAAUUAGUACUAAAAUAUCGAUGAAAAAAAUGGACAUGAAUUUUGAUCUCGUGUUGCUUUGUUUUGGUUGAGUGGCCAAUUUUAACUUCAUGUUAAACUUUCUCAAUUAUUAGUUGAAUUAUUUGGAUUUGAAAACUUAAAACCACCAUUUUAAUUUGUUUAGUAAUGACUAUGUUGAACUUCAACAUUUGUUUUCAAGAAAAAAAUUGAUCAAACUAUGAUGCUCUUGUUUCUAUUAUUAUGGAAUCUCUUUUUCAAUCGUCAAAGUUUGAAUUAUAUUAUGCUGCCUCUGUAUUUCCGCAGAAACAGAAUCAGUUGGUGAUCCUUCAAAACAAGAAAAACCAAAAAAAGAUGUAGUGCGUGAUAAGAUAAUGAGACAGAUGGCUCAUGUUGACAUUAAUACUCAAGUUGGAAGUUGCAUGCCCCUUGCUUGUAUGCGGACUGGGACCAUCAUCCACAAAAUUGAGGUAUACCCGGCUGAAGGUGGCAAGCUAGUUCGAGCCGCUGCGACGUCAGCCAAGAUUUUGAAGAAGACCCACUUCAAGGUACUGCUUAGUAAGGCUAACUUCUGGAAAUGAGAAACUGAUUGACGCUAGAUGUCGAGCCCACCAUUGGUACAGUGUCUAACCCCAGCCAUGGAGCUACGAAGCUUAGGAAGGCUGGUCAGAGCCGUUGGUUGGGUCGAAGGCCUGUGGUUGGAGGAGUAGCCAUGAAUCCAGUUGAUCAUCCUCAUGGUGGAGGUGAGGGACGAAGCAAAAGUAGCCGUAACCAUGGAAGGUGUUCACUUACGCCUUGGGGCAAGCCUUGUAAUUCUGGGUAUAAAACUGCAUUUCCUAAGGGAAAAAAAAAAAGAAAAAGAAAUUACCCGUCUGAUAAUAUUUUCCUUCUUUGCUAUUUAGCCUUUUUAAUAAUGUUACAUUGUUUGUCAUAUAUUUGAGGUUAGUUUUAGACCAAUUUUUAACUGAUCCAUAAUGAAACUGAAGUUUAAUUUUCUAUUGAACUUUUCCUGGUUUUACUCUUCUGUCAUUUCAAUUUAGCAAUGAUUUAAGAUGUUGAGUUCUGUGCUUGGAACAUGUAAAUGGGAAAGAGAGAUAUAAUGGGGUAGAAUAUAGAUUUUGUGUUUUGGUUUCUCAUGUUUAGAGAUAUUCUGUUCUUUUUCAUUUGUUCAAUUUGGUUAGUGGUGAUUUCUUAAAGAGUCGAUGCACGUGUGUAUAUAUACUUUUCUUUUGGCCUUGAUUCUGUUUCUUGGGGAGUUUAUGCAGUUUCUUUUUUUAUGCUUCGUAUGCCACAUGAAAGAUGAAAGCAUUUUGUGUAUUUAGAAUUGACUUGCAUCAUAGUAACUUUGAAUCACUGUUAACAUUUGUAUAAUAGCAGUCUGAGAUCUCCUUGAAGGAUUCAAAAGCAUUUUAUUUGAUGGUCUAGACCUAAAAUCAACUCCUUUAUAUAGAUAGGUUGGUCUUCUUCAAAGCAAUUCCUAUUUUAAGUAAUCAAAAUUUUGAUUUGGAAGUGUGUUUUAACACUACCAAAAGUUCUUUAAAUACUAAAAAUGUGUUUGGGAGUGAGGUGAUGUGGCUUUUAAGCUACAAUUACUGCAAAGUAAAAGUCAGUGAGUAUAAAUAAGAAAAAAUGACUGUUGAGUUGCCAAAGCCCAACUGCCGCACAUCACUUCCAAAUGCACCGUAAAAUGAUUUUGAGUCUUCUAUAUUAUUGAAACAAAAUACAUGAAAGCACUUUUGGCUACAGAAGUACACUUGGGGUUCUUUAUAAAAUUCUUCGACAGCAAUUUUUCCCCCUUUUUGCUCAUGGCGGUUUUUCUGGUUGUUCUUUUAAGAAAACACUUAAAGGUUCUUUUUAUAGAUUUCUGAAAGUACUUCCAACAUAAGCAUUUUUCAGAAAUUUUUUCUGAAAUUAAUUUUAUUUACUUAUCGACUUUUCAACUCCUGUGGUUGUUUAUGAAAUGAAAGGCAAGGGUAAUCACAAGAAAUCUGCAAACUUUAUCAAUUUUUAACUAUACCAAUUUGUUGUUUAUGCUUUACUUUUAUUUUACAGUUUUGUUUAAUGUUUAGAUGAUAGAUAUAUAGACAUUUUAGAUUGGAGAAUUUUGUCAACAAAUUCAUUCCUUUCUUUCACUUUUUCCCUUUUCAGAGGAAAGCAAUUUUGACUAAUUUUAGCCAGAAUCGGACUAUAAUAUUUUGGAGCAAGCCUACUUGAAAUGAUGCUUUUUAAAUUUGAUCUAGUUAAAAUACACUGCCGUUACCCAAAAAAUUCUAGUCUUGGAUUUCAUAGAAUGCCCUUUUAAGAUAUUUUCUCAGCUCUUUGUUGGUCGCAGCAUCUGAGAUUAGCAUUCUCACAUUUCACUUGUUUUGCCUUUGUUUUGAAGGUAACUUAGUUGCAUAGGUGAAUCGAGGUUCAAGAAUGCCGAGAUGGCUACAAGUUUCAAGAAUCAUUUAAAGAGGCGUAAUGACAGCACCAAGAUGGGCUUUGUGAUUAACAAGAUUACUAAUUGAACCAAUCUUGAUGGGACAGAGGACAUGUCAGAACCGUUGCGCACAGGGAGAAGAGUUAGGGGAGCUUUGAGAGUUGAGACCAUCAACAUCCAGAAAGGCUGCUGGUAAUGUUUCAUGUGUUACAAAGUUGCAAGGAAAUUUCAUUUAUAUUUUAACACCUUGUAUUUGAAAAAUUUAAUGUAAUUUUCUCUUUUUUCAAUUUAUUAUUCAGAUCGUAGACUAGUAAACGGUUUAGAUCGCAAGCUUUUAUUAUGCAGUUAUUUUCUCCUUUUCAGGAAGAAGUGGUCAGUUCCAUUCCAGAAUUGGAAUAUGGUAAUUAGGUGCAAGCAUACGUUGUAACAAUCAUUUCUUGUUUGUUUGAUUAUGCUUAUCUAUUUAGUUGUUUAUCGUUUGGUUGUGUUAAAUUAUUUGAAUUAGCAUUAUUUGAGAUAAAGCAUAAUUCUUUUAUUUAUUUAUUUAUUUUUUAAAUAAAUUAUUAUAGAAUAUCGUCUUUAUCGUAUAAUGUAUUUUUAUAAAAGUAAGCAUUUUUAUAAAAUUUAAACUCUUCCAAUCUCCUUAUGAUUAAAACCCUUAACCUAAUAAACGUAUAAAAGCAAAGAGUCCUAGGAUUUUCUUUUGUGCACAUUUGGAAGAAUUUUUGAGGUAAUUAUCCUUCUCUAAAACAUAUUCUCUAAUCUUAGGUGUUUAAUGAUGAAUGCAUGCAUUGUUUUUUUAAUCAUGAAUGACUAGCUAGACAUUAUGAGGCAUGAGUACUGUGAUUCUAUUACUGUUUUCCCUUUAUUUUUUAUUCAGGUUUUCACUAAAGUUUUCAUAAAAUUAAACUAGACAUUUUAAGGCUUUCAAUGAUAUAUUUUGUACGAAAAGAUUACCAGUAACCAAUUUGUUGUGAAUUUUCGAAUUCAGAACAGUGGUGCUGGAAAAUUCUGAUUUUCAGCAGCAUGUUUGACUUUGCCCAUUUUUCUGUCUGUCUAAAUGAUCCCUAAAAUUAUGCUGAUUUUUCUAUUAAAUCCUCAUUAUGUCUACUUACUAUAUGUUCACUUUCAUAAUUUUCAUUGAGUAAAAAAAAAAUUAAAAAUCAUUAUGUUGGGCUGCUGCAGUUUUGGAAACUGCUUUCCAGAAUUGCGAUGGCUGACAAUAAAAUUACUUUAGGCUAUUAAAAGGCUUUAGAAUGGCCUAUAAAAAUUAUAUUCAUAUAAUUUAUGAAUUCCUUAUGAUUUAAAGUUUAUUUGACUAAUUUUGAUAGUUAACAUUAAGUUAUGAAUUUUUCAAGUGCAAAACAUAAACCUGAAUGUUUCUGGACAGGUUUGCUGGUCUCUUAAUAUAAAUUCGUUUAAAAUAGUGUCAUAUCUUCAAAAAUUCUAGGAAUUUGAAGCUUUGUUUCUUGAUGCAUCUACUGUUUUAAAAUCAAGUGGUCUAAUUUUUAAGAGUUCUAUUAAAUAUUUUACAAAUUUUCCAGUUCAGCAACCUCUGUUUUUAUCACUGUUGGACAGUCUGGAUAUGCAUGUAAAAUUCUUUUUGCAAUAUGUUUGACUUUUAUUCAUUCUUUUGAAUUUUUAUUUGAAAUGUUAUCCAUGUUUAUGGUUUAUUUUCUUUGAUUUUACAAUUUUCCAACAUUUGAUUAGCUUGGUAAAAAUCGGCUCAGACUAGCUUUAAUGGUUUAGUGCUUAUGACUAGGCUUGAUUAUGUUAGAUUUAUAUCAAGAUCAGAAUGAGUAAUAGUAUUGAUAAGAAUGUGUCUUGAUAUUUUAGGACGAGAUUGAGCUCGAGGCUAAGGUUACUAUUCUUUAUUGUUGAGGAUUGAGAUAAGUAGAUUCAUGCAUGGUAUAUGUAUUUCACUAUUAAAUUAUUUUUAAUUCGAGGUAUCUAUUAUGUUAAAUGAAAAGUAUUUGAAACUAAUUUGUUUUAGCCUAUUACAAUAUUUUGUUAAAAUAAAAUCGUUCUUUAAAUUAUUUAUAAUAAACCUUUUAUUUAUUAAAAACUUGUUUUAUAAAUUGUCUUAAAAAAACUUUUAUUAAAUUGUUUUAAGUCAAAUACUUUGAAAUAAUUAUCAAUUAUUUAAAUGAUUAAAAGUUCAAGGAUGAUUUUAAAUGUUUUUGCUCAUUGUCUGUAAUGAUGCUAUGUUAUGUUAUAUGUUGUGGAAGGCUAGUUGGAAUAUGUGUACAUAUGAUGUUAAUGUUAAUGAUUCUCGUGGGGUACAGUACUCUAAAUGAUGUCAUACGGAUGGGUCACUGGGUCUACAAGUGAUACUAUGUGGAAUGAGCUAAGUAUGUUUUAUGUAUUUAAAAAGCUAAUUAUGUUUUACAUGUUUGAAAUGCUAUUAUUAUGUUUAAAGGAUUUAAAUGACUUUCUGAUGUUUUGAUUUAUUUUUUAUAAAUGAUUAUUUACAAAAGUAAUUUCCCUUAUUAUUAUUAUGCAUAUCUAAGAAAUUCAAACAAUUAUAAUUUAAUGGUUUUUAGUAUUGUGCAUGAAUUUACUUACCGAGUUGACGGCUCACCCCUUGUUAUCAUAUUUUUGUAGAUAGAGUUAGAUGAUGUGAGCUCAUGAUCUUAGGAGGAAGAAUGAGAGCUCGUUUAUUUUUGGGGAUUAAUGUUACAUUAAUAAUUUAGCUUCCUUUGGCAUGAUAUUUAUUUGAGAAUUUGUUAUUUCAUUACUUAUUAUCUUUUGGAAGAGGAGCAUUUACUGUUGGAUAUUAAUUUGAUGAUUUUAGAUACGAGAGUGAUGAAAUACAGUUUCACUUCAAUUUCACUUUAGUAUCUUAUUAGUGGAAUUGGGGUGUUACAUACGUGCCCGGUCAAUGAACUUGAACUUUAAAUAGUUUUUUCAACUCAUUGAUUUUUGGAACUCAUAUUGGUGCAAGGAAAUCAAAAGAAAUUUAUGAUUAGUCAAAUUCUGAUAGUUGCUAUAUAUUAUACAUUCUAAAGUUUCUUGAGUUUGUUUUCAGAUGAAAAUAUGAUCAAUUCAUUUUGUUUUUGAAGUGUAGGAAAAUAGGCUGGGAUAUUAAUGCAUAGGCAAAAACUUUUUGAGUGGCUUUCCAGCGGAUAAUUAUCGGAAACAUGACUGGAUUUUUUGACUUCCGUAAAUCUUGCAUUUUAACCUGGCAAAUUUAACAAAAGUUCAAUACAACUUUGUUAGUGCCUUGUGUUCCAGAAGCUAGAAAGAUGUGUAGAUUCCAUAUAAGCGGGCUUGUAAUUACUCUAGUAAGAAUCCAAUUAUUUGCCUUUGCACCUUCAUUUUAUUUGUGGAUCCUUGCAUGUUUCUGAAUUUGAUCAAUCCAAAAGGAAUUGCUCUGAAGAAUAGCAGUAACUAGCCUAUGUCUUAGUGCAUGGACCUGCAAACCUGAGCUGACAAAGCUGAAACUAUUAGUUUGAGGUGACAAAUCCAUGAUCGUCACCUGUUAACUUCUGCUAGUUGCUUUCGUGAAACACUUUUAAGAAAUAAGCAAUUUGUUGUUAGUCGCCGUAUCUGAUGUGCUUUCUUUUAUAGUUUGUAGAAUCAACUGUAUUAUAUGUUGUCAGUUGCAGUAUCUGAGGUGUCUUUUGCAAUUUACUUGACCUUUAUUUGUUUGCUAGUGAGUUAAGAAUACCAACAUUGGCCAGAGAUUUGGAGAAACAUCCGAAGACGCUUAACAAACUUGGAGAUGCACUUGCUUCCAAGCUUCAUUCAUCACAAUGCGAAUCCGGUGAGUACUUAUGUCUUCAAUUAUGUAGAGUGUUUGAAAUUUUGAUGCAGCGAGAUGGUUUGUUGAUGCAAAACUUUAUACUGUUAAGGACUUACCCUGCAGGCUUUUUGCAUGUUGUAUCAACUCCAAAAUCCAACGAGAACUACAGCACCAAAGCCCAGUUUUCACUGAUUCAAUCAGCUGAAAUCAUGAGGGAAAUAACAGUAUAGCACCAUCAAGCUGGACUUAGAGAAUAAUCAGAUCAGUCAUCCAUUUCAUGAACUGUUAAUUUCAUGAUGGAGGCUUAGUGGAGCUGAAGAGGAAACAAGGAUGUGUAGGGAUCAACAAACAACAGUGAGAAGCACGAUUGGAGCUCUGAUUACAAAUAGACAAUUUAAAAAUAUGUGCUGGUAAGUGGAAAUUAAAGAAAUUUGUGAGCUCAUUCAAGUUUCGGUAUUUUCUUUUUGGAUAACGUUGAUACCAAGUUUGGCAAAUCUGUGUUUUCUGCGUUUAAUCUGUGUUUUGGUUAAAGUAGAUGCUCUGAUUAAUACUUGUUUGUUUUCAUAAAACAGGACAAAAAGAGAUCACCAAUCUUGAUUGAGAAUUCAUUUAAGUAAAAUUUCAAAAAUUGCCAAACACAGUAUAAACUAGGAUGCACUUGCUUAAGAUUCAUUUUCAGACGGAAGUUUGUACCUCCAGAUCAUAAAAUCAUGUUUAUGUUGUAUCUUUAUUCAGCAAUUGAAAGAUUCCAAGUUUGCUGAAACCAUAUUAUUUCUUUCCCAGGCGCUUUCCUGAAGGUAUCGACAUCUAUUUCGAAAAUGUUGGGGAUAAGUUGCUUGAUGCAGUGCUACAAAACUAUGAAGGAUUUCUUGUCGGUGAUUACUACCACCUGGAUAAAAAAUUCAUGGAACUGGUCAUGCCGGCAAUAAAAGAAGGAAAGGUGGUACACGUGGAAGACAUAGAUGAAGGCCUCUGUAUACGUCGAAGACAUAGAUGAAGGCCUGGAGUCCAACAGCCCUCGCUGGGCUAUUCAUUGAUCGGAAUGUCACGAAACAACUGAUUGUAGUUGCUUGGGAAUUUAAAAACCACCAUAUGCUGUAGAAAUGCACAGAGCCAUGCACUUUCAAAGCUUUGUGAAGAUGUCUUGGUCAUGUGUUAGAACAGAUUAUGUUUGUUCGAUUAAAUUGUACGCAGUUAUAAAUCAAAGAUUCAGAACAUUGCAUGUAGAAGUUCAAAUUUUAAAUUUUUGGAAGCAGAGGCGUAGAGUUUUUUUCUUUUGGAAAAAAAAAUCUAAAUUGUGGAGACUAUUUUUAUUUAAUUUUACAAUCUUAUUUUAUUUCUUUCACAACAUAAUUUUAAAAUAUUUAUUUAGUAAAUUAUUAACAUCCAAACCACUAAAGAUUUUUUUGUUAAACGCUCUACUUACAAAGUUAUAUUAAUUAUAGAUUUACUCAAAGAAAGUAUAUUUAAGAAGUUAUAGCAAAAAAAAGUUCUAAUCUGUCUUACAAAGGACUAUUGACAAGAGUGGUGCGACUCCCACCCCUUCAAAGUCCACUUGACACCACGCUUUCUCGAUUUAAAAUUUUAUAUAGUUGAAAAUUGUGUUUUCUUUUAAAUCUCCUUGCUUUCCUCUAUUCUUGUUACUUGAGAAGAAGAACCAGAGUCUAGAAGAACGAAAGAAAAUUCAGCGAGAUAGAAAUUUGGAAAUUUCAUCCGAGCUUUUUUUUUCUUAAAUUUUUUGGUAUUUCUUCCUUGUUUCUAUGGAUUCGUUCAAUGGAUUCUUGACCAUUCUUCCUUCUUUCUAUUUUCUACCAUGAUUCAGAAUUUUUCCUUAAAAAAAAUCUAGAUGCAUGGCCAAAUGAAAUGACCCCCUUUAGAGCUUCGGUUACUGUUGCAUAUUCAGCGUCUGCAUUUGACAAAGCAACUAAAUGCACACUAAAGACUUGCUGUUUCCAUUCAGUAUGCAGUUACACAGACAAAGGCCUUAAUUAUUGUCAAGUUCUCCAGUAGCAUACUCCGAAAUCCACAUACCAACCCACCAGAACUCCAAUCUUGAAACUCCAUAAAUCAAAAUUGAAGUGCCUGCCUCUCUGGUACCUCUCAAGGUCCAUUUUACUACUUUCCAUGUCUUUCCAUGCAUCUACUGACAACUUGGGAAAUGCCAGGUCUUGCAAGCACCACUACUUACAUUUGAGUCUGCUAUUAUUAUUAUUACUAUUUUAUUAUUAUUAUUUAAAAAAAAACACUCUAACUAGGAGAGACAAGUUCCGUGUAGUAGGACUGAGCAACAGGGCCGUAGCAAAUAUUAUGUUUUUAAUCAUUCUUGUACCAAAGUAUUUAAGUAUGCGAUAAAAAAUAAUAAUAAUAAUUUAUUGACAACUAAAAGUUAAUAGUGGCUGGGGUGGACCUGGGUUUUGUUUAAAAAAAUUGAUUAAUAAAAUUUUCGAAAUUUCAAAUUUCUAGUACAGAGAAAAUUGAUGAAUAAAAUUCUGCAAGUUAAUUUCUAAUAUGCCAUGAAAAUAUUAUCAAGUUAAAUUGUAACAUCGUUAAUCACUUAAUCCUCAGUCUAAUAUGCCAUAUAUUUGUUUCUCAGGCUUUAAUCGAAAGUGCCGGUGAUUUAUUGUUAUUUUCAGUAAUCAGAUAGGUAUGUUAAGGCUGUUUAAUUCAUCGACAAUGUACCAACAAGACUCAGAUUGGGAGAUUGUAAAUGUAAUUAACAAUAAUCUUUUAUUCAUUUUGAAGUUCAUUCUAUUGUUUACACAGGAGCAGCGUUCUCUUAUGUUUUAUGGAUAUAAUGUUUGGUAAUCCUAAUUUAAGCUAAGGUAUAUAUAUUUCCUAAUUACAUCUAAUUUAAGCUUAUUCAAAUGCAAUCAAUUAAUGUUCAAUAGUAAAAAUUCCAAAUACUAUAUAUUGUAAGAAUUUUAAUCGUAAUGACAAGGUGAUCAUUUGAAUUAUUAUUAUUAAAUUAUAUGUAUGGUGGAGUCCACACGGUUUUGACUAGAAAUCAAAGAGUUAAGAGACAAUAUUAAUUUAUUUAAGUUAAUAGUAUUUGUUCUGUUUAGUACGUCUUUUGACCAACAAGCAUCCCGGCAUUGCACGCAUUAAUUAAUAAAGCAUUGUGCAUGUCACAUUAUUAGAGCCAAUUGCGCCCGGUACACCUCCAUACUUCAAAAAUUAUCUUAAUACCCUAAAAUCUGUUUUUACCAAAAUUUUCAUCGAUACCCUUUAAAAACGGAUAGGAAAUUACUAAGCUAUCCUCAUUUUAAAACAUUUCAACUCAACGGACAGCACCUCUCCCUUCUCUACUGAAGCAAACAAACACUCAUCUGCUGCAAUUCCCUCCAUUAUCAAACUCAAAUAAACAAACACUGCAAUUCCCUCACCGGCAUCACCUCUGCAAUUCCCUCACCGGCAUCACCUCUACCGAAACAAAUAUUCAUUCUCCAUACAUGAUAAAUUGAACUUCAACACGAGCAAACUAAGCUUGAGAAGGGGAAGCUGCCACAACUGAGAAAGAGAAGCCUAGUUCGUCUCUACAUAAUCGCCGGCGAGAGCUGAUCCUUUACUGUAAAAUAGUCAUAAUUUAACUAGUUGAGGUAAGUAAUUCUCUAUAAAUAGUUUUCUUGUUGAUAUUCAGGGAAAAAAAAAACAAAAAGUUAGGGUUUAUAUAGAAAAAUUAGAUUAAUUAGUUGCGGGUCUCUCAUUACAUGUUCAAAAACAAAUUUCUAGUUGUUUUACUACAUGCAAAUUGUGAACAAUUGAUGGAUUGUGCCGAUUAUAAUUUUGUCAUGUAACACACAAUUUGGUCGUGUAAGGUUAUGUAGGAUUCAAGGUUGUGUAUUACACGACCUUCAUGUAUUGCACUUACACGACUUCAUGUAUUGCACUUACACGACUUCAUGUAUUGCAAUUACACGACUUCAUGUAUUACACGACGUUCAUGUAUUACACGACGUUCAUGUAUUACACGACCUUCAUAUAUUACACGACCUCAUGUAUUACACGACCUCAAAAUUACACGACUUUUUUUACUGUUGUUAAUUCAUUAUAAUAACUUAGUUGUUUAAACACUUAAUUUUUGCUAAGAAUUUAUAUUUGUUGCUAUGCAGAAAAUGUCAACGAAAAGUAUUCAGGAAAAAAUGAAACGAGGCAAACCGAAAGUGAAAAUUACUAAUUUGUCAUCGUUGGAACCAAUAAGAAUAAUAAAAAAUAACCUUAGUGACGUACAAUUGGGGAUUUUUCGCAAAUCAUGUUUUGGGCACUUUUUGGACUUGAAUGAGUUUCAGUUUUGUGCCCAGUUGUUGCACAAGUUGGUAUUAAGUCAUAUGCAUUCAUCCGAUAAGGCAAUGUAUUUUAAGAUAGGGAAAAAAGUUUGUCGAUUUUCAAUGUUUGAAUUUGCAUUAGUUACUGGACUGAAUUGUGAAGAAAUUUAUAAACCUAACUUGGACAUUGUUGAUGACGGUGGUCGUGUAUGUGAUGUUUUGUUGGACGGUUGCACAAAGUUCACUAACACAACGCUAGGUCAGAUAUUUGAAGCAACUAAGUCCAAGGAUGAUAUGAAAAUGGUUAAAUUUGCCAUGUUGUACUUUUUGGAGGUUGUAUUACUUGGAAAAGAAUAUAGAUCAUCUAUAAUUAGGGAUCACAUUCUCCACAUUGACAACUUUGAAGAUUUCAAUAAAUAUCCUUGGGGCCGUGUCUGUUUUGAGAACACAUUAGAAAGUAUGAAGAAUGUGAUUGCAAUUAGACAGAAUAGAGAAAGGGCAAAUCCAGACUAUGUCCCUGAAAAGGAGGCAUACAGUCUUCAUGGCUGUCCAUUUGCAGUUCAGGUAACAAAUUGUCAAUAUUGGUUUCGUAAAGAUUAUUAAGAUUAGGAAUAUUAAUUAUUUCUUUUACUUGCACAGGUAUGGGCACUUGAAAUUUUCAGUGAAGUGUGUGAAACUUUUUCCUCGAAAUGUAAGCAUGUCAAAUAUCCAAGAAUUCUAAAUUGGACAAUCACUAAACAUGUUAGCUCUAAUUUGCUUGACUAUUCCAUAUUUGAUAAGAAAAAGGUAAUAACAAACAAUCUAGAUCGUUAGUGUCUUUCUUUUUUUCUUUUUAAUUUAUCUUUGACAUUUAUUAAUUGGCCUAAUUAUUACAGCUUAAGGUACUGGAGAAGUUGGAUGUCGCUGAUGAAAUAGAGGCAUCACAGCCUAAUCUACAAUGGUUUUGGCAAACAAAUUGGCUGCAACAACUUGAAAAUGAUUUUCGUGUUGACUCAAAGAGUAAAAAAUCAGCCACUCCAGUCUCAGAACAGAAAAGUAGCAGUGUUGUGCAGAAAAAUUAUGUGGCCAUGGAAGUUAAAGAGACUAAUAAACGUGCGAAGUGUCAAGUUAUGUCCAUGAAAUACAAAAUGAAUUAUGAACAUGCAAAUUCUGUUGAGGACAAAACUGUAAGUUUUUUUAAUCUUUUAAUAACAAUUGCAUUUUUCAAUUUUUUUUUUGUUUGCCUAAUAGGCUCUGUCUUGUUCUGCUUGCAAGGGUAAACGUCUUGGUUACAUUGAUAAUUUGAUUUCUUUUAUCGAGGACAAGUUUAAUUGUUUGGAUAAGCGUCUCAAAAAGAUCGAAGAGAAGGUGCAAAAAAUUGACUCAUUAGAGGAGAAUACAGGUGAUGUGAGGGAGAUGAGAGAACAAGUCAAUAAAAUUGUAGACUUAGUGGAGUUCCUAAAUUCAGCGGACUACAAUGUGAAGGUUCAUUUUAUUAUUAUUUUUAACUAAGUAUGUUAUUAUUUUUAACUAAGUACAAAUUGUGUAAAGUUAUUAAUAUUUGCUGCUGUGCAGAUUCCGACAACAUUUGAUGAUAACCCGAGUAUUGCCACACCUGCGACUGUGUUUCCAAGCUUCACCACAAAUGCAGGCAUAGUCAAAGAGGAUCCAAUAAUUAUUCCGUCUACACAGCAAGAGGUGAAAAAAUAUGAAAGAAAAAGGCGAUCUCGAAAGGAUGCAGCUGUUUUACGCACGCCAUAUACUAACCCAUUUCGAAAAUCGCGACAUGUCAACGUCGAUGAAGCAAAACAGCAAGUUCAGUUUGAGCAUUGGCUGAAGGAGGAUAAUAUGGAAUCGUAAUUCCUUAUUUCUCUUUGUAAACUUACUUUUAUUUGAAACAAUAUUUCCUGGUUGACUAUAACAAGCAAUAAGUUUUACUCACAUUUUCUUUUUCGUUACUGCACAGUAAAAUAUUAUCGUGGCCUAUGCAUAAAGCAACAAAGAACUUCUUCCGCAGCUUGUAUGAUGCAGACGCGUGGUUAAAUGGCGGGGUAUUAUUAAUAUAGUUUUUGUUUAGCAUGUAAUUUACUGCAGUAAUGUUUGCAUUUAAUAUUAAUUUACAUAUGUUGGUAAUAUGUACAGCAUAUAGACGUUGGUUGUUACGUGAUAAGAUAUGAUUUGGCCAAGCUCACUAUGCCACAUUUGCACCAAUGUGCAAUCAUGGAUAGUGUAUUUCAGGUACUUAGUACUCUGUAGUAAUAAACAAAUAAGAUAUGUAAAUUUGUGCACUGAAAACUUGCAAAAUUCAUUGUUUUUUCAGCAAAAGCUUUUGUUGAAGUAUGAGUUGUUUAAGAAGGAUCCAACUACAAUAUGGGAUGAAGAUCAAGAACAUGAUUUGACAAUCAAACAAGCAAAUGGCGAAGAUCUUCCAUUCGCUAUUCCAUGGAGAGAUGUUUAUAAGGUAAAGUUUAAAUUUUCUUAAUGCAUCGCUAAAGUUUAAAUUUUCUAUUUUUGAUUGGCUCAAAUUAUUGUAGGUUUAUAUCCCAAUUAAUGUACUUGAGUGUCAUUGGAUUCUUGCUGAGGUUGACAUUGUAAGGGAGACAAUUUCCAUAUAUGACUCCAUGGUUUCUAUAAUGAAUGACUCAACAUUUUUGAAAGAAUUAUUGCCAUAUGCUGUUAUUAUUCCUCUUCUACUGGAGAAGGUUUUAUGGUAUGAUUCGCACCCUGAAACUACCCAAAAAAAUAAAGUUUGGAUAGUUUUGCGUUUAGCGAAUACGCCACAGUAAGAAUCUCGGUGAGCAUACCAAAUGCUCAAUUUAUUUUCAUUUUACUGUUAUAGUUAUAUAUUCAGUAUAUAGUUAACUAUUUUUUAAAAUUCUCAGUGGAGAUUGUGGUGUGUUUGUUUUGCGUUACCUGGACACACUUGCACGUGGUGAAGAUAUUCAAACAAAUUGUACGCAGGCACAUGUCUCUUCUUAUCGCAAGCAACUAGCUGAAAGACUUUUCUAUGACCAGUCAUUACUUUCAAAGAACAACUAACAUGUGAGUAUUAUUUUUUUAAAUGAAGUCAUUGCUGUUGGAAUAGUUUGGUUUCUUAAUGUGAAACCAAAAUAGGCCAUCACUGUUAGUUUGGUUUCUAAUUAAUUUCAUGGAUUUAUUAUAUGCAGGCAUUCCUCAUGCAUGCAUGUAUGCUUCGGCAGAGGAAGAAAGCAAUUUCAAGAAAAAAAAACUUUUAAAUGGUUGUAAUAUGUUUAAUUGCGAUAUCCAUUAGUGUAUCCUAUCCAAAUAUUGACAUUGUAAACUGAUAACUUUCUUUAUUUAUAAUAAUUAAUCUCAUCAUUUCUCAAACUGUCGAAUAUGCAAACUUAUUUGUUUGCUGUAAUUUAUGAACACACAAUUUGGUCAUGUAAGGUCAUGUACACGACGGUCGUGUAUUACACGACCGUCGUGUAGUACACGAGUAUAUUACAUGACCUUAAUAUAGUACGCGACUAUUACAUGACGUUCAUGUAUUACAGGACUUCAUGUGUUACACGACUUUUUCCAAUAAUCAUCAGAUUAAUUUAGUUCUUUAAGGACUUAAUUGGGGCUAAAAUUUUAUAUUUGUUGCUUUGUAGAAAAUGUCAACUGAAAUUAUAAAAACAAAGAAGUUAAAUUAAAUUGGAAUGUAAAGAAAUUUAGUUAUUUCAUAAUGCAACAAAUUACAGUUUCCAAGCAUAACAUAUCCAAGACUAAAAAAUUGUAAAUCCAAUUAUCUAAGUUUGGUUAGCCGUAGGGCCAUGCUCUUGCUCUGAAAGUGGUGUUGUUGCAGUGCAUGUUAGUCGAUUAUGCCCCUCAAUCUGCACCUACUACACUUGCGGUGCACGAUGUCUUCCCCUUGAGAAGGUAUUCUAGUAGUUCGCGGUCGUCCUACCUCUCGCUUUUUCAUUGGCAGUGACAGCACAUAUGCACGCACCUCUUCUGAAACAUCCCAUUCCUCUUGUGGACCCACAAGAUAAAUGCUCUCUGCAUAUGCUGUAACCCAUGCAUUGACAGAAUAAUAAUGAGCACAUAAAUCAUAAAUAGAAUAGUUACGCAUAUGCUUACAUACAGCUACCACAUGUUCAUAGGGAAAUUGGUCAAUUUGAAACUCAUUACAACUGCAAGUCUUUUGUAGCACGUCAACAUGGCCAUCAAGGUCGCCAUCCUUAACUAUAAACUCAUGGAAAUUAAUCUGUAUUACUGGAUAUGUGUGUGAUUUAUCCAAUUUCCCUUUCAACUAUUUCUCAACCCAAGUAGUCAUUAAAGUACAUGCAUCCAUUGCCAAAUCUCGCCUUUUUGCAAACCAUUCUUGUAAUUUGUCAAUGAUACAAUCCAUUAACUUAUAAAUAGGCAAGGUUCGUGCUUCUUUUAAGAUAGAAUUCAUACUUUCUGCAAUGUUAGUCGUCAUAAUCCCAUAACGCCUCCCCUCAAAAUGAGAACGAGCCCACUUCUCAUAUCCGGCAUCAGUCAGGUAUUGGUGAACAUUCAAACUAACACUGCGGAUGACAUUCAUAUAUUGAGUAAACUUAAUGGGCCGAUAUGCCUUUGCAGCCAAUUCAAAUAAAGCACCCACAUCAACUUCUUUAAAAUGAGCAUUUACAUUUCGUUUUAGAUGAUGCGUACAUAUGUCAUACCCUACAGUAGGAAAUACUUUAUCAACUGCUUUCUUAAUACUUCCAUGACGGUCAGAAAUGAAUACUAAAUUAGGAACAUCACCAAUAGACUCUCUUAACUUCAUAAAAUACCAUUCCCAUGAAGCGUCAUUCUCACUGUCACCUACACCAAAUGCAACAGGGUAAAGUUGAUUGUUGCCAUCAAGAGAUGUUGCAAUGAAUAAUGUUCCUUUGUACUUGCCCCUCAUGAAUGUACCAUCAACUGCAAUAACAGGCCUAAUACAUGAAGUGAAUCCUCUCAAAGAACUUCCAAUGGCCAUGAAACAGUACUUGAAGUUGUUCGCACUGUCUUUUUUAAUGAAUGUUCGACUUCCAGGAUUUUUUUUUUUCAACCAUUGCCAUGUAUGAGGGUAAUAAAUGGUAUGAAUCAGCCGGACUGCCCCUAACCAUCUCCAUUGCAAACUCCCUUGCUCUCCACGCCUUGUGAUAACUUAUUUCAUAACCAAACUCUUUUUGAAAAUCUUGCAUAAUAUCAGCUGGCUUAUACGUAGAUGAAGCACCAUCAAACUUGUGCCGAAAAUUUUUCCCAACUAACUUGGAUGAAGCUUGACGGUUGUCUUUUUCCUGUGAAUCAAGGGAGCAAGUAUGGACAUUGUAAUACUUUCUAAUUUCAAACAUGUUGCAACCUUUAAGUCUACUUGCACGAAGGCGCCAUUUGCAGUUGUCAUCCAUACAAACAACAACAAGUAAGUCCUUGUCUGAUUUUGGGGUUUUGAAUUGGAACCUUUUUUUCACAACUAGUGCUUUAAGCUUUUCUUGCAAUGCCUCCUUUGACUCAAACACCUCUUUCACCAUCGACACAUCAGUAUCACCACUAACUUCUGUUGAUAAUAAAUUACUGCUACUAGUAAGUAAAUUUAUUCUGGGCACAUGUCCAUUGUUUGAGGUUCUUGAACUUAUAGGAGCUGGAGUAUUAUCUCCUAAUGCUAAAUCAACAGCUAAUGGUGGCUCAUCCAAACAAUCAACUUCAGUUACAAAUUCAUUAACUUCAGUAAAAUUGUUCGAACUGAGAAUAGGAAAUGAUGGAGGCACGUAGCUGGAGAAAGCAUGACUCUCUUCCCAUGAAAGACGAGGUGAAGGUUGUCUAUCCACCGGAACUGUCGAAAUUGAUCUACGUUCAAAAGUAAUGCAGAGCGGGUUUCUAAACUCCAUUCCACUAGCUACUUCCUCUAAGAAAAAUUCCACAUCAUCAUUGGUUUGAAUUGUAACUGGUGGCAUAGGAUCAGAUGUCUUAAGUUUGAACUUCAUUGUGAUUUCGAAUUCCGAAGUAUCUAUAUCAAUAACUUCAGCUAUCUUGUCCACCAAUUCGGCAUAUGUUGUCGAUCGUGGUAUCAUUAUCCCUUUAGCCUUGGAACCUUUGAACUUAUACUCGUCAUUUUGCUCAAUCCAUUCACCAUUAAAGAGAAUAGGCACACGUACCAAAACCAUUUCUGAUGAUACAAUAAAAACAAUAAUAUCAAAUUUCAUAUACAAGUAAGUACACGACUUACACGACUAUAAUACUUACACGACUUACACGACUAUAUUUCUUACAUGACCUACACGACUUACACGACUAUAUUUCUUACAUGACUUACAUGACUUACACGACUAUAUUACUUACACGACCUACAUGACUAACUAUAUGACGUACACAGUAUCAAGAGAAUGCACGGCGCGAAACAUUUUCGCUAUAAAUAAGUUAUAUUGCUGAAAAAAAUAAUUAAACAACCUACAUUGCAUAUAUUUCUACAUAUAAGAAAAAAUGGUGAAAAUAAAACAUUGUAAUGUGAGGAAAAUUUCUAAAUUUUUCUCAAAAUUAAUAAAUUUAAAACCCAAAAACAUUAACAUACCUUAUUGGGUUGUUUAAUAAGCAAUGCACCUUUAAAGAAAGAGUGGGUGUUAAAGAAAUAAAUACAUAAUUGUAUUUGUGUAAGAAGUUAUGAGAGAUUUUGAGAGAUUCUAAGAGAUUUUGAAAGAAUCGGCAGCAAAAAUGGAGUUGGGUGAAAGAAAUGAGGAAAUGAAUAUGAAGACAAUUUAUUGAAUGAAUUUGAUGCAUUCAUUAAGGGUAUUUCUGACUUUACUCACAUUUGUUAGGGUAUUCAUGAAAACUAAAAAGGGAGGGGGUAUUUCAAUAAUUUUGAAACUAUUAAAGGGUAUUUAAUUAAAAACCCCACAUUAUUAGUACCUAGUUGAUUAGUCAUUUGGUCUUCAAUAAAUGUUAGUUGAUAUAUGCUUGAAAUCAUAUUCUGUUUUAUAUGCCGAAUCAUAUUGUAAGAUGGUGAUAUUAGCAUGUUUCUUUUUCUUUGUGCUGUUUCUCGUUUGAUUACAUUUUCAACAACAAGUCGAUCUGUUGAAGAACAAGUUUGGGUUUGAUGAUGCUUUUAACUAUAAGGAAGAGCCAGACUUGGAUGCAGCUCUCAAUGGGUUGACACGAAUGAAUCCUUUCACCCUUUUUCUCACUUCAUUAUUACAAUGCGCUUUGAAGUUAUCUGUGUUGUUAAGGUUAAGGUUAACCCUGCAGGCUUGUUCGAUGCUGUAUCAACUCCAAAAUCGAACAACAUCUACAGCACCAAGACCCGGUUUCAAUCAGCUCAAAUGAUGAGGUAAAUAACACCAUCAAGCUCAGCUUAGAGACUCAUUAGAUAAGUAAUCCAUUUUCUCAGCUGUUAAUCUCUUGAUGGUGGCUAGUGGAGAAGCAGAGGAAACAAAGGAUGUGCCGGAAUCAAUUAGAACAGUGAGAAGCGUGAGGGGAGUUAUGAUUAUAUUUAGGCUUUUUGAUGAUGCUUUGAACAAAAAGGAAGAGCCAGACUUUGAUGAAGCUCUUGAAAGGUUAGCGAAAAUGAACGCUUUAACCAUGUUUCCAACUUCAUUAUCACAAUAUCUGACAUUGCAUAACUUCAAGUAAAGUUGCUCUUAAAAGGUUAGCAAAAAGCCAAAAAUGAUUGAAGUUAUCUGAGUUGAUCCAGAAAAUGUAAUGGAAAUACUCCCCUGCUUCGUAAAACAGGACAAACAGAGAUCGCUGGUCGCGCAUGGGAACUAAUUGCAUUAAAGUUUCAAACAUUACCAAACAAACUAGGAUGCAUUUGCUUAAGAUUCAUUUUCAAAAGCAAGUUGUAUGUUUAUGUUGCAGCCUAUAAAACCAUGUUUAUGUUGUAUGUUUAUUCAGGAAAUGAAAGAUUCGUCGUGUUAUUUUAUUCCAAGAAUUCGCUGAAACCAUACCUGCUUUCCCAGAUGCUUUCCUGAAGGUAUCGACAUCUAUUUAAAAAAUUCUGGGGGUAAGAUGCUUGAUGCAGUGCUACUCAACAUGAGAAUUCACGGCCGCUGCUGUAUGCUGAAAGAUCUCACCGUACAACCGUGAGAAGCCUGAAGGUGUAUUCAACUUGAUACAACUGGUCGUAGUUGCUAGGGAAGGAUAUAAGGUGUACUCAACUUGAUAUGCUGUAAAAGUGCACUAUGCCAUGUACUUUUAAAGCUUUUUGAAGAUGUUUUGGCCAUGUGUUUGAUUAGAUUGUACUCAGAUAUAAAUCAAAGAUUCAGAACAUGUUUGUUACUGUUUUUCAGAAUCCAGAACAAUAAAUACCUUGAAAUGUUUUUGUUCAAUGAUUUUGCAGAAGACCAGCUUCCUUGUUAAUGAAUCAAGAUGGCUGAAUCCGUCCCUAAGCCAAAUCUGUUUUCACUUUUAGGUUAGAAAUUGUCAUUAAAAAGUGUUUGAUAAAAUAUGCUCCGGGAACGCUAUUCGUCAGAUGGUUACUCCAAGUUUAUGAAAUCAAUGGUAUUUCAUCAUAUUCAUAACACUCUGCUUUAAUAUCUAUUCUAACAGAGAAAUUAUAUACAGAGAAUAGGUUGCGUUAGAACUUUUGCUAGAAAAAAGUGACAAGAAUUCAUCGUUCACUUGUAUCUUAAGUAAGUGUAAAAUUUAAAAUCCCAUCAUGAAAAACUCCUGGGAGAAAAAACUAUAAAAAUUAAAGAAAAAAGAGUGUGGCGUGCAUGUAAAUUAUGUCGAUUCUAUCUAUACGAUAAAUACACUCUCUUUUACAAUGGCACGGAUGCUUCAUUGAGUAAUCAUGAUUGUUGCUGGUAGUGCUUUGUUGAAUCAAUCUGCUAGAUAUUCAGCUUUCUUUCUUUCUUACUUUUUUUUUGUUUUAAUAAAUAGCUUGUGGUUGUGAAAAUAAUUUGAAUUAAACUAUGCUUAACUGCCUAUUUGGUACAACUUCUCUACUAGCCAAAAGAUUUUUUUUUAAUCAUUUAUUUAUACCUCGAGUAGAGUUUUUGGAGAUUAAAUAGGUGAUAUUUUGUCUCUAUUAAAAAGAAAACUCAAAAGGUAGGACUAUUUGAAGUUUGAAUCCACCAAACUACUCAUUAAAAAUUCAUUUGUGAAAAUAAUUUUUAAUUAUUAAAAUACCCCUAAAUUAAAUUACAAUUAUGAACACUAAAAUAUAGUAAACAAUUUUUUUUUUACUCUUUGAAAUUGUCCUUACAUUCGAUAUUAAAUUUUUUUCUUAAACUCUAAAUUAAUUUUUUUUUUCAUUUUUAAGUAAUUUUAAGGCACAUAUAAAGUGAUUCAUAUUGAUUUUAUACUAACAAACUAUUACAGCAGAUUUGGAAAAUGAUUAACUCGUUCUCAUUUUCCUAGUGAAAAUGCAAAUAGCUCAUUUAAACGUUAAGGAAUUGGAGAGUUGCUGCUGGAGAUGAAAGAUGUGAAUUAAACAUCAGAAAAAAAAAUUAUGUUUACUAUCUUACCAGACCAAGCACCGAAAAGCAUGGUAAAGAAAAAUUACAUAAUUCUGACUUAGAAGACGAAAAAAAAUGAAAUACAAUUUGAAUAAGAGAUAGAAGAUAAAGCACGUGAAUGGAGGCAGAAAGCAAGUAAUGAUAACUCUUUCGACAAAACUAAUAUAUAUCAAAAUGCAAUAUCAAAAAUGAAAAUAAAAAUUCAUUACGAAUACAUGUUAAUGAUAUCCCAAGUGUUGAGUAAUAAAAAGUACCAGGCAGGCAUCUCCCCAUUCCAUGCCUGAGAAUGAAUCUCUCCAGCUGAAUGAUACGAGCAGAUUCCUAAUAAUAUAUCCUUUAUGGAACACAUACCAACUAGAAACGAAUACCGACCAGAAGUUCAUACCGACCAGGUACUUGUCACUCAAAGAAAGAGAAUACAAUCUCACGAACGCGCGACAGUUUUGCCACAUUCCAAACCGCUAGGGAGAACACGACGCCCCACGUUUACCCACAUUCAGUUGUUGAAGACCCAUUAAGGCCCUUGAUCACCCAAAUAUGACGGGAAGGAAAAAUAUUCUGAGAAAGUGGGACGAUUGCCUAUAAAAAGCUGGGAAAUCAAUUAAGAAAGGGACAGACAAAAAGAGAGAGGGGGGAAACUCUACCGAAUUGAUACCAGGCAUUACUACAUAAUAGCCUUAAAUACAUUUUACUUUAAGAACAUCACAAUGAGUGUGCGUAACCAUAAAUCAUACAAUUUUCCCGCAAACUUCAUGUACUAACUUAAGCAUCGGAGGGUUUAUUCCGGAAAAACCACCAACGUCUCUGGUUUGUUUAUGUGAAUGUAGAUUUGAAAAGAAGAGAAAGAGUGAUUUGAGUUCAAGGAGCUCGGGCAAUUGCUAAAGUUAGUGGAAAAAAUUAAAUGAGACUCAAAAUCAAUCCAGAGGAAUAAAUGAGAAACCUAAUCCUAAUAAAAUACAUUCACAAAUCUUAAUGCUAAUUAAAAUCACGGAUAAAAAACAUAAUAUGAAUGAAUUACAGGCACAACUAUUUUAUUAAGAAAUUAAUAAAAUCGUGUAUUAAUAUAUUUUGUACAUUUUUUUUCCAUAUAUAACUUUCGGUAAUUUAGUUUUCCACUUAUCAUUUUUACUCCAAAAAAAUAUUGAGAAUAUUAUUUAUGUUUUGGUGUAAAAUAUUUGAACAAUAUACAAAUUUUCAGUUUAAUACAUCUAAACAUUUAUUAAGUUAUAAAUGAAUUUAAUGGGUUUAACUAGUACAAAUACUAUUAUUUUAUAAAUUGGGUUUAAUAAUAGUAUAUUGGGGAUUUAGGUUGAGUAAAUUUUAAAAUUUUAAAAUUAAAGGGUGGGUUUGUUUAGCAAAUGAGUUUUUUUUUUUUUUUUAUUACAUGAGACUAUUGCUCAAAUUACAGUUCAAGUUACAACUCAUAUUACAUGAGAGUAUAAUUGAUAUGUACAAUCAUAUAUUUAUACUGAGCCCUGUUGAUAUUAAUGCUGAUAUGACACCGCUCAGAUUUUUAACCCUCUCAAAUAUUUGAGGGAUGUCAAACUCCCAUCCUGGGAGAAAGACUGUCUUCACUCGAGCUCAAGGGCUCCAAGAAAGAAUAUUUAAAGUAAAACCCCUACAAUGCGACUGCGGAGGCUCGAACCCCUUCCCUCACAUUUGUGAGGGAGGGGCUUAGCCUUAGCCCAAGUGGCUCUUUUAGCAAAUGAGUUAAGGGAAUAGUUUGUUGGGAUUUAAAUAGCCCCACCCAAACUCAAAUGUAAAAUUUUUGAAAAAAGAGACUAUUACGUUUUAAAAAAAAGAAUUAAAAGGUCAAGAAUACCUCUAUUUAAUUUUAUAAUCAUAUUUUAUUUCUACCCUAAUAUAAUAUUAAAAAACUUAACUAAAAAUUUUAUAAUUUUUUAUAAAAAUUACCAUUAACAUCCAAAAAGCUAAAGAUUAAAAAAAAAAAAGGAACUGUAUUUACAAAAGUUAUAUCAAUAAUAAAUUCAGUCCAAAGAAAAAAGUUAUUGUAAACAAGUACUCAUAUUUAUCUCUACUUUAACAAUAAUCUUCGAAUCCGUUUUACAAUGGAUUUUAACCAAUGGGCUUAUGAGUCCUUUUUUGGAAAGCAUGAAAGCGAUGGCCCAAUCUCUAAACUUCAUUUUCUUUAGCCAGAAAGCCUAAAACAAGACCAGCCCAUAGAUAUAUAACUACCGGAAAAAAUUAAAAAGAAAAAAAAGAGUAAAAUUGUGUAAGAGCUUUUAGAAUUACAAUUUUAGGAUCACGUGUGUAAAUGGAACUCCAAGAUUGAUCAAGAAUUAACAAGGCAAGAUGAAGGGAUGAUCUUGUAGCAAAGAAUGAAGAAAUUGAAUCAAGAAAGUACUCUAGUGCUUUAGUGCUUUACAGUUAAGGGAUAUAGGGUGCGUUUGGGAUUGAGGUUGGGCAGCUGUAGCUUAAAAGCUACAGCACUAAAGUGUUUGGUAAACACUAGCUGCUGUAACUUUUAAGCUAUGUUGAUAUAAUUUUUCACUUGUAUAAUAUAAAAUUUAUUAUAUCUUUAAUAAUUUUGAUAAAAUUAUUAUUUACAAUUUAUAUUUAUUAUAUAUUAUUAACUUUUAUUUCAUAAUUACAACUUCUUUUUUACAGCAGCUGUAGCUUAAAAACUACAGCACCUCAAUCCCAAACACAACCAUAGUGUGAAUUCAUUACAAAGCAUUCGCAAAGAAAUUGUUUUUAAAUGAAACUCCUCGUCUUGACCAGAUUAUUUAUUAUUAUUCAAAAAAAAAAUGUUCAAAACUUAGCCAAAGUGAUAAACUCGUAAUUAUUCUACAAAGGGAACAAUUUUGAACGGUCGGAAAUUCCAUGCUUAUGAUUUUCUCUGCACUAUUUCAAUAAAAUUAUUACCCAGUGAAGACUUUAGAGACAAGUGCCCCCAUGAGAUCAAGCAAAUAUGCCCCCACAAAGAUCACAUAAUUAUUUCUUGUUCUUUUUCUUUUUGACAAUUUUAUCUGUGGUUUCAACUUUUACGCUUUAUUGUCAUUUCUCGUUGAGGGCUCCGCUGCACCCAUUACAACUUACCCCUAUAUUGUCUUUUACUGACUAAACCGUUAGAUUUGACGGAUAGCACGUUCAAUGCUGAAUUUUAAUUAUAUCAUCAAAUUUCGUUUAGCUCCUUAAACUCCAUUUUAUUUUUUAUUUCUUUAUAAAAUAUUCAAAGCUUCAUCAAGCUCCCGAUGGACCAUCAUGGCUAGGGGUGCAUUAGAGCCGAACUGAAAUAUGUUAGUUUAGUUUAGUUUGGUCAGUUUAAAUCGAAUGGUUUAGAAAAUAUAAAAUGAUCAAUUUUAAUUUUGAAUUGAACCGAACCAAAAAUUAAUUGAUUUGCUGUUAGUAUUUUUGCAUAAACAUAAAUGAUUAGUGAUUAUAAUUGAAUUGGACUAAAAAAAAUCAAACAAAAGUGAAAAAUAUAAAAUCUUAGACAAUAUAAAAGAAAAAAUAUUAAAUAUAUAAACCAAAACGAACUGAAUUAUUUUGACUCAGUUUUGGUUCAUAAUUUUUUAAACCAAACUGAUUUAUUCCCACCCCCUAAUCGUGGCCCUCUAUCUUUAGUCAUUCACCCUUGAGUUUGAUACCAAUUGUUGGGUUUCAAAUGAUUAUACACUCAAAUGGAACCCCUCAUAACCAAAAACUAACAGAAACAAUAAGAACACAAUGUUAAAAUCUUAAAUCAAUCGCAAAAAAGCACCCAAAACAGAUCGAUUAGGAAUAGUUAACAACAAAAGAUUUAAUGGUUCAAAAUCAUAAUGUGACCUACUUCCAUCCAAGAAUCAUACUAAUUGCUUUACUUGUUGUCAAAUACGAGAUCAUAAGAUUGUUUAUCACUCUACAGAGAAAAAAAAUUUAGAAGAAAUACUCCCCAAUUUUUCUCUUAAUAGUUAUGAAUCAACACCCCUGAUUUACUUUUCCUUAUUUCCUAUGAUCGGUUGCUGCUACUUAAUCCUUACCAAGCUCCAACAUAGUCCAAACACUUUUCAUGGUACAUGCACAGUGCACCUUCAGAAACUUUACAGCUCUUCUUAAAACCUCAGGCCUAUAGAGUGCAAUUUCGCACCUAUAUGCUUAGUCCUCUCAGUUCUCGUGAUGUUUUUGAUUUAUUUCUCGGACGAGUAGCACUUUUAGCUGCCAUAAUACAAUGUAAUUGACUUCUGAGCAUGACUUAAUUUUGAGAUCAUUACUUUUAGUUAAAUGAUCUCCUCCAGAGCUUCUACCUAUGUAGUGUUUUUAGACCUCUAUAGUUGAUAAAGCAUGUUCAAGGUGAAGGCUUGUUUUCCAAUCUAUAGUCCAAUUAUAGACUGGAACUGGUCAGGCUUAAUGCACCUUCAAAAGCUUCACAACUUAUAUUGAAACCUUAAGCCUUGUAGAAUGCUACAAAUUUUAAAUCCAUAUACUUAGUGCUCUUAUGAUUUGUUUGAUUUUUACUUAGAUGAAGAGCAUUUUAGCUAUAGAAUACAGAAACUAAUUCAAAGCCUGCCUUAGCUAUGAGAUCAUUCAUUCUAGCCAAAUGCCCCUUUAGAGAUUCUGCUAUUGUUGCGUAUUAAGCCUCUAUAUCAAAGCAAUUACAUGUCGAAGGCUUGCUUUGCAGUUAACAGCGCAAUUACAAUUAUAUAGAUUAAAGGUGUAAAUCCAUAAAACUACCAGACUUCAAUCUUUAGACUCCAUAGAUCAAACCAUAACUUAGUGUGCCUUUCAAUCUCAGGUAACUGUUUUCCACGUCUUGCCAUGUACUUGCUGCUAACACUAACAAUUUGAGAAAUGUUAGGCAUCGUAAGCAGCCGACAACACUCUUCUUCAUUUCUUCAUUGUCAAUUUCUUUCUUGGAACAUUGCUCCAUUGAGAGUCUGCUAUCAUUGCUCCAAUUAUUAUUAUUUUUGUUUUUGUUUUUUAAAAAAAUAACCGUGCAAUAAGAGUAUAAGACUAAGCAACGGUCCUUUUUUUUUUACCCAUUCUUGAACAUGAAGUAUUUGAGUAUGUAAUAAAAAUUGUUUAUCGAUAAUUAAAAGUUAAUAGUGGGUGGCUUUAGGUUUUGUUUACAAAAUUGACAACAAAUUAGAUUUUUCAAAUUCAUAGGUAAGAAACUUUUCAUUUAUUCAUAGAUUUUCCGGUUUAAACUUUAAAGGAAACUUAAAAGAAAAAGAUGUAUCAUUAGGUUUGUAAUUAAAAAAAUUUAAUAUUGUAUGAUCUGUUCGAUAUGCAUAAUUUAAAUAAACAUUAAUAUAGAUGUUAUAUAUCCUAAAACUUAAUUGACUUAAUUCUUAUGGUGCAAGGAAGAGGUUUCCAAGUUUAAAUCUAAAGUCUUGUAUUUAAUUUGGGGUCGGGAAAGCACUGGGAAAUAAAUGUAACAAAGGAAAAAAAAAAAAGAAUGACAGUCUGAGUGGAGCCAACGCGGUUUUAAAAAAAGUGAAAAAAAGGGUUUAAAAAAAAAAACGCGGUUUGCUUGCUUGUGGAAAUAGAAGUCUCAUGUUUCUUUGAAAGGUAAGCAAGUGUGAAUGUUUCUAUCUAGAGCUGGAAAAUGCAUUUCCGUGCAACUUACUUGAUGAAUGAAGUUUUCAUCGCUGACCCUGAUGUUUCCCUGAGCUGCAUUCAUUGCAGCUGAUGUAUUUCAUUUUGUUUUCGAAGGAGUGACACAAAAUCUCCUUCGUUAAGGUGAGAAUUUAGAGUGGCUUUAACUGUUAACAAAUAGCCUAAUAUAAGACUUAAUCUACUUCCUGCCCUGUUGUAUGCUUAUGAAAUUUGAUAGAGUUAUGAGUUUGCAGAAGCUACUGUAUUAUAUGUUGCUUGAGGCUGUAAAAAUGAGGCAGAUCAAACACACAUUUAAAUUUCAAUGACAAUUUACUGGAAGUAAAUUUCCUAUGACCCUACAUGUGACUAAUUGAUGAGAAGUUGACAAAUGACAAAAGAAAGUGUAUGAGCUUUGCAGGUUGGCAUGCCGAUACUGACUGUGUGGCACCAUCCGCCAUUUGGAAGUGAAUAUCAUUAUUCUUUAAUCAACAUGGUGGAGUCCACUGGGACCACACCACAUGGUCAGUCUUAUCUCUAUUCCUCAAUUUUCAGUAUUCCAUACAUGAAAACAACUUCAGUUUUGUUAUCAAUUAUAAUUUCAUUGUUGGUGACGAUUCUGAUUCCUUUCUUUCUGACAAAACGGAACCAUGGUUGCUGUGGGAGAGAUCUUACUCAACGCCUUCUUUCAGGUGUUGUUUGACAGGUUGGCUUCCCGUGAUUUGCUCAGCUUUGUCCGUCAACUUGGAGGCGGGGUCGAUUCCGAGCUCAAGAAGUGGGAAAGAAAGCUGAAGAUGAUUCAGGCGGUGCUCAACGAUGCAGAGGAGAAGCAACUGACUGACGAGGCUGUGAAGACGUGGCUGGACGAUCUCCAAGACUUGGCUUAUGACGCUGAGGACAUUCUUGAUGAGUUUGCUACUCAAGCUUUGGAAAGCAAGUUGAUGGCGCAAAAUCAGGAUAGCUCUGGCCAGGUUCUCAGUUUCAUCCCGGCUAGUAUCCGAAUGCUGUUAGGUUCAAUUAUAGCAUGAGGUCCAAGAUUAACGAUAUUACUAGCCGGUUGGAGCAACUCUGCAAAGAAAGAAUCGAACUUGGACUGCAACGGAUUCCUGAAGGGGCAUCAUCAACUGCUGCUGCUGCACACCAGAGGCCACCCAGUUCAAGCGUCCCACCAGAACGUGAAGUUUUUGGUAGAGAAGAAGAUAAGGCCAAAAUUCUUGAUAUGGUAUUGGCCGAUAGCCCAAGUGAUCAUGCCAACUUUGCUGUAAUACCCAUUGUUGGCAUGGGCGGGAUAGGAAAAACAACUCUCGCUCGGGAGGUCUACAAUGACAAGGCCGUUGAACAUUCCAAGUUUGAUGUAAAAGCAUGGGUUUGUGUAUCUGAUGUCUUUGACAUUUUGGGCAUCUCAAAGGCACUUCUCGAGUCAAUCUGCUGCGCAGCUAGUGAUCUCAAGACUUUAAAUGAAGUGCAGGUUCAACUGAAAAAAGCAGUGGACGGAAAAAGAUUCUUGCUGGUCUUAGAUGAUGUUUGGAACGAGGACUACAGCUUGUGGGUAGACUUAAAAGCUCCAUUCUUGGCUGCUGCACCAAAUAGUAAGAUGAUUAUCACCACACGCAAUUCACAUGUUGCAUCUACAAUGGGACCCAUUGACCAUUAUAACCUCAAGCAUCUGUUAGACGAUGAUUGCUGGUCUAUUUUCAAAACGCAUGCAUUGGAGGGUAGAGAUCAUAAUGCACUUGAAAUCUCAGAAUCAUUUCGCAAGAAAGUUGUUGCCAAAUGUGGAGGCUUGCCCCUUGCUGCAAAAACACUCGGAGGCCUUUUGCGUACGACGAGGCAUGAUGCGUGGGAUGAUAUAUUAGAGAGCAAAAUAUGGGAUUUACCUCAACAAAGUGGGGUUCUCCCAGUAUUAAGAUUGAGUUACCAUCAUCUUCCUUCUCAUUUGAAAAGAUGUUUCGCUUACUGUGCAAUCUUUCCAAAAGAUUAUGAAUUCAAUGAGAAGGAGGUGACUUUUUUAUGGAUGGCUGGAGGAAUUAUUCGACAGUCAAGAAGCAAAGAGCGGCUAGAAGAUUGGGGCAGCAAGUGCUUCUAUGAUCUGGUGUCAAGGUCAAUUUUUCAGCAAACAGCAAUCUCUGGUAGUUCUAAAUUUGUAAUGCACGACCUUAUUCAUGAUCUUGCUGAAUUCGUCUCUGGAGAAACCAUAUUCAGGUUAGAGGAGUCCACCAACUUGUCGUCAAGCAGAUUUGAAAGAGUUCGCCAUUCUUCCUAUGCCGGCGGUUGGUAUGAUGGUAAAAAUAAGUUUGAGGUUUUCUAUGAAAUUGAACAUCUACGAACAUUCUUGCCAUUACGCUUACGCAUGCGAGGUACUUUUUUCAUAACUAGAACGGUUCUAUCUGAUUUGCUGCCAAAGUUCAAAAAAUUGAGGAUGCUAUCUUUAGAAGGAUACUGUAUUGGUGAGUUACCAAUUCCAUUUGAAGAUCUCAGACUUUUAAGGUUCCUCAACCUCGCUGACACUGACAUAAGAAGUUUACCUGAGUCAACAUGCAAAUUGCUGAACUUGGAAAUUCUGAUAUUAAGAAAGUGUUCCCGCUUGAUAAAGCUUCCCCAGAAAAUGAGGAAUUUGAUCAAUUUACGUCAUCUGGAUAUAAGAGGUGCACAGCAGCUGAAGGAGAUGCCAUUUGGAAUGAAAGAGUUGAAGAAGCUUCAAACAUUGUCCAAUUUUAUUGUGGGCAAGGGUGAAACUGCAUCCGGUGUGGAAGAUUUAAAAUGUUUAAGCUUUCUUUGUGAUGAACUUUGCAUUGCUGGAUUAGAGAAUGUGAAUAAUCCACAGAAUGCAAGAGAAGCCGCAUUAUGCGAGAAGCACAAUCUUGAAGCAUUGACUCUAGAAUGGGGGUCUCAAUUUGACAAUUCUCGAGAUGUAGCAAUAGAAGAGCACGUGCUUGACAUUCUACAGCCUCAUAAAUGUAUAAAAAAGGUGGCAAUCAGGAGCUAUGGUGGUGCAAGAUUUCCACUUUGGAUAGGAGAUCCGUUGUUCUCCAAGAUAGAAUUCCUUGAAUUGGAGAACUGUGACAAUUGUGUAUCUUUGCCAUCGCUUGGCCGUUUGAGUUCACUUAAACACCUUGCUGUUAAAGGGCUGAAGAAACUAAAAAGCAUAGAGCCUGAGGUUUAUGGGGAGGGUUUCUCAACGCCUUUUCCAUCAUUGGAGAUUCUAAGUUUCGAGAAUUUGACAGAAUGGGAGCAUUGGGACACGGAUAUCAAAGGAAAUGCACUUGUUGAAAUAUUUCCUCGUCUCCAUAAACUUUCCAUUGUGAAAUGUCCCAAACUCUCUGGAGAACUGCCUGAGCUCCUGCCCUCCUUGGAGACACUUGUUGUUAGUAAAUGUGAAAAGUUGGUAGUUCCAAUGUCUUGCUAUCCGAUGCUCUGCAGAUUAAAAGUUGAUGAGUGCAAAGAACUGGUCUGCCGGACUCCAAUUGAUUUUAAGUUGAUAAAGUCUGUGACUAUUUCAAAUUGUUCACUAGACAUGUAUGGAUGCAAGGGGAUGCUAUACAAUGGUCCAGCUGGCUCUUCACUGCCGAAAUCCAUGACUAUUACAAAUGUUUUGGCGUUUGGAAAAUUAUUGAAGCCUGGAUUUCAGAUAUUAGAAACUUUGGUAAUUGACAAUUCUGAACAGCUCAAGUCAUGGAGGCAGCGUGGGGAUUUUCGACAAGAAUAUUUGGGCGUUCGCGUAAGGCGUCACAAACCAUCACAAGGGCUAGAUAUGCUCGCCUCCCCAGAAGAGGUAACAAUUGAAGAAAGUUGUGUGAGUUUUGUUUUAUUUCCAGAGAUCAAUUUCUUUCCCAGAAAUCUGCGCUCUCUUCUAAUUUGCAACAGCACAGCUUUAAAAUCCUUACCCGAUGAAAUGAUGGACAAUUCACAACUCGAAAGGUUGUAUAUCAGAGAUUGCGAUUCUCUAACAUUCAUCACAAGACGCAAGCUACCUUCAUCUCUAAAAAGUAUAGAGAUUGAGAAUUGUGAGAAACUGCAACAUUUGUUCGAUGAUAAAGAGGAUGCUUCUUCUUCUUCUCCUCCUUCAUCCUCGUCCUCCCCAGUGAUGCUGAAACACCUGAGUAUAAAUAAUUGCCCAGUGCUCACCAGUUUAUCAACAGGAAUCCAAUUACUUGAGGCGCUUGAAAGCCUCGAGAUACGGGAUUGUCCAAAGCUGGAGUCAUUACCAGAUGGCCUUCACAAUCUUAACUGUUUACAGGAGAUUACUCUAAACAGUUGUCCAAGUCUUGUUUCCUUCCCAGAAAGAGGACUUCCCAACACGAUUUCAAAUCUUGUAUCGUUUCCAGAAGAAGGUUUUCCUACCAAUCUAACAUCACUUACAAUUGGAUAUUUCAAAAUGUAUAAGACACUCGUCCAGUGGGGGUUGCACAGGCUUACCUCUCUUAAACGCCUCUGCAUCAUUGGAUGUGAUGAUGAAGCAGAGUGUUUUCCAGACGAGGAGAUAGGAAUGACGCUGCCCACCUCUCUCACUCAUCUGACACUUUCGGAAUUCAAAAAAUUGAUAUCUCUGUCUUCGACGGGUAUUCAGAGCCUCAACUCUCUUCAAUCUUUGUCGAUCGGGAAUUGCCCGAAUCUCACAUCAUUUCCAGAGGUGGGCCUUCCAUCCUCACUUUUGGAAUUACACAUUUACAGUUGUCCAAAGCUUAAAAAAGCGUGCAAAAGAGAUCAAGGAAAAGACUGGCCCAAAAUUGCUCACAUCCCUUUCGUUGAGAUAGACGGUAAAUUCAUAUACGAUCCCGAAUCAGAGGAGUAGAUUCUAUUACACAGGUCAGUUGAUUUAUAUUAUCCGCUAUAACAAGCUCCUCCUUUUUUAUUUUUUUUAAAUAAUAAUUUUGCAGUCAGUCACGUGAUUCCGUUUUCACAAGUCAGAUUGUAUGUUGAGGCUAUUUGCCUUUUAAUCGCAGAUUAAAUUAUAACACUUAUCUUAAAAUUUAAUACCAUAGACAGAUAGACGAUUUUUUAAUCCAAAGUUUUUUUUAUUCACUUCAGUUAGCAUUUUUUUUUCCCCCAAAUCAUGCAAGCCGAGAGUUUCAAUCAAGAAUUGGAGGAUGUGAAUGGGAUUUUUGUGAAAGAGUAACAUAAUGGAUGACCGAACAUUUCAUCUGUGAUCUCAAAGUCAACAGAAUUUUAUUCACUCAUUGACUUUUCAACUGCCGUGGUUUUUAUGGGUGAAAGAUAAGGGCAAUUACAAAAAAUUUGCAAAAUUUGUCAAUUUCUUAGAUGGUAGAUAUAUCGACAUUUUAGAUUUCAGAUAUUUGUCACCAAUUUGCAAAAUUGAAAUUUCUGUCUUCAAUGGGUUUUCAAAGCCUCGCCUCUCUUCGAUUUUUGUGGAUUGGGAAUUGCACAAAUCUCACAUCAUUUCCCGAGGUCGAGGAAAAGAGCGGCCCAAACUUGCUCGCAUCCCUUGGGUUAUGAUAGAUGGAAAAUUCAUGUACGAUCCAGUCAGAGGUGUUGAUUCUCUUAUUAAGGUCAGCUGAUUUCUAUUAUCCACUCUGACAAUCUCCUAUUAGUGUUUUUCCUUUUUUUUUUUUCAAAAUUUUGCAGUUCUGUAUAAUUGAAAAUGCCACUCACUUGUUUCCUUUUUCACAGGUCAGAUAGUAUGUUGAGGCUAUUUGAUUUCUAUCGGUGUUUGUUAAGGUAAUUAGUGCUCCCUCAUAGGUAUGACUAGAUUUUUUUCACUUCCGUAAAUAUUGCAUUUUAGACUGGCAAAUUUAGCAGUAAUUUUAAUACAAUUUUGUUGGUGCCUUGUGUGCCAGAAGCUAGAAAAAUGUGUAGUUUUCAGAUAAGGAGUCUUGUUAGUUCUCUAGUAAGAAUCCAAUAAUUUGCUUUUGCACGUCCAUCUAAUUUGUGGAUCCUUGCAUCAGAAUUUGAUCAAUCCAAAGGAAUUGCUUUUAGACAGAAGAAGAAUAGCAGCACCUAGCCUAUGUCAUAGUGUAUGGACCCGCAAACCUGAAACUAUUAGAUUGAGGUAAAAAAAUCAUUGACCCUCACAUGUUAACUUCUUCUAGUUACUUUUGUUGGGAAAAAAAAACAUUUAAGGAAUUUGCAAUUUGUUGUUAGUUAUGGUAUCUGAUGUUCUUUUCUGUUUUAGCGUUUGUAGAAUCUACGGUAUUAUGUGUUGGCAGUUGCCGUAUCUGAGGUAACUUGCCUUUAUUUGUUUGCUUCUGACUUAAGGACACCAACAUUUGCCAGAGAUUUAGAGAAGCAUCUCAAAACACUUAGCAAACUUGACAAACUUCAAGAUGCACUUGCCCCCACGCCUUAUUCUCCACAACGCAAAACUUGUGAGUACACUUAUGCCUGCAAUUAUUGUGAAGUGUUUGCAAUUUCGAUGCAGAGAAAUGGUUUCUUGAUGCAAAGUAUUAAACUGUUAAGAUUUAUCCUGCAGGCUUGUUAGAUGUUGUAUACUCGAAAAGCCAACAACAUCAAGAACUACAACUCCAAGACCAACUUUGCAUUAAUUCAGUCAGCUGUAAAAAUGAUGCAAAUGACACUAUAUCAAGCUGGACUUAGAGACUAGUCAGAUCAAUCAUCCAUUUCAUCAACGGUUAAUGUCAUGAUGGUGGCUAUCAGAGGAAACAAAAGAUGUGUCAGAAUCUAUACGAACAUUGAGAAGCAUGAGAGGAGCUUUGAUUUUGAGUAGGGUCAAUGAACUCAUGUUGGUAAGUGGUGAUUAAAGAAAUUUGUAAGCUUAGUAGAGUUUCAGUAUUUUCUGUUUGGAGUAUAGUUGAUAAGUUGACUCUGUUUAAGAAGCCCGAUUAUAGUAGCUGACUGUAUUAACCUUUUUUUUUUUGGUCUGCUGUUGUUUUUGGUUUCGAUUAUUUUUUCAACAUUGGGUUGAUCUGUUGAAGAACAAGCUUGGGUUUGAUUAUGUUUUAACUAUAAGGAAGAGCCAGACUUGGUUGCAGGCGUUAAGCUUUUAAUGGGUAAGAACAAAUGAAUGCUUUAACCAUGUUUCUCACUUAUUAAAAUGCAUGGAUUGAAGGCAUCUGGGUUGAUCCUGACAAUGUGAUGGAAAUACUUCUCUGUUUUCAUGUAACAGGACAAAUAGAGAUCUCUGAUCAUGCCUGAAUUUUUGUUGCAUUGAAAUUUCUACCAUUACCAAACAUAGAAUGAACUGGGGAUACAUUAGCUUAAGACUCAAUUUUGAGAAGGAAGUUUGUACUUGCAGCCUAUAAAAUCAUGUCCGUGUCGUACGUUUCUUUGGGAAAUGAAAGAUUCUGUGUGUUCUUUUAUUUCAAGUUCACUGAAAUCACAUUUGUUUUCUCCGAUGCUUUCCAGAAGGUAACAACAUCAAUUUCAAAAAUGCUGGGGCAAGAUGCAUCAUGCAGUGCGACUCAACUUGAGAAUUCCUGGCCACAUUACCCGUAUGUCGAAUGAUCGCACAGUUCAACCUUGAGAAGCUUGUAAUGAGUACACAACUGGGUGCAAGUAGUUUUGAAAUGAAUUUGCCUCAAAUGAUUUCUUGCUCGCAUCCCUUGGGUUAUGAUAGAUGGAAAAUUCAUAUACGAUCCAGAGUCAGAGGUGUUGAUUCUCUUAUUAAGGUCAGCUGAUUUCUAUUAUCCACUCUGACAAACUCCAAGACCGGGUUUUUUUUUUUUUUUAAUUUUGCCGUUCUGUAUAAUUGAAAUGCCACUCACUUGUUUCCUUCUUCACAGGUCCGAUAGUAUGUUGAGGCUAUUUGCUUUUUAUCGGUGUUUGUCAAGGUAAUUAGUGCUGCCUCAUAGGUUGAUUACUCACAGAUGAAAUCAUAACUUUUAUCUUAAAAUUUAAUAGCAUACACAGAUAGAUGAUUUUUAGUCCAAAGUUUUUUUAUUCACUUCAAUCAAAAUUUUAGAUUGCAGAUUUUUGUCAAGUAUUUCAUUACAAUUUUUUCAUUUUUUAUUUUAAACCAGAAUAUGAGUAUAACAUUUUGGAGCGUGCAUACUCUGAUGCAUGCAAUUAACUGUUUUUAAUCAUUGGAUUUUGAAAUUAAUAAUGGUAAGAUGUGUACUUAUUCUGUCUUCCAACAACCUUGGCCUCUUUCUUCGGUCGCAUAUCUAAUGAAUAUUUCUCUGUUUAGUUAAGGAUGAAUGCUUGGAGUGGGGUACUUGGUAACAUUUCUGCCUCAGAUGAAUCCUUGAAGAAAUGCCCGCAGUUCCUGAGACCAAAUACAGGUCUGAUUCAAAACAGCACCUUUCUCAGAAAAUAUGAUCCAAGGCAAAGUCAUGUUCUGAUAAUGUUUCCUUAAGUACAAAGUUGCAAGGAAACUUGAUUCAUUAACUACAGUUUUUUAUUUUUAGGACCUUGUAUCUGAAAGGUUCAGUGUUUUUUUUUUUUUCAAAUUUAUUGUUCAGAUCUCAGAGGAGUAUAUGGUUUAGAUUACAAAACACCCAUGAUUAAUUUCAUUUUUUUUUUAAUUUCAGGGAGAAGAAGUGGUCAGUUUCAAUCCGGAAUUGGAAUAUGGCAAUUUGGUUCAAGCACACACACCUGGUCACUUGGUCAGUGAACCUGAACUUUACGCAGUUUUUUCAACUCAGUGAUUUUUGGAACGCAUAGUGGUGUAAGGAAAUCAAAAGAAAUUUAUGCAUAGUCAAAUUCUGAUAUUUGCUAUAUAUUAUACAUUCUAAAGUUUCUCCAGUUUGUUCUCAGAUUACCAUCAUUUUUUGCCUUCACCAAAAAAAAAAAAUUGAGUGGCUUUCCAGUGGAUAUUUAAUCGGAGGUAUGACUGGAUUUUUUUCACUUCUGUAAAUCUUGCAUUUUAAACUGGCAAAUUUAACUUUAAUUUUAAUACGACUUUGUUGGUGCCUUGUGCCCCAGAAACUAGAAAGAUGUGUAGUUUUCAGAUAAAGGGGCUUGUAAAUUCUCUAGUAAGAAUCCAAUAAUUUGCUUUUGCACGUUCAUUUUAUUUGUGGAUCCUUGCAUCUGAAUUUAAUCAAUCCAAAAGGAAUUGCUUUUAGACAGAAGAAGAAUAGCAGUACCUAGCCUAUGACAUAGUAUAUGGACCUGCAAACCUGAAACUAUUAGUUUGAGGUAAAAAAUUCAUGACCCUCACAUGUUAACUUUCAUGAAAAACACAUUUAAGAAAUUUGCAAUUUUUUGUUAGUUUCGUAUCCGAUGUUGUUUUCUGUUUUAGCAUUUGUAGAAUCUACUGUAUUAUAUUUUGGCAGUUGCAGUAUCUGAGGUAUGUUUUGCAUUUAACUUGCUUUAUUUGUUUUGCUUGUGACUUAAGAACACCAAUAUUUGCCAGAGAUUUAGAGAAGCAUAUCAAGCUGCUUGGCAAACUUGACAAACUUCAAGAUCCUCCAUUCUUCACAACGCAAAACUUGUAAGUACACCUAUGCCCGCAGUUAUUGUGAAAUGCUUGCAAUUUUGAUGCGCUGAAAUGGUUUGUUGAUGCAAAGGUUUAAACUUUUAAGAUUUACCCUGCAGGGUAGUUGGAUGCUGUAUACUCGAAAAGCGACCAACAUCAAGAACUAUGACUCCAAGACCGGGUUUGCUUUAAUUCAAUCAGCUGAAAUCAUGAUGCAAACGACACUAUCAGCUGGACUUAGAGACCGGUCAGAUCAAUCAUCCAUUUUAUCAACAGUUAAUGUCAUGAUGGUGGCUAUUAGAGGAAACAAAGGAUGUGUCGGAAUCAAUGUGAACAGUGAGAAGAAUGAGAGGAGCUUUGAUUAUACGUAGGCUCAAUGAACUCAUGCUGGUAAGUGGUAAUUAAAGAAAUUUGUGCGCUUAGUAGCAUUUCAAUAUUUUCUGUUUGGGAUAUAGUUGAUGAGUUGAUACUCUGAUUAAGAAGCCUGAUUAUAGUAGCUGACUUUUUUUUUGUGGUUUGCUGUUGAUUUUUCUUUUGAUUUUUUCAACAUUAGGUUGAUCUGUUGAAGAACAAGCUUGGGUUGAUUAUGCUUUAACUACAAGGAAGAGCCAGACUUGGAUGCAGGCGUUCAGCUUUUAAUGGGUAAGAACAAAUGUAUGCUUUAAACAUGUUUCUCACUUAUUACAAUGCACGCAUUGAAGGCAUCUGAGCUGAUCCUGAAAAAGUGAUGGAAAUACUUCUCUGUUUACAUAAAACAGGACAAGAGAUCUCUGAUCAUGCCUGAGAAUUAGUUGCAUUGAAAUUUCUACCAUUGCCAAAAAUAGAAUAAACUAGGAAUACAUUAGCUUAAGACUCAAGUUUGAGAAGGCAGUUUGUACAUGCAGCCUAAAAAAUCAUGUCUGUGUUGUAUACUUGUAUGUUUCUUUGGGAAAUGAAAGAUUCUGUGUGUUCUAUUAUUUCAAGUUUGCUGAAAUCACAUUUGUUUUCUUAGAUGCUUUUGAGAAGGUAACAACAUCAAUUUCAAAAAUGCUGGGGUAACAUGCAUCACGCAGUGCUACUCAACAUGAGAAUUCCGGCCGCAUUACCUGUAUGUUGAGUGAUCGCACAGUACAGCCUUUAGAAGCUUGUAAGGAGUAGACAACUAGAUGUGAGUAGUUUCAAUAUGGAUUCGCAUCAAAUGAUCUCUUGCCAGUGAUUACUAUAACCUCUAUCCCAAAAUUCUUGGAACUGGUCAUACCAAUAAUGAAGUGUUGUGUAUGUUGAAGACAUUGCGAAAGCUCCGUCAGCCUUUGUAUUGGAAAACAGUUGGUUGUAGUUGCUUCUGAAUGAUAUUAUUAAUAGAUACUGUAAAAAUGAACUGUGCCACUCAUUUUCAGAGCCCUGUUAAGAUGUGUUGGUAAUGUGUUUGAAGGUUGUUUGAUUUAUGUUGUAUUCAGCUAUAAAUCAAAGAUUCAGAACAUGGUUAUGUUACUGGUUUCCAAAUCAAAAAAUUGCCUUGUGAUGUUAGUGUUCAUUGUUUUCACAGGAGAUCAGGUUCCCUGUUGAUGAAUCAUUAAGGCAAACGCAUCCAUGUCUUAAGUUCAAAUGUGUCUCUUCUAUUUUCUAUUACUGACUCCUUUAUUUUGAUUUCUUCAUUGUAAUGGAAUUGGUUUUUAUUCCAAAUUAGUCUUAAGUUCUGUUAGCAUUUGAAGAUAGAACUAGAACUAAAUGAUUGACUGGAUUAAAUUCCGAUAAAGAAUUAAGUUAUAUAUUUAGAGAUAUUAUGUUUUUUUUUUUUUCAUUUGUUCAAUUUGGUUAGUGGUGAUUUCUUAAAGACUCAAUCCAUGUGCGUUUAUGCAUUUUUCUUUUGCCUUAAUUUCUGUUUCUUGGGGAGUUUAUACAGAUUCUUAUUUUAUGCUUCACAUGCCACAUGAAAGAUCGAAUUCUUAUAAUAAGAGUCUGAGAUCUCCCUGAAGGAUUCAAAGCAUUUUAUUUUAUAUUAAACUCCUUUACGUGGGUUUGGACACUACCACAAGUUCUUUAAAUACUAAAACGAUUUUAAGUCUUUUGUAUCAUCUGAUUGAAAUACAUGAAAGCACUCGUGGCUGCAAAAAUACAGUUGGGGCUAUUUCUAAAGUCUUCAACAGCAUUUUCUUUUUAACCUUUAUCCUCAUGGUUGUUUUUGCAGUUGUUCUUUAAGAAAACAUUUAAAAGGUUCUCUUUAUGGAUUUUUGAAAAUAAUUUUAACAUAAGCAAUUUUCAGAAGCACUUUAGAUGUCUGGCAUUUAGAAAAUUUUAUUCCGGUGUCACAUAAAAUACUUAGGAAGUUAAAUUUAUUUAUUUAUGAGCAUGUGCCAGUGCCCUGUGGCAUCCUCUUCACUUGUGAUAGUCAAAUGUAUUAUACGAUACAAUAUUAGCUUGACUGUAGCACAGAGGAGAAUAGGGUUGGUGUUGGUCUGAACCAGCUUAUGUAACAGCUGCCAAAGGAUAAUUUAAUUGUACUUUGAGUAAAGCUUUUGCAAAUUAAACAAGUGAUAAUUUGUUUCUAUUAAGAAAAACUUAAAGGAUAGGGCUAUUUUAACUCACCAAACUACACAUUAAAAAUCUACUUACAAAAAUAGUUUUUAAUUAUUAAAAUAUUCCUAAAUUAAAUUAUAAUUAUGGACACUAAAAUAUAAUUUUUUUUAUAUUUUACCCUUUGAAACUAUCUUUACAUUCGAUAUUACAUUUUUUUCUUAAACUCCAAAUUGAUUUUUUUUAUUAAUUUUAAAACACAUAUAAAGUGAUUCAUAUUGAUUUUAUACUAACAAACUAUUAUAGCACAUUCGAAAAAUAAUUAAAUCGUUCUUAUUUACAUAGUGAAAAUGCAAAUAGCUCAUUCAAAUGUUAAGGAAUUGGAGAGCUGCUGCUGGAGAUGAAAGAUGUGAAUUAAACAUCAGAGAAAAAAUUAUGUUCACUGUCUUGCCAGACCAAGCACCGAAAAGCGUCGUAAAGAAAAAUUAGAUAAUUUAGAAGAUAAAGCACGUGGAAUGGAGGCAGAAAGCAAGUAAUGAUAACUCUUUCGACAAACUAAUAUAUACCAAAAUGUAAUAUCGGCCCUAAUAAAAAAUGUGUUACGUAAGUAAAAGCACCAGGUCGGUCGUGCUACUAUUUCUGUCCCGGUAUGGCUCACCUCAACUGAAUGGUACAAGCAGAGCAUGGAGACGAAUAUGGCCCGACCAGAGAUGAGUACCGACCAGAGGUGUAUGUCGAGCCGAUACCCGUCUCCUGAAAAAGCGGGAACACGAUCCCACAGAAUCGCGGAAUUUGCGUUUUUCCCAGAACCGUUGCGAGAGAUGCGAUACCCCACGUUUACCCGUAAUGUAGUAGUUAAAGUUCCGUGAAAGGCCACCACCCGAAAAAGGAGGGAUGAAGACUGAGCGGGAACGUGGGAUAACGGCUAUAAAAGAAGGAGAAAUCGAUGAAGAAGGGGACAGAAAAAUCAAAAGAGGGAAAACGCUGCCAAAUUAUUGUCAGGCUAUCUUCUUGAAAAUUCCAGAUAAAUCAAAAACUACUCUUAAAUCUAAAUUGCUCUGUUUUCCCGUAAAUACCUUGAGCUAACUUAGGCAUCGGAGGGUUUACGCCGGCAAAACCACCCGCGUCUUUGAUCCGUUUUUUUGUGAGCGCAGGUCUAGAAAGAGAAAGGAGGACGAGUCCAAGUCCCGCGGUUCGAACUUGAUAACAUAAUCGUUGGUGGAAAAUUCUGGUCGGUAACAAGGCGAGCAGAUUUAAGCAUCAACAUUUUGGCGCCGUCUGUGGGGAGCUGGAUAAAAAGCUACCACCAACUUAGUAGUUGCCAGAGAAGCGGUAAACAAUCAGACAUGGAUGUGCCCAGGAAAGACGCUCUGAGGGAGGAUAACGAGUCUGGAGAGACAAUCACUCUUAGGGAAAUUGCAAAUGAAGCCCGGGAGAGGGUAAUGCAAGAUCGAUUGGAGCGGAUGGAGAAACAAAUGGAGACUCUCGCGACCAUACUAUUUGAGCUGAGAGACGAGCGGAGAAGGGAUUGCGAAACCCCUGUGGGGAGAGAUGAUGUCGGAGCAGAACCCAGCCUCCGGACGCGUAGAGUCGAGGAGAUCCCUCCGCCGGCGGACCAACCUAAUGGGGUGCAUCCCCACAGAAGUACUGGUCGGAUUCCAGGAGAACAAAUAGAUGAAGGGAGGAACCAACCUCGCCCUGGGCGGGUACUGGAAGCUGAUGGCCGAGGGGCCAGUGUUAAUGAAGGGGAGCUCAGGCAGCGGUUGCAGAAUGCCGAACAGGAGCGAGAUCAAAUAGCUGCACGUGAUCCUGACCGUGCUGUAGAAUUGGAGGGAGAGGUGCGCAGAUUAGCGCAAGUGAUAGAGGAGAUACAGGGUAGGAGAAAGCCCCCGAGCUGGAGGAUAAUGCUAGAUGAAGAAUCUCCACUAUCAGUUGAGAUCAUGGGCACUGUAAUCCCAAGAGAUUUCCGCUUCCCCGACCUCAAAUACUCCGGGCGAAGUGAUCCACUGGUGCAUAUUGAACGUUUUAAUGACGUGACGGGUGUUCAGGGGUUAACACCAGCUCAGAGGUGUAGGGUAUUCCCAUUGACACUAGAGAGACGAGCCCGAGAAUGGUACCACAAACUGUUACGAGGAAGUAUCAGAGGGUACGAGCAGAUGUGCCAAGAAUUGGCCGAACAAUUCCGGGGGGCGGUGGCCCCAGAGGAUGAUAUGAUGGAACUAAUGGGGAUAAAGCAGGAGGAACAAGAACCCCUUCGAGAUUUUGUAAAACGAUACCACCGAGCCGUGCUUGAUUUGGGAGCUUUCAAUCACCCGCAGGCGUUGAGGGGAUUGAAGGAGGGUGUGAGAAUAGGCCGACUGUGGUAUAACCUGAGAAGCCCCCUGGUGCAGAAUUAUUCCGCGGGGUAUGAGCAAGCAAAGAGAGACAUUGAAAUCGAAGAAGAAAAAUCAGCCAGGAUAAAGAGUGAACAAUUGGAGGAGCUGAGACGAAGAGAGAUGAGAGCCCCAAAAGGAGCGGGUCAGGAAAGCAAGCUGGGGAAUCUUCAAUGAUGGGUGCAGUAUCCGCUCGAUCUCGCCUUUAUCCUAUGGCUCAGAGACCGCAGCAGGUCCAACACAAUCGGGCUCAGCCCUCACGCCCCCCAUUCCUGGAACGACAACGAGAAUUUCGGCAGUUGGCUAACCAUCCCUAUCACAACGCUCCCAGAGCACCGCAUACAGCCAACCCCAGAGCGGGACGAUCAGGUCAGCUACCUUCAAUAUCCGCUCGGGAUGAUACUCAUGAUAGCCGAGCAGUCCAGCUGAUUGACCAGAACCCAGCGUACGGACAAUAUACCCCGCUAAAAGUCCCUAUGGAGGAGUUGUAUGAGAGAAUCGAGGGACGAGGCCUGUUGUACCCUCCAGCCCCUAUAACGAAACCUGCUCACCGAAGGGAUAAGAGCAGAUUCUGCAAAUUCCAUGACACUCACGGUCACACCAUCAGCCAAUGUCGUGACUUUAAGAUUCAGGUGGAGGAUUUGGUGAGAAAUCGUUAUUUGGAUGAGUAUGUAGAUGGGGUUUCUCCCGUCAUUGAAUCACAGUACACGCGGGGUGAAGGAGAUGAGAGGAGCCUGGAACGUGAACAGCCAACUAUCCGUGUGAUAGCAGGAGGGCCAACCCUGGCUGGGGAUUCGAAUAGGGCACGGAAGAACUAUGGGAAAUACGCCAUGACCAGCAAAGAAGUUCUUUUCAAUUUGCCAGCAGCCAAGAAGGCAAAAUUGCGGCAAGUUCCCAUUAUGUGGACAGAUGACGAUAAAGAGGGUAUCCUAUAUCCUCAUAAGGAUGCACUGGUGAUUAAGGCAAUGGUGGCUGGUACAGAACUACGACGGAUACUGGUAGACACGGGCAGCUCGGUUGACAUCUUGUUUAAAUCGGCCCUAGAUGAUAUGGGGAUUGCAGACUUAAAAUUGGAACGGACGAACACAUCUUUAAAGGGAUUUGGAGGGGGACGGCUAACUCCCAUAGGAAUCGUCGAACUCCCAAUUACUAUGGGGACAAAGCUGUUUGAAAGAACAAUGAUGUUGGAUUUUGUCGUGGUAGAGGAGAGAAGCCCUUACCAGAUGAUACUGGGGAGACCGUUCAUGAAGAUAAGUCAAUGCGUUGUGUCUACGCAUUAUCUGGCACUAAAAUACAGAAUAAACGGAGCGGUUGGUGUAGUAAAAGGUGACCAGAGGGUGGCAAGGAGUUGUUAUGCUACAGCGGCCAAGGAGACGCUGCAGGUUACUUCCUUAGAUAAUCGAGGAGAACCUAAAAAGGGCCGCCAAGAACCUGUUGAGAAACUGGAGGCAGUUUCGGUAAGCAAAGGCGACCUGAGCAGAGUGGUGAAGAUCGGAUCGGGGUUGGUUGGUGCAGUCAAAGGCGAACUGGUAAAUUGCCUACAGUCUCAUGCAGAUAUAUUUGCCUGGUCUCACGAGGAUAUGCCAGGAAUUGAUCGUGGGGUAGCUUGCCACAAGUUGGCAAUUAAGAAGGGGGCGAGGCCGGUGAGACAGAAGAGGAGAUGCUUUAACCAGGAAAGAUACCCAGACGGACGAGAUGUGAAGAGGUCAUGGAACGCCGAGCACUUAAAGAAGUAUUUUCAGUAAGCAAAGUGCUCUGCUAAAUCCUCAUUUUGAUAAGUUUUCUUUGUUAACUGCAUGAUGGUUUAUUACGCAUGUACAUAGUCUGUAUUUUGUAAUACAUUCAAAUCGCAAUAAAGAUGAAUUCAGCAUGAAACCCUUCUGUUAAGCAAGGCCAUUAUAAUUUAUACCAAGGCAAGUAAGUGCCUGCUUCUGCUCGGUCAACGAAAGACCAGCAGCUAAAUUAGCGAAAUUUCUACCAAGGCAAGUAAGUGUCUGCUUCUGCUCGGUCAACGAAAGACCAGCAGCUAAAUUAGCGAAAUUUCUACCAAGGCAAGUAAGUGCCUGCUUCUGCUCGGUCAACGACAGGCCAGCAGCUAAAUCUACGAAAAUUAUACUAAGGCAAGUAUGUGCCUGCUUUAGUUCGGUCCACGAAAGACCAGCAGCUAAUACUACGAGAAUUCUGCUAGGGCAAAUAAGUGCCUAGUUCUGCUCGGUCAACGAAGACUAGCAACCAAUUUUAUUAAAAUUUUACUAAGACAAGUAAAUGCAUACUCCUGCUCGGUCCACAAAGAAACCAGCAAGCAAAAUCAGAUAAGUUGUCCAAUUAUUUUGCAGAAACCAUCUAUGAGCAAAUACCAGACAAGAAAGUCAAUAGAGAACAUCUAAAAGUUUAUAAAUGUUUGAUUGUCUACAAAAUAGAUGUAAAUCUAAAGUUUACACAGAAAUAGACUUAAAGAUUAGCAGGGUCAACGGCUCCAGCAGCUGAAGAAUCAGCAACCUCAGGAGGCGGGAGAUCGGCAAUACCGGGAGGAGGGGGCAUGGACCCUUGACCCACCUCGAAAGUACGUCCCCCGGCUUCCCCCUCCUGCACCCCCUCCAAAGGAGCCUCCGCCUGAUCCUGAUGACCUUGCUCCUUAUCUGCCUGGCCGGUUUCCGCCAUAUACCGCUGCACUCCAGCCUCCAGCUUACUCAUGUCCAGCUCGGGAUAUUCUUCUUUAAGCACGGACAUGAUACACUUAUAGGAGAAAGCAACCCCAGAGUCAUACUCGGCAUCCAGCUGGUCGUCCACAUCAGCGGAUUUGCCUUUCUCCUCAGCCAGCUGUUCAUUUAGGGAUUUGAUUUCUCCCUCAAGGGCAGUCCUCAGAGUAUCUCUUUCACUUUGAGUUACCUGAAGGUCAGACUUCAGGCUGCCCAACUCACCCUCGAGUUUGGAGGCAGUGGACUCAGCAAUUGCAGUUUUCUCCUCCAGCUCCAUAAUCUGUUUGUUCAGCUCGGCCAGUUUCUCCUUGGAGCGAUCAGCAGAUUCAGCCUUCUUUUUCAACUCCUGAUUAUCAGCUUGAAGCUUCCUCUCAUGGCGUAUGGACACGUUCUUGUAACACGAAACCAUGGUGGCCAGCCUGAAGGAAACCCUUUGAACAGAGGCAGCUAACUCGGAGAGCUCCAUACUCUCGAUGUCCUUCACCAUCUUGGGCCCAACCGACCUCUUGUAAUCCUUUUGGUACGGGCUCAAAUAGUCACCCUGAUCCCGAGAUGGAAGAGGAGAAGAUCGGUCCCCAGAUUGUAAGCUGACCUCAGGGCUCUUGUCGGAAGUUUUCUCCCCACUACUCUUACGAGGUGGAGGAGGGGGCAGAGCAGGAACUGGAGCCUGAGAAGGACUGGCACUGGCCUUUUUCGGAGGAGGAGGAGGGUGGCUGGAGCUGCUCGAUGCCCGACCACGCUUUCUGCUCAUCGCGCUGAGGAUCUUGUUAUCCAUCCCAGCGGCAAUAUCUACUAAGCCCGAACCGACCAGGUUUGUUGGUGACAGGAGGUCUUGACAAGUAGACGCGCUCACCAGAGCCGUUUCCACCUGGAGUAAAGGUCGGUCCUCGAGAGUCUUAACCAAACCCCACGAUUCUGAAAAAACAGACAAGGUUAAAGAACCCAAUAAGUGGCAAUUCGAGAAAGAAUAUAGGCAAAAAAUGAACGACCUGGGGUGACAAAUUGCGUUGGAAGGUAAAUGUCACCACCCAACGACCGAACUGCUGGACACCAAUUUCCCCCAGCAAAGAAGAAUUUGUUCUUCCAAUUUUUGCACGAGGAGGGGAAACCGGUGAUUGGCUUUCUCUUCGCAGAACUGGACAUGAAGUAGUACCAGCCCGCCUCCCUUGGGCUGCUCCGCAGCUGAUACAGAUGCUUCACUUCAACAAGGGAAGGCUCCUCCGACCCACACCUCUCCCACAACACAAACAUAGCCGAGAGAACCCUCCACCUGUUUGGGUGUAGUUGACCUGGGGCCAGGUGCAUACCCCCUAAAAUCUUGGCAAAAUAGCGCUGAAGAGGCAGCCGAGCUCCUAAUUUAAAGCUCUCCAGGUGCAUGGUCACGUACUCCCGCGGAGGCCGACUAGGAACAUCACCUUUCUCAGGAACCACAAGGAGAACCUCCUUAGGAAUAUCAUAGAGGUUCCUAAGCUUGAACAGAUCAUUUUGGGUGGUGGCACAGGCUAUGUGAUCAAUGGGGUAAGAAUCUGCCUCCAUCCUAUGCCCAAGGUUUUGUUUCUUAAGAGGUCGGCUCGGCUCGGCUCGGAGCUGCUUCCCUCACUAUCACCCGCUCCUUCAGGAACCCCGACCCCACCAGAACUGUGGUUCUCGCCAGAGCCCGACGCAGGUCCCCCUCUAUUUCCUACAAGCUCUAAUUCAGAGGAGGGUGAAAUGGUCAAGGGACGUGGGUACUCAAGGAUAUCCCUACUAUGGGAUAAGCCUACACUACGAGAGGGAUUCAAAAAAUCAGUGGGUAUGGGCAAGUUAAGGUCUGAAUCCCCAGAUUCUUCAUCACCCUCGUCUGCAAUCAACUUCCUUCUUCGAUUUGACAUACCGGAGUUCCAAAAGAAAACCAAAACAAACCCAAGUACACGAAUACAAAAAGAGACAGUACAGAACCCAAUCAACAACAGCCAAAAAAGAGGUUAAAGGCUAUACCUGGAAUGGACUAACAUUGGUAGCACUGCCGUGACAGAGAAAACACCCAGCAAAUGGAUACUCCGGACGCUGGAAAUGGGAGCAAAGUCCAGAAAAGAAAUUGGUUAGUGACGGAGAAACGAAUCGCAGAAUGAUGAUGAUUUUAGUCUAGGGAUUUGGAACGAAAAGGGGGGAAACGGAAGCAUUUAAGUGAUGGGAUAUGCCAGCUCACUCACCAUAUAUCGAGGAAGGAUAGCCCGUCGUUUCAAAUUUCAAAAUAUGAAGAGUCGGGAAGCGCCACGUCACUAACCGAUACAAGAGGCCAGACUAGAGCAAGCCCAGAUAUGCAAUGGACAGGCUCAUUAAGGCCCAUGCUCAGAAGACCAGAUGAGAAGCCCCGGGCUGGUCGGCUUCAACCAUCAGUUUCUACUCUUAACUCAUUUCACUCGCAAGACCAGAAACUGGGGGACUGGUGUUAAGUAAGUAAAAGCACCAGGUCGGCCGUGCUACUAUUUCCGCCCCGGUAUGGCUCACCUCAAUCGAAUGGUACAAGCAGAGCAUGGAGACGAAUAUGGCCCGACCAGAGAUGAGUACCGACCAGAGGUGUAUGCCGAGCCGAUACCCGUCUCCUGAAAAAGCGGGAACACGAUCCCACAGAAUCGCGGGAUUUGCGUUUUUCCCAGAACCGUUGCGAGAGAUGCGAUACCUCACGUUUACCCGUAAUGUAGCAGUUAAAGUUCCGUGAAAGGCCACCACCUGAAAAAGGAGGGAUGAAGACUGAGCGGGAACGUGGGAUAACGGCUAUAAAAGAAGGAGAAAUCGAUGAAGAAGGGGACAGAAAAAUCAAAAGAGGGAAAACGCUGCCAAAUUAUUGUCAGGCUAUCUUCUUGAAAAUUCCAGAUAAAUCAAAAACUACUCUUGAAUCUAAAUUGCUCUGUUUUCCCGUAAAUACCUUGACCUAACUUAGGCAUCGAAGGGUUUACGCCGGCAAAACCACCGGCGUCUUUGAUCCGUUCUUUUGUGAGCGUAGGUCUAGAAAGAGAAAGGAGGACGAGUCCAAGCCCCGCGGUUCGAACUUGAUAACAUAAUCGUUGGUGGAAAAUUCUGAUCGGUAACAAGGCGAGCAAAUUUAAGCAUCAACAAAAUGAAAAUAAAAAUUCAUUACGAAUACGUGUUAAAGAUAUCCCAAGUAUAGAUGUGACUGAAAUAUUUGAGAUUGAAGAAGAAUUAAGACUCAAAAUCAAUUGGGAGGAAUAAAUGAGAAACCCCAAUACCAAAAAAUACACGCACAAAUCCUAAUACUAAUUGUAAUCACGGAUAAAAAGCAUAAUACGAAUAAAUUAAAUGGGCAACUAUUCCAUUGAGAAAUUAAUUAAAUCGUGUAUUAAUAUUUUGUAUACAUAUAUUUUUCUAUAUAUAACUUUCGGUAAUUUAAUUUUCCACUUAUCAUUUUUACUCCAAAAAAAUAAUUGAGAAUAUUAUUUAUAUUUUGGUGCAAAAUAUUUGAACAAUAUACAAAUUUUCAGUUUAAUAAAUCUAAACAUCUAUUAAGUUAUAAAUGAAUUUAAUGGGUUUAAUUAAUAAAAUUACUAUUAUUAUAUAAAUUGGGUUUAGUAAUGGUAUAUUGGGUGGGUUUGUUGAGUAAAUUUUAAAAUUUUGAAAUUUAAGGAUGGGUUUAUUUAGUAAAUGAGUUAAGGGAGUAGUUUGUUGGGAUUCACAUAGCCCCACCAAAUUCAAAUGUAAAAUUUGUGGAAAAAGAAGCUAUUGAGUUAUUCUUUUAAAAAAAGAAUUAAAAUGUCAAGAAUACCUUUAUUUAAUUUUAUAAUCUUAUUUUAUAGUCAUAUUUUAUUUCCACCUUAACAUAAUUUUAAAAACCUUAACUAAUAAAUUCUAUAUUUUUUUUAUAAAAGUUAUCAUUAAUAUCCAAACGGCUAAAGAUUUUUUUUUUUUUAAAAAAAAAGGAACUAUGCUUACAAAAGUUGUAUACAUUAACAAUAAAUUUAGUCCAAAGAAUAAAGUUAUUCCAAACAAGCACUCCAAUUCAUCUUGCUAAUGAAUCAAGAUGACUGAAUCCUUCUCUAAGCCAAAUCUAUUUUCACUUUUAGGUCAGAAAUUGUCAUUAAAAAAAUGUUUGAUAAAAUAUGCUCUAGGAACACUAAUUCGUCAGAUGGUUACUCCAAGUUUAUGAAAUCAAUGGGAUUUCAUCAUAUUCAUAACAUUCUUCUUUAAUGUCUAUUCUAACAAAGAAAUCAUAUACAGAGAAUAGGUUUCGUUAAAACUUUUACUAGAAAAACUAACCACAAUUCACCAUUCAUUUAUAUCUUAAGUAAGCCUAAGAUUUUAUCAUUAAAAUCCCAUCAUGAAAAAAACUCAUGGGAGAAAAACUAUAAAAAUUGAAGAAAAAAGAGUAUGGCGUGCAUGUAAAUUAUAUCGAUUUUAUCUACAUGACAAAUAAGACUCUCUUUUACAAUGGCACGGAUGCUUCAUUGAGUAAUCAUGAUUCUUGCUGGUAGUGCUUUGUUGUAUCAAUCUGCUAGCUAUUCAGCGUUCUUUCUUUCUUUCUUCUUAUUUUUUUGUUUUCAAAUAGCUUGUGGUUGUAGAAAUAUUUCAAUUAAACUAUACUUAAGUACUUAUUUGGUAUAACUUCUUUACUAACCAAAAGAAUUUUUUUUUUUGGUUUUUUAUAAUUUAAUUAUACUUUAACUAGAGUUUUUGGGAUAAAACAAGUGAUAAUUUCUCUCUAUUAAGAAAAACUCAAAGGGUAGGGCUAUCUCAAUCCACCAAACUAUUUAUUAAAAAUCCACUUAUGAAAAUAAUUUUUAAUUAUUAGAAUGCCUUUACAUUAAAUUAUAAUUAUGGACACUAAAAUAUAAUAAAUUUUUUUUUUACUCUUUAAAACUGUCUUUACAUUUGAUAUCAUAUCUUUUUCUUAAAAUCUAAAUUGAUAUUUUUAUUUUAUUUUUUAUUAAUCUUAGAACACAUAUAAAGUGAUUCAUAUUGAUUUUAUACUAACAAACUAUCACAGCACAUUCGAAAAUAAUUAACUCGUUCUUAUUUGCAUAGUGAAAAGGCAAAUAGCUCAUCCAAAUGUUAAAGAACUGGAGAGCUGCUGCUGGAGAUGAAAGAUAAAUAAUUCUCACUUAGAAGAAGGAGAAAAAAAGGAAAUACAAUUAGAAUGAGAGGUAGCCAGUAGCCACUAGCCGCCACCACCACCAGUGAAACUAUUUCACAUAAUAGAAGAUAAAGCACGCGUAAUGGAGGCAAAAAGCAAGUAAUGAUAACUCUUUUCGACACACUAAUACAUAUCAAAAUGCAAUAUCGGUCCUAACAAAAUGAAAAUAAAAAUUCAUUACGAAUAUGUGUUAAAGAUAUCCCAAGUAUUGAUGUGAUUGAAAUAUUUGAGAUUGAAGUAGAAAUAAGACUCAAAAUUAAUUGAGAGGAAUAAAUGAGAAACCCAAAUAUUAAUAAAAUACACGUGCAAAUCCUAAUGCUAAUUAAAAUCACGGAUUAAAAAUAAUAAUAAUAUGAAUGAAUUACAGGCGCAACUGUUUCAUUAAGAAAUUAAUUAAAUCGUGUAUUAAUAUUUUGUACACAUACAUUUUUCCAUAUAUAACUUUCGGUAAUUUAGUUUUCACUUAUCAUCUUUACUCCAAAAAAAAAAUUGAGAAUAUUAUUUAUGUUUUGGUGUAAAAUAUUUGAAUAAUAUACAAAUUUUCUGUUUAAUAAAUCUAAACAUUUCUCCAGUUAUAAAUGAAUUUAAUAGGUUUAAUUAGUAAAAAUAUUAUUAUUAUAUAAAUUGGGUUUGGUAAUGGUAUAUUGGGUAUUUAAAUGGGUUUGUUGAGUAAAUUUUAAAAUUUUAAAAUUCAAGGGUGGGUUUAUUUUAGUAAAUGGGUUAAGGCAGCAAUUUCCCAAACUAAAAUUUUUAGAAAAAGACGCUAUUGAGUUUUUUUUUUUUUUAAAAAAAGAAUUAAAAUGUUGAGAAUACCUUUAUUUAAUUUUAUAAUCUUAUUUUAAAAAAUUUACCCAAUAAAUUUUAUAAUUUUUAUAAAAAUUAUCAUUAACAUCCAAACAGCUAAAGAUUAAAAAAAAAAAAAAAGAAGAAGGGAACUGUACGAGCAAAAGUUACAUUAACAAUAAAUUUAGUCCAAAGAAUAAAGUUACAGCUAAAAAGUGCUCCUAUCCUAUUUUUCUCUAUUUUAACAAUAAUCUUCUUCCAAUCCGUUUUACAAUGGACUUUAACAAAUGGGCUCAAUCUCUAAACUUCAUUUUCUUUUGCUUACCCAUGGCCAUUAGCCAGAAAGCCUAAAACAAGACCAGCCCAUAUAUAUAAUUUUUUUUAAAAAAAAGUAAAAAUGUGUGAGAGCUUGUAGCAUUACAAUUUUAGGAUCACAUGUGUAAAUGGAACCCCAACAUUGAUCAAGAAUUAACAAGACAAGAUGAAGAGAUGAUCUUGUAACUAAGAAUGAAGAAAUUGAAUCAAGACAGUACUCUAGUAAAACCCAGAAAACAGAGCUUGAAGAAUCACGCACAAAGCAGUAAAUUUGUAAAACCAGAAUUGGAGCUUCACUUCUCAAGAGAGACGAAACAGGAUACAGUCUAGCUUUAGCCAAAGUGAUAAACUCGUAAUUAUUCUACAAAGGGAACAAUUUUGAACAGUGGGAAAUUCCAUAAUUAUUCUUUUCGGUGAAUUAUUUUAAAUAAAAUUAUAAAAACCAAUAUAAAAUUAUUACCCAGUAAAGACUUUAGAGAGACAAGUGCUCCCAACAGGAUCAAGUGAAUAUGCCCCACAAAGAUCAUUUCUUGUUCUUUUUCUUUUUGACAAUUUUAUCUGUGGUUUCAACUUUUAUGCUUUAUUGUCGUAUCCCGUUGAGGGCUCCGCUGCACCCAUUACAACUUACCCCUAAAUUGCCUCUUACUAACUAAACCGUUAGAUUUUAUGGAAGCACGUUCAAUGCUGAAUUUUAAUUAUGUCAUCAAAUUUCGUUUAGCUCCUUAAACUCCAUUUUAUUUGUAAUUUCUUCAUAAAAUAUUCAAAGCUUCAUCAAGCUCCUGAUGGACCAUCAUGGCUAGGGGUGCAUUAGAGCCGAACUGAAAUAUGUUAGUUCAGUUCAGUUUGGUCAGUUUAAAUCGAAUGGUUUAGAAUAUAUAAACUGAUCAAUUUUAAUUUUUAAUUGAACCGAAAAUCAAUUGGUUCAUUAUUAGUAUUUUUUUAUAAACAUGAAUUAUUAGUGAUUGUAAUUAAAUUGGACUAAAAAAAAUUCAAACUAAGGUGAAAAAUAUAAAAUCUUAGACAAUAUAAAAGAAAAAAUAUUAAAUUUUUUUAACCGAAUUAUUUUGACUCAAUUUGGUUCAUAAUUUUUUAAACCAAAUGGAACCCUCAUAACAAAAAACUAACAGAAACAAUAAGAACACGAUGUUAAAAUCUUAAAUCAAUCGCAAAAAAGCACCCAAAACAGAUCGAUUAGGAACAGUUAACAACAAAAGAUUUGAUGGUUCAAAAUCAUAAUGUGACCUACUUCCAUCCAAGAAUUAUACUAAUUUCUUUACUAGUUGUCAAAUACAAGAUCACAAGAUUAUUUAUCACUCUAUAGAGAAAAAAUUUUUAGAAGAAAUACUCCCCAAUUUUUCUCUUGAUAGUUAUGAAUCAACACCCCUAGAAAGGCUAUUGAUUUACUUUUCCUUAUUUCAUAUGAUCGGUUGCUGCAACUUAAUCCUUGCCAAGUUCCAACAUAGUCCAAACAUUUUUCAUGGUACAUGCAUAGUGCACCUUCAGAAACUUUACAGCUCUUCUUAAAACCUCAGUUCUCGUGAUGUUUCUGAUUUAUUUCUGGGACGAGUAACACUUUUGUUGAACCUAGACCAGAUUUAGUAUCCAAUCAAGAAUUUCCAGGAUCUAGCUGAACUCUCUAAUCAAGACCUAAAGAAUAGUUAAUCAAAUCCACACAAAAGAAUCACCCAAAAACAGUAUACAAAGAACAACAAAUAUAAGUGGUUUUGAGAUAAAUGUAAUUGACUUCUGAGCAUGACUUAAUUUUGAGAUCAUUACUUUUAGUUAAAUGAUCUCCUCCAGAGCUUCUACCUAUGUAGUGUUUUUAGACCUCUAUAGUUGAUAAAGCACGUUCAAGGUGAAGGCUUGUUUUCCAAUCUAUAGUCCAAUUAUAGACUGGAAAUGGUCAGGCUUAAUGCACCUUCAAAAGCUUCACAAUUUGUAUUGAAACCUUAAGCCUCAGAAUGCUACAAAUUUUAAAUCCAUAUACUUAGUGCUCUUAUGAUUUGUUUGAUUUUUACUUAGAUGAAGAGCAUUUUAGCUAUAGAAAACAUUGUAACUAAUUCAAAGCAUGCCUUAGCUACGAGAUCAUUCAUUCUAGCCAAAUGCCCCCUUUAGAGAUUCUGCUAUUGUUGUGUAUUCAGCCUCUAUAUUUGGCAAAGCAAUUACAUGUCGAAGGCUUGCUUUCCAGUUAACAGCGCAAUUACAUAGAUUAAAGGUGUAACCAGGCAAAGAACUUAGUUAUUCUGCCAAGGUCUCCAACAUACUCCAAAUCCAUAUAACCACCAGACUUCAAUCUUUAGACUCCAUAGAUCAAACCAUAACUUAGUGUGCCUUUCAAUCUCAGGUAACAUUUUACUGUUUUCCACGUCUUGCCAUGUACUUGCUGCUAACACUAACAAUUUGAGAAAUGUUAGGCAUCGUAAGCAGCCGACAACACUCUUCUUCAUUUCUUCAUUGUCAAUUUCCUUCUUGGAACAUUGCUCCAUUGAGAGUCUGCUAUCAUUGCUCCAAUUAUUAUUAUUUUUGUUUUUUUAAAAAAAAAAAUUAACCGUGCAAUAAGAGUAUAAGACUAAGCAACGGUCCUUUUUUUUUUCCCAUUCUUGAACAUGAAGUAUUUGAGUAUGCAAUAAAAAUUGUUUAUUGAUAAUUAAAAGUUAAUAGUGGGUGGCUUUAGGAUUUGUUUACAAAAUUGACAACAAAUUAAGAUUUUUCAAAUUCAUAGGUAAGAAACUUUUCAUUUAUUCAUAGAUUUUCCGGUUUAAACUUUAAAGGAAACUUAAAAGAAAAAGAUGUAUCAUUAGAUUUGUAAUUAAAAAAAUUUAAUAUUGUAUGAUCUGUUCGAUAUGCAUAAUUUAAAUAAACAUUAAUAUAGAUGUUAUAUAUCCUAAAACUUAAUUGACUUAAUUCUUACGGUGCAAGGAAGACGUUUCCAAGUUUAAAUCUAAUUUGGGGUCGGGAAAGCACUGGGAAAUAAAUGUAACAAAGGAAAAAAGAAAAGAAUGACAGUCUGAGUGGAGCCAACACGGUUUUGAAAAAAGUGCAAAAAAGGGUUUUAGGAUAUAUUCUAUUAUCGUUUGUUUGCUUGCUUGUGGAAAUAAAAGUCUCAUGUUUCUUUGAAAGGUAAGCAAGUGUGAAUGUUUCUAUCUAGAGCUGGAAAAUGCAUUUCCGUGCAACUUACUUGAUGAAUGAAGUUUUCAUCUCUGACCUUGAUGUUUCCCAGAGCUGCAUUCAUUUCAGCUGAUCUAUUUCAUUUCGUUUGCAAAGGAGUGACACAAAACCUCCUUUGUUAAGGGGAGAAUUUAGAGUGGCUUCAACGGUUAACAAAUAGCCUAAUGUAAGACUUAAUCAAUUUCCUGCCCGGUUGCUUACCACUACUUAUCACUUUAACGUAUGAAACCUAAUCAAGAUUCCUUUGAUGAUUUUUCUAUUUGCUAAUUGAUUGAUAAGCUCUUCAGUGAAGAUAUAGUGUCCGCAAGCCAUAUGUUGAUAGAGUUAGAGUUUGCAGAAGCUACUGUACCAUAUGUUGUUAGAGGCGGUAAAAACGGAGGCAGAUCAACACACAUUUAAAUUUCAAUGACAAUUUACUGGAAAUAAAUUUCCUAUGACCCUACAUGUGACUAAUUGAUGAGAACUUGACAAUGACAAAAGAAAGUGUAUGAGCUUUGCAGGCUGGCUUGCCAAUAUUGACUGUAUGGCACCAUCCGCAAGUAAGUAUCAUUACUGUUUAAUCAACUUGGUGGAGUCCACUGGGACCACCCCACAUGGUCAGUCUUAUCUCUACUCCUAAAUUUUCAAUAUUCCAUACAUCAAACCAAUUGCAGUUUUGAUAUCAAAUUCAAUUUUAUUGUUGGUGACGAUUCUGAUUCCUUUCAUUCUCACAAAACGGAACCAUGGUUGCUGUUGGAGAGAUCUUACUCAACGCCUUCCUUGAGGUGUUGUUUGACAGGUUGGCUUCUCGUAAUUUGCUCCGCUUUGUGCGUCAACUCCAAGGCGGGGUUGAUUCGGAGCUCAAGAAGUGGGAGAAAAAGCUGAAGAUGAUUCAGGCUGUGCUCUGCGAUGCAGAGGAGAAGCAACUGACCGAUGAGGCUGUGAAGAUGUGGCUGGACGAACUCCAAGACUUAGCUUUUGACGCUGAGGACAUUCUUGAUGAGUUUGCUACUCAAGCUUUGGAAAGCAAGUUGAUGGCGCAAAACCAGGAUAGCUCUGGCCAGGUUCUCAGUCUCAUCCCGGCUAGUUUGAAUCCGAAUGCUAUUAUGUUCAAUUAUAGCAUGGGGUCCAAGAUUAAAGAUAUGACUAGCCGGCUGGAGCAACUCUGCCAAGAAAGAAUUGAACUUGGACUGCAACGGCUUACUGGAGGGGCGUCAUCAACCGCUGCUGCUGCACACCGGAGGCCACCCAGUUCGAGUGUCCGAACAGAACGUGAAGUAUUUGGAAGAGAAGAAGAUAAGGCCAAAAUUCUUGAUAUGGUCAAUACCCCAAGUGAUCACGCCAACUUUGUUGUAAUACCUAUUGUUGGAAUGGGCGGGAUAGGAAAAACAACUCUUGCUCGGGAGGUCUACAAUGACAAGGCAGUUGAGGAUUCCAAGUUUGACGUAAAAGCAUGGGUUUGUGUCUCCGACAACUUUGAUGUUUUCAACAUUUCAAAGGCACUUCUCGAGUCAAUCACCUCCGCAGCUAGUGAUCUCAAGACUUUAAAUGAAGUGCAGGUUCAACUGAAAAAAGCAGUGGACGGAAAAAGAUUCUUGCUGGUCUUAGAUGAUGUUUGGAACGAGGACUACAGCUUGUGGGUAGACUUAAAAGCUCCGUUCCUGGGUGCUGCACCAAACAGUAAGAUGAUCGUCACCACACGCAAUUUAAACGUUGCAUCAACAAUGGGACCAAUUGAACAUUAUAAUCUCAAGAGUCUGUUAGAUGAUGAUUGCUGGUCCAUUUUCAUACAGCAUGCAUUUGAAGGUAGAGAUCUUAACGCAUAUCAAAUUUCAGAAUCAUUCAGCAAGAAAGUUGUUGGCAAGUGUGGGGGCUUGCCUCUGGCAGCAAAAACGCUCGGGGACUUCUGCGCACAACAAGGCAUGAUGCGUGGGACGAUAUAUUGGAUAGCAAAAUAUGGGAUUUACAUCAACAAAGCAGCAUUCUCCCUGUGUUAAGAUUGAGUUACCAUCAUCUUCCGUCUCAUUUGAAAAGAUGUUUUGCUUUUUGUGCCAUCUUUCCAAAAGAUUAUGCAUUCACUGAGAGGGAGCUGACUUUCUUAUGGAUGGCUGGAGGUAUUAUUCGACAGUCAAGAAACAAUGAGCAGCUGGAAGAUUUGGGCAGCAAGUGCUUUGGUGAUCUAGUGUCGAGGUCAAUUUUUCAGCAAACAGCAAGCUCUGAUAGUUCUAAAUUUGUAAUGCAUGACCUUAUUCAUGAUCUUGCUGAAUUGGUCUCUGGAGAAACCAUAUUCAGGUUAGAGGAGGCCAAUACUCGGUCAAGAAGAUUUGAAAGGGUUCGCCAUUCUUCCUAUGCUUGUGGUGGAUGUGAUGGUAAAAAUAUGUUCGUGGUUUUCAAUGAAAUUGAACAUCUACGAACAUUCUUGCCAUUACGCUUACGCAGAAGAGGUGGCUCUAAUGCUGGUUACAUAACUCGUACGGUUCUAUCUGAUUUGCUGCCGAAGUUCAAAAGGUUGAGAAUGCUAUCUUUACAAGGAUACUGUAUUGGUGAGUUACCAAUUCCAUUUGAAGAUUUGAGACUUUUAAGGUUUCUCAACCUUGCUGACACUGACAUAAGAAGUUUACCCGAGUCAACAUGCAAAUUGCUGAACUUGGAAAUUUUUAUAUUAAGAAAUUGUUCCCGUUUGAUAAAGCUUCCACCCAAAAUGAGGAAUUUGAUCAAUUUACGCCAUUUGGAUUUAAGAGGUGCGAAGUUGCUGAAGGAGAUGCCAUUCGGAAUGAAAGAGUUGAAGAAGCUUCAAACAUUGUCCAAUUUCAUCGUGGGCAAGGGCGAAACUGCAUCUGGUUUGGAAGAUUUAAAAUGUUUAAACUUUCUUUGUGAUGAACUCUGCAUUGCUGGAUUAGAGAAUGUGAAUGGUCCACAGAAUGCAAGAGAAGCCGCAUUAUGUGAGAAGCACAAUCUUGAAGCAUUGACUCUAGAAUGGGGGUCUCAAUCUGACGGUCCUCGGGAUGCAGUACUAGAAGAGAAGGUACUUGACACUCUACAACCUCAUGAAUGUAUAAAAGAGCUGGCAAUCAGGCACUAUGGUGGUGCAAGAUUUCCACCUUGGAUCGGACAGCAUUCGUUCUCCGAGAUGAAGGUCCUUAAAUUGGAGAACUGUGGCAAUUGUGUAUCUCUGCCAUCGCUUGGCCUGAUGAGUUCACUUAAGCACCUUGCUGUUAAAGGGCUGAAGAAAUUAAAAAGCCUAGAGUCUGAGGUUUAUGGGGAGGGUUUCUCAAUGCCUUUUUCGUCACUGGAGAUUCUAAGUUUUGAGAAUUUGCCAGAAUGCGAGCAUUGGGACACCAAUAUCAAAGGAAAUGUGCUUGUUGAAAUAUUUCCUCGUCUCCAUAAACUUUCCAUUGUGGAAUGUCCCAAACUCUCCGGAAAACUGCCUGAGCUCCUGCCCUCCUUGAAGACACUUGUUGUUAGUAAAUGUGAAAAGUUGGUAGUUCCAUUGUCUUGCUAUCCAAUGCUUUGCAGAUUAGAAGUUGAUGAGUGCAAAGAACUAGUCUGCCGGACUCCGAUUGAUUUUAAGUUGAUAAAGUCGGUGACUAUUUCAAAUAGUUCAUUAGACAUGAAUGGACGCAAGGGGAUGCUAUACGAUGGUCCAGCUGGCUCUUUACUGCCAAAGCCCAUGACUACUACAAAUGUUUUGGAGUUUGGAAAAUUAUUGAAGCCUGGAUUUCAGAUAUUAGAAACUUUGGUAAUUGGCAAUUCUGAACAGCUCAAGUCAUGGAGGCAGCAUGGGGAUUUUCCGAAAAAAUACAUGGUCACUGACCAUGGGUUUAAGAAACCAGUACGAGGGCUGAAUAUGCUCGCUUCCCCUGAGGAGGUAUCAAUUGAAGAAAGUUGCGUACGUCUUGUUUUGUUUCCAGAGAUCAAUUUCUUUCCCAGAAAUCUGCGCUCUCUUCUAAUUAACAACAGCACUGCUUUGAAAUCCUUACCCGAGGAAAUGAUGGAAAACAAUUCACAACUCGAAAGGUUGUAUAUCAAGGAUUGCGACUCUCUAACAUUCAUCGCAAGACGGAGGCUACCAGCAUCUCUGAAAAGGCUUGAGAUAGAAAAUUGUGAGAAAUUGCAACGUCUGUUCGAUGAUGAAGAGGAUGCUUCUUCUUCUUGUCCUUCAUCCUCGUCUUCCCCAGUGAUGCUGAAACACCUGAGAAUCGAUAACUGCCCAGAGCUCACCAGUUUAUCAUCGGGUGUCCAAUUCCUUGAGGCGCUUGAAGACCUCAAGAUAGGGCAUUGUCCAAAGCUGGAGUCAAUACCGGAUGGCCUGCCCAAUCUUAAAUGUUUACAGAGCAUUUAUAUACGGGAUUGUCCAAGUCUUGUUUCCUUCCCAGAAAGAGGGCUUCCCCACACCAUUUCAGGGGUUUUCAUUGCGAGUUGUGUGAAGCUCGAAGCCUUGCCCAAUGAUUUGCACAAACUCAACUCUCUUCGAGGUUUAAGCAUACAGCUCUGUCCAAAUCUUGUAUCGUUUCCAGAAGAAGGUUUUCCUACCAAUCUAACAACCCUUGUAAUUGAAAAAUUCAAAUUGUAUAAGACACUCGUCCAGUGGGGGUUGCACAGGCUUACCUCUCUUAGAGACCUCUACAUCAUUGGAUGUGAUGAUGAAGCAGAGUGUUUUCCAGACGAGGAGAUAGGAAUGACGCUGCCCACCUCUCUCACUCAUCUGUCCUUUUGUGGAUUCCAAAAUUUGAUAUUUCUGUCUUCAAUGGGUUUUCAAAACCUCACCUCUCUUCAAUCAUUCCCAGAGGUGGGCUUUCCAUCCUCACUUUGGGGCUUAGACAUUAGAUAUUGUCCAAAGCUCAAAACAGCGUGCAAAAGAGAUGAAGGAAAAGAGUGGUCCAAAAUUGCUCACAUCCCUCGCGUUGAGAUAGACGGUAAAUUCAUAUACGAUCCAGAAGCAGAGGAGUAGAUUCUACUAUUAAGGUCAGUUGAUUUGUAUUAUCCGCUAUAACAAGCUCCUCCUUUUUUAUUUUUUUUUUUGAAAUAAUAAUUUUGCAGUCACUCACGUGAUUCCGUUUUCACAAGUCAGAUUGUACGUUGAGGCUAUUUGCCUUUUAAUCGCAGAUUAAAUUAUAACACUUAUCUUAAAAUUUAAUACCAUAGACAGAUAGACGAUUUUUUAAUCCAAAGUUUUUUUUAUUCACUUCAGUUAGCAUUUUUUUUUUCCCCAAAUCAUGCAAGCCGAGAGUUUCAAUCAAGAAUUGGAGGAUGUGAAUGGGAAUUUUGUGAAAGAGUAACAUAAUGGAUGAACGAACAUUUCAUAUGUGAUCUCAAAGUCAACAGAAUUUUAUUCACUCGUUGACUUUUCAACUGCUGUGGUUAUUUAUGGGUGAAAGAUAAGGGCAAUUACAAAAAAUUUGCAAAAUUUGUCCAUUUCUUAGAUGGUAGAAAUUGGAGUAUAAUAUUUUGGAGCAAGCAUACUUGAAAUUUCUUUCUUCAAUAUUUUGAUGCUUUCUUAUCCCAUGCACAAAAAUACUAGAAAAAACUAAUAACAACUAACCGAAAAUCCCAGGCGUCAUAUUCCUUUUUACCGCGUUUUAAAAUGCACAACAAUGAUAUUCUUACAAAUUUGCAAAAUUUGUCAAUUUCUUAGAUUUCAGAUAUUUUAAUGCUUUUUUUAAUUUUUGAUCUAGUAAAAAUACAUAGCCUUCACCGGCAAGAUUCUAGUCUUGGAUUUCACCUCUCUAACUCAUCUGUUCCCAUUGGGAUUCCAGAAAUUGAAAUUUCUGUCUUCAAUGGGUUUUCAAAGCCUCGCCUCUCUUCGAUUUUUGUGGAUCGGGAAUUGCACAAAUCUCACAUCAUUUCCCGAGGUCGAGGAAAAGAGCGGCCCAAACUUGCUCGCAUCCCUUAUUAGGUUAUGAUAGAUGGAAAAUUCAUAUACGAUCCAGAGUCAGAGGUGUUGAUUCUCUUAUUAAGGUCAGCUGAUUUCUAUUAUCCACUCUGACAAUCUCCUAUUAGUGUUUUUCCUUUUGAAAUUUUUUUUCCAAAAUUUUGCAGUUCCGUAUAAUUGAAAAUGCCAUUCAGUUGUUUCCUAAUAGUAUGUUGAGGCUAUUUGCUUUCUAUCGGUGUUUGUUAAGGUAAUUAGUGCUCCCUCGUAGGUGUGACUGGAUUUUUUUCACUUCCGUAAAUAUUGCAUUUUAGACUGGCAAAUUUAGCAGUAAUUUUAAUACAAUUUUGUUGGUGCCUUGUGUUCCAGAAGCUAGAAAAAUGUGUAGUUUUCAGAUAAGGAGGCUUGUCAGUUCUCUAGUAAGAAUCCAAUGAUUUGCUUUUGCACGUCCAUCUAAUUUGUGGAUCCUUGCAUCAGAAUUUGAUCAAUCCAAAAGGAAUUGCUUUUAGACAGAAGAAGAAUAGCAGCACCUAGCCUACCCGCAAACCUGAAACUAUUAGAUUGAGGUAAAAAAAUCAUUGACCCUCACAUGUUAACUUCUUCUAGUUACUUUCGUUGGGAAAAAAAAAAACAUUUAAGGAAUUUGCAAUUUGUUGUUAGUUAUGGUAUCUGAUGUUCUUUUCUGCUUUAGCGUUUGUAGAAUCUACUGUAUUAUGUGUUGGCAGUUGCCGUAUCUAAGGUAACUUGCCUUUAUUUGUUUGCUUCUGACUUAAGGACACCAACAUUUGCCAGAGAUUUAGAGAAUCAUCUCAAAACACUUAGCAAACUUGACAAACUUCAAGAUGCACUUGCCCCCACGCCUUAUUCUCAACAACGCAAAACUUGUGAGUACACCUAUGCCUGCAAUUAUUGUGAAGUGUUCGCAAUUCUGAUGCAGAGAAAUGGUUUCUUGAUGCAAAGUAUUAAACUGUUAAGAUUUAUCCUGCAGGCUUGUUAGAUGCUGGAUACGCGAAAAGCCAACAACAUCAAGAACUGCAACUCCAAGACCAGCUUUGCGUUAAUUCAGUCAGCUGUAAUAAUGAUGCAAAUGACACUAUAUCAAGCUGGACUUAGAGACUAGUCAGAUAAAUCAUCCAUUUCAUCAACGGUUAAUGUCAUGAUGGUGGCUAUCAGAGGAAACAAAAGAUGUGUCGGAAUCUAUACAAACAUUGAGAAGCAUGAGAGGAGCUUUGAUUUUGAGUAGGGUCAAUGAACUCAUAUUGGUAAGUGGUAAUUAAAGAAACUUUGUAAGCUUAGUAGAGUUUCAGUAUUUUCUGUUUGGAGUAUAGUUGAUAAGUUGACUCUGUUUAAGAAGCCCGAUUAUAGUAGCUGACUGUAUUAACCUUUUUUUUUUUUUUUUGGGUCUGCUGUUGUUUUUGGUUUCGAUUAUUUUUUCAACAUUGGGUUGAUCUGUUGAAGAACAAGCUUGGGUUUGAUUAUGCUUUAACUACAAGGAAGAGCCAGACUUGGAUGCAGGCGUUAAGCUUUUAAUGGGUAAGAACAAAUGAAUGCUUUAACUAUGUUUCUCACUUAUUAAAAUGCACGGAUUGAAGGCAUCUGGGUUGAUCCUGACAAUGUGAUGGAAAUACUUCUCUGUUUUCAUAUAACAGGACAAAUAGAGAUCUCUGAUCAUGCCUGAAUUUUUGUUGCAUUGAAAUUUCUACCAUUAUCAAACAUAGAAUGAACUAGGGAUACAUUAGCUUAAGACUAAAUUUUGAGAAGGAAGUUUGUACUUGCAGCCUAUAAAAUCAUGUCCAUGUUGUACGUUUCUUUGGGAAAUGAAAGAUUCUGUGUGUUCUUUUAUUUCAAGUUCACUGAAAUCACAUUUGUUUUCUCAGCUGCUUUCCAGAAGGUAACAACAUCAAUUUCAAAAAUGCUGGGGCAAGAUGUAUCAUGCAGUGCAACUCAACUUGAGAAUUCCUGGCCACAUUACCCGUAUGUCUAAUGAUCGCACAGUACAACCUUGAGAAGCUUGUAAUGAGUACACAACUGGGUGCAAGUAGUUUUGAAAUGAAUUUGCCUCAAAUGAUUUCUUGCCGGUGAUUAAUAUAACCUCUAUUCCAAAAUUCUUGGAACUGGUCAUACUAGCAAUGAAGGAUUGCAUACAUUGAAGACAUAGCUGAAGGCCUUGCGAGAGCUCUGUCAGCCCUUGUACCGGAAAACAGCUGGUCGUAGUCGCUUGUGAAUGAUAUGAUUAAUAGAUACUGCAAAAAUGAAUUGUGCCAUACAUUUUCAGCGCUCUGUGAAGAUGUCUUGGUCAUUUGUUUGAUGCUUGUUUGAUUUAUGUUGUAUUCAGCCAUAAAUCAGAGAUUCAGAACUUGGGUAUGUUUCUGGUUUCCAAAUCAAAAAAUUGCCUUGUGAUGUUAGUGUUCACUGUUUUCACAGGAGAUCAGGUUCCUUGUUAAUGAAUCAAGAAGAAGGCAAGCGCAUCCAUGUCCAAGUUCAAAUGUGUCUCCUCUAUUUUCUAUUACCCACUCAUUUAUUUUGAUUUCUUCAUUGUAAUUGAAUUAGUUUUUUAUUCCAAAUUAGUCAAAACCUCGUAGAGUCAUUAAGUUCUUUUAGCAUUUAAAGACAGAACUACGAACCAAAUGAUUUAAGUUCUUCGUUGUAAUUGAAUUUGCUUUCCCAUCUUUAAAGAUAUUAUGUUCUUUUUCACUUUUUCGAUUUGGUUAGUGGUGAUUUCUUAAAGACUCAAUCCAUUUGCGUUAAUACAUUUUUCUUUUGCCUUGAUUUCUGUUUCUUGGGGAGUUUAUACAUAUUCUUAUUUUAUGCUACACAUGCCAUAUACAGAUUCUUAUUUUAUGCUUCACAUGCCACAUGAAAGGUCAAAGCCUUGUGUGUGAUUAGAAUUUACUGGCAUCAUAGUAACUUUAAACCAUUGUGACGUUUUAGUAAUAACAGUCUGAGCUCUCCCUGAAGGAUUCAAAGCAUUUUAUUUUAUAUUAUACUCCUUUAUAUGGUUUGGCUGGUCUCUUUUAAGGCAAUUCCUGUUUAAAGUAAUCAAAAUUUUGAUUUCGAAGUGUCUUUCAACACUACCGCUAGUUCUUUAAGAAAAGUAAAUCGAUUUUGAGUCUUCUGUAUCAUCUGAUUGAAAUACAUGAAAGCACUCUUAGCUGCAAAAGUACACUUGGAGUUAUAAUAGCAUUCUGAAAUCUCCUUGAAGGAUUCAAAAGCUCUUUAUUUGCUAGUCUUUGCUUGCAAUAAACUCCUUUAAUAUAGAUUGGUUGAUCUUCUUUAAAGCAAUUACCAUAAGUUCUUUAAAUAAUAAAACGACUUUGAGUCUUAUGUAUCAUCUUGUUGAAAUACAUGAAAGCACUCUUGGCUGUAAAAAUGCACUUGGGGUUAUAUAUAAAGUCUUCAACAGAAUUUUAUUUCCCCCUUUAUCCUCAUGGUGGUCUUUUUAGUUGUUUUUUAAGAAAUCGCUUGAAGGUUCUCUUUAAAAAUAAUUUUAACAUAAGCAUUCUUUAGAAGCACUUUAGAUGUCUGGCAUUUAGAAAAUUUUGUUCCUGUGUUCACAUAAUAUAAUAUAUAUAUAUAGAAAGCUGACUGUAGAAUAGAGGAGAACGAGUUGGUGUUGGUCUGAACUCUGAUCUUUGAAUCUCAUGUGACUCCACUACUUUUUACUUGUUCUGUACAAGGUCUUUUAGCUUUUCAAAAAGUUUUAGCUUUAUGGAUAAAAUACUGUUAAUUGUAAUCUAUAAAUAAUGAAAGGAAUUAAUAAAAUAUUUGGUAAAUUUUAUUUUCUAAAGUGUUAUGAGUUCUAAAACGGCUGUAUGUAUAUAAAUUUAUUUACACAUAUAUUUAUAAAUAUGAUUAUAUAAUAAUAUUUUAUGUGUACAUAUCAUAAUUGAUAACUAAAAUAAAUAUUUUUAUUUUAUUAAUGGUUUUUCCGUCUCAAUGUAGUUGGUAAUAAUAAUCUCUUUAGAUGUAACGAUUUUAUUUCCUAACUGAAUAAGGAAAAUUUUAGAUUUUUAUAAUAAAUGUUAAAUAUAUAUAGAAUUACAUUAAGUAUGAAAUAAUCCUCAAAAUUAGAUUUGAAAAGUUAUUCUUUUCUUGCUUUUAAAAAUAUGUCAUAUGAUGAGAUAAUUUUACUAAAAGUGAUUUUUUUUUAAAAAAAUUACUAAACAUCAAAAUUAACUCUUAACUUUUUAAAAUCAUUUCUAAUCUUCUCAUCCUAAGUUCUUUAUUGUUUUGUACAAAAUCCAAGGUUUUGACUUUUAUAAAAUGCCCACUCAAAAAUAAAUUAUUUUCUAAUUAAGAUUUGUUGUUAAUGUAUAACUCGAAGUAAUAUUAGAUAUUUGUAAUUUUAUUUCAAAAAUUUUAUUCAAAUGAUAUGGCAAGCAAUGAACAAUAGUUGAUAGCAAUUUUUUUUUUUUAACAAUGUUCAAAUCAAUCAGUUGCAUUAUCUCACCAUUUUUAUGAUGUCAUGUUAUUUUAAAUGAUUUUUUUAAUUUUUAUAUAAAACAUACGACGUGUUAACAUCAUUUGCAUAACUUGACCUUUUUUUUUUUCCUACAAAUAGUGUUUAAAAUUCAACACACAGAUGUGCCUCUUUCUUACUAUACUGGAAUCCUCGGUAAACUUUUUGUUUGCGCAAUUUAUGUGAGCAAAUUGUGUCUUCUUUUUCAUAUGUAAAUGUUUUUGAUAUCUUGAUGUGAAGGUAGAAAAUUGCAUGUUUUGAGUUUUUGCAUAUUUGAUGGAAACACAGAACCGUACCUGAAUAUUUCAGAACCCCCUUUUCUUUGAAGUUUGAACACUUUUCUUGAAUGUAUCAACUUUAUUUAUGGGAUAUGUUGCCAAAUUGGCAAAUCUAUUCGUUAUAAAACUUUCCUUUGACAGUUUAAUCUAAGCAGAUGUUAAUUCUGCAAAUAGAGUGUGCCUUAGAUUAGUUUCAUAGAUUUGUCUCCUUCUGUACAGUAAAAACUUUGAGCAUUUUCGCCAUAUUCUGAUCAAUACACUCCAACUAGUUAGUUCUUGAGGCGUUUUAUGGUUUCGUGGAGUGAGGCAAGAUGUAUACGUUUGCAAAUUGGCAAUGUCUUUUGCUUGAUGGGUUGAGAGUUGUGAGUGUCAACAGGAAACAAGACCUCUGUUUUAUGAACUCCAAAAAGUUAUUCUGUUAGAAAGAUCGAGACAGAGGCCAUACUAUAUUUAUUAUUGCUAUAAAAGUGUGAAAAAAUAUUCUUUAUUUAAUAUUCUAAACGAUUGAGCCAUUUAGUUAUGAUAUUCUGCUGUAUUGGGGCUAAUAAUCUAAGUCGGUUCAAAGUGGUAAAUUUAUAAAUUGAUAGGUAUGCCUGGUAUGACCGCUUACGUUGGAUUUUAUGAGGUCUGCUCUCCUAAGCAUGGAGAGUGUGUCUUCAUAUCAGCAGCAUCUGGUGCAGUUGGUCAGCUUGUGGGGCAGUUUGCAAAGUUAUUGGGCUGCUAUGUCGUCGGAAGUGCUGGAAGCAAAGACAAGGUAGGUUAUCUGUGUGAAGUACUUGAUUGUUUCCGUGUUACUUUCAAACAUUUAAAUUAAAAAGGAAAUUUUCAUAAUCUUGCCUUUUCUAUGAUUUUCAAAACCAAGGUUGAUCUACUGAAGAACAAGUUUGGGUUCGACGAGGCAUUUAACUAUAAAGAAGAAGCUGAUUUGAAUGCAGCAUUGAAAAGGUUAGCAUCAAUAAAUGCCUUAGCUUGAUGCAGCUUGAUGAAGUAUGAUACACAUUUCUGACCAAUAUACUGCGUUCCCUGAUCUCUUACUUGAAAUAUCUUGGUUUGAGAAUCUCAUGCCAAUGCCUUUAACAUUUUGGCAGGUACUUUCCUGAAGGAAUUGAUAUAUAUUUUGAAAACGUUGGUGGAAAAACGCUUGAUGCAGUGCUACCCAACAUGAAAAUCCGUGGUCGAAUUGCUGCAUGCGGUAUGAUCUCACAGUACAAUCUUGACAAGCCUGAAGGUGUGCACAACUUGAUGUAUCUUGUUUCGAAACGGCUUCGAAUGGAAGGAUUCAUUGUUCUCGAUCACUAUCACCUCUAUCCAAAGUUUCUGGAAAUGAUCAUUCCUCACAUCAAAGAAGGGAAGCUUGUAUACGUCGAAGACAUGGCUGAAGGUCUUGAGAGUGCUCCGGCAGCUCUCAUCGGUCUAUUCUCUGGCCAGAAUGUUGGGAAACAGGUGGUUGCUGUUGCUCCUGAAUGAAGAACAAGUUAGUGUUGCAGUUUGAAUGAUGCUGCUGCACAACUGCUGCCGAAAAAAUCCUUAAUAGAUGAUUAGCAAGGUUUCAAAAAUAAAAAGAAAUGUUUGUGCAACGUGCCGAAUAUGACAGCCACAAAGAAAGAGCAUACAAAUUGAUUGGUUUUAUGUCUUCUCUAGGAGAAAGCUACAAUACAAGAAAUUGUAUUGAUGGAGCCAUGGACCAAAUUUCUUAUUUAAACUUUUAAUUUUUUUUAUUAAAAUUACUUAUGUUAUUAUGGUUUAUAUUUUUAGAAAUUCUUUAGAAAUUAAUACAGAACUAGUAGCAAGUUGAGAAAUCUACUGAAUAGUCGAGAUAUGAUCAUGUUUAUUGAAUUAAAUUGACAAUCAUCAUUUUGAUAAAUUAUUGUUAGGAUAUUUGAUUCAUCACAGGUGUAAGUAACUAAAUGUGCUAAAAAAAAAGUUAAUGAGUUGUGAGUGUUUGAUAUUCGUUUGUUGUAAUUCUUUUAAUAAUUGUUGUGGGAAAAAAAUUAUGGUAAAAAAAUUAUAAUUAUAAAAUAAAAAUUAAUAAUAUAUUAUAAAUAAAAUUUUUAAAUAAUAAUUUUAAUAAAAUAAUAAAUAUAUUAUGAAUUUUUCAUUAUAAAUUUUUAAGUUAAAAUAAUAAAUAUUUAUUAAAUAUUUUAAUAGCACAACUUUUAAAUUAUAACAGUACAAUGUAAAUACCAGAGGUCUUAAAAAAUAAAAUUACAGUCAAGUUUUAAAACUGUUAAUAAUGCUAUUCAUAAAGGCGCUCGUCGUGUAAACAACACAUGGGACCCAACCAAUAAAUGUUUAUGAUCCUCAACUUUCCUCCUCACCGUCCCUGCAAACAAUUCUGAUCUUCUUGUCUGAGAAAAAAACUGAGAAACAAUGGCGGCCGAACAAGAAGCUGUGAGCAAUAAGCGGGUGAUUCUAAGCAACUAUGUGACAGGUUUUCCAAAAGAAUCGGACAUGAAGAUAACAUGUGGAUCAAUAAAACUGGAGGUAGCAGACGGUUUAAAAGACACGGUGCUUUUGAAGAAUCUUUAUAUUUCUUGUGAUCCUUACAUGCGAGAGCGUAUGAGCAAGCUUGAUAGACCUUCUUUUGUUGAUUCAUUCCAUCCUGGUGAGGUUAGUUCAUCACGACCCAUCUCUUGAUUUUUUUUUUUUUUUCAUUUGCUUCAAGUUUUGAUGAGUUUCUGAGGUCAUUUGUACGGUUUUGGAAUGUGAACACUAUUAGUGAUUUUGGGGCUGUAACUGUCAUUAAUGAUAUGUAGUAAUUCAAUCAGAAUUUGGAUUUAGUGCUGAUAUGAUCUCUGCUCAUUUUUUAAAAUCUUGUGUCCAGAUGCAUUUUUAUAAUCUUGUACGGUUGAGAUUGUAUGUAGAUUAAUCUACGUGCAGUAUUCUUGUCUAAUGACUACUAACCACAACCUUAUGAGACGAUCGAAACCAAGCUCAGAUCAAUAAUCCAAUUGAGAGAGGGUCCUAACUCAAGCUUAUCGUGUGUAGGAAUAUUUCGGUUAAAUUGUAAUUCUUUUAAUAAUUGUUGUGAAAAAAAAAAGUUAUGAUAAAAAAAUUAAUAAUUAUAAAAUAAAAAUUAAUUAUAUAUAAUAAAUAAGAUUUUUAAAUAAUAAUUUUAAUAAAAUAUAAUAAAUACAUUAUCAAUUUUUCAUCGUUAAUUUUUAAGUCACAACCACAAAUAUUUACUAAACACUUUAACACCAUAAUUAACACCACAACUAUUGAAUUAUAACUGUACAAUCUAGACGCCAAGAGGCCUUAGUAUGAAAAAAAAAAAUUACAGUUAAGUUAAAAUUCAUCAUACAGAUGUGCCACUUUCAUACUAUACCGGGAUCCUCGGUAAUGAUUUUUGUUACACAAUAAGAUUUGCUUAUAGUAAUAUCAAUACAUAUGCUGCUUAAAUGCUUUCUGAUUUUUUGCCGGCCAUUGUCCAUUUUGCCAGGGAGUCUAUAAUUGAAGGAAUUUACUGAAGGAAUGCUGAUUGUUGGGAAUUUGAUUAUUCUAGGUAUGCCUGGUGUAACUGCAUACGCUGGUUUAUACGAAGUUUGCUUUCCGAAGAAAGGAGAGUAUGUCUAUGUAUCUGCAGCAUCUGGAGCUGUUGGUCAGCUUGUUGGACAGUUUGCAAAAUUAGCUCGUUGCUAUGUUGUUGGAAGUGCAGGAAGCAAAGAAAAUAUAGCACCGUGCCUUCUAGCAGAAUUUUACUUGCUUUAUGUUCCAACUAAGCAUCCAUAUUUGAUCAUGAUAAUUAGCAAGGUCAAUAAUUUUUUUUUGACUAUUUUUUCAACGUAAGGUCGAUUUGUUGAAGAACAAGUUUGAACGAUGCUUUUAACUACAAGGAAGAGCCUGAUUUUGAUGCAGCACUCAAAAGGUCAGCUGCAACAAACGUUUCAACUCUAAUAUUUCAUUUUAAUAUUACAGAGCUUUGGUUGAAGUGUGUGAGUUGAUCCCAGAAACGUAACUUCAUCAGUGUCUCUGUUUUCAAAAAACAUGACAAAUAGAAAUCUGAUUUUGCUUUAAAAUUUCCCAGAUGCUUCCCUCAAGGAAUCGACAUAUAUUUCGAAAAUGUUGGGGGAAAGAUGCUGGACGCAGUGCUACUCAACAUGAGGCUCCGGGGCCGCAUUGCAGUAAGCAGUAUGAUCUCACAGUAUAACCUGGAAAAACCCGAAGGCGUACACAACUUAGAGCAACUGAUCGGGAAACGGAUUCGCCUGGAAGGAUUUCUAGCUGGUGAUUACUAUCACCUCUAUCUGAAAUUCUUGGAACUGGUCAUUCCUCCAAUCAGAGAAGGAAAGAUGCUGUAUGUGGAAGACAUGGCCGAAGGACUCGAGAAAAUUUCUCGUAACUGCUACACAUUAAACGCGUUUCACAUUUCCACUCUCUUUCUAUAAAUAAAUACGCACAUAAAAUUUCUCACCAUCCAAAAACAAAAUCUACAUAAAAAAUGGCGGGUGAAGAAGCAGUGAGCAACAAGCAGGUGAUUCUGAGCAACUACGUGACAGGGUUUCCCAAGGAAUCAGACAUGAAGAUAAUAACAGGCUCAAUAAACCUUAAGGUGCCAGAGGGUUCAAAAGACACAAUGCUUUUGAAGAAUCUUUAUCUUUCCUGUGAUCCUUACAUGAGAGGACGUAUGAGCGAGCUUGAUAAGCCUUCGUUUGUUGCCUCAUUCGAGUCUGGCGAGGUCAGUUACUUCAAUUCCCAUCUCUUGGUUUCAUAAUCUUUUAUGGUUUUAGAAGGUGUUUUAGGGAAACAUUGUGGUUUUGGUUAGUGGGCAUGAGUCUUUGAAGAGAUUAUAAUGUGUAGGACUAUGCAUGCAAUAAUAAGCAUAGGGGAUCUUGUUAGGAGAAGAUUCUCUUAGCAAAAUAAAAACUUUUAUCUUAUCAAAACAUAUGCAGGGAACUUAGUUAUGAUGUCAUGUUAGCAUUGUCUCUGAGGAUUUGAUUUCUUGAUGGGGAAAGGGGAAUUUAAGGUUACAUUAUUCAGCAAUGGUUUUUUUUUUAAAUUAUGUUCAAAUUAUGCAGCCUUUAAGCGGAUAUGGAGUGUCCAAAGUGUUGGAUUCCACGCCUCCAAAUUAUAAGAAAGAUGACUUGGGUGGUGUUUGUUUUUUAACUUAAUGACUUAAAGUGACUUAACUUAAUUAAUUAAGUUAAUUAGAGAUGUUUGUUUUUAUAACUUAAUGUGACUUUUUAAAUAAUUUUGACUUAAUAAAAUAAGCCAAUUUUAUUUACUUUUUACUUAAUAGAGACAUCUGAAUUAAGUCAAGUACUUUCUAAUGUCAAAAAUAUACAUGCUUUAUAAUUUAUUUUUCAUGUCUAUCCCAAAACUCACCCAUAGACAUUUACCCCACAUAAUAAUCUCAUCAUUAUUUUUUUAGCCGUCAUGAAAUCCCUCCUCACUUUGGUAUCAACUCCUCAACUAUUGAAGAUCAAAAUUACAUGCGACAACUUCGAGAUGAAUGGCAAAUCAACUGUUUCAAGCAUCUUAUUAGUUUUUUUUCUUUUUUAUAUUAUAUACGAUAAAAUUUGAAAUUUAUGGUAUUUUAUAUAUUAAAAUUCCAAAAUCAUUAUAUAUUCACUUGAAUAUAGUUUUACUUAUAAAUGUUAAAAUAUUGUGAUAUUUAAUAUAUUGUUUAUUUGACAUUCAAAUUUAAUAAGGAUACAAAUGUAAAAGUACAUAUUUUUCAGUUUUUUAAGUUGAAAAAAGAAAACAACUUAAUAAUUAUUUUUCGAGAUUCAGACGAAAAAACAAACAUAUUAUUCAGAUUCAGACAUUCAGAUCUAUUCAGAAUUUAGACUAAUUCAAGUCUAUUCAGAUUUCAGAUAAAAAAACAAACGCCACCUUGGUCCGGGGCUUAACCAGUUGGGAGGAGUUCAGUCUCAUCCAAUCACCACAACUUCUGAUUAAAAUUCUGGAUACAAGUGUGCCUCUGCCAUAAUUAAUUGACAGGUUGCUAUGUUGUUGGAAGUGCCGGAAGCAAAGAAAAGGUGAGUUUGCACCCUUAACCCUUACGCUCUAAAUAAAAACAUAACACCUUCUGAAAGAAUUGUGCAUAGAGAAUUUUGCAUGUCACAUUAUUUGUGUUCUAACUAAUCAUGGAUAUUUGAUCAUUAGUCUAACUAAAACUGACAUAUUACCACCUAGUUGACUGGUCUUUGAGAAAUGUUAGUUGAUAUAUGCUUGAAAUCAUACUUUGUUUUAUUAGAUGAUUAUAUUAACCUGCUUCUUUUUCUUUGUGCUGUUUCUCGUUUGAUUACAUUUUCAACAUUAGGUCGAUCUAUUGAAGCACAAGUUUGGGUUUGAUGAUGCCUUUAACUAUAAGGAAGAGCCUGACUUGGAUGCAGCUCUUAAUAGGUUAGCACGAAUGAAUGCUUUAACCAUUUUUCUCACUUCAUUAUUACAAUGCGCUGAUUGAAGUAAUCAGUGUUGGCUCUGAAAAUGUAACGUAUACUUCUCUGUUUUCAUAAAACAGGACAAACAGUGAUCAGUGAUCUCAUUCGUUACAUUGAUAUUUUCUACCAUUGCCAUACAUAGUAUAAACUAGGAAUUCAGUUGCUUAAUAGAUAUUCAUUUCAGAGGGAAAUUUUCACUUGCAGCUAACAGAAUCAUGUUUGUGAUGUAUGUUUAUUUGGGAAAUGAAAGGAUUUGUUGCAUUAUUUUAUUCCAAGUUUGCUGAAAUCAUAUUUGUUUUCCCAGGUGCUUUCCUGAAGUUAUCGACAUCUAUUUCGAAAAUUUUGGGGGUAAGAUGCUUGAUGCAGUGCUACUCAACAUGAGAAUUUGUGGCCGCAUCGCUGUAUGCGGAAUGAUCUCACAGUACAACUUUGAGAAGCCUGAAGGUGUACACAACUUGAUGCAAGUAAUUGGAAAACGAAUUCGCAUGGAAGGAUUUCUUGCCAGUGAUUUCUACCACCAAUAUCCAAAAUUCUUGGAACUGGUUAUGCCGGCAAUCAAAGAAGGAAAGUUAGUAUAUGUCGAGGACAUAGCUGAAGGCCUCGAGAAAGCUCCAUCAGCCCUAGUUGGGAUAUUCACAGGUCAAAAUGUUAAAAAACAACUGGUUGUAGUUGCUCGGGAAUGAUAUGAUUACUAUAUGCUUUAAAAAGUGGACUUUGCCAUGCACUUUAAAACCUUAGUGAAGAUGCCUUUGUCUUAUUUUUGAUACAUGUUAUGUUUGUUUGAUCAAGUUGUACUCAGCUAUAAAUCAAAGAUUCAGAACAUGUGUAUGAUACUGGUUUCUAAAUCAAUGAACGCCUUGAAAUGUUAGUGUUUUCACAGGAGAAUGCAAUUUAAUUCAUCAACAAUGUCCCAACAAGACCCUCAGAGCUGUAGCUUGUAAAGUUAAUUACGAUAUUUUUUUGUAAAGUAAAUUACCAUAUUUUUUUCUUUCCAAUAUAUUGCUUAUUUCAUAGAAAGUUUACAUUAAAGUCUCAUGUUUCUUUGAAAGGUAAGCAAGUGUGAACGUUUCAAUCUAGAGAUGGAAAAUGCAUUUCCGGGAACUUACUUGAUAAAUGAAGUUUUCAUCUCUGACCUUGAUGUUUCCCACAGGUGCAUUCAUUUCAGCUGAUCUAUAUAAUUUUGUUUUCGAAGGAGAGACACAAAAUCUCCGUUGUUAAGGGGAGAAUUUAGAGUGGCUUUGACUGUUAACAAAUAGCCUAAUGUAAGACUUAACCAACUUCCUGCCCUGUUGUAUGCUUAUGAAUUUUGAUAGAGCUAAGAGUUUGCAGAAGCUAUUGUAUUAUAUGUCGUUAGAGGCUGUAAACAUCAAACACAUUUAAAUUUCAAUGAAAAUUUACUGGAAGUAAAUUUCCUUUGAUCCCACAGGUGACUAAUUAAUGAGAACUUGACAAUGACAAAAGAAAGUGUAUGAACUUUGCAGGCUGGCAUGCCAAUAUUGACUGGGUGGCACCAUCCACCAUCUGCAAGUGAAUAUCAUUGUUGUUUAAUCAACAAGGUGGAGUCCACUGGGACCACACCACAUCGUCAGCCUUAUCUCUAUUCCUCAAUUUUCAGUAUUCCAUACAUCAAAACAAUUUCAGUUUUGUUAUCAAUUAUAAUUUCAUUGUUGGUGACGAUUCUGAUUCCUUUCUUUCUGACAAAACGGAACCAUGGUUGCUGUGGGAGAGAUCUUACUCAACGCCUUCUUUCAGGUGUUGUUUGACAGGUUGGCUUCCCGUGAUUUGCUCAGCUUUGUCCGUCAACUUGGAGGCGGGGUCGAUUCCGAGCUCAAGAAGUGGCAAAGAAAGCUGAAGAUGAUUCAGGCGGUGCUCAACGAUGCAGAGGAGAAGCAACUGACUGACGAGGCUGUGAAGAUGUGGCUGGACGAUCUCCAAGACUUGGCUUAUGACGCUGAGGACAUUCUUGAUGAGUUUGCUACUCAAGCUUUGGAAAGCAAGUUGAUGGCGCAAAAUCAGGAUAGCUCUGGCCAGCUUCUCAGUUUCAUCCCGGCUAGUUUGAAUCCGAAUGCUGUUAGGUUCAAUUAUAGCAUGAGGUCCAAGAUUAACGAUAUUACUAGCCGGUUGGAGCAACUCUGCAAAUAUAGAAUUGAACUUGGGCUGCAACGGAUUCCUGAAGGGGCAUCAUCAACUGCUGCUGCUGCACACCAGAGGCCACCCAGUUCAAGCGUCCCACCAGAACGUGAAGUUUUUGGUAGAGAAGAAGAUAAGGCCAAAAUUCUUGAUAUGGUAUUGGCCGAUAGCCCAAGUGAUCAUGCCGACUUUGCUGUAAUACCCAUUGUUGGCAUGGGCGGGAUAGGAAAAACAACUCUCGCUCGGGAGGUCUACAAUGACAAGGCCGUUGAACAUUCCAAGUUUGAUGUAAAAGCAUGGGUUUGUGUAUCUGAUGUCUUUGACGUUUUGGGCAUCUCAAAGGCGCUUCUCGAGUCAAUCACCCGCAGGCCAUGUCUUCUAAACAGUUUAAACGAAGUGCAGGUUGAAUUGAAAGUAGCUGUGGAUAAAAAAAGAUUCUUGCUGGUCUUAGAUGAUGUUUGGAACGAGGACUACAGCUUGUGGGUAGACUUAAAAGCUCCGUUCCUGGGUGCUGCACCAAACAGCAAGAUGAUCGUCACCACACGCAAUUCAAGUGUUGCAUCAACAAUGAGACCCAUUGAUCGUCACCACACGCAAUUCAAGUAUUACGAUCUCAAGAGUCUGUUAGAUGAUGAUUGCUGGUCCAUUUUCAUAAACCAUGCAUUUGAAUCUACAGACCUUAGCGCACAUCGAAUUUCAGAAUCAUUCCGCGAGAAAGUUGUUGGCAAGUGUGGGGGCUUGCCUCUGGCAGCAAAAACACUCGGGGGCCUUCUUCGUACUAAAACGCAUGCUGAGUGGGACGGUAUAUUGGAUAGCAAAAUAUGGGAUUUACCUCGGCAAAGCAGCAUUCUCCCCGUGUUAAGAUUGAGUUACCAUCAUCUUCCUUCUCAUUUGAAAAGAUGUUUUGCUUUUUGUGCCAUCUUUCCAAAAGAUUAUGCAUUCACUGAGAGGGAGCUGACUUUCUUAUGGAUGGCUGGAGGUAUUAUUCGACAGUCAAGAAACAAUGAGCAGCUGGAAGAUUUGGGCAGCAAGUGCUUUGGUGAUCUAGUGUCGAGGUCAAUUUUUCAACAAACAGCAAUCUCUGAUAGUUCUAAAUUUGUAAUGCAUACUUGAAAUUUCUGUCUUCAAUAUUUUGAUGCUUUCUUAUCCCAUGCACAAAAGUACUAGAAAAAACUAAUAACAGCUAACCGAAAAUCCCAGGCGUCAUAUUCCUUUUUACCGCGUUUUAAAAUGCACAACAAUGAUAUUCUUACAAAUUUGCAAAAUUUGUCAAUUUCUUAGAUUUCAGAUAUUUUAAUGCUUUUUUUAAUUUUUGAUCUAGUAAAAAUACACAGCCUUCACCGGCAGGAUUCUAGUCUUGGCUUUCACCUCUCUAACUCAUCUGUUCCCAUUGGGAUUCCAGAAAUUGAAAUUUCUGUCUUCAAUGGGUUUUCAAAGCCUCGCCUCUCUUCGAUUUUUGUGGAUCGGGAAUUGCACAAAUCUCACAUCAUUUCCCGAGGUCGAGGAAAAGAGCGGCCCAAACUUGCUCGCAUCCCUUAUUAGGUUAUGAUAGAUGGAAAAUUCAUAUACGAUCCAGAGUCAGAGGUGUUGAUUCUCUUAUUAAGGUCAGCUGAUUUCUAUUAUCCACUCUGACAAUCUCCUAUUCGUGUUUUUCCUUUUUAAAUUUUUUUUCCAAAAUUUUGCAGUUCCGUAUAUUGGUGUUUGUUAAGGUAAUUAGUGCUCCCUCAAUAUUGCAUUUUAGACUGCCAAAUGUAGCAGUAAUUUUAAUACAAUUUUGUUGGUGCCUUGUGUUCCAGAAGCUAGAAAAAUGUGUAGUUUUCAGAUAAGGAGGCUUGUCAGUUCUCUAGUAAGAAUCCAAUGAUUUGCUUUUGCACGUCCAUCUAAUUUGUGGAUCCUUGCAUCAGAAUUUGAUCAAUCCAAAAGGAAUUGCUUUUAGACAGAAGAAGAAUAGCAGCACCUAGCCUACCCGCAAACCUGAAACUAUUAGAUUGAGGUAAAAAAAUCAUUGACCCUCACAUGUUAACUUCUUCUAGUUACUUUCAUUGGGGAAAAAAAAACAUUUAAGGAAUUUGCAAUUUGUUGUUAGUUAUGGUAUCUGAUGUUCUUUUCUGCUUUAGCGUUUGUAGAACCUACUGUAUUAUGUGUUGGCAGUUGCCGUAUCUGAGGUAACUUGCCUUUAUUUGUUUGCUUCUGAGUUAAGGACACCAACAUUUGCCAGAGAUUUAGAGAAUCAUCUCAAAACACUUAGCAAACUUGACAAACUUCAAGAUGCACUUGCCCCCACGCCUUAUUCUCAACAACGCAAAACUUGUGAGUACACCUAUGCCUGCAAUUAUUGUGAAGUGUUCGCAAUUCUGAUGCAGAGAAAUGGUUUCUUGAUGCAAAGUAUUAAACUGUUAAGAUUUAUCCUGCAGGCUUGUUAGAUGUUGUAUACUCGAAAAGCCAACAACAUCAAGAACUACAACUCCAAGACCAACUUUGCGUUAAUUCAGUCAGCUGUAAAAAUGAUGCAAAUGACACUAUAUCAAGCUGGACUUAGAGACUAGUCAGAUCAAUCAUCCAUUUCAUCAACGGUUAAUGUCAUGAUGGUGGCUAUCAGAGGAAACAAAAGAUGUGUCAGAAUCUAUACGAACAUUGAGAAGCAUGAGAGGAGCUUUGAUUUUGAGUAGGGUCAAUGAACUCAUGUUGGUAAGUGGUGAUUAAAGAAAUUUGUAAGCUUAGUAGAGUUUCAGUAUUUUCUGUUUGGAGUAUAGUUGAUAAGUUGACUCUGUUUAAGAAGCCCGAUUAUAGUAGCUGACUGUAUUAACCUUUUUUUUUUUGGUCUGCUGUUGUUUUUGGUUUCGAUUAUUUUUUCAACAUUGGGUUGAUCUGUUGAAGAACAAGCUUGGGUUUGAUUAUGUUUUAACUAUAAGGAAGAGCCAGACUUGGUUGCAGGCGUUAAGCUUUUAAUGGGUAAGAACAAAUGAAUGCUUUAACCAUGUUUCUCACUUAUUAAAAUGCAUGGAUUGAAGGCAUCUGGGUUGAUCCUGACAAUGUGAUGGAAAUACUUCUCUGUUUUCAUGUAACAGGACAAAUAGAGAUCUCUGAUCAUGCCUGAAUUUUUGUUGCAUUGAAAUUUCUACCAUUACCAAACAUAGAAUGAACUGGGGAUACAUUAGCUUAAGACUCAAUUUUGAGAAGGAAGUUUGUACUUGCAGCCUAUAAAAUCAUGUCCGUGUCGUACGUUUCUUUGGGAAAUGAAAGAUUCUGUGUGUUCUUUUAUUUCAAGUUCACUGAAAUCACAUUUGUUUUCUCCGAUGCUUUCCAGAAGGUAACAACAUCAAUUUCAAAAAUGCUGGGGCAAGAUGCAUCAUGCAGUGCGACUCAACUUGAGAAUUCCUGGCCACAUUACCCGUAUGUCGAAUGAUCGCACAGUUCAACCUUGAGAAGCUUGUAAUGAGUACACAACUGGGUGCAAGUAGUUUUGAAAUGAAUUUGCCUCAAAUGAUUUCUUGCUCGCAUCCCUUGGGUUAUGAUAGAUGGAAAAUUCAUAUACGAUCCAGAGUCAGAGGUGUUGAUUCUCUUAUUAAGGUCAGCUGAUUUCUAUUAUCCACUCUGACAAACUCCAAGACCGGGUUUUUUUUUUUUUUAAUUUUGCCGUUCUGUAUAAUUGAAAUGCCACUCACUUGUUUCCUUCUUCACAGGUCCGAUAGUAUGUUGAGGCUAUUUGCUUUUUAUCGGUGUUUGUCAAGGUAAUUAGUGCUGCCUCAUAGGUUGAUUACUCACAGAUGAAAUCAUAACUUUUAUCUUAAAAUUUAAUAGCAUACACAGAUAGAUGAUUUUUAGUCCAAAGUUUUUUUAUUCACUUCAAUCAAAAUUUUAGAUUGCAGAUUUUUGUCAAGUAUUUCAUUACAAUUUUUUCAUUUUUUAUUUUAAACCAGAAUAUGAGUAUAACAUUUUGGAGCGUGCAUACUCUGAUGCAUGCAAUUAACUGUUUUUAAUCAUUGGAUUUUGAAAUUAAUAAUGGUAAGAUGUGUACUUAUUCUGUCUUCCAACAACCUUGGCCUCUUUCUUCGGUCGCAUAUCUAAUGAAUAUUUCUCUGUUUAGUUAAGGAUGAAUGCUUGGAGUGGGGUACUUGGUAACAUUUCUGCCUCAGAUGAAUCCUUGAAGAAAUGCCCGCAGUUCCUGAGACCAAAUACAGGUCUGAUUCAAAACAGCACCUUUCUCAGAAAAUAUGAUCCAAGGCAAAGUCAUGUUCUGAUAAUGUUUCCUUAAGUACAAAGUUGCAAGGAAACUUGAUUCAUUAACUACAGUUUUUUAUUUUUAGGACCUUGUAUCUGAAAGGUUCAGUGUUUUUUUUUUUUCAAAUUUAUUGUUCAGAUCUCAGAGGAGUAUAUGGUUUAGAUUACAAAACACCCAUGAUUAAUUUCAUUUUUUUUUUUUUAUUUCAGGGAGAAGAAGUGGUCAGUUUCAAUCCGGAAUUGGAAUAUGGCAAUUUGGUUCAAGCACACACACCUGGUCACUUGGUCAGUGAACCUGAACUUUACGCAGUUUUUUCAACUCAGUGAUUUUUGGAACGCAUAGUGGUGUAAGGAAAUCAAAAGAAAUUUAUGCAUAGUCAAAUUCUGAUAUUUGCUAUAUAUUAUACAUUCUAAAGUUUCUCCAGUUUGUUCUCAGAUUACCAUCAUUUUUUGCCUUCACCAAAAAAAAAAAAUUGAGUGGCUUUCCAGUGGAUAUUUAAUCGGAGGUAUGACUGGAUUUUUUUCACUUCUGUAAAUCUUGCAUUUUAAACUGGCAAAUUUAACUUUAAUUUUAAUACGACUUUGUUGGUGCCUUGUGCUCCAGAAACUAGAAAGAUGUGUAGUUUUCAGAUAAAGGGGCUUGUAAAUUCUCUAGUAAGAAUCCAAUAAUUUGCUUUUGCACGUUCAUUUUAUUUGUGGAUCCUUGCAUCUGAAUUUAAUCAAUCCAAAAGGAAUUGCUUUUAGACAGAAGAAGAAUAGCAGUACCUAGCCUAUGACAUAGUAUAUGGACCUGCAAACCUGAAACUAUUAGUUUGAGGUAAAAAAUUCAUGACCCUCACAUGUUAACUUUCAUGAAAAACACAUUUAAGAAAUUUGCAAUUUUUUGUUAGUUUCGUAUCCGAUGUUGUUGCAUCACAGUAACUUUAAACCACUGCGACAUUUUUAUAAUAACAGUCUGAGAUCUCCCUGAAGGAUUCAAAGCAUUUUAUUUUAUAUUAAACUCCUUUAUGUGGGUUUCGACACUACCACAAGUUCUUUAAAUACUAAAACGAUUUUAAGUCUUUUGUAUCAUCUUAUUGAAAUAUAUGAAAGCACUCGUGGUUGCAAAAAUACAGUUGGGGCUAUUUCUAAAGUCUUCAACAGCAUUUUCUUUUUAACCUUUAUCCUCAUGGUUGUUUUUGCAGUUGUUCUUUAAGAAAACAUUUAAAAGGUUCUCUUUAUGGAUUUUUGAAAAUAAUUUUAACAUUAGCAAUUUUCAGAAGCACUUUAGAUGUCUGGCAUUUAGAAAAUUUUAUUCCGGUGUCACAUAAAAUACUUAGGAAGUUAAAUUUAUUUAUUUAUGAGCAUGUGCCAGUGCCCUGUGGCAUCCUCUUCACUUGUGAUAGUCAAAUAUAUUAUACGAUACAAUAUUAGCUUGACUGUAGCACAGAGGAGAAUAGGGUUGGUGUUGGUCUGAACCAGCUUAUGUAACAGCUGCCAAAAGGAUAAUUUAAUUGUACUUUGAGUAAAGCUUUUGCGAAUUAAACAAGUGAUAAUUUGUUUCUAUUAAGAAAAACUUAAAGGAUAGGGCUAUUUUAACUCACCAAACUACACAUUAAAAAUCCACUUACAAAAAUAGUUUUUAAUUAUUAAAAUAUUCCUAAAUUAAAUUAUAAUUAUGGACACUAAAAUAUAAUUUUUUUUAUAUUUUACUUUUUGAAACUGUCUUUAUAUUCGAUAUUAUAUUUUUUUUCUUAAACUCUAAAUUGAUAUUUUUUUAUUAAUUUUAAAACACAUAUAAAGUGAUUUAUAUUGAUUUUAUACUAACAAACUAUUAUAGCACAUUCGAAAAAUAAUUAAAUCGUUCUUAUUUACAUAGUGAAAAUGCAAAUAGCUCAUUCAAAUGUUAAGGAAUUGGAGAGCUGCUGCUGGAGAUGAAAGAUGUGAAUUAAACAUCAGAGAAAAAAUUAUGUUCACUAUCUUGCCAGACCAAGCACCGAAGAGCGUCGUAAAGAAAAAUUAGAUAAUUUAGAAGAUAAAGCACGUGGAAUGGAGGCAGAAAGCAAGUAAUGAUAACUCUUUCGACAAACUAAUAUAUACCAAAAUGCAAUAUCGGCCCUAAUAAAAAAUGAAAAUAAAAAUUCAUUACGAAUACUUGUUAAAGAUAUCCCAAGUAUAGAUGUGACUGAAAUAUUUGAGAUUGAAGAAGAAUUAAGACUCAAAAUCAAUUGGGAGGAAUAAAUGAGAAACCCCAAUACCAAAAAAUACACGCACAAAUCCUAAUACUAAUUGUAAUCACGGAUAAAAAGCAUAAUACGAAUAAAUUACAUGGGCAACUAUUCCAUUGAGAAAUUAAUUAAAUCGUGUAUUAAUAUUUUGUAUACAUAUAUUUUUCUAUACAUAACUUUCGGUAAUUUAGUUUUCCACUUAUCAUUUUUACUCCAAAAAAGUAAUUGAGAAUAUUAUUUAUGUUUUGGUACAAAAUAUUUGAACAAUAUACAAAUUUUCAGUUUAAUAAAUCUAAACAUCUAUUAAGUUAUAAAUGAAUUUAAUGGGUUUAAUUAAUAAAAUUACUAUUAUUAUAUAAAUUGGGUUUAGUAAUGGUAUAUUGGGUGGGUUUGUUGAGUAAAUUUUAAAAUUUUGAAAUUUAAGGAUGAAUUUAUUUAGUAAAUGAAUUCAGGGAGUAAUUUGUUGGGAUUCACAUAGCCCCACCAAAUUCAAAUGUAAAAUUUUUGGAAAAAGAAGCUAUUGAGUUAUUCUAAAAAAUAAUUAAAAUGUCAAGAAUACCUUUAUUUAAUUUUAUAAUCUUAUUUUAUAGUCAUAUUUUAUUUCCACCUUAACAUAAUUUUAAAAACCUUAACUAAUAAAUUCUAUAUUUUUUUUUAUAAAAGUUAUCAUUAAUAUCCAAACGGCUACAGAUUUUUUUUUUUUAAAAAAAGGAACUAUGCUUACAAAAGUUGUAUACAUUAACAAUAAAUUUAGUCCAAAGAAUAAAGUUAUUCCAAACAAGCACUCUAAUUCAUCUUGCUAAUGAAUCAAGAUGACUGAAUCCUUCUCUGAGCCAAAUCUAUUUUCACUUUUAGGUCAGAAAUUGUCAUUAAAAAAGUGUUUGAUAAAAUAUGCUCUGGGAACACUAAUUCGUCAGAUGGUUACUCCAAGUUUAUGAAAUCAAUGGGAUUUCAUCAUAUUCAUAACAUUCUUCUUGAAUGUCUAUUCUAACAAAGAAAUCAUAUACAGAGAAUAGGUUUCGUUAAAACUUUUUCUAGAAAAACUAACCACAAUUCAUCAUUCAUUUAUCUCUUAAGUAAGCGUAAGAUUUUAUCAUUAAAAUCCCAUCAUGAAAAAACUCAUGGGAGAAAAACUAUAAAAAUUGAAGAAAAAAGAGUAUGGCGUGCAUGUAAAUUAUAUCGAUUUUAUCUACAUGACAAAUAAGACUCUCUUUUACAAUGGCACGGAUGCUUCAUUGAGUAAUCAUGAUUCUUGCUGGUAGUGCUUUGUUGUAUCAAUCUGCUAGCUAUUCAGCGUUCUUUCUUUCUUUCUUCUUAUUUUUUUGUUUUCAAAUAGCUUGUGGUUGUAGAAAUAUUUCAAUUAAACUAUACUUAAGUACUUAUUUGGUAUAACUUCUUUACUAACCAAAAGAAUUUUUUUUUUUGGUUUUUUAUAAUUUAAUUAUACUUUAACUAGAGUUUUUGGGAUAAAACAAGUGAUAAUUUCUCUCUAUUAAGAAAAACUCAAAGGGUAGGGCUAUCUCAAUCCACCAAACUAUUUAUUAAAAAUCCACUUAUGAAAAUAAUUUUUAAUUAUUAGAAUGCGUUUACAUUAAAUUAUAAUUAUGGACACUAAAAUAUAAUAAAUUUUUUUUUUACUCUUUAAAAUUGUCUUUACAUUUGAUAUCAUAUCUUUUUCUUAAAAUCUAAAUUGAUAUUUUUAUUUUAUUUUUGAUUAAUCUUAGAACACAUAUAAAGUGAUUCAUAUUGAUUUUAUACUAACAAACUAUCACAGCACAUUCGAAAAUAAUUAACUCGUUCUUAUUUGCAUAGUGAAAAAGGCAAAUAGCUCACCCAAAUGUUAAGGAUAUGAAAAGCAUGGUCAAGAAAAAUUGCAUAAUUCUCACUUAGAAGAGAGGUAGCCGCCACCACCACCAGUGAAACUAUUUCACAUAAUAGAAGAUAAAGCACGCGUAAUGGAGGCAAAAAGCAAGUAAUGAUAACUCUUUUCGACGCACUAAUACAUAUCAAAAUGCAAUAUCGGUCCUAACAAAAUGAAAAUAAAAAUUCAUUACGAAUAUGUGUUAAAGAUAUCUCAAGUAUUGAUGUGAUUGAAAUAUUUGAGAUUGAAGUAGAAAUAAGACUCAAAAUUAAUUGAGAGGAAUAAAUGAGAAACUCUAAUACUAAUAAAAUAUAUUCACAAAUCCUAAUGCUAAUUAAAAUCACGGAUUAAAAAAAAUAAUAUGAAUGAAUUACAGGCGCAACUGUUUCAUUAAGAAAUUAAUUAAAUCGUGUAUUAAUAUUUUGUACACAUACAUUUUUCCAUAUAUAACUUUUGGUAAUUUAGUUUUCCACUUAACUUUUGGUGAAAAAAAUAAUUGAGAAUAUUAUUUAUGUUUUGAUGCAAAAUAUUUAAACAACAUAAAAAUUUUCAGUUUAAUAAAUCUAAACAAUUCUCAAGUUAUAAAUGAAUUUAAUGGGUUUAAUUAGAAAAAAUACUAUUAUUUUAUAAAUUGGGUUUAGUAAUGGUAUAUUGGGUAUUUAAAUGGGUUUGUUGAGUAAAUUUUAAAAUUUUAAAGUUCAAGGGUGGGUUUAUUUAGUAAAUGGGUUAAGGCAGCAAUUUUCCAAACUAAAUUUUUGGAAAAAGAGGUUAUUGAGUUUUUUUUUUUAAGAAAAAGAAUUAAAAUGUUGAGAAUACCUUUAUUUAAUUUUAUAAUCUUAUUUUAAAAAAUUUACCCAAUAAAUUUGAUAAUUUUUUAUAAAAAUUAUCAUUAACAUCCAAACAGCUGAAGAUUAAAAAAAAAAAAAAAGAAGGGAACUGUACUAGCAAAAGUUACAUUAACAAUAAAUUUAGUCCAAAGAAUAAAGUUAUAGCUAAAAAGUGCUCCUAUCCUAUUUUUCUCUAUUUUAACAAUAAUCUUCCAAUCCGUUUUACAAUGGACUUUAACAAAUGGGCUCAAUUAACAAGAUUGAUCAAGAAUUAACAAGACAAGAUGAAGAGAUGAUCUUGUAACUAAGAAUGAAGAAAUUACGCACAAAGCAGUAAAUUUGUAAAACCAGAAUUGGAGCUUCACUUCUCAAGAGAGACGAAACAGGAUACAAUCUAGCUUUGGUCAACUUCGUUUGGCCACGUCAUAAAGUCUCCCCACAGUCUUUCCCGCCAAAACAGAAAAGCUUUAAAAGCCAUUUACCUUCCUGAGUUACUUGCUCCUAUUACAUCAAGGCCCUGGAAGUCUAUAUUUAUUAUUACAAAAGCACUCUUAGGGUGCGUUUGGAAUUGAGGUGUUGUAGUUUUUAAGCUACAGCUGUUGUGAAAAAAAACUGUAAUUAUGAAAUAAAAGUUAAUAAUAUAUAGUAAAUAUAAAUUUUAAAUAAUAAUUUUAUCAAAAUUAUUAAAGAUAUAAUAAAUUUUAUAUUAUACAAGUGAAAAAUUAUAUCAACAUAGCUUAAAAGCUACAGCAGUUAAUGUUUACCAAACACUUUAGUGCUGUAGCUUUUAAGCUUCAGCUGCCCAAUCUCAAUCGCAAACGCACCCUUAAACCGAGAUCGAAGCGCAUGAUUUCAUUACAAAGCAUUCGCAAAGAAAUUGUUUUUAAAUGAAACUCCUCGUCUUGACCAGAUUAUUUAUUAUUAUUCAAAAACAAAUGCUCAAAGCUUAGCCAAAGUGAUAAACUCGUAAUUAUUCUACAAAGGGAACAAUUUUGAACGGUGGGAAAUUCCAUAAUUAUGCUUUUCUGUGAAUUAUUUUAAAUAAAAUUAUAAAAACCAAUAUAAAAUUAUUACCCAGUAAAGACUUUAGAGAGACAAAUGUCCCCAACAGGAUCAAGUGAAUAUGCCCCACAAAGAUCACAUGAUCAUUUCUUGUUCUUUUUCUUUUGGACAAUUUUAGACAAUAUAAAAGAAAAAAUAUUAAAUUUUUUUAACCGAAUUAUUUUGACUCAAUUUGGUUCAUAAUUUUUUAAACCAAAUGGAACCCUCAUAACAAAAAACUAACGGAAACAAUAAGAACACGAUGUUAAAAUCUUAAAUCAAUCGCAAAAAAGCACCCAAAACAGAUCGAUUAGGAACAGUUAACAACAAAAGAUUUGAUGGUUCAAAAUCAUAAUGUGACCUACUUCCAUCCAAGAAUUAUACUAAUUUCUUUACUAGUUGUCAAAUACAAGAUCACAAGAUUAUUUAUCACUCUAUAGAGAAAAACUUUUUAGAAGAAAUACUCCCCAAUUUUUCUCUUGAUAGUUAUGAAUCAACACCCCUAGAAAGGCUAUUGAUUUAUUUUUCCUUAUUUCAUAUGAUCGGUUGCUGCAACUUAAUCCUUGCCAAGUUCCAACAUAGUCCAAACAUUUUUCAUGGUACAUGCAUAGUGCACCUUCAGAAACUUUACAGCUCUUCUUAAAACCUCAGUUCUCGUGAUGUUUCUGAUUUAUUUUUGGGACGAGUAACACUUUUGUUGAACCUAGACCAGAUUUAGUAUCCAAUCAAGAAUUUCCAGGAUCUAGCUGAACUCUCUAAUCAAGACCUAAAGAAUAGUUAAUCAAAUCCACACAAAAGAAUCACCCAAAAACAGUAUACAAAGAACAACAAAUAUAAGUGGUUUUGAGAUAAAUGUAAUUGACUUCUGAGCAUGACUUAAUUUUGAGAUCAUUACUUUUAGUUAAAUGAUCUCCUCCAGAGCUUCUACCUAUGUAGUGUUUUUAGACCUCUAUAGUUGAUAAAGCACGUUCAAGGUGAAGGCUUGUUUUCCAAUCUAUAGUCCAAUUAUAGACUGGAAAUGGUCAGGCUUAAUGCACCUUCAAAAGCUUCACAAUUUGUAUUGAAACCUUAAGCCUCAGAAUGCUACAAAUUUUAAAUCCAUAUACUUAGUGCUCUUAUGAUUUGUUUGAUUUUUACUUAGAUGAAGAGCAUUUUAGCUAUAGAAUACAUUGUAACUAAUUCAAAGCAUGCCUUAGCUACGAGAUCAUUCAUUCUAGCCAAAUGCCCCCUUUAGAGAUUCUGCUAUUGUUGUGUAUUCAGCCUCUAUAUUUGGCAAAGCAAUUACAUGUCGAAGGCUUGCUUUCCAGUUAACAGCGCAAUUACAUAGAUUAAAGGUGUAACCAGGCAAAGAACUUAGUUAUUCUGCCAAGGUCUCCAACAUACUCCAAAUCCAUAUAACCACCAGACUUCAAUCUUUAGACUCCAUAGAUCAAACCAUAACUUAGUGUGCCUUUCAAUCUCAGGUAACAUUUUACUGUUUUCCACGUCUUGCCAUGUACUUGCUGCUAACACUAACAAUUUGAGAAAUGUUAGGCAUCGUAAGCAGCCGACAACACUCUUCUUCAUUUCUUCAUUGUCAAUUUCUUUCUUGGAACAUUGCUCCAUUGAGAGUCUGCUAUCAUUGCUCCAAUUAUUAUUAUUUUUGUUUUUUUUUAAAAAAAAAAUAACCGUGCAAUAAGAGUAUAAGACUAAGCAACGGUCCUUUUUUUUUUACCCAUUCUUGAACAUGAAGUAUUUGAGUAUGUAAUAAAAAUUGUUUAUUGAUAAUUAAAAGUUAAUAGUGGGUGGCUUUAGGUUUUGUUUACAAAAUUGACAACAAAUUAAGAUUUUUCAAAUUCAUAGGUAAGAAACUUUUCAUUUAUUCAUAGAUUUUCCGGUUUAAACUUUAAAGGAAACUUAAAAGAAAAAGAUGUAUCAUUAGAUUUGUAAUUAAAAAAAUUUAAUAUUGUAUGAUCUGUUCGAUAUGCAUAAUUUAAAUAAACAUUAAUAUAGAUGUUAUAUAUCCUAAAACUUAAUUGACUUAAUUCUUACGGUGCAAGGAAGACGUUUCCAAGUUUAAAUCUAAUUUGGGGUCGGGAAAGCACUGGGAAAUAAAUGUAACAAAGGAAAAAAGAAAAGAAUGACAGUCUGAGUGGAGCCAACACGGUUUUGAAAAAAGUGCAAAAAAGGGUUUUAGGAUAUACUCUAUUAUCGUUUGUUUGCUUGCUUGUGGAAAUAAAAGUCUCAUGUUUCUUUGAAAGGUAAGCAAGUGUGAAUGUUUCUAUCUAGAGCUGGAAAAUGCAUUUCCGUGCAACUUACUUGAUGAAUGAAGUUUUCACCUCUGACCUUGAUGUUUCCCUGAGCUGCAUUCAUUGCAGCUGAUGUAUUUCAUUUUGUUUUCGAAGGAGUGACACAAAAUCUCCUUUGUUAAGGUGAGAAUUUAGAGUGGCUUUAACUGUUAACAAAUAGCCUAAUGUAAGACUUAAUCAACUUCCUGCCCUGUUGUAUGCUUAUGAAUUUUGAUAGAGUUAUGAGUUUGCAGAAGCUACUGUAUUAUAUGUUGCUAGAGGCUGUAAAAAUGAGGCAGAUCAAACACACAUUUAAAUUUCAGUGACAAUUUACUGGAAGUAAAUUCCUAUGACCCUACAUGUGACUGUGUGGCACCAUCCGCCAUUUGGAAGUGAAUAUCAUUAUUCUUUAAUCAACAUGGUGGAGUCCACGGGGACCACACCACAUGGUCAGUCUUAUCUCUAUUCCUCAAUUUUCAGUAUUCCAUACAUCAAAACAAUUUCAGUUUUGUUAUCAAUUAUAAUUUCAUUGUUGGUGACGAUUCUGAUUCCUUUCUUUCUGACAAAACGGAACCAUGGUUGCUGUGGGAGAGAUCUUACUCAACGCCUUCUUUCAGGUGUUGUUUGACAGGUUGGCUUCCCGUGAUUUGUUCAGCUUUGUCCGUCAACUUGGAGUGGGGGUCGAUUCCGAGCUCAAGAAGUGGGAUAGAAAGCUGAAGAUGAUUCAGGCGGUGCUCAACGAUGCAGAGGAGAAGCAACUGACUGACGAGACUGUGAAGAUGUGGCUGGACGAUCUCCAAGACUUGGCUUAUGACGCUGAGGACAUUCUUGAUGAGUUUGCUACUCAAGCUUUGGAAAGCAAGUUGAUGGCGCAAAAUCAGGAUAGCUCUGGCCAGCUUCUCAGUUUCAUCCCGGCUAGUUUGAAUCCGAAUGCUGCUAGGUUCAAUUAUGGCAUGAGGUCCAAGAUUAACGAUAUUACUAGCCGGUUGGAGCAACUCUGCAAAGAUAGAAUUGAACUUGGGCUGCAACGGAUUCCUGAAGGGGCAUCAUCAACUGCUGCUGCUGCACACCAGAGGCCACCCAGUUCAAGCGUCCCACCAGAACGUGAAGUUUUUGGUAGAGAAGAAGAUAAGGCCAAAAUUCUUGAUAUGGUAUUGGCCGAUAGCCCAAGUGAUCAUGCCAACUUUGUUGUAAUACCCAUUGUUGGCAUGGGCGGGAUAGGAAAAACAACUCUCGCUCGGGAGGUUUACAAUGACAAGGCCGUUGGAGAUUCCAAGUUUGAUGUAAAAGCAUGGGUUUGUGUAUCUGAUGUCUUUGACGUUUUGGGCAUCUCAAAGGCGCUUCUCGAGUCAAUCACCCGCAGGCCAUGUCUUCUAAACAGUUUAAACGAAGUGCAGGUUGAAUUGAAAGUAGCUGUGGAUAAAAAAAGAUUCUUGCUGGUCUUAGAUGAUGUUUGGAACGAGGACUACAGCUUGUGGGUAGACUUAAAAGCUCCGUUCCUGGGUGCUGCACCAAACAGCAAGAUGAUCGUCACCACACGCAAUUCAAGUGUUGCAUCAACAAUGAGACCCAUUGAUCGUCACCACACGCAAUUCAAGUAUUACGAUCUCAAGAGUCUGUUAGAUGAUGAUUGCUGGUCCAUUUUCAUAAACCAUGCAUUUGAAUCUACAGACCUUAGCGCACAUCGAAUUUCAGAAUCAUUCCGCGAGAAAGUUGUUGGCAAGUGUGGGGGCUUGCCUCUGGCAGCAAAAACACUCGGGGGCCUUCUUCGUACUAAAACGCAUGCUGAGUGGGACGGUAUAUUGGAUAGCAAAAUAUGGGAUUUACCUCGGCAAAGCAGCAUUCUCCCCGUGUUAAGAUUGAGUUACCAUCAUCUUCCUUCUCAUUUGAAAAGAUGUUUUGCUUUUUGUGCCAUCUUUCCAAAAGAUUAUGCAUUCACUGAGAGGGAGCUGACUUUCUUAUGGAUGGCUGGAGGUAUUAUUCGACAGUCAAGAAACAAUGAGCAGCUGGAAGAUUUGGGCAGCAAGUGCUUUGGUGAUCUAGUGUCGAGGUCAAUUUUUCAACAAACAGCAAUCUCUGAUAGUUCUAAAUUUGUAAUGCAUACUUGAAAUUUCUGUCUUCAAUAUUUUGAUGCUUUCUUAUCCCAUGCACAAAAGUACUAGAAAAAACUAAUAACAGCUAACCGAAAAUCCCAGGCGUCAUAUUCCUUUUUACCGCGUUUUAAAAUGCACAACAAUGAUAUUCUUACAAAUUUGCAAAAUUUGUCAAUUUCUUAGAUUUCAGAUAUUUUAAUGCUUUUUUUAAUUUUUGAUCUAGUAAAAAUACACAGCCUUCACCGGCAGGAUUCUAGUCUUGGCUUUCACCUCUCUAACUCAUCUGUUCCCAUUGGGAUUCCAGAAAUUGAAAUUUCUGUCUUCAAUGGGUUUUCAAAGCCUCGCCUCUCUUCGAUUUUUGUGGAUCGGGAAUUGCACAAAUCUCACAUCAUUUCCCGAGGUCGAGGAAAAGAGCGGCCCAAACUUGCUCGCAUCCCUUAUUAGGUUAUGAUAGAUGGAAAAUUCAUAUACGAUCCAGAGUCAGAGGUGUUGAUUCUCUUAUUAAGGUCAGCUGAUUUCUAUUAUCCACUCUGACAAUCUCCUAUUCGUGUUUUUCCUUUUUAAAUUUUUUUUCCAAAAUUUUGCAGUUCCGUAUAUUGGUGUUUGUUAAGGUAAUUAGUGCUCCCUCAAUAUUGCAUUUUAGACUGCCAAAUGUAGCAGUAAUUUUAAUACAAUUUUGUUGGUGCCUUGUGUUCCAGAAGCUAGAAAAAUGUGUAGUUUUCAGAUAAGGAGGCUUGUCAGUUCUCUAGUAAGAAUCCAAUGAUUUGCUUUUGCACGUCCAUCUAAUUUGUGGAUCCUUGCAUCAGAAUUUGAUCAAUCCAAAAGGAAUUGCUUUUAGACAGAAGAAGAAUAGCAGCACCUAGCCUACCCGCAAACCUGAAACUAUUAGAUUGAGGUAAAAAAAUCAUUGACCCUCACAUGUUAACUUCUUCUAGUUACUUUCAUUGGGGAAAAAAAAACAUUUAAGGAAUUUGCAAUUUGUUGUUAGUUAUGGUAUCUGAUGUUCUUUUCUGCUUUAGCGUUUGUAGAACCUACUGUAUUAUGUGUUGGCAGUUGCCGUAUCUGAGGUAACUUGCCUUUAUUUGUUUGCUUCUGAGUUAAGGACACCAACAUUUGCCAGAGAUUUAGAGAAUCAUCUCAAAACACUUAGCAAACUUGACAAACUUCAAGAUGCACUUGCCCCCACGCCUUAUUCUCAACAACGCAAAACUUGUGAGUACACCUAUGCCUGCAAUUAUUGUGAAGUGUUCGCAAUUCUGAUGCAGAGAAAUGGUUUCUUGAUGCAAAGUAUUAAACUGUUAAGAUUUAUCCUGCAGGCUUGUUAGAUGUUGUAUACUCGAAAAGCCAACAACAUCAAGAACUACAACUCCAAGACCAACUUUGCGUUAAUUCAGUCAGCUGUAAAAAUGAUGCAAAUGACACUAUAUCAAGCUGGACUUAGAGACUAGUCAGAUCAAUCAUCCAUUUCAUCAACGGUUAAUGUCAUGAUGGUGGCUAUCAGAGGAAACAAAAGAUGUGUCAGAAUCUAUACGAACAUUGAGAAGCAUGAGAGGAGCUUUGAUUUUGAGUAGGGUCAAUGAACUCAUGUUGGUAAGUGGUGAUUAAAGAAAUUUGUAAGCUUAGUAGAGUUUCAGUAUUUUCUGUUUGGAGUAUAGUUGAUAAGUUGACUCUGUUUAAGAAGCCCGAUUAUAGUAGCUGACUGUAUUAACCUUUUUUUUUUUGGUCUGCUGUUGUUUUUGGUUUCGAUUAUUUUUUCAACAUUGGGUUGAUCUGUUGAAGAACAAGCUUGGGUUUGAUUAUGUUUUAACUAUAAGGAAGAGCCAGACUUGGUUGCAGGCGUUAAGCUUUUAAUGGGUAAGAACAAAUGAAUGCUUUAACCAUGUUUCUCACUUAUUAAAAUGCAUGGAUUGAAGGCAUCUGGGUUGAUCCUGACAAUGUGAUGGAAAUACUUCUCUGUUUUCAUGUAACAGGACAAAUAGAGAUCUCUGAUCAUGCCUGAAUUUUUGUUGCAUUGAAAUUUCUACCAUUACCAAACAUAGAAUGAACUGGGGAUACAUUAGCUUAAGACUCAAUUUUGAGAAGGAAGUUUGUACUUGCAGCCUAUAAAAUCAUGUCCGUGUCGUACGUUUCUUUGGGAAAUGAAAGAUUCUGUGUGUUCUUUUAUUUCAAGUUCACUGAAAUCACAUUUGUUUUCUCAGCUGCUUUCCAGAAGGUAACAACAUCAAUUUCAAAAAUGCUGGGGCAAGAUGUAUCAUGCAGUGCGACUCAACUUGAGAAUUCCUGGCCACAUUACCCGUAUGUCUAAUGAUCGCACAGUACAACCUUGAGAAGCUUGUAAUGAGUACACAACUGGGUGCAAGUAGUUUUGAAAUGAAUUUGCCUCAAAUGAUUUCUUGCCGGUGAUUAAUAUAACCUCUAUUCCAAAAUUCUUAGAACUGGUCAUACUAGCAAUGAAGGAUUGCAUACAUUGAAGACAUAGCUGAAGGCCUUGCGAGAGCUCUGUCAGCCCUUGUACCGGAAAACAGCUGGUCGUAGUCGCUUGUGAAUGAUAUGAUUAAUAGAUACUGCAAAAAUGAAUUGUGCCAUACGUUUUCAGCGCUCUGUGAAGAUGUCUUGGUCAUUUGUUUGAUGCUUGUUUGAUUUAUGUUGUAUUCAGCCAUAAAUCAGAGAUUCAGAACUUGGGUAUGUUUCUGGUUUCCAAAUCAAAAAAUUGCCUUGUGAUGUUAGUGUUCACUGUUUUCACAGGAGAUCAGGUUCCUUGUUAAUGAAUCAAGAAGAAGGCAAGCGCAUCCAUGUCCAAGUUCAAAUGUGUCUCCUCUAUUUUCUAUUACCCACUCAUUUAUUUUGAUUUCUUCAUUGUAAUUGAAUUAGUUUUUUAUUCCAAAUUAGUCAAAACCUCGUAGAGUCAUUAAGUUCUUUUAGCAUUUAAAGACAGAACUACGAACCAAAUGAUUUAAGUUCUUCGUUGUAAUUGAAUUUGCUUUCCCAUCUUUAGAGAUAUUAUGUUCUUUUUCACUUUUUCGAUUUGGUUAGUGGUGAUUUCUUAAAGACUCAAUCCAUUUGCGUUAAUACAUUUUUCUUUUGCCUUGAUUUCUGUUUCUUGGGGAGUUUAUACAUAUUAUUAUUUUAUGCUACACAUGCCAUAUACAGAUUCUUAUUUUAUGCUUCACAUGCCACAUAAAAGGUCAAAGCCUUGUGUGUGAUUAGAAUUUACUGGCAUCAUAGUAACUUUAAACCAUUGUGACGUUUUAGUAAUAACAGUUUGAGCUCUCCCUGAAGGAUUCAAAGCAUUUUAUUUUAUAUUAUACUCCUUUAUAUGGUUUGGCUGGUCUCUUUUAAGGCAAUUCCUGUUUAAAGUAAUCAAAAUUUUGAUUUCGAAGUGUCUUUCAACACUACCGCUAGUUCUUUAAGAAAAGUAAAUCGAUUUUGAGUCUUCUGUAUCAUCUGAUUGAAAUACAUGAAAGCACUCUUAGCUGCAAAAGUACACUUGGAGUUAUAAUAGCAUUCUGAAAUCUCCUUGAAGGAUUCAAAAGCUCUUUAUUUGCUAGUCUUUGCUUGCAAUAAACUCCUUUAAUAUAGAUUGGUUGAUCUUCUUUAAAGCAAUUACCAUAAGUUCUUUAAAUAAUAAAACGACUUUGAGUCUUAUGUAUCAUCUUGUUGAAAUACAUGAAAGCACUCUUGGCUGUAAAAAUGCACUUGGGGUUAUAUAUAAAGUCUUCAACAGAAUUUUAUUUCCCCCUUUAUCCUCAUGGUGGUCUUUUUAGUUGUUUUUUAAGAAAUCGCUUGAAGGUUCUCUUUAAAAAUAAUUUUAACAUAAGCAUUCUUUAGAAGCACUUUAGAUGUCUGGCAUUUAGAAAAUUUUGUUCCUGUGUUCACAUAAUAUAAUAUAUAUAUAGAAAGCUGACUGUAGAAUAGAGGAGAACGAGUUGGUGUUGGUCUGAACUCUGAUCUUUGAAUCUCAUGUGACUCCACUACUUUUUACUUGUUCUGUACAAGGUCUUUUAGCUUUUCAAAAAGUUUUAGCUUUAUGGAUAAAAUACUGUUAAUUGUAAUCUAUAAAUAAUGAAAGGAAUUAAUAAAAUAUUUGGUAAAUUUUAUUUUCUAAAGUGUUAUGAGUUCUAAAACGGCUGUAUGUAUAUAAAUUUAUUUACACAUAUAUUUAUAAAUAUGAUUAUAUAAUAAUAUUUUAUGUGUACAUAUCAUAAUUGAUAACUAAAAUAAAUAUUUUUAUUUUAUUAAUGGUUUUUCCGUCUCAAUGUAGUUGGUAAUAAUAAUCUCUUUAGAUGUAAUGAUUUUAUUUCCUAACUGAAUAAGGAAAAUUUUAGAUUUUUAUAAUAAAUGUUAAAUAUAUCUAGAAUUACAUUAAGUAUGAAAUAAUCCUCAAAAUUAGAUUUUGAAAAGUUAUUCUUUUAUUACUUUUAAAAAUAUGUCAUAUGAUGAGAUGAUUUUAUUAAAAGUGAUUUUUUUUUAAAAAAAUUACUAAACAUCAAAAUUAACUCUUAACUUUUUAAAAUCAUUUCUAAUCUUCUCAUCCUAAGUUCUUUAUUGUUUUGUACAAAAUCCAAGGUUUUUACUUUUAUAAAAUGCCCACUCAAAAAUAAAUUAUUUUCUAAUUAAGAUUUGUUGUUAAUGUAUACCUCGAAGUAAUAUUAGAUAUUUGUAAUUUUAUUUCAAAAAUUUUAUUCAAAUGAUAUGGCAAGCAAUGAACAAUAGUUGAUAGCAAUUUUUUUUUUUUAAACAAUGUUCAAAUCAAUCAGUUGCAUUAUCUCACCAUUUUUAUGAUGUCAUGUUAUUUUAAAUGAUUUUUUUAAUUUUUAUAUAAAACAUACGACGUGUUAACAUCAUUUGCAUAACUUGACCUUUUUUUUUUCCUACAAAUAGUAAGUCAAAUUUACUCACCCUAUUUCUACCUAAAACUCAUGCAUCACUGUAAAACAAAUCCAAAGAUUGCGAUACGUUUUUCUUGGCAAGAAAUCAAUAAUUAGGUCAAGUACUACUACUAAGCGUGCACAAUUAAUUCUAAAAUACGGUGAUCAAAAUCAUACUUGACGCAAGAGGAUAAGGGCUGAACUUCAAUUAGGCAUUAUUCAUCCAAAAUUCAUUGACUCGGCAUUCUUUGCAAGUUGUAGCAUGGGACAGCUAAGAUAAUUAGCAAAUGAUAUGGACCAUAUGCACCCAUACAUUUCCUUUAAUGCCAACUCUUCAUUGAAUGAUUAUCAGAUCCAAUACGCAUCCUUUGAUUGGAUUAUUUUAAGUCAAUUAUUGGUGGAUUGGGGCCCACUUGACUCUACCAAAUCGGGCUCCACCAUAUCACCUAUUAACGACCACCUGUCCUUAUCAUAAAUAGCAAAUGUCACUUGUUUUAUUUUGUAUUUUACCAAAAGCAAAGUCACUAUGAACCCAAAUGAAAGUGACCUCAAUUUUGGGGGUCAUGAACUUUGGAUUAUUAUGGACACAAGAGACAAGCGCAAUGUUUCUCAUUUAUCACUGGAUAAGAUUUAAGUUAUCAACCCAAUAUUAAUAAAUUCUGCUUGAAAAGUAAAGUUUGAAGCUUCAUUUUGCGAAUAUUCAAUGGUUAACAUUUAAGUAAUUAACCUGAUAUUAAUCUAAUUAAACUUUUUAUGUUAUCCAAGUCAAACAUAUAUUGAUAAACCUAAAUUAAUCUAAUUGGACAUAUUAUUUCAACUUGAAAAGGUGAAUCUAUCAUUUUUCAAUUAAUUUUGAAUCAAGCUAUGUAAAAUAUAAGCUUAUUAAAGACAUAUUUGAAAAAUUCAAAUUGAAUUAUUUGACAAUUACAUUUCAACUAAGUUGUACUGCUAAUUAACUUCCUCAACUUAAAAUGUAUUGUUCUCAAUUAAUUCGUAACAAAGAAUGUUAGAUGUUUUGUUCGAAUAAUAACAUUCAACAUCCUUAUUCUUUAUGAUUAUUGCAUAAAAAACAUAUUUUAUCCAUUUACGUCACUAUCGAAAACUUUGAACAGUCAAUACAAAUGCUUCCGUUUCAUCCCAUAAACAAAUAAAAUUCACAUCUGUACACAUCUACUUUGCUUUGCUAGAUAGAGUUCCUCUGCAUUUCCCAAUUGCCUAAAGAGAAGGGGAAAAGAAAAAGAGGGCCAAAAAAUGCCUGAAAUGGUAAGGAACAAGCAAGUGAUAUUGAAGAACUAUGUGUCUGGUUUCCCAAAAGAAACAGACAUGCACAUGACCGAAAGUUCCAUAGAAUUGAAGGUGCCAAAAGGUUCAAAUGGGGUUCUUUUAAAGAACUUGUACUUGUCCUGUGAUCCGUACAUGCGACCAAGAAUGACCUACAUCGAAGGAUCUUACGUUGAAUCCUUUAAACCUGGCUUGGUUAGUGCACUCGCUCAUGGCCACGCUUUUCAUUUCCAUGGCUUCUUGCUCUUUUGUUAUAGAAAAUUUAUUUUUGGUUGCAGUUUGGUUCGACUGCUAAAAUCUCGUGCGAUAAUUGUAUAAGAUAUCUAGAGUUUGAACUUCUUUCACAUUAGGGUUCAAGGAAGUUAACUUAAAUGAUUUUCAAAAUUUUAAAUGUGUACCAAUGAAUUUAAUUUCAUAGCUUAAACUUAUAUUUUGAUCAUACUCUAACUUUGGACAGGAAAAAUUAUAUUUUUCCUUUAGUUCUUUGACUUGGAGUAUGUUGUGUGAAGUACUUGUGCUUGAAAAUGAAUUGCUGACACAGAAAUUUCUAUGAAUGCAUGCAGCCCAUAAGUGGAUAUGGGGUGGGUAAAGUUUUGGAUUCAGAGAAUCCAGAGUUCAACAAAGGUGACUUGGUUUGGGGAAUGACUGGAUGGGAAGAGUAUAGUCUCAUUACGGCUCCACACUUGUUUAAAAUUCAACACACAGAUGUGCCUCUUUCUUACUAUACUGGAAUCCUCGGUAAACUUUUUGUUUGCGCAAUUUAUGUGAGCAAAUUGUGUCUUCUUUUUCAUAUGUAAAUGUUUUUGAUAUCUUGAUGUGAAGGUAGAAAAUUGCAUGUUUUGAGUUUUUGCAUAUUUGAUGGAAACACAGAACUGUACCUGAAUCUUUCAGAACCCCCUUUUCUUUGAAGUUUGAACACUUUUCUUGAAUGUAUCAACUUUAUUUAUGGGAUAUGUUGCCAAAUUGGCAAAUCUAUUCGUUAUAAAACUUUCCUUUGACAGUUUAAUCUAAGCAGAUGUUAAUUCUGCAAAUAGAGUGUGCCUUAGAUUAGUUUCAUAGAUUUGUCUCCUUCUGUACAGUAAAAACUUUGAGCAUUUUCGCCAUAUUCUGAUCAAUACACUCCAACUAGUUAGUUCUUGAGGCGUUUUAUGGUUUUGUGGAGUGAGGCAAGAUGUAUACGUUUGCAAAUUGGCAAUGUCUUUUGCUUGAUGGGUUGAGAGUUGUGAGUGUCAAUAGGAAAGUCUCAAAGUGCGCAGUGCUCACUUGAGCACCCAUAUUACUUGGUGACCUGUUGCCUCAGCAAACAGGACCUCUGUUUUAUGAACUCCAAAAAGUUAUUCUGUUAAAUAGAUCGAGACAGAGGCCAUACUAUAUUUAUUAUUGCUACAAAAGUGUGAAACAAUAUUCUUUAUUUAAUAUUCUAAACAAUUGAGCCAUUUAGUUAUGAUACUCUGCUGUAUUGGGGCUAAUAAUCUAAGUCGGUUCAAAGUGGUAAAUUUAUAAAUUGAUAGGUAUGCCUGGUAUGACCGCUUACGUUGGAUUUUAUGAGGUCUGCUCUCCUAAGCAAGGAGAGUGUGUCUUCAUAUCCGCCGCAUCUGGUGCAGUUGGACAGCUUGUGGGCAAAGUUAUUGGGUUGCUAUGUCGUCGGAAGUGCUGGAAGCAAAGGCAAGGUAUGUAAUCUGUGUGAAGUACUUGCUUGUUUCCAUGUUACUUUCAAACAUUUAAAUUAAAAAGGAAAUUUUCAUAAUCUUGCCUUUUCUAUGAUUUUCAAAACCAAGGUUGAUCUACUGAAGAACAAGUUUGGGUUCGACGAGGCAUUUAACUAUAAAGAAGAAGCUGAUUUGAAUGCUGAUUGUUGGGAAUUUGAUUAUUCUAGGUAUGCCUGGUGUAACUGCAUACGCUGGUUUAUACGAAGUUUGCUGUCCGAAGAAAGGAGAGUAUGUCUAUGUAUCUGCAGCAUCUGGAGCUGUUGGUCAGCUUGUUGGACAGUUUGCAAAAUUAGCUGGUUGCUGUGUUGUUGAAAGUACUGGAAGCAAAGAAAAGGUGCUGUUAUAACAUUCUUAAGUAGUAAAUAUAGCACCGUGCCUUCUACCAGAAUUUUACAUGCUUUAUGUUCCAACUAAGCAUCCAUAUAUGAUCGUGAUAAUUAGCAAGGUCAAUAAUUUUUUUUUGACUAUUUUUUCAAUGUAAGGUCGAUUUGUUGAAGAACAAGUUUGGACGAUGCUUUUAACUACAAGGAAGAGCCAGACUUGGAUGCAGCACUCAAAAGGUCAGCUCCAACAAACGUUUCAACUCUAAUAUUUCAUUUUAAUAUUACAGAGCUUUGGUUGAAGUGUGUGAUUUGAUCCCAGAAAUGUAACUUCAUCAGUGUCUCUGUUUUCAAAAAACAGGACAAAUAGAAAUCUGAUUUUGCUUUAAAAUUUCCCAGAUGCUUCCCUCAAGGAAUCGACAUAUAUUUCGAAAAUGUUGGGGGAAAGAUGCUGGACGCAGUGCUACUCAACAUGAGGCUCCGGGGCCGCAUUGCGGUAAGCAGUAUCAUCUCACAGUACAACCUGGAAAAACCCGAAGGCGUACACAACUUAGAGCAACUGAUCGGGAAACGGAUUCGCCUGGAAGGAUUUAUAGCUGGGGAUUACUAUCACCUCUACCUGAAAUUCUUGGAAUUGGUCAUUCCUGCAAUCAGAGAAGGAAAGAUGGUGUAUGUGGAAGACAUAGCCAAAGGACUCGAGAAAAUUUCUCGUAACUGCUACACAUUAAACGCAUUUCACAUUUCCACUCUCUCUCUAUAAAUAAAUACGCACAUAAAAUUUGUCACCAUCCAAAAACAAAAUCUACAUAAAAAAUGGCGGGUGAAGAAGCAGUGAGC